AAAGAUGAAGUUGAGUUUGUGACCAAGAACAGGCGUGACUUCUACAGAGGUGGCAUCCUUGAAUUCAUGUCUGGAUUGGACUUAUCAUGUAACAACUUGACAGGCGAAAUACCUCAUGAACUUGGAAUGCUAAGUUGGAUUCGUGCAUUGAACUUGUCUCACAAUCAAUUGAAUGGCUCCAUUCCAAAGAGUUUCUCCGAUCUUUCUCAAAUAGAGAGCUUAGACCUUUCUUAUAAUAAAUUGGGUGGAGAAAUUCCUCUAGAGCUAGUUGAACUCAAUUUUUUAGCGGUGUUUAGUGUGGCUUACAACAACAUCUCUGGUAGAGUUCCAAAUGCCAAAGCACAAUUUGCAACAUUUGAUGAAAGCAGCUAUGAAGGUAAUCCUUUCCUUUGUGGGGAACUAUUAAAGAGGAAAUGCAACACAAGUAUUGAGUCACCAUGCGCACCAUCACAGUCUUUUGAAAGUGAGACAAAAUGGUAUGAUAUCAAUCAUGUUGUUUUCUUUGCAAGUUUUACUACUUCAUAUAUCAUGAUCUUGUUAGGAUUUGUUACCAUCCUUUACAUCAAUCCUUAUUGGCGUCAUAGAUGGUUCAAUUUUAUUGAGGAAUGUGUAUAUUCCUGCUAUUAUUUUGUUUUUGAUAGUCUUUCCAAGUUCUCAGCAUAUUUGUAUAAUUAGAUACUUUUAAUUGGAUGAUGUUUGCAUAAUUAACUACUAUUUGUUUCCAUGGGAUAAAAAGAAAUGGGAUUAUAAUUGCUAUGAGUUGAAACUUACAUACUUUGCUCAAAUUCUAACAUCUUUUGAUUUUAUUUUCAAGUUCCGUUAUUUAUUAUGUAUUGUUUAAUUCAAGAUUUAACCAUAUUAUGCUACUCUUAUAAAAACAAAUUCAAAUUUUUAGGAACUUAGCAUUAAAAUAAUUUCAUAGUCAGAUUUUUAAAAAUAAAGAAGAAAGAAAAUAAUAAAUAAUUAGAAAAACAAUUCAAGGGAGUAUUAAAUUAUUAUCUUAGAAUUGUUUGGCGUAGUAUGGGAAUUCAAAAAUAAUCUUUCAAUUUGUUAGAAAUGUUUAUUUAUUUAUUAUAGCAAUGAUUGAAAUAUCAAUCACAAAGUAAUGUUUUCUUUUCUUUUGUAGGGCACUAACAUUUUUUCUUUGAUUGUAAUAAUUGAUAAAUAUAUUACACAAUUAUUUGUUUUAAAGAGGGGAGGGAUGACAAACAUAAUAACAUGUGAAAUAUUUCUAAAACUGUGAUGGGAAAUAAACCAUCUAAUUAGGGUGCAAUAUUAUUCAUUUUAAUUUAUAUGAAUUUACUUAUUUUUAUUUCCAUCAUAUUUUGAACUAUUUUUUGAAAUUAAGGGAGAUUAAAACAUCAUGAAUUUCUUAGUUUAAUUUAUAUUUUUAAUAAUAAAGCAUGAAAUAUUUAAAAAAAAAAAAGAAAAUCAUGAAUUUCUUUAAUUCCUUAGGAAACCAAUAUAUAAAAAAAGUUGAAUAUAUUAUUAUUUUAUAUCCUAAAUUUCUAAAUUUGUUCAUCACGUAUUUAUUUUUAUAUUAAAUUUAUUAUCAAUAAUUAUUUAUUAUAUAUUAUUAUUUUAUAUUUAAAAAUGUUCAUAAAUAAUUAAAAUUAAUAAAUAUAAAAAAUGAAAUAUUAAAAAAUUAAAUUAAAAAGAUUUCAUCAAGCUAACAUAUUUUGAUAAAAAAAAAAAGAGUAAAAAAGAAGAUGGGGAUAUUAUAGAGGUGGGGAAAAAGAUAAAAGAAAAAUCAUGUGGUAUAAUAAUUGCCACGUGUUAAAGUUAUUUUCUUUAAAAAUUAAUUAUAGUAAUGAUGAACUCAUUUGUCUUAUCAAAGUAAAUAAAAAUAAAUAAAUAAAAGAAAAAAAGAAAAAGAAAAAAAGUGGUGGUUGAUUGGAGGUUAGAGAGGAGGGUUUGAAGGUAAAUUUGGAAUAUUGAUUAUUUUCACUAAGUAGAUAUUUUGAAAGUUAUUUUCAAUGUUUUAAAAACCGGACCGGCCGGUCCGACCGGUCCAACCGUCGACCGGUCACCAUUCCGGUCCGAUCCGGUCAUUUGGACCGGAUUGAGAUCGAACCGGAGUUGAACCGCUCGAACCAGCGGUUCAACCGCUGAACCGGACAAACCGAUCGGUUCCAAGGGAACCGGCCAAUUCAAAUAAUUUUAAUUUUAAAAAAAAAAUUACACAAUAAAAAUAUUACUGUGGGUAAGCUGCAAGCAUGAAAGGUAGGAUUCCAUGUUGGGCCUGUCUUGUGACAAGCCCACACACCCACUCCAAUUACCCUGGGCCUCUUUUUUGAGCCCACAAGAUCAUGCCAAGGCUUUGCUGAGGAUGGCUUUUAUAGGAGUCAUUUGACUCCUUGUUCCUCUCAUAUUCCGAUGUGGGAUUGCAUUUUAUCAAUGAAAAAAAACAUAACAAACAUAACAAAACUCCACCAACAGAAUUUGAACCUUGGACCAAUCUUUAACUCUAGUCCACCUAGGAAACCACUCGGCUACAUGUGUUUUAUCAUCUAAUGUGCCAAACAAAAUAAUAUAUAUUAGAUUUUAAAUUUUUUUAUAAUAUUAAAUAAAAAUAAUAUAAUAUUUUUAAAAAUUAUGAAAUUAGUUUAAAUUUUCAUUUUUUUUAUAUUCACAUUUAAAUAUUAUACAUAUUUCAUUUAAUAAAAUUUAAAAUAUUAAUAUGAUUUAAUUUGAUAAUAUCAAAGAUAUAAAAUAAUAUUAUUGAUGUUUAAUUUAUUCAUAUAUAUUUUAAAAUUUUUUAUAAUUAUUUUUAAUUUUAAUAAUAUAUAAAUUAUAUAUUUAUUACGUCACCGGUUCGAUAGCGGUUCGACCGCCGGUCCGACCAGUGAACCGUGAACCGGUAACUUUUCCAGUUCGAUCACCGGUCCGAUUCUGAAAACAUUGGUUAUUUUGCCUGAAACCCAUAUUGUUUGAAAAUAAAAAAUCAAAGUUUUAAAAAAAUACAAUUUUUUUGAAAUGAUGCAUGAUUAUAUCAUUCCCCUAAUAGAUUAUUUAUUCCUUUAAACUUUACUUCAAAUAAAAUAGUUUUAAUUAUUUUCUUUUUGGAAUUAUAUUUAACAUAUUAUUAAAAAUAUAAAAAACAUUUUAAUAAUAUUGUUAAUGAGUUUAUAUAUAUAUAUAUAUAUUGUAAAAUAAUUAAAUUUAAAAAUAUUUAAAUUUAGUUAUGGGCUGCCCAUUUCAAAAUAAUAAGAAUCUCGUAACCUAAUUUUUCCAAAUUCCAGGUAAAUAUGCUAAUCUAAAAAUAAAAAAUAAAAAUUAGGUUUUUAUGCUCUCCAAUCUACCACUUAAGCAUCCGACAUGGCUAAAAUAAAUUACAAAAAAAAAAAAAAAAAAAAAAGGAAAAAAAACAAAAGUGUGUGAUCCUCUUUCUCGAGUCUUCACAUUUUGAGACACUGAAACCAAAUCAAAAUUAAUCCUUCAAAUUAAUUUUCACCUCCAAACAUGGCUAUCCGAAAAACCCUAACGUCUGCCUCCUCUUCCUCUUAUCCCGGAAACCUAAAUUCCGUGACCCUAACCCCUUCUCUUUCCGAAAACCCUCCGGAAUCGGAAGAUUCAUAAUUCUUCAGAAUUAAUUUUCACCUCGAAGCCAAACCCUAACUGCCUCAUCUUCCUCUCAUUCAUAUCCCAAAAGUAGCUUCAACAGUCAGGCCUGUAGCCAUGAAAGCCGUAGUGAUCACUACUUCCGGUGAUCCCCAAGUUCUCCAAGUGCAAGAAGUCGAAAACCCUGAAAUUGGAGAUGAUGAAGUUCUAAGUAGAGUGGACGCCGCUGCCAUUAACCGAACAGAUACGCUCCAGAGGAAGGGCUUGCACCCUUCCUCAAAGGCGGCAGUCCCUACCCGGGUCUCGAAUGUUCUGGAAUCAUCGAAGCUGUUGGAAAAGCCGUCGUUCGAUGGAAGGUUGGCGAUCAGGUAUUUCAAUUGCCUAAUAUUUUGAUUUCGUUUCUGUUCCUCUGUUUUUCUCGGCUAUCAAACACUAGGAACGUGUAAAUAAGGAGGUUAGUUGAUUGCGAAAACGGGAAUUUUUUGUUCGUGUCUGUGUUAAGGAGUCUUUGUUGAGAAUUUUGGGGAAAUUUAUGAUAGGUUAAAUUAUUGAGCUUAUUGGUUUUCAAAUUUAUGGUUGUAAGAAAAUUGGUCAGUGUAAGGUUAUGGGUUCAUUACCAAUUUGCUUAGUGAAAAUUUUUCCACAUAUUGUGGACCGGUUUGGUAGCAGAAAUAAGAACUGUGUUUUGUUUUUCAAAACGGAAAUGGAUGCAGAAAACAUGUUUGGUAGCCUACUUUCAGAACUUGUUUCCGAAAAUAUUUCCUGAAAAUGAAUUAUUUCAGAACUUGUUUUUAAAAAAUUCAAACACUUUAUCAAUUUAAAAGGUUCUGAAAUGGACAUGUUCAUGGUCUUCAUUUUUUAAAAUUAAAGCUUUUAUGAAAAAACCAUUUUCCCUUCUACUAAACAAACAGGCUCUAUAUUGUAACAGAUCGAUUGGCCAUUUCCUUUGUCAUGUUUUGUGAAUCAUGGCAACACUGGAAUCCACUCCAUUACCAUCUGUUAGUGAUUAGAAGACAAAGCACCAAUUUUAAUGAUAUCCUUUAUGUGAUUUUGCUUCCUCCUGAGUACAAGUUCAUAAUAUACAUGGUACAUGGUGAAUCUGUAUGACAGUUCAUGGUAUACAGGUGUGUGCUCUUCUUUCUGGUGGAGGGCAUGCUGAAAAAGUGGCUGUUCCAGCUGGGCAAGUUCUCCCUGUCCUAUCUGGUGUUUCUCUGAAGGAUGCUGCUGAGGUUGCAUGUACUGUUUGGUCAACUGUUUUAAUGAUGAGCCGACUGUCUGCAGGAGAAACAUUCCUGGUGAAUUUUUUGUCUUUUUUAUUUUCUGAUGCCUGAUAUAUUUACCAGCACAAAUUUACCCUGUUGCUGUUUAAUGUGUGUGCAUCAAUAUUGGAUUAGGGAGGUAGAAGAGCCAUGGUUCUAAUUAAAUCAUUACAUCAUCAUAUUCUUAUUUAGAUACAUUGUAUCCCACAAUUUCAUUGCAUCCAAGGCUAUGUUGUUUUUUAUUGCACGGUUUGUCAUGGUAAUUUCUCAACCCUUCUCUGGAAAAUUAUGUUGGAUGGCUGCUAUUAAUUACCCCAAAAGAAGAAAUUUUAUGUUGAAGUAAGAUGAGUAGCACAAAGAGUUACUUGUGGUUGAUCCUAUCAUCAAAUGGGCGAUUGAUGCACAAUCCAAAUGGUAAAUUUUUUUCCCCCUUUAUCCAGAUGGAAUUUUUAUGCAUGGUUGAAUAGUGAAAUGAGAGGACUGAUAAUAUUUCAGGUUCAUGGGGGUUCAAUUGGAAUUGGUACCAUCUAUUCAAAUAGCGAAAUACCGAGGAGCAAGGGUAUUUGUUACAGCAGGUUUGCCAUCACUGUUCUACCUCAUCUCACAGAAUGCUUAUCUCAUGGCACCAAUUCCUUUUCUUCACAUGUUUUCAACCAUUUUUUCCACCCAGGAACGAGGAAAAAUUAGCUAUUUGUAAGGAUCAUUGAGCAGAUGUGUGCAUCAAUUACAAGACUGAAAACUUUGUUGCAUGGGUGAAGGAGGAAACAGGAGGGAAAGGUAUAUUCUAUUGUAUCUUAACGAUAAUUUCAAUUGAAGGUGGAAUUGCUUUUUAUUUUUUAGUGCACCAAAUCCACUAGUCUGGAAUGUUUGAAAAGAUAAAUAGUCAUCUUCCACUUGAUUCCGAUUGUGAAGAUCUAACCCCAAAAAUGUUGAAUGACAGGUGUUGAUGUUAUACUGGAUAAUAUUGGAGGGGCCUACUUUUGGGGAGACAUCAAUGGUUUAAAUGUUGAUGGAAGGCUUUUUAUUAUUGGUUUUCAGGGUGGAACAGUGGUACAAGUAAAUCUUUCAGGUUUACUUGCAAGGCGCCUUACAGUGCAAGGUACUGCUUUCUCUGUAGAAGAUUUUUCUGUAGUUUUGGAGUUGAAUCAAUUUGAUUAAUCUCAUCCAAGUUCAGAACUGAGGUGGAUUCUGGCAAGCCAAGGAAAAACCAAAUUACCAUAAAUUCUUUUUUUUUUUUCUGGAUCGUUUUACUUCUUGGAAAUCCUGUUUCUCGAUCUGUUAAUCACAUGGUUUGUUUUUCUUUAUUGUCCCUCUUUCUUUUCUUGUUGGUACCAAAUCCCUAAGAUGUGGAAGCCAAGUGAGCACUUUCUAUCUUUUCUUGUUUCAAUCUCUCAUCCUCUUGUGCACAUUGAGCAAUAAGCUCAUUCAAAGUCCAUUUUUCCUUUUGUGUGUUGUAACUGAUUUUGAAUGGACUGAAUUGUGUAGGCAGAGAGAUCAAGACCAAGUGCACGAGUAUGUCUUCCGAAAACUCUAACUUUAGUGCCUUUAGUCUAGUCACAAGAUUAGACAUUUCCAUAAUAUACUCCCUUAUAUUCUCUUUCCCUUUAUACCGCAUAGAGACAAGCUUACUAAGAAUAGUGUUUGUCUCAACCUUUUCAUUUGCAGCGAUCAAUUUGCUAUCUGGUCUAAGAAUGCCUUGGCUCGAGUUUUCUCAGGUAUUGCACCCCUUAUAACUUUUGGAAUUGAGUGCUUCGUUAUUAUUAGACUCAUGCGAUUGGAUCGCUCCCAUUUUUCCAUAGUAGACCUUUGCUCAGCAGUGCUGGCACUAGUAAGAUCUGGAGGGCGAUCCUCUCUUAAUGCAUAGUCUAAAUCCAUGCACCCGAGCACAAUUAUAGCGUGUUCCUUCCAUUUCUUGAAGUUUGUGCCAUUAAGGGCAGGAAUGUUAUUGACAUUUGCAGAUAUAGAAUAUGUUGAAUUCAUAAUAAUAAAGCUCACAAUCAGCCACAUAAACAUCAUACAUACAUGAAAAAUAACAUCAUACAAGAUACCUAGUACAAACAUUAAUAUUCUGUCUUUUGACAAUAAAUAUUAACUUGUAAUUGGUAUCCUUAUACAAAAUUAAUUCAUAAAUAUUGACAAUAAAACCAAAAACAAUGUGCCUCUCUUUGGACUAACAUAUUGAAUGCAAGAUAAACUUUAUAUGUCACAUAUUUAUGACUACUUUAUUUAUUAUUAUAUUAAAAUAAUCUUUCUUUGGGUCGCUUAUUUUAAAUAAUAAUAAUAACAUGUUUAGAUAUUAUAAAAUAAAUAAAUUAUAUAAUAUAAGUUACUUUGGCAACUAACAUACAUAAUUCAUUUAUUUUUUGUUGUUUCCUUCCUCUUGGAUCUUUUGUUUGUGUUUUAAAAAAAAAAAUGUUUCAGUGAAAAUGGGAAAUGCAACCAGGCUCUAAUACCAUUUUGUGGGACGUUCAUUCUCCAUUAUCAUCGAACACAUGCAGGAUAUAUUUAUAUAUAUCUAUCAAUUCAUUCAAAAUAUGCCGAUGGGAAGCCAGAGAGAACAAGUUCUAUUUUUAUUUUGAAAACAUUGUUAUCCUUAAAGAACAAACACUAUUAUUUGGAUUUAUACUCUCCUGCCUUAGGGACCAUACCCUUUGGCUAUUAGGCCUCACGAGUCUUAGGCCCAUCAUCUAAGGCUCGUGAUGGCACUGGGCUCUACAUAUAAGGUGGCCCAUACUCUGGAACGAAUAUAAAUCAUAUGUAUAUAUAUGGAUAGCUAAAUCCUGAAUAAUGGUUAAUAUGAUGUCGGUUCACAUUUAUUAUAUCAUAUAGACUUCCCAUCUGAAGAAAAUCGACAACAAGUAGCUUUGCCAUUCUUAGUUCGUAUACAACCAACCUUAGCAAGGGUUGAACCCUUUUAUGCUUAGUUGUGCCAUACAGAUCCUUACCACCGCCUACAACAUGUAAUUGAAAUGAUUCGAUAAUAUCAUCUAGUGAACCAAUACCUCCAAAUGAGAGACCAUUGCCUCAGUAACUAAGACUCACGACUGAGAAUUGCGUGAACCCCUUUGCUUGGGUUGGAGCUUGACUGAUGCACAAAAUAUUCAUAGGCCUCUUCCCAUAACAGGCACCUUGUGUUUGCAACAUAAUUGAACAUGUAUUGAAGUGAGUUUUUUUGCAUCUUUUUGUAAGAAAAUUCUAAACAACAAAGAUUGCUUAGUGUGCCUGACUCCUCAAGGAAUCAAGGUUCAUUCCUGUAGGGCCAGUUUUUUCACAGUCGAACUAGAUAACAUGGAGAGUAUGUUGCAAUGCUUCAACGGGGUAUUUCUUAGGAAAAUCCACCUGAAGCUGGUACAAUUCGUUGGCGUACUGAGUUCCUAAAGCUCUAUUGACUUCAAUCACCCAUCUCUGUAGAUUAUCGGUGACUUUAUGCUCGGAUCCUGUAGGAGGAUUGACUUGACAUUCCACUAGUUUUUUCUGGAAGGCGAUUUUGUUUAACACCUUGUGAGAAGAGGCAGGGGAACUGGUCAUUGUUUCUUCGAGAAGAUCAGUGGCCGAGGAUGGGUUUGGACCAGAAUUGCUAUAUGGGUUUUCUUUGGGUGAACCAAUUAGUGAAAUAGGUGGCUAUAUAGCAACUAAAGGGUGGUCAUACUAACGAGGAGCUAUUAUUUCAUGCAUGUGGAGAGGAAAUGACUAGCUUCUUCAAGGAUAUAUGAUUAUUCAUCUCUAGCUUACGUUGACUAUCUCCUAACAAAUUUCUGCUUUGAAGCUCCCUUAGUUUCACUACAGCUAAUUGGCCAACUUGGUUUCAUCAUGUUUCCUACAACCUCUAAGCAAAGCAUGCCAGAUCACCGAAUCAGGUUCUAUUCGCAUUUUGUCCAUAAACUCCUUUGCCUAUUGACAAUAGACUGCCCCUCAAAAUUUGAUGAGAUAACAUCAACGCUGACAUGUUGGCCAUCCCCAUAAGCAUCUUUAUAGAGAUUGAUUCUAUGUUUAGAUAUUUCUCUCUCCUCAAGUGAGUUCAACUUUUCUGUAGCAUCCUUCUCCUUCUCUACUAAUAGUCUUAGUUGAACAUCCAACCUAUGUUCCCAAAGUGCCAGCAUCUCAUAUCUGAUGACAAGCCAACAACCUUGCCCUUGCUGAGACCCAAAUAAGUAUCCAGAACCAUCAACAUCAACCCUUUCAUAGGCCUUUGUAUUUGAAGGUCGGAUUGGGAUUGCUUUGAAUGCACUGGCACUACAAUACACAAUUGUUUCUUCUCCGAUAAAAACACCACAAAGAGGUGAGGGGACUGGUAUUAGCAAAGAAGUGUUGUUAUCUAUAUUGUUCUAAGCCCGAUUACCCUCAACAAAAUCCUCAUCCUCAUCUGUACUCUUCCAUUACAUCCCUAGGCUUUUCAAUGUGAUCCACAUGGCUUACAGGAAUCCAGAAAUACUGAUCUGUAUAAAAGUUGCUCUUAUGGGGCUCUCCUAGAAAACAUCCCAAUCAAGAUGAUCAACCUAGCUUAGAUGCUCAGCACCCCAAACUUACCAGAAAUAGAGGAAUAAAAAGCAAGGAUAGGAGCCAAAGUAAAAACUAAGGGAAGAGCAAAUAGGAAAUCAAGCAAAACAUGAAUGUACAGAGCCUCAUUUCAGGUGACAUCUUUGGGCUAAUAAUAGGUGGAAUUAACAAAGUAGAUAAGCAUGAUUGUUAUAAAUAUCAAGUUCAAGGAUGAAGUCGUGCAUCAGCUACUUAUAGGGGGAGUCAAGGAAACCAAGAUAAGAUCAAAGAGAGCAUGUAUGCAAAUAAACAGAUACGACAAAAUAGACCAAACAACUCGUGAAUAUCCUCCUACAAAAAACUACUACACGUGGCAAAAAGUGAUGAAACAAAAAGAGUUGGGUCCGCAUAUACAUAUCCUAUUCUAUCCUAUUCCUUCAAAUCCAAAGCAACCUGUAUUUUCAAUGGGAUUUGUUGUGAUGAAUUUUACUGGAUUGUAACAUGUAAAUAUGUUAAAAGAGGCUUGGGACAUUCCUAUAUAGUAACGCAUAAAGGUACUUCCAUUGUGAAGUUGUCAAAAUUGCAAAUUUAAAUUACAAAAUUUGAAAACAUAGAGAUGAAAGAUGAUGAAACCUUCUUUGAAAUUUUAUAUUGAACUCAUUAAUAUUAUUAAUUUUCAUUUCAGUCUAGGGGAAAGAAUUCUUUACUCUAAAGUGGUCACAAAAAUAUUAAAAUUCCUUGUCGAGAGAUUUAGACCUAAAGUGAUCAAUAUAGAAGAAAGUAAAAAUAUUCUAAGUGUAGGUAAACUUGUAGACUCAAAUGACUCUACCUUCUCAUAAAAAAUCCUCAAUUUUAUAAAUUAUAUUGAUUUCUUCAUUUGAUACAAAAUUUGAAUAAAGAUUUUUCAAAUGACAACACAAGGAAAGGGAAAAAAAAAUUCUCUCCAAAUCAUAUUAUUUAAUCACUUAAAUUAUUUAAAAAUAAAAAUGUUUACUGCUAACAUUAUUUAGGUUCAUCUUUCUUUUGAUGGAGGUUAAAAUUCAUAAUUUUGAGGAAAAAGAUGAGGAUUCUCAUUUUUUUUCCAUAUAUGAAUGGGAUUCUCAUUGUGUAUAUGUGGGUUACUAAAUGGCAAAUUUGGGGGCCACCAGAGUCUGCAAUAUGAGGGAAAAAUGAAGUUGAGUUUGUCACCAAGAAUAGACAUGGUUCCUACAAAGGUGGCAUCUUUAAUUUCAUGUUUGGAUUGGACUUGUCAUGUAACAACUUAACAAGUGAAAUCCCUCAUGAACUUGGAAUGUUAAGUUUGAUUCAUGCAUUGAACUUGUCUCGUAAUCAACUAAAAGGCUCCAUUUCAAAGAGUUUUUGCAAUCUUUCUCAAAUAGAGAGCUUAGACCUUUUUAAUAAUAAACUAAGUGGAGAAAUUCCUCCAAAAUUGGUUAGACUAAACUUUUUAGCAGUGUUCAAUGUGACUCACAAUAGCAUCUUCGGAAGAGUUUUAGAUAUGAAUACAUAAUUUGCAAAAUUUGAUGAAAGUAACUAUGAAGCUAAUCCUUUCCUUUGUGGACCACCAUUAAAGAGAAAAUGUAGCAUAAAUGUUGUUGAACCACCUUACCAACCAUUAGAGUCUUCGGAAGAAAGUGAUGCAAAAUGGUAUAAUAUCAAUCUUGUUAUUUUCUUUGCAAAUUUUACUACAUCAUAUAUCAUGAUAUUAUUAGGAAUUUCAACCAUUCUUUACAUUAACCCUUAUUGGUGUCAAAGAUGGUUCAAUUUUAUCGAGAAAUAUAUAUACUUUUGCUAUUAUUUUGUUUCCUAUACUCUUUCCAAGUUAUUAACAUAUUUUGAAUAAUUAGAGAUUUUUGUUUUCAAUAAUAUUUACAUAAUUAACUACUAUUGGCUUCCAUGACAUGGAAAGAAAUGCGAUGAAGGCAACAACCACUUUUUUUUCUCCUCUACUAGUGCAUGAUUGAUAUGAGUUAAAACUUGCACCCUUAUCUUUGCUUAAAUUUUCUCAGCUUUUGUUUCAAUUCUUAAUUAUCAUUUCUUUUAUGUAUUGUUUAAUACAAUAUCCUAAACACAUUGCUUUGAAGGUUACUUAUUUAUUAAGCAUGAUAUUGAUUUUCAUAAAAACAAAUUCAAGUUUUUUAGGAAUUUUUAGAAUUAUUAUAAUUUGGAGUUCACAUUAGAGGAAAAAAGGAAAGAAAAGAAUAGAUGAUUAAAAAAACAAUUUUAGUAAGUAUAAUUUGUCAUCUUCGGUAUAACAAAUGGGAAUUCCAAAAUAAUAUUUCAAUUUGUUAGUCUAUUCCUUAUAGUAUUAAUUGAUAUAUCAAAUAGGAAGUCACGUUUUGAUUUUUUAUUAGCUUGAAUUGCAUGUCACAUAUAUUUUAAAAUCAAGCAUACAUCAGCCGGGAAGUUCUUGUAACAUGCAUGAACAUGAUAUGAUGAAUUGAAUAAUUUUCUUAAUAUAUGUGUAUAUACUACACAUUAUUAAAUCAUAUAUGUAUAUUUAUAGUCGUAUAAUAUAUUUAUAUAAGUAACAAUAAAUUAUAUUGUAUAAGGUAUCGGUAGGAGUUUUCAAUUCCCUCAUACAAUAAUAUCUAUCAAUAAUUGGAUUGGACACCUUGCUGGCCAUGAGAAUGGACUUGACAUUAACACAUAGCCUUGAGUGGUGUUGAUAUUAUUACUUUGAACCAGAACUGCAGUCAUCUCAAAAACUAUAUUAUAUAGAAAAGCAAAAUAAAAACAUUAGUUAAAACAAAUGUCAAGAUCCUUGAAAUCACGUUUCAAUAUGUUAAAUUACCAUUUUUUUAAAUAAAUAUUUUAUAGGUUGUGUGAAUAAAUAUAAUUGCUAUGAAGGUUUCAAUUUAAUUUUACUAGCAAAUCCAUAAUAGGUGAAAAGACAAAACUACCAUUUUUGUUUUUUUUUCUUUAUUUACCUUUUUUCUCUCGUAACCUUACUCCUUUCACCUUUUUGUUUUUUCCUUUUUCUCAACUAACUAUUUUUUUCUUGUAAUUGUUAUUAUCAUUUUUUAUUAUAAAUAUUAUAACCUUAUAUUAUAAAUUUUUAAUUAUAUUUAAACUAACUAAUGUUGUGGUUUUAAUUGACAUGGAAAAGAAUGUGGUUAUACAUGUGAUUGUCGCCUUUUUUUUUUUCCAAUUAGUUAACUAUUGAUACAAGUUAAAAGUAAAAAUUGCAAUAUUAUCUUUAUGUCAAUUUCACCGAUCUUUUGUUUUUAUUUUCAUGUAUCAUUCCUUUUUUGGUUAUUUAAUUAAAAGGAUUAAAAAAAAAAAAUCACAUAUUCACAAGAAUAACCUUCAUAUUUUAAAAACAUAAAUUUUUAUAAAAAUACCCUCCAACUAUAAUUUUUAUAUGUCCCUAUUUCAAAUUCAAACACUUCUUUUAAUAAUAAUAAUAAUAAAAAAGGGCAAAAAUGUCAAACUGGGAUUAUAUUUAUAAUUUUCAAUAAUUAGAGGUUGUUUUUCCAAAGUAAAAAUUAUUUUGUUCCUUUGGCACAAAUAUUUCUUUCUUUUUUGUAUUUUUUUAUUCAAAAUAUUAAACACAUUACCCUCAAGGUUACUAUUUAUUAUGAAUGGUGUUUACUUUACAUUACGACAAAUUCAAAUUUUUUAGAAUUUUUUAAUGUUAAAAUAAUUUGGAGCUUAAUAGGGAAAAAAAGAAUAAAUAAUUAGAAAAGCAAUUCAAAAAAAUAAAAUUUAUCCUCUUAAAUUGGUUUUGUGUAAUACUAUAGAAGCCAUUUCUUGAGUUUGAUAUGGUAGAAUUUGGAUUCAUAUUUAUUUUAAAAUCAAGAAAUUCAAGUGUUGGUAGCAUCAAUAGAAUCUUAAAAAAUUUGCAAAAAAAUAUUUAGGUAGAUCACAUUUAAAUAUAACUAAUAGAAUAAAAAAUUAGUAUUAUUAGGAAGACAUGAUCAAUUAAAUCUUUUUUCUUAUCUAUGACACCGACUUUAUUUUUUUACAUAGUCAAUAUAAUUUAUUACAACUUAUAUGUCAUUAAAUUAUACAUGUUUAUAUUAAAUAUAAUAUAAGAUCAUUAAUGGAAUAAUUAUGCAAGUAAUAUAAAUUGUAUAUAAUAUAAAAAAUUUAAAGUCCAUCAAACUAAUGGAAUCUAUUAUAAUAAGUAGACUAGACACCAUGUUGGCCCGAGUUGGAGGCCUAGGCCAGAUUUUAAAGGCUGGGCUUUGAGUUGCCCGUGGGCCUGAGCCAAGGCCUUCUCUUGGUAUCAUCAUUUUGAAGAAAUAAAUUGCUGAUACAGAGAAAAAAACUAUACUAAAUAGAAAAAUAAAUAAAAGCAUUGACUAAAAUGAAGGCCAAGGUCCUUGAAAAAUAAUCUUAAAAUUGUUGCAUAUAUAAUUUCAAUAAUGCAUAAAUAAUUGCAAUAUAUAUGAUGUGAUAAAGAAUUUGGAAUUAAAAGAAGAUUGAUCUAUUUUAAAUGUGGUUGGAAUAUUUCUAAAUUUGUGAUGGGAAGUUAGACAGCCAAUUAGGGAUCCAUAUUAUUUAUUUUCAAUGAUAUGAAUUUAUUUACUUUUAUUAAUAUUCUUAAUGCAACAAUAUAAAAUAUGUCAAUUUUCUAAAAUUAAAAAAGUAAUUGUAAAAGAAAAUUUUUAAUUAUUUUUAUGAAAUUGAGUUUAUUAUAGCAUUUUUCUUUACAUAAAUUUCUUUUUUAUUUUUAUUUUUUUAAAAAUGAGAUAUGAAAAAAAAAGAUCAAUAUUAGUAAAAGUAAAACCCAAUAUAUAAAAAAUAUGAAUAAAUGUUUAUGAAAUAAGAUUUAAAAGUGAGAAGGUAAUAAUUUUUUUCUCUUUUAAUUCCUAUUCAAUUCAUUACAAAAAAUAUUUUUGGUUUUUAUGCUAAAAUUUAUUGUUUAUUAAAAAAUUCUAGUAUAUCUAGCUAUCAUAGAAGAGCUCCAAAAUUUUAUUGUUUAAGAGAAUAUGUGUUGCCACUUUAAAAGAUUUAUAUGCAAAAGGGAUUGAUAUUUUUUUCCUUUGGAUAUGUUUAGUUCCCGGAAAAUUUGAGGGAAAAUGUGAGGGAAGAAAAAUAGAGAAGAAAAGUAUAACGAAAUAAAAAGUGAAGGAAAAUGAAAAAUAGAUUUAAAGUUAACAAAUUAUUUUCAUUGGUUUUUUCAAACUUAUUUUACUUAUUUUAUUCUAUUAAAUAAAGAUUAACUAAUUUUAAUUAUAUUUGGUUUGAUUUUUAUUAUUUUUCAAAGCAAAACCAAAUAUGAAAAAAAAAACAUUUUUUUUUUUUGUUAUUUUUUUCUUUCCUUAUUACUUUUUAGGACUCAAACAUAGCUUUUAGAUUUGGAGCAUGGAAAGAUAAGAGUAUUGAAUAAUGGUUCUAUAUAUGCCCAUGCCCAUGCCCAUGAUACCAUUGAAAAAAAUGGAGAGAGGGUGAAACCUUUACUAGAUGAUAAAUUAUUCUCUUCAAUGGAAAUCAAAUAUAAUUAUUUUUAUCUUGUAUUAAUUGAAUGUUAUACUCCAUAAACUCAAAAUUAAAAUAAAUAAAAAAUUUAAAAACUAGGACAAUCCCAUUUUUUUUCAAUUUCUUAAAAAGAAAUUAAAUUAUAUUUAUUUAUAUCUAUUUUCAUCCCUACCCAACAAAAUAAAAAAAAAUUAACAAGGUGGGACAUGUAUGAGAAAUUCUCACACUAACUCUCACUAGUUUAUUUUUUUUUAAAAAAAAAAAUAAAAUCAAUUUCUUUUAAAAAAAUUAAACUACAUAAAAAAUAAACAAAUUUUACAAUUUUUUUUAAGAAAAGUAAAUUUCUUAUUUUAUAUAUGUUAAAAAUAAAUAUAAUCUUUUAUUUUUUAUAUAUAUAAUCGGGUAAGGUAGAGUGGGACAAAGAAAUAAUCCCCUUCGAUUCCAAUCCGAAUUUUUAAAAUAUAAAAUAAAAAUCUUAAACUCAUCCCUAAUCCAUUUAUUUUUAAUCCUAAACUUGUCUUAUUAAGAAUAAGGCAAAGUGAGUACAUGAAAACACUUCUUUUAUCAUCAUCUCUACAAGUUCUAAUGUUUAGAUUGCAAUCCAUAUCAAAGAUUUAUAAAGAAAGAACAACAAUGAAUUUCAUAAACAUUUGAAAGCAUAAACAAAGUUUUAAAUAAUAUUGCUUGAGGUGCAAAUAUUAUUUGGCGCACAUGUUGAGGGACUUCAACUGGUGUAGUCUAGGUUUUUUACACUAGUAAGUAAUCUUGAAUAUCUAGAGUAACUUGAUCAAAAUCUCUUUAAUUUUAUUUUCUUUGAUGGUUGUAUGAUGAAUUAGAAUGCUUAUAUAACAUGAUUAAAAAUUUUAAGAAAAAAAAACUAAGAAGAAAGAAAGAAGCAUCGAUCUUCCAAAUAUUGCUUCCACUUUAAUAUCUAGUAGGCUCUAAGAAAAGAACUUUAUUCAUGAAUCAUAACCCAAGUCGAAAAUAAAUUGAACCCAUUUUCUAAGUUAAAUUUUGAAUUUUUUACUAGUGAAUGCAAAUUGGGAAAAUGUAUAUAAAUAUAAUCAAACUAGAAUAGUAGAUUAGGUUUGUAGGUGGAGUUUGUUUGAAUUGUUGGAACUUCCAAGUCGUUGUGGGUCUAGUGGUCCCAUAGCUCUCUAUUAAUUUCCACCAUCAAUUUUUUGCAAUAAAGUCAAGUCAUUCCUAACCCUUAUAUUAAGUUGGCCUUAAAAGUCAAGUCAUUGAUCAUAGUUACAUUCAUGAAUCACAACCCAAGUCGAAAAUAAAUUAAACCCAUUUUUCAAGUUCAACUUUGAAUUUUUUAGUAGUAAAUGCAAAUUGGGAAAACAUAUAUAAAUAUAAUUAAACUAAAAUAGUAGAUUAGGUUUGUAGGUGGAGUCUGCUUGAAUUAUUGAAACUUCCAAGUCAUCGUGGGCCCAAUGGUCCCAUAGCUCUCUAUUAAUUUCCACCAUCAAUUUUUUGCAAUAAAGUCAAGUCAUUCUAACCCCUAUAUUAACUUGGCCUUAAAAGUCCAAUCAUUGAUAGCUAAAUCCCAACCCAAGUCAAAAAUAAAUUGAACCCAUUUUCUAAGUUCAACUUUGAAUUUUUUUUAAUUGGAAAAAUGUAUAUAAAUAGAAUUAAACUAGAAUAGUAGAUUAGGUUUGUAGGUGGAGUUUGCUUGAAUUUGUGAAACUUCCAAGUCGUCGUGGGUCUAGUGGUCCCAUAGCUCUCUAUUAAUUUCCACCAUCAAUUUUCUGCAAUAAAGUCAAGUCAUUCCUAACCCCUAUAUUAAGUUGGCCUUAAAAGUCAAGUCAUUGAUCAUAGUUACAUUCAUGAAUCACAACCCAAGUCGAAAAUAAAUUAAACCCAUUUUUCAAGUUCAACUUUGAAUUUUUUACUAGUGAAUGCAAAUUGGGAAAACAUAUAUAAAUAUAAUUAAACUAAAAUAUUAGAUUAGGUUUGUAGGUGGAGUCUACUUGAAUUAUUGAAACUUCCAAGUCAUCGUGGGCCCGGUGGUCCCAUAGCUCUUUAUUAAUUUCCACCAUCAAUUUUUUUGCAAUAAAGUCAAGUCAUUCUAACCCUUAUAUUAAUUUGGCCUUAAAAGUCCAAUCAUUGAUAGCUAAAUCCCAACCCAAGUCAAAAAUAAAUUGAACCCAUUUUCUAAGUUCGACUUUGAAUUUUUUUUAAUUGGAAAAAUGUAUAUAAAUAGAAUUAAACUAGAAUAUUAGAUUAGGUUUGUAGGUGGAGUCUACUUGAAUUUGUGAAACUUCCAAGUCGUUGUGGGUCUAGUGGUCCCAUAGUUCUCUAUUAAUUUCCACCAUCAAUUUUCUGCAAUAAAGUCAAGUCAUUCCUAACCCAUAUAUUAAUUUGGCCUUAAAAGUCCAGUCAUUGAUAGCUACGUUCAUGAAUCCCAACUCAAGUCAAAAAUAAAUUGAACCCAUUUUCUAAGUUCAACUUUGAAUUCUUUUAAUUGGGAAAAUGUAUAUAAAUACAAUUAAACUAGAAUAGUAGAUUAGGUUUGUAGGUGGAGUCUGCUUGAAUUUGUGAAACUUCCAAGUCGUCAUGGGUCUAGUGGUCCCAUAGCUCUUUAUUAAUUUUCACCAUCAAUUUUCUGCAAUAAAGUCAAGUCAUUCCUAAACCAUAUAUUAAUUUGGCCUUAAAAGUCAAGUCAUUGAUAGUUACGUUCAUGAAUCACAACCCAAGUCUAAAAUAAAUUGAACCCAUUUUCCAAGUUCAACUUUGAUUUUUUUACUAGUGAAUGCAAAUUGGGAAAACAUAUAUAAAUAUAAUUAAACUAGUAUAGUAUAUUAGGUUUGUAGGUGGAGUAAGCUUGAAUUGUUGAAACUUUCAAGUCGUCGUGGGUCUAAGGGUCUUAUAGCUCUCUAUUAAUUUCCAUCGUCAAUUUUUAUGAAUUAAGAUUUAAAAGUGAGAAGGGAAUAAAUUUUUUCUUUUUCAAUUCAUUACAAAAAAUAUUUUUGGUUUUUAUGCUAAAAUUUAUUGUUUAUUCAAAAAAUUAAAGUAUAAAAAUAUAAAAAAAAAUAUAUAUCUUGAUAUUAUAGAAGAGCUCCAAAAUUUUUGUGUUUAAGAGAAUAUGUGUUGCCACUUUAGAAGAUUUAUAUACAAAAAGGAUUGAUGUUUCUCCUUUGACUAUGUUUGGUUGCCAAAAAUUUGAGGGAAAGAAAAUAAAAAAAAAUAGUAAAAAAGAAAAAAUGAAGGAAAAUAAAAAAUAGUUUUCAAGUUAAUAAAUUAUUUUUAUAUGUUUUUUCAAACUUAUUUUACUUAUUUUCUUUCAUUAUAUAAAGAUUAAAUAAUUUUAAAAUGCAUAAUUUCUAACUAAUUUUAAUUAUAUUUAAUUUUUCUUUUAUAUUUUUUAGACGGGAUCCGACACAUGAAAAAAUCCUUUUUUUUAGCAUCUUUUUUUCUUUUCUUAUUACUUUCCAAUAACCAAAUAUAACCUUUAGAUUUAGCCUUUAGACUUGGAGUAUGGAAGGAUACUGAGUAUUGAAAGAAGGUUUUGUAUAUGGCCAUGAUACCAUAGAAAAAAUGGGCGAGAGAGAAAAAACCUUUAUUAAAUGAUAAAUUAUUUUACUACUUACUACAUAAAUAGAUAUUCAUGGAGUGCAUUCUCUAAAAAGCUCCAGUCUCAUGAAAAUGGAAAGAUGGACCGGCCAGUGGACCGGUUCGAGUUUGGAUUUAUGGGCUGCCUCAGCCUAACACGCAUGAUAGGCUGUUGCAGGUGAAGAACUAAUUAAUUUAAAGCCUUCUUCUAUCCUCUCCUAUUCCUCUUUCACUCCAAAUUUUCCACAUGAUAAUGACAAUUCUUUUGUUAAAUGGUAAAAAAAAAAAUUUAACAAUUAAUUUAAAAUCAUUUAUAAAAUCAUGAACUUUGGCAUCCUAAUUAAUGCAAUUUAAACUUUUUUUGUUUACAAAUGAAAUAAGAGGCAACAUAUAAACCCAAAAGUUAAUUUUCCUACCAUCUCUAUGCACCAUUUUAGCUUUACUCCAAUAUAUUUUCUAUGAUUAAUUAUUUUCAUUCAAACAAUAAUAUCAAAAUAUUUUAAAAUUAGACAUAUCAUAAUCAAAUAUCAUUAUAUUAUUAUUGAAUAAUAUUUAAUGUAAUUUAAUAAUCAACGUAUACUUAUAGAAUUUAUAUUUUUUAUUAAUGCAUAUAAUAUUAUUAUCAAAUAUGAUAAAUUAUAUAUAUAUAUUUCUUUAACAAAACAACUUUAAAAUAUCUAUUAUACUUUUAAUUUCAUCUCUAAGAGGUUUUUUUUUUUUUCUUUUUUUUUUUUACAUUUUUAUAAGUUUUGAUCAAUUGUAGGCUAACCAAUAUUUUUUUAUCAAAAUAUCCACCAAUAUAUCUCCGAUAUAUUAGAUAUAUCCGUAACAUCGAAAUACCAAUAUAUCCGCGAUUAUCGAUAUUUUUAUCCUUGAGGGAUAACAACUAAUAUAGUUUUUGCACUUAAUGAUAUUCCUCAACAUUUAGAUUGAUUUGACCAAAAUCUUUUUAAUUUUAUUUUCUUUGAUGGUUAUAUGAUGAAUUAGAAUAGUCAUAUAACAUUAACAGAUUUAAGAAAAAAAGGAUAAAAAAGCUCGUAUUUUUCAAAUAUUGGUUUCAACUUUGAAUAUUUUUAUUGGUAAAUGAAAAUUGUGAAAAACCUACUAAUGCUAAUACUUUUCACCACAUAAUUAAAUAUAAUAAACUAGAAUAGUGAUUCAUUGAUGUCUUAUAAAGACACAUGCCUUCUUUGACUUGUUAGUUGAUUUUUGUAGGUGGAGUCCAUUUCCAUUUGAAUUGUUGAAACUUCCAAGUCCUUGUGGGUCUAGUGGUCUCUCUAAUAAUUCCCACCAUUAAUUUUUUGUGAUGAAGUGCAGUCAUUGAUAGCUACUAUAUCAAUUUGCUAUUAAAAGUCAAGUCAUUGAUAACUAAUAUUCAAUCUUUUUCAAUAUGGAAAUUGGAAUCUCUAGCACUACUCUUCUCAUUGUUCAUUUUUAGGUAAUGUGAGAAUGUGUGAACAUAAAUGUCUUCUAAUCAACCAAUUUUUUUGAAAAAAACAUGUACAAAAUUGCAAAACUUGCAAAAUCAAACUUUCUUGUUGAAUAACCAUAGCUUGAUGGUUUUGAAGAAUCAAAGGAUGAAUCAUAAAAGGGUAUUUGAUAAAAAAUAAAAAUUUAAAAAGUUAAAAGACAACUACUCCCUUAAGUGUAAUAAGUGUAUUUGGUAGCACAAAUUUCCUACCACUUAUUAUUUUUUCCUUUCUUAAAAAAUUAUUUACUCUAUUAAAUAAACUAACCUUGGCUUAGCACUUAUAGCAAAAUAGGUUAAGUAGUUUUUAAAAUUUUAUAAUAUUAGAUUUACAUUUUUAUCCUUCAAAAUUUCAUUAAUGCUAGAUUCUUCUAUAUGCUUAACUAAUAAAUAAUUUUUAGCAUUUUUCUUUUCUUAUAAACAUAAAAAAAUAAAAAUAUUAUUAACUUAUUGGUAUAUUUUAAAAUUUUAAUUAGAUUUAAGCUUUUAUUUGUUUGGAUUACCAAUUAUACAUAUAAAUCCUUUGUUAUUAUUGUUAUUAUUGAAAGAAAGGGGUUGAAUAGGUAGUCCCUCAAUCCCCAAAUUAAAUUCUUUAUUGCCUACUUUUGGUUUAUUCCUUUACAUGAAUUCCUUGGUGAGAGUAAACAUUUCAUUAAUAGAUAAAUAAAAUUGAUUCCAUAUCAUAGGGUAUAAUGUGGAAAAAUCACCAGUCUCAUGUGUUCCUUAGUGGAUCCUUUGGAGCCCUAUCAAAGUUUCAUGAUGAAACCAUUGACUUUUGUUUAACCCAAAUGUGCUUUCAAGACAAAUCUUGAAAGAUUUGAGAGAUGGAGGUUCAAGUCUUUUAUGAACGACCAUGUUCUCUUAGGGUUCAUGAAAUUCACACCUUUUGAUAAAUAAAACUUAUCUAUUUAUACGUCUAAAACCCAGUAUUUAUUUAUUUAAUUAUAGAAAGUUUCUUAGUUUUAAAAACAUUUCAAAAAUCAUUUUUAGAAUCAAAUAAGAAUUUUAGAGAUAAACACAAUAUUAAAAUUUAACAAAAACAAAUUUUCGAAUUAAAAACACAAUAUAAACUAAAUUACAAAAUAUAAAGUAAUUUUUACCCUAAUUUCUUGUUGCAAAACCAAAUGGAACACCUAGAAGGGGAGUGAAUGGGUGAUUUUAAAUUUUUUCAAUAAUUAUUUAUAAGUUAUACCCAAUUCUUUUACCCUGCAAGUUGUUAGGGACUAUCAAUUCUUUCAUUUUGGCAAUUCAAACAAUAUAUCAAAUAAUAAAAAGAUAUAAAUAAUGAGACAUAAAUAUUUUUACGUGGAAAACCCCCCACACUAACCAUGGAGAUAAAAAGCCAUGGAGUCUAAGACCUAUUAAUCUAAAUUCACGGUACGAAAUCAAGUUACACAAAUUUAUUUGACAACUUUACCUUAAAGACUUACUCUACAGUACUGACAACUUGAUUCACAUCCACGACGUAGCAACCCUCGAUUACUCCAAUGGAUCACUUCAAGCUUACUAAAAGGAUGAAGGCCUUCAAACCAAGAUUCAAAAAUCAAUUCCUUGAAUGAGAGAUCAGGAAUGGUGUGCCACUUUAGGCUUUCUCUCUAAGAACUCUAAAAUGAUCUCCUCAAUGAAAACCUUUUAAACAAAAUGAGAUAUUUCUCCACAAUCUCUAACCCUCAAGGGGUUAUAAUGAGAUAUUUAUAAGCAACUAAGUUGAAGAGUUUCGGUUUUGGAAGGUUUCUCAAUUGAAUUUGUGUGAAAAACUCGACAGAAUCAACAUGACCGCUCGAGGCAGCACACUUCCCACUUGAGCGUUUCGGGCACUUGAGCGGUAAGGCUUGCUUGAGUUGUCCUAAGCGCUUGAGCAUUCCAGGCUACUUGAGCAAUCUUGCUCUAUUUCAAAAGUUAAUUUUAAACCAUUUUAAGUUCAAAACAAAAUUGAUUCCCUUUAUACCUCAAAGGAGCCUAACUUGCCACAAACCAAACUUUUUUAGAUAUACUUGUGACUUCCUGGUUGGACGAACAACAACUCUUAAUCUUCAAUGGAGAGCAAGUCACUAUCUAAAAAGAUUUAUAUGGUCAAACAUAAAAAAACAAAAAAAUUGCCAACAUAACAACAAGACUCAAUGUCCAUGCAUGGUCACCUGAAAGGUGACUCCGACCACAAUAUAAUGCAUGUUCUCAUAGAACAUGUGAACAAGAUGGGGAUAGGAAGUCCCCUAGAGAGAAAACAGAGUCUCCUAACCCUACUCUUGAAUGAUGAUAGGGAAGACAGUGUCCUGAAAAGCUUAAAGGUUAAUGGCAUGCUCAGGCUCGACACACCGAUAUGUGAAAGAAGCGUAAUAAUGGUCCCGUGCCACCUGGUAGUGAAAGCGCUCAACCGGAAGUGCAUCUAGGUUAAAAAGACCCUAGAGUGGGAUGCCCUAGACGGUUUCAGUGACCUAGGAAAGGUCACCUCCCUUUGACAUCUAUGACUAGCCAUAUCUAAGGUAUAUAAUAUGAAAAAACAAAAGCUAAAGAAAAUCCAGAGAAAAGCUAAACCACUAAAAAUGUUAAACUCAAUGCGUCGAACAAUACUAUACAAAUGGAAAUGAAAAAUAUGAAGCGAACUGACCUCAGAAGACAAAAGGACAGUAACCCAGAGGGCUCGAAGAGGAAUAGGAAAGAUUGAAAUGAAUAUGGCGUGAUGGAUGACCUUUAUAUAGCUUAUAAGAGUGCUUGAUGCAGAUUAGCACUUGAGCGUCAUGACUAACUUAAAUCAAAUUAUUUAUUAAUAUGGAAAUAUUUUAAAAGUUUCAAAGGAAGUAUUCAAUUUAGAACCUUUUUAGAAUUUUUUUGAAAGAAACAAAAAUAAAGCGUGAAAUAUUAUGUGUUAAAGGUGUUAGAAGACAAUAUUGUCUAAUCCAAAGCCUUACACAUUCCUAAAAAAAAAAAAAAAAAAAAAGGAAAAAGAGAGAUAUUAUAUAAGAUUUUGAUCACAUCUAAUAGAAACUAAUAUUUAGCAACAUAUCACCAAGCACUAUCUUAUCAGAAAGCUCUAACAUGUUGGAAAUUUAUGUAAGGUUCCAUAACAGCUAAAAACUUUUUCUGACGACUCGGUAAUGGACCAUUUGCACUUUAACUACAUUAUUGAAUUUAAAUCAUAUUAGAAUUGUAAUUGACUUCUCUUUUGUGAGACUACAUAUCUUGUAGGAUGGGAUAGGUGAUUCAUUUCAUAUAUGAAAUUUACUUAAUUUAGUAAUGCUUCCAAGUUCAUUAUGAAUCUAAUGGUAUCACAACUCCUUUAAUAUUUGUAAUUUUGUAAUCUUUGUUUCAACUUCUCAAGUCUAGUCAUUUUAUUGGCAUAACUAGUUUGCUUCAAUUAUCUCUCAACUUUAUUAUAAAACUAAGGGAAAGGAUUAUCACGCAUUUUAUAUUAACUUAACCAAACAUCUUUAUAUAUCUUACAUAUAUAUAUUUUUUGUAAAUUUAGGAAAAUUUCAUCCAUUAGCCAUAGUAAGUAAGAAUCAAAUAAGGGAUAUGUAAGCCAAUGGUGAUAUUGAUGGCGUCAAAUCAAUGACAUAGUAGAAAAGUGGAUUGUCUAUUUUCAAACCUUUAUAUUUUCAUCCAAUAGUAAAAAGGUUUAGGCAUCACUUGAAAAGUAGUUCGUUUUUUACCUUGGACUAUGAUUUAUGAAUAAAGUUCUUCUGUUGUAUACCUUUUGUGAUGCCCCAAACCUAAUUUAGGGGUAAAAAAAUAAUUUAGAAAAAAAUAAAUAAAAAGUUAAAUAAAUUUAAUUAAGGUAAAAAUGUAUUUUUGUAUUUAAAAUUCCUAGGUAUCAAUUAUAUAUUUCUUGUCUUCUCUAUUCAAAAAACCCUAUUACACAAAAAUCAAAUAUCAGAGAACAUAGGACAACGCAGGGUUGAAGAUUUGGAGGUUUAGGGUUGAAGAUUAGUUUUCCAGGUAAGAUUCUAACCCUUAAAUUAGUAUUUUAGAUUCGUUAAUUAGUUUGAACACUUUAGAUAUUCUUUGAAAAAUCUGAAUCUACGUUAGGGUUUGUUAAUUUAAUUUUUAAAUAAAAAAGAUUCAAAAUUUAUGAACAUAAGUAGAGUUAUUAUUAAAGAUUGAAAUUUUUUGAAUAUUUGAAUUAAAAAUCUAGAAAAAAAAAGAAGAAAAUAAAUUAUAGCUUUGGAUGUGGAAAAAAGUUAAUAUUAAUAAAUAAAUAAAACUUAUGAGUACGGAGGUAGAAAAAUAUGAGAGUUGAAAGCAAAGAAAAAAAAAAGAGAAUAAGGUUUUGUGGUUGUACGUGUCUCCUUAGUGGAAAAAAGAAAUACAAGGUUGUUUGCAAUAGGAUAUGACAAAGAGAGAGAGAUAAAUGCUUAGAUGUUGAUUUUUGUGGGGAAAAAAAGAUUGGGUAAUGUAGGAGAGAAAUAGGUAGCACUUGUAGAGUUGGUGGGGUUGUUGUAAAAGCUCGUAGGGUAAUUGUUAGGUAGUAGUAGGGUAUGAGAUUAAUUGUUAGGAAACAUUAGGACUUGAAAUAAUAAUAAUUGCUUCUAGUAAAAGUUUUAACUUAGUUUAAGUAUAUAAAAGAAAUAGAUGAUUAGAAUAAGAUUUGGAAGGAAUAUGAAUUCAUAAAAAUUUCGAAAUUUACUAAUUUAGAUUAUUAUUUUUUUGGAAGUUGAAUAUAAUAUAGGUGGUAAUAUUAUUAAUAUAGGAAAUGAUUAAGAUUCUCAAACCUACAAUUUUAGAUAAAUAGUUAAUAGUAAUAGUUGAUUUUUUAUUUUUUUUAUUUUUUAUUUUUUAUGUUAUGUUAAGUGAAUAAUGGAUUCUUUGAUUAAUUCUCUAAGGUUUCUAAGUGCUUCUUUAAGAUAAGGGAUAUUAAUACUGAUUUUGUAAAUGAAAAUAUUUCUUUUUAUAAGUUAUUUUAAAUUAUGAAAAAUUUUAUUUUUAUUUAUGCAUGGAUCAAAUAUAUAUUUUUUCAUGAGAAACAUGUUUGGGCAAUUUCUUUGUUUAUAAAUAAAUAAAUAAAAAAUGAGAACUUUGGAAAUAUAAUGUUUUGUUUUGCAAGUUUAAAAUAAUGAAAUAAAGUUUUUGACUCUGGUUUAUAUGACCUUAGUUAAUGGGUUAUAAUUGUUGACAUUUUCAGCUCUCCAAUCAAUGAUUAUAAUUGUUGAGAUUUUCAACCCUAGCCAACGGGUUAUAAUAGUUGACCUUAUAGCCCUAGUCAACAGAUAUAAUUGUUAACCUUUCGUUUUUCCCAUCUUAAAAAGAACAAAUUUAAGGCUAACCAUUUAUUUGUAAAGUCCCACCUAACUAAGUACCAUUUGUUAUUUAAUAACCAGAGUAAAGAUAUUUUGAAUGUAUUUGAUAUGAAAUUAUUUUGAUAUAAAUAUGAAAAUGUUUGGUUGAAAAGUUCAAAUGUUUAAUGCAUGUUGAAUUCAAAAGUUUUUAUGAAAAUGAUUAUAUGUUAUAUCUCCUAUUUGUAAGUUUGAUCCAUAAAACUGUAUUAAUAUUCCUUAUUGGACUUUGAGCUCAUUCCCCUUUGUUGAGAAUUUUUUUUGGUAUUCUCAGUUUGGGCAAGGAGUGAUGACUGGGUUGGGGAAUUUUCUUUACUAUGAUUUUGGUUCAAUCUUUAUUUUGGACAUUGUAAUUUAAUUCCCAUUUAAAUUAUUUGGGUUUGGAGUUAUUUGGACGAUAACACUUUGAUUGAUGUGUUAGUUUUAAAGUUGAGAAUUGAAAAUUAUAGAAUUUAUUUAUCUUUCUACUUUGAAUAGAAAUUUAGUAAUUGGAGAUCAUCCAGUUACAAGAUGAAUAUUAGAUGAAUAUUUGUGUCGUUUCCACAUUGAGUGUUCAGGCUUAGGGUGUGAAAUGACCGUUAUGCCCUUGGAGUGGGUAUAUUGUUUAUUUGAAUUUAAUGGUCCCCGAACUCCUUAAUUACUCAUAACUUUAUAUCACCUUCUCAAAGUUAAGUUGUUUUACAACUACUAUCUAGCUACUUUUCUCUACUAUGACAACUUUAUUACAUAGUGAUUAAUUGAAAGAAUCUACAUGUCUUAUUUCAUAGGAUAGUUGAUUUUUUUACUCAAUGAAUCUUGCUUUUAUUAUUGAAAAUUUCAAAUCAUUGUAGUCCAACAAUUUACUAUCCUUUGGUAAUUUCAUAUUACAUUUCCAAAGUCUAAUCAUUUAAAAACACUUGUAGUUAAUAUAUUGGCAAUUGCAUUGUGGGAAGUUGUUCACUUGAUUUUAAUGUUGAAACUUUCAAAUUGUUGUAGUCCAACAAUUCCCUAUCCAUUGGUAAUUUCAUAUCACAUUUUCAAAGUAUAAUCAUUUACAAAUACUUGUAUAUAGUAUAUUUGGUGAUUGUAGAGUGGAAAGUUGAUCGUUUUCAUGAAGACCUCUAAAAUAGAAAUUUUUUUCAUUCCAUUUAAUAAAGAAUUUCAUUAAUUGAACAUAUAUGUUUUUUUAACCGGAAAGUAGAGGCCACAUUAUACGAGGCCUUAGGUGACAAUACUAGGUGAGGGUUUUUUUUUUUAAUUUAUUUAUUACUAAAUAUAAAUAAUAUUAUUUAUUGUAUAAUAAAGAUUAUUAUAAUAUAUUUUUUAUAGAUGAAAAAAAUAUUAAUUGAGUUUUAUUUUUUUAAAAUAAUUGUUUUCAAUAAAUAACUUAUUUGUAAAAAGAAAACUAUAAAAUAUAUGCAUUUGAAAAAUAUUUAAUUUUUAUUUGAUUUAGUAUCAAUUAAUAUUUGUAAUAUUUUUUAAUAUUAUAGAAGUUAACAUACUCAAUCAAGAUAUUCAAGAUCAAGAGAAUAUUUAAGAUUGAAUUAAUUUCUUUAUUGUUUAUGUUUUAGUAAAUUUUUAUAUCCAUUACAAAUUUUUUAUUGUUUAUUUUUCAUUCAAUGUUUGCAUUUUUUAAUAGAUAUUAAAACGAUUUUUUUUCUUGUAUGUUAAAAAAAUAUUUCAAUGUCUUUAAAAAUAAAAUAUUGCAGUAAAAUCAAAAUUACAUUGUGAAACUUUAAGCGAAUGUUUUAUACUUAAGAAGUGCCAAUUAAAGUAAGCAUGCAUCUACAAUUGUAAUUUAGAUGUCAUACUGAAACAAUAGUUCUCUUUGACUAUAUCAUAAAAUUUGGUUCGAAUUACUUUAAGUCGUCUUGUAGAUUUUCAAGUUCCAAUGAUAUGCAUCAAGUAUGUGCAACAUACUUGAUAUAACUAAUAUUUUCUUAAGUAAUUGGACACUUUUUUCUAUAAAUUUACUUGAUUAUCAAUGAAUACUUUUAUGUAAGGUAUUGAUAUAAUUCGAUAAAUAUUUUAAAAUAGUAUUAGAAUAGCUUUGCUCUUUCCCAAUUAACAAAUUUACUAAAUUAACUUAUAUAUAUUUGUUUAUUUGAAUUUACUGGUAUUUGACUCAAAUUGUUAUUAUUUUUAAAAUUAUAGGAAAACCAUUAUUUAUAGAGUUUAAUUAUAUUUGGUAAAUUAUCUUUUUAAGUUUGGCUAGGAUUAGGAAACUAUUAAUUUAAGAUUAAUCCAUAAGGCUCUAUAAAUUUGCAGUUUUAUUUAGGAUUUAAAAAAAGAAAGAAAAAGUAAGAAAAAGUGAAGAGAGAUAGGCAAAGAGUGCAUUGGGUUUUAAAUAAAGAAAGGUUGAGAGAGUUUUGAUUACUACUCAAAAAGAACAUAUUUUAGAUAGUAAUUCUCAUGGGUUUCACAUCUUUUGAGUAUUAAUUAUGCCUAAAAAUGCUCAAUUAACAUGUUGUUGCCUUUGCAAGAGUUACUAACAAGUUUUAUAAAGUUUUGGAGUCAUUUCAAGUUAUGAUUUUAAUAAAUUGGUGACGAAAGAGAUGAAUUGAUUUGAAGAAGGCAAAUAAUAUUGAUGAUGAUCCAAAUGCAUAAUGAAAGAAGCAAUAUAAUUAGUUUGAUCGGGAUUUGCUGCUAAUUUGGAGGUAGUUAAGGUGGAGUCAAAAGAAGAAAAUGGAAGAAAUGACAAAGAGGAGCUUAAAAACCAAAUGUUGCAGAUUUGUAUGAUCAUGCAAAAAUUACAUGACUAUGCGAAAUGGAUUAGAGAAGGAAAAUUGACUAUAGUAUAAGGAGGAUGCUUAAGUUGAUUUCGCAUGAACAUGCGAAAAUUUUGCACAAUCAUGCGAAAUGGUCCAGAAAGCUCUCUAAUGUUGUUGUUGCUCCACUAAUUUCACACCACCAUGCGAAAUUGAUCUUUUCAUGCAAAAUGGCUGAAGCUCAUGUGAAAUCAUGAUUUUGAUGCUAAACUCUAGAUUUGUGAAUUUGGAAGGUUUUAGAAGAUCAAUGAGAAGUUGCCAAGUGUCCACUUGACCUUGGUCUAUAAAUAGAAACUUGAAUUUCCCAUGUAAAGAGCUUUGUGAUACUUUUGAUUUUAGAUUUUUCUAGGAACUCUUUCUCUAAAUAGAAUUCUAUAUUUUCUUUAAUUUUCUCUCAUUUUCUCAUUCGCCAAACAUGCCUAGUGAGACCAAAUCUCCAAGUAUGAGUGGCUAAAUCUCGUUUUUCUCAAAGGAAUGAGGAUCUAGAGUCAAGAUCUAUGGUGAAUUAUAGAAAUGAGUUUUAAUCGGAAAUGCAAUUUGAUUCAAUUGAUUGAUUAAUUGAAAUUUGAGGAUUUUUCUCUUCAAAUUAUCCUAAAUGACUAUUACAUUGCAAACUAGGUAGAUUCAUUAAAUUCUUAAAGCUAGAUUUAAUGAGACUGAAUAGUUGCAUUGUAUGAAUCAUUGGAAGAUAAUUUAAGAUGAAUUGAAUAUAUAAUUUAAAUUGAUCUCUUGGAUUAAAUAACCUAAUUUGAAGAGAAAUUAGGUUUAGACUUAAAGGUAAAUCUAAAAUCGAUUUAGAUAAGAAUUUAGGUUUUCAAUCUAACUUGAUGAAAAAUAAAUCUCAACAUCUAUUCACCAUGGAAAUUGUUUUCUAAAAAAUAUUAACUCCGAGAAUUCCUUUUCCUUAUCAAUUUUCUUAUAUUCUACAUUAUAUUGUUCUUUUCGAUUAGAAAUCAUUGUUAUUUUGAUUUUUCAUGAAUUGUCAAAUCAAUUUCACUUGACCAUAAUCAUUUCUUUUCCUCCCAUUUAAGCCUUAAUUAUCGAGAAUAAUCCAUCCCAAUAGAAGACACCUAAGACCACUAUACUACCGUAGCUUUUGCUAAAAAACCUUUUUGAUCGGGCAAGAGUUACCUUAGCAUAGUUGAAUUAGGUUAUAAUUUUUUUAUCCAAUAAACAACAAAAAAAAUCAAUCGAUCAAGUUUGCAUUGUGUAUUCUUGAAUUUUAUUAAUAAAUUUGAUCCCCCUUUUUGAAGCGAUUACACCAAACCAAGUAAAUAUUUUAUAUACUUCAUUUGCUUUAUUUUUUCUAUUAAGUUUAGGUGUUGCAAUUUUCAAGAGUCAUGGUGAGAAGAUUGUGGGAAAAAUUAUUUUAAGGAUGGAGUCGAACAUAAAAUAUGAAAUUGAGUCCUUUGAUGGAAAUAAUAAUUUUAAUAUUUGAUAGAGUAUUAUUAAAGAUGUUUUGAUACAACAAAGACUUCUCAAAGCAUUACAAGGCAAAAAAACUAGAGAGCAUGACAAAUAAAGAAAUGAAAGAAUUAGAAGCAAGAGUUGUAAGUACUAUUUGUUUAAGUCUUAAAAAUGAAAUACAUUGUUUUGAAUGAAAAAAAUAUUCUUUUAGGGGUGUCAAUUGCUCUUUUAGAGACCAAAAAUAUUAAGCAGUCAAGUAGUUCAUCUCAUAUUGGACAAACUGUUAUGAUGAAUUCUAAACCACAUCAUCAUAGGAGUAAAUCGAAAGAAAGUAUCUGAUAGGAGGAUGAUCAUUCCAUUCACACUUAUGGAGGAAUAUGAAGUAUUAUUACUGUGAAAAAAAAAACAUAUCAGGAGAUAUUGUAAAGAAUUGAUGAAGUACCUAGAAGAAAUGAAAAUUUUUAAAUCCCAAGAGACUUCAAAUUUUACUAAUAUUGUUGAUGAAAAUUUUGAAAUAUUGUAGUAAAUUAAAAGUUACAUUAUGGGACUUUUAGUGAGUGUUUUAUGUUGAAGAAAGGCUAAUUAAAGUAAACAUGCAUCUAAAACUAUAAUUUAGAUGUUGUACUCAAAUAGUUGCUCUCCUCGAUUAUAUCAUAAAAUUUGGUUUGAAGUCUAAGUCAUCUAAUAAUUUUCUAAUUCAAAUUGCAUGCAUCAAACAUGUGUGUUAGGAAGUGUUGCAAAUUACUAAUUAAUAUAGAUUCUUUUUUUUUUUAAAGAAUAUUGUAUUGAAUAUUUCUAGGUUGAUAUAUUAUUGUAAUAUUAGACUUUCUUAUAGAAUAAGGAAGGUUGUUGAAAAUAUCCCUAUAAAUAUUCUAGUUCAUAAGGGGAAAAAGUUAUGAGAUGAAGAUGGACCCAUAAAGACUAUACAAGGUGGAUAGAGACGUGAAGAAAAACGAGAGGUACCCGGUGGAGCGAGAGGGCUCGUGGUAGGGUAUAGGUACAAAGAGUGAGAAAACAUGGGAUGUUUUGGGAACCCAAUAAUUGUAUCUGGUUAUGUCCUCUAUAAGUUCUAGUCCUGUCAUCUGCAUUGUUCUCUAUUUUAUAGUGGAAUGAUUCUCUUUUAUCUGUGGACGUGGGCAUGGUUUUCGAACCAUGUUAAAACCUUGUGUACCGUUUGUGUUGAUUUUUUUUUUUAUCUUUAUUUUAUUGAUUAAUGAAGUUUGCAUCAAAGCUUCUGUCAACGUAACAAACUUGUAUCAAAGCUUGGGUUAAAGAUUUCUAGAAGAGUAAAAGAUCAUAGAGCACACAAGAUGAAAACAAAAGGAAUUUUUAGUGAAAAUGGAGUCAAUUGCUCUCUCAUGGUGAUAUGAUAUAAAAAGUUUGUGUCAUGGAAAGUUUGAAGAUUUACUUCAUGGAAUCUGGUCCAAAAUGGAGAUUGUUAAUAAGUAUCCCAAAUUCCUAAUUAGUUUAGAUUUUUUUUUUUUGUAAAGAAUAUUGUAUAGAAUAUUUCUAGGUUAAUAUAUUAUUGUAAUAUUAGACUUCCUUAUAGAAUAAGGAAGGUUGUUGAAAAUAUCUUUAUAAAUAUUCUAGGUCAUGAGGGAAAAAAGUUAUGAGAUGAAAUGGGCCUGUAAAAACUAUAUGAGGUGGAUAGAGAUGUGAGGAAGAACAAGAGGUACUCAAUGGAAUGAAAGGGCUCGUGGUAGGGUAUGGAUACAAAGAGUGGGGAAAUAUGGGAUGUUUUGGGAACCUAAUAGUUGUAUCUGGUUCUGUCAUCUAUAAUGUUCUAGUUAUGUCCUCUAUAAUUGAUUCGUUCCCAAUUGGUGUCUCAGCUGAUUCAUGUCCUCUCCAUGGUCCCUGAUAGUGGUGCCAUUUGAUUCAUGUCCAGCUGGUGUCCCUUGAUUUUGGUCUUCAGGGAGUAAUCAACAAAAUUUAUAACCUAUUACACCAUGUACUAGGAUAGCCUUAGCUAGCAUAGCAUAGUGGCUCUAGGGUCGUUCACUGGGAUGGGUUUUCACUUCACAAUUGAUAUUAAUUCAAAGAUGAAUUGGUGCUUUUUCAUUUCAAGGUUAGCUUUAAAAGAAAACAUAAAGAUGUUUGAAUGAAAAAGGUUUUGUUUUAAACUAACCAAAAAUAAUAACUGAUUUUACUUACAAAGAAAAGUGUUUCUUGGAGUUUAGAUCACUGGGCUCAGAUUCCUUGUACAAAAAGGGAGUUCCGGUCACUUGUUUCUUUUCCUCGCAUUAGAGAAUUAACAUAUAGUUAAUUCUCUAACCGGUGUGGUACAGAUGCUUCCCCUUAAUGGGUUCAAACACUAAAUCCCUCUCACUGAUGCAACUUGCAAUGGCUCGUGCCUCUCACCUAGCAUUUGCCAUUCAAGGUGAUCUUUAACCUUGGAUUACCCUUCACAAGCUCGCAAGAGAUAACUAAUGGAUGUCUCCUUAGAGUCCAAAAGCUUACCAAGUGUUGGCAAUUCUAGAAAAUCAUACCUUCAAACCACCUCCCAAAAGCUCGCAAGAGGUAAACCAGUGCAUCUCCAUUGACGGAGAUCACUUGCCUAACCAAGUGUUGGCUCAAGUGAAUUGAAGGUGUUUUAAGUUAACUAAAAAGAUAAAAACCAUUAACGGGUCACACUUUCUCUUCAUUAAAAACUAAAACAACAAAACUUCCAAUUUAUGCAUGAGGAAACUUACCCGGCUUUCUUUCACUCCAAGAGACGAAGAGCCUAGCCUCUCAUCCUCUGAGAAAAAAUCCUCAGAGUUUGAUUGGCUAGAAAGAAAACUAACGAGAAAACAAAAAUAUAUAUAAGAAGCAGAGCAAAAGCUCUGUUCGUUGAUUACAUAUAUGAUAUAUGAUAUAUGAUGGAUCCUCUUCUUUACAUUGGUUCAAAGAUAUAUAUAGAGAAGAUAUUUUCUAAGAAAUAUCCCAAUAAUAUCUUUGACUAAUUACAAGGAGAAAAUAGAAAUUUACACAAAAUAUCUUGAGAGAAAAAAUCUAACUUAGUCGGUGGCAAAUAUCAGGAAGCUUCAGGAGAAUAUCGCGUCACUGUGCAAAAAUCCGGGUAAUCUGAAAUGCCGGCCGCGGAUGCUCUCCGGGUUAGCGCUAUUAGAAGAUCCGGACAUGCCUGUCUGGGGAGGUUGAAAUGCCUCUUCUUCCAUCCGGCGUCAGGCGUCGGAUUUGAAAUAUCUGAUCAGAGGAUCCUGACAUGUCUGACCGAACAGAAUUUCAGAUGUGAGAUAUCCGGACGUCGCAAGGGGGACCGUUUGCGUGUACAAGGUGUAGAGACCCUUCCCCCUGAUGACACGGAGCACGCAUCGCUAUCCAGAGCAACUCCAUCCGGAUUUCCCAAGAGGACACGCACCGCCAUGCUAUCCGGCACUCGUGAACAUCACACUCCGGAUGAUAGCAUAUCCUAUCCGGAUAUGUUGUCUGGAUCAUUGACUAAAGUGAGCAAGCCUUACUACAGCCCACGUUCCGCCGCUCUUCCAAUGGUGUGUCCGGACGCCCUGUCUGGACAUCUUUUUCCAUGGAUUCCAAAGAACUCUCCUCAAUCUCGGAUUGCUUUGGUGAUAAAAAAGCUAUCAAAACACCAAAACUUAACACAAUUUGAUUAGAAUUGAUUGCAAGGGUCCUUAAUAUGUUAAUUGGGUUAAAAAGUGAUAACUACUACUCAAAAGUGUUUAAAAGAGUUAAUUACAAGCUAUGAAAUAACACUUUUUGAGUAGUAAUCAAUAAUGUUCUCUAUUGUAUAGUGGAAUGAUUCUCUUUCAUUCGUGGAUGUAGGCAUGGUUGUCGAACCACAUUAAAACCUCGUGUACUGUUUGUGUUUUUUUUUUAAAAAAAAUUAAUCUUUGUUUCUUGAUUAAUGAUGUGUGCAUCAAAGCUUCCAUCUACGUAACAAACUGGUAUCAGAGCUUGGGUUGAAGAUUUUUGGAAUAGUAAAAGAUCACAAAGCACACAAGAUGAAAACAAAAGGAAUUUUUAGUGAAUGUGGAGUCAAUUGUUCUCUCAUGGUGAUAUGAUACAAAAAGUUUGUGUCAUGGAGGGUUUAAUGAUUGACUCCAUGGAAUUUGGUCCAAGGUAGAGAUUGUUAGGAAGUGUCCCAAAUUCCUAAUUAGUAUAGAUUUUUUUUUUAUAAAGAAUCUUGUAUAGAAUAUUUCUAGGUUGAUAUAUUAUUGUAAUAUUAGACUUCCUUAUAGAAUAAUGAAGGUUGUUGGAAAUAUUUUUAUAAAUAUUUUUAGUCAUGAGGGGAAAAAGUUAUGAGAUGAAGAUGAGCCUAUAAAGACCAUACGAGAUGGAUAGAGAUAUGAGGAAGAAUCGAAGGUACCCAGUGGAGCAAGAGGGCUCGUGGUAGGGUAUGAAUAUGAAGAGUGGGGAAACAUGGGAUGUUUUGGGAACCCAAUAGUUGUAUCUAGUUUUGUCAUCUAUAAUGUUCUGGUUCUGGCAUCUAUAAUGUUCUGGUUUUGUCCUAUGUAAUGUUCUUUAUUGUAUAGUGGAAUUAUUAUCUCUCAUCUGUGUAGACAAGUUGCUAAACCACGUUAAAACCUCGAAUACCAUUUGUGUUGAUUUUUUUUAUCUUUGCGUUCUUGAUUAACGAUGCUUGCAUCAAAGCUUCUACCAACGUAACAAUGUGCAACAUAUUUGAUAUAACUUAUAUUUUCUUAAGUAAUUGAACACUUUUUCUAUAAAUUUACUUGAUUAUCAAUGAAUACCUACAUAUACGGUAUUGACAUAGUUUGAUAAAUAUUUUAAAAUAGUAUUAGAAUGGCUUUUCUUUUUCCCAAUUAACAAAUUUAUCAAAUAUAUACAUACACACACACACACACACAUAAUACUCAUUAGUAUGUCUUUUAUGAAAAAACUAUAUUUGUUUAUUUGAAUUUAGUAGCCAUUCAACUCCUUAGUUACUCAUAAACUUUUUAUCACCUUCUUAAAGUCAAGUCAUUUACAAUUAUUUCUAUCUAGCCUUCUCCAUUAUAACAACUUUAUAAGAUAGUGAUUGAUUGGAAGAAUCUACAUGCCUUUGUUGAUAGGAUAAUUGUUUUUCUUUUUUUUUCGUAUUCAAAGAAUCUUGCUUCUGUUAUUGAAACUUUCAAAUCCUUUAUGUCAAGUUGUCUUAUAAUUCCCUAUUCAUUGGUCUUUCAUAUUACCAAUCAUUUUGAAAAUGAGUUAAUUUCAUUCACAUCCUCUGAGAUUUGAUGUAAAUUCGCUUAGUUACCAAUGAUUUCAAAUUUCAUUAAUUAGUACCCCUAUAGAUGUAAUUUGUGUACAAAAUUUAUUUUUUAAAAGAGUUUAGGUAAAAAUAUUUUAGGUAUAUGUCUUUAACAAUUCUCUAAAAUAAAUUUUACUUGCUAAAAAAUAACUUAUAUAGAUAGAAUACAUCUACAGGAGUUCUAACUAACGAAAUUUAAAACUAAUGGUGGUUUAGUGUAUUUAAACUAAACAUUAGGAAGGGUGACUGAAAUUAACCCUCUAGGUAUAUAUGUUUAACAAAAUUUUUAUUGUUUAUUUUUCAUUUAAUGUUUGCAUUUUUCAAUAAACAUUGAAAAGGAAUUGUUUUUCCAUAUGUUAACAAAAAGAAAUUUGAACACCUAUAAAAAUAAAAUCUUGUAGCAAAAUUGGAGUUACAUUAUCAGACUUUUAAUGAGUGUUUAUGUUUAGAAAGACCAAUUAAAGCAAGCAUGCAUCUAGAAAUUGUAACUUAGAUGCAUCAAACAUGAGCAACAUAUUUGAUAUAACCAAUAGUUUCUUAAGUAACUAAACACUUCUUUUUCUAUAAAUUUACUUGAUUAUCGAUGAAUACUUACAUAUAUUUACAUAGUUUGAUAAAUAUUUUAAAAUAAUAUUAGAAUAACUUUGUUUUUUCUCAAUUAUAUUAGAAAAUAAUAUAAAGUUACUUAUAAACUUUAUAUCAUUUUCUCAAAGUCAAGUCAUUUACAAUUAUUUCUAUCUAGCCUUCUCCAUUAUGACAACUUUUAUAUGAUAGCCGUUGAUUGGAAGAAUCUACAUGUCUUUUUUGAUAGGAUAGUUGUUUUUAUUUUUUUAUUUUUUUUAUUCCAAAAAUUUGCUUCUAUCAUUGAAACUUUCAAAUCUUUUAUGUAUAUUACCAAUCAUUUUACAAGUGAGUUAAUUUCACUUAGGGUAGAUAUACUUAGCCACACCCCUAUAGAUGUAAUUUGUGUUUAAAUUUUAUUUUUUAUUUAGGUAAAAAUAUCUUAGGUAUAUGUGUUCAACAAUUCUCUAAAAAAUAAAUUUUCUUAUCUAAAAGUUUAUAUAGACAAAAUACAUCUAUAGAAGUCCUAAUUAAUGAAAUUUAAAAUUAAUGGUUGUUUAGUGUAUUUACAUUAAACCUUAUGGGGUAUGAUUGAAAUUAACUCUUUUACAAGCACUUGUAGCUAAUAUGUUUGUAGUUGUAGUGUUGGAAAUUGAUCAUUUUCUUGAAGGCCUCUAAGAUAUUGAAAAUAUUGCCAUAGUUUUAGACUUUUUUUUAUUACACCUAAUAAAAAAUAUUAUUAAUUUAACAUAUAUAUUCUUGACUUAAAAGUAAAGUCUCUCCAUAUUGUAUAAGCCCUUAGGUGGCAAUAUUAGGUGAAGUUUUUCUUUCGUUUAUUACAAAAUAUAAAUAAUUUAUUAUUGUAUGAUAAAAUUUUAUGUAAUAUAUUUUUAUAGAUGUAAAAUUAUUAAUUGGGUUUUUUUUUUACUAAAUUGUCAUUUCAAUAUAUAAAACUUAUUUGUAAAAAGACAAUUAUAAACUAUAUGAAAUUGAAAAACAUUUAGUUUUUUUAUUUAAUUUAGAAUUUUAUUUGGAUUAAUAAUUGAUAUUUGUAAGAUUUUUUAAUAUUAAAAAAAGUUAGCAUACUUAAGAAAGAUAUUCAAGAUCGGGAGUGUUUGAUAUUGGAUUAAUUUCCUUAUUUUCUCUAUUUUAAUAAAUUUUCACGUCCAUUACAAAAUUUUUGUUGUUUAUUUUUCACUUCAAUAUUUUUAUUUUGUAAUAGACAUUUGAAAAGAUUUUUUCCUACAUGUUAAAAAAAAAAAUAUUUGAACACUCCUAAAAAAGAAUAUUGCUAUAAAAUUAAAGUUUACAUUGUAGGACUAUUAGCAAAUGCUAUAUACUUAAAAUAGACCAAUUAAAGUAGAAAUACUUCUAAAAUUGUAAUUUAGGUAACAAUAAUAUAAAAAGAUAAUAUUUUUGAAACAAUAGUUCUCUUGGAGUUUUGGGUACGAUGGACUAGACUUUAUGUACAAUAGAUAUACAAACUUUCCAUUAACAUCUUGAGAGACAUGAUGAGGAGCAAAGUCAUCCAAGAAGGUACCAUAGAGGUACCUUAGCUCCAUUCAUCUAGACUACAUAAUGUUUAAAGAUCAAAUUCAAUGACUAGAUUUCAAAAAUCAAUAUAAGCUUUCUCAUAUUCUACUCUAUAUAAGACAAUGGUAUGAUACCUCUCUUGUGUCGUAGAAUGCACCAUGAAAACCUUAUCAUUUUAACAUCAGUUUGAAACUUAAAAGUCACUUAGCACAUUCUAGUUAUUAAUCUAAGAGCAUUAAAAGAAAAUAUAAAAAAAGUUACUUUAUCCUUGUGAUUUUGAUUUAGGACUUUUAAUGAUAUUAAAAAAAAAAAACAAAACAGAAAAAUAAAUGGAAAUAAAAUCAACAAAUUAAACAAUUGAAUUAAGUUAGUUUAAUUCUUGCAUCGUUAAAUGGGUAAAUAAAGACUCUUAGAUUUGAUAUUAAUAUGAACAUCAUGACUUCAGUGAAUCUUACAAGAAAAUUUUAGUUUGAAAGACUUCAUUCAUUAAACGUGUGGCACAUAUUAAAGUAAAACUAAGUCUUCUCUAUAAUUUGUACCUAUCAUAGUUUCUUUCCUUAUAAAUAGCCUUUUUUGAAUAUAAUAUAGACUUCAACAUGCAUGGUGGGGCCAAUCAAACUACUAGUCAAGACAACUCAUGGGCAACAACGAUGUACCAACUACAUUUAAAUACUCUUCAUCUAUUUACAUAUCAAGAGUAAUUUAGUAGUGUCUUAUUUAUGUACCUCAUAUCUAGACUUUCAAUGGAGAGUUCUUCAUCUAAAAAUUUGACUUGGGUUUUCAUACUAGUUUUGGUUUAGACAUGUGGAUGCAAAGGUUGCAUCAAAGAAGAGAAGUAGGCUAAAUCAUCUUACAAAUUUUAUAGUUCAAAUUAGAUGCACCAAACAUAUGCAACAUAUUUGAUAUAACUAAUAUUUUCUUAAGUAAUUGAAUACAAUUUUUUUUUUAAAUUUACUUGAUUAUUAAUGAAUAACUACAUGUAUGGUAUUGACACAACAUGAUAAAUCUUUUAAAAUAGUAUUAGAAUAACUUUGCUAAAAAAAAGUAAAAAUAAAAAUAAAAAUACAUCUAUAUAUAAAAUUAAAUUAAAUUAAAAAUUAAAAAAGAAUAUAUAUUCUCUGUGUGUGUGUGUGUGCAUGGUCCCACAACUCAUUAGCUACUCAUAAGCUUUAUAUCACUUUCUCAAAGUCAAGUCAUUUUGUAAUUAUUUCUAUCUAGCCUUCUCCAUUACGACAACUGUAUAGGAUAUUGAUUGGUUGGAAAAAUCUUCAUGUCUUUUUUUAUAAGAUAGUUUUUUUAUUAUUAUUAUUAUUCAAAGAAUUUGCUUUUAUUAUUGAAACUUUCAAAUCCUUUAUGUCUAGUGGUCCUACAAUUCCCUAUUCAUUGGUAUUUCAUAUUACCAAUCAUUUUACAAAUAAGUUUAUUUCACCCGGUAAAUAUACUUAACUACUAAUGGUUUCAAAUUUAAUUGAUUAACACACUUAUAGAUGUAAUUUGUUUUUAAAUUUUAUUUUUUUAGAAGAAUUGUAGGUAAAAAUGUUUUAGGAAUAUGUGUUCAAUAAUUCUCUAAAAACAAUUUAUAUAGAUGGAAUACAUUCAUGUAAGUUCCAACUAAUGAAAUUUAAAACUAAUGACAAUUUAAUGUAUUUGCACUAAAUCUUAGGGGAGGUGUACUAAAACUAGCCCUUUUACAAAUAUUUGAUAUGAAAUUAAUUAAUUAAUUUUUUCUAUUUAAAUAAAUUUUUGCAUCCAUUAAUAAAAUUUUAUUGUUUAUUUUUCACUUCAAUAUUUUUAUUUUGUAAAAUAAAUAGAAAUAAAAUCAACAAAUUAAAAAAUUGAAUUAAGUUAGUUUAAUUUUGCCACCUUUAAAUUGGUAAAUGAAGACUCUUAUAUUUGAUAUUAACAUGAACAUCAUGACUUUAUUGAAUCUCACAAGAAAAUUUUAGUUUGAAAGAUUUUAUCCUUUAAACAUGUGACACAUAUUAAAGUGAGACCAAGUCUUCCCUAUAAUUUGUAUCUAUCACAAUUUCUUUCCUAAUGAAUAGCCUUUUUGAAUAGAAUAUAGACUUUAGCAUGCAUGGUGGGGCCUAGCUAUCAAACUACUAGUCAAAACAACUCAUGGGCAAGAAUGAUGUACCAACUAGAUUAAGUAUUCUCCAUCUAUUUGCAUAUCAAGAGUAAUUUAGUAGUAUCUUUCUUGUGUACCUCAUUUCUAGACUUUCAAUGGAGAGUUUUUUAUCUUAAAAUUUGACGUGGGUUUUCAUACUAGUCUUGGUUCAGAUAUGUGAAUGCAAAGGUUGCAUCAAAGAAGAGAAGUAGGCUAAGUCAUCUUACAAAUUUUCAAGUUCAAAUUAGAUGCAUCGAACAUGUGCAACAUAUUUGAUAUAACUAAUAUUUUACCAAGCAACUAAAUACUUUAUAUAUAUAUAUAAAUUUAUUGAUGAUCAAUGAAUACCUACAUGUAUGGUAUUGACACAGUUUGAUAAAUCUUUUAAAAUAGUAUUAGAAUAACUUUGCUAAAAAAAGUAAAAAUAAAAUAAAAUAAAAUAUAUAUAUAUAUAUAUAUAUAAAUAAACAAAAUAAAAAAUUUAAAAAGAAUAUAUAUAUUAGUGGUCCCACAACUCAUUAGCUACUCAUAAGCUUUAUAUCAUUUUCUUAAAGUCAAGUCAUUUACAAUUAUUUCUAUAUAGCCUUCUCCAUUGCGACAACUGUACAAUAUAUUAAUUGAUUGAAAAAAUCAUCAUGUCUUUUUUGAUAGGAUAGUUUUUUUUUUAUUCAAAGAACUUUCAAAUUCUUUAUGUCUAGUGGUCCUACAAUUCCCUAUUCAUUGGUAUUUCAUAUUACCAACCAUUUUACAAAUAAGUUAAUUUCACUCGAUAAAUAUACUUAACCACCAAUGGUUUCCAAUUUGUAGCAUUCUUAUAGAUGUAGUUUGUUUUUAAAUUUUAUUUUUUAGAAGAAUUGUAGGUAAAAAUAUUUUAGCUAUAUAUGUUCAACAAUUCUCUAAAAACAAUUUAUAUAGAUGGAAUACGUUCAUGGAAGUUCCAACUAAUGAAAUUUAAAACCAAUGAUGAUUUAAUGUAUUUGUACUAAAUCUUAGGGAGUGUGGACUAAAAUUAGCCCUUUUACAAAUAUUUAUAACUAGUAUAUUUGUAGUUGUGGUAUUGGAAGUUGAUCAUUUUCUUAAAAGGUUUACCAUUGAAGUUAGUUGAAUAUAAAGUUAGGUGAACUUUACCAUUGUUAAAUUGGUAAAUGAAGACUCUUAGAUUUGAUACUAACAUGUACAUCAUGACUUCAUUGAAUCUCUCACAAGGAAAUUUUAGUUUGAAAGACUUCAUCUUUUAAACAUGUGGCACAUAUUAAAGUGAGACCAAGUCUUCCCUAUAAUUUGUAUCUAUCACAAUUUCUUUCCUCAUAAAUAGCCUUUUUGAAUAGAAUUAAUAUAGACUUUAGCAUGCAUGAUGGGCCCUAUCAAACUAUUAGUCAAGAUAAUUUGUAGGUAAGAACGAUGGACCAACUAUAUUAAAUACUCUUCAUCUAUUUGCAUAUCAAGAGCAACUUAAUAUUGUCUUUCUUUUGUACUUCAUGUUUGAACUUUCAAUGGAGAGUUUGUCAUCUAAAUAUUUGAUGUGGGUUUUUAUACUACUCUUGGUUCAAAUAUGUGGAUGCAAAGGUUGCAUCGAAGAAGAGAAGAUGGGUUUGCUUGAAUUCAAGGCUUUUCUUAAAUUGAAUAAUGAGCAUGCAGAUUUUCUUCUCCCUUCAUGGAUAGAUAACAACACUAGUGAAUGUUGUAAUUGGGAGCGGGUUAUUUGCAAUCCCACCACAGGUCGAGUUAAGAAGCUUUUCUUCAAUGAUAUAACGCGACAACACUUGGAAGACAAUUGGUACUAUUACGAAAAUGUCAAAUUCUGGUUACUAAAUGUCUCCUUAUUCCUUCCUUUUGAAGAACUUCACCAUCUAAACUUGUCUGCAAACUCAUUUGAUGGGUUUAUUGAGAAUGAAGGUAUGUUACCUCUCACCUUUAAAUUUUCUUUUCACUUAUACUCCAAACAUUCUAAAGGAACUACUAGCAUAUGUUCUUAAAAGUGUUCAGGUGGAGAACAAAUGGUCACUAGUAACUAUUGAAUUUAAUAUAAGAACAAUUACUAAUUAUUAAAAUUUAUAAUGUAAAUUAACAUUUAAACAGAACAAUAAAAAAAUUAUUAUUUUAGAAAACUAUAGAUUACAUUAGCCUUAUAUAUAUAAGCAUACUUGUUAUUUAUGUCAUCAUUUCACACUCAACCCAAUAAGUGGGAUUCAACUAAGAGUGAGCAAUUUCACAAUUAUUAAUUAACAGGAACACUUAGGCUCCCAUAUCCUUAUCAUUUUUGCUGAAUUGUCUUUCCUUAUCUUCCAUUCCUAAAAAGCUUGAUUUCUAUAUUCCAAAUUGAUAGAGAUUGGUUAAAGAAAGGUGAUCACAAAAUUUGACUAUUGCUUUCAAAUGAGGAAUCACCAUCUUCAAAAUUUCACAUUUACAAAAAAAAUAAAUAAAAUAAAUAAAUAAAUAAAACUAGCCUCGGGUAAGGUCCAAGCCUUAUUGUUUUAAGCUGAUGUCAGAUUGGUUUAAUAAUGAACAGAGUAAAUCCUAACCCAUGACCAUCUACGCAUUUCCAAAUUCCACCCAUCCACAACCCAUUAAUAUGACAUUUUCAGGGACAAAAUUUAAUCAAUUAAACCUAUUAGAUGGAUUCUCCAUACAAUGUUAAAAUGAAUAUAAAAACUUUAAUUCAAAAAAUAAUUUCCUUUAUUUAGUUAGGAUUCAAAUUAUAGGGGCACAAAACAUGAAAAUUUUCAUGUUUAAAAUUCACAAAGAUCACAAAAGCUCUUUGAAGCUCUAUGGACUUUUUUAUUUCUAACAUUUAAACACAAAAAUCACCAAAUUUAAUUAGAGAUUUGGAUGCAUAUUCUUAUAUUAAAGACAUGUAAGCUUACAUAUUUAAAUAUGAAGAUCUCAACUUGUAAUUACAUGCUUCUAAUUAAAGUUAUAUUACUCUAUUUUACAGGAUUUAAAGGGUUAUCAAGUUUAAAGAAAUUGGAGAUCUUGGACAUAAGUGGUAAUGAGUUUGACAAAAGUGCCUUAAAAUCUUUGGGCACAAUAACAUCACUCAAGACAUUGGCUAUUUGCAGCAUGGGACUGAAUGGAUCUUUUUCCAUUCGAGGCAUGUUAUAUGUCCACAUUGUUUCUUUGAAAUUAAGUAAAAUAUAUUUCUAACUUUUAAUGUUCCUUAGUUAAUCUCUCUUUUGAUUCAUGUUUGUUGCAGACUUAGCUAGUUUGAGAAAUUUGGAAGUGUUGGAUCUAAGCUAUAAUCAUUUGGAAAGCUUUCAACUAUUGCAAGGUACUUCAUUAACUUGCUAAAAAAACUUACGAUAUUUUGUUAUUAAAUUAAAGGUAAGAUUAACAAACAAUUUCUUCUCAUUAGUUACUUUUCUUUGUAAUAUCAUUAAAUUUGAUAUAAUGUAGUCUAAAUCAUCCUUUCAAUUUAUAAGUUUUAAUUAAAACGCAUCAAGCAUGCACAAGAUGUUUAAUAUAACUAAUAUUUUCAUAAGUAAUUGAAUUUUUUUUAUGAAUUAAUUAACUUGAUUAUCAAUAAAUGCUUACAUGUAUAAGAUUAAUAUAGUUUCAUAAGUAUUUUAAAAUUGUCUUACAACACACACACACACACACAAGGAAAAUGAAAGGUAUGUGAUACCUUUAUGCUAUGUUUGGUUCUCAAAAAAAAUUGAGGGAAAAUGAAAGGAGAAAAAAAUAGAGAGGAAAAGUAAAAGAAAAGAAAAGAAAAAAAGUGAAGAAAAAUAUAAAAUUGAUUAAAGUAAAUACAUUAUUUUUAUAUGUUACUUUAACUUGUUUCACUUAUUUUAAUUCUUCAAUGUAAAGAUGAAAGAUUUGAAAAUGCAUAAGUUUCUAAUUAUUUUUUUAUUUUAUUUUAUAGUUUUUACAAUACAACCAAACAUAAUAAAAUCAUUUUCUUUAAUUUUUUUUCUUUUCUUAAUACUUUUCACGAACCCUUAAGUUAUGUUUGGUUUGCAGAAAAUAUGAGGAACAGAAAAUAGAAAAGAAAAUUAAAAGGAAAGAAAAAGUGAAGUAAAAUAAAAAUAAAUUUAAAUUUAAUAAAUUAUUUUUAUAUGCUACUUUAAACUUAUUUCACUUAUUUUAAAUUAUUUAAACUCAUUUCUAAUAAAUAAUAAUGGAAAUUGUAGAGAAGUUUGUGUUAUUCAAGCUUUGCAAUGACUUUUCAAGGUGAAGGAAAAUAUUCUUGCUGAAAUUGAAGAAGGAAAUACCUUCUUAAAUAGCCUAUUGACCGAAAACACAUUACCCUAACAUAUACACACACCUUUAUUAUUUAUACAAUCAUUUAAUACUUAAUCCCGUUAGUGGGAUUCUAGUGGUUGUUUCUAUCUUGGUUUCCAAUAUUUCUGAUUGAUAGUGUUGGAUUAAUGAAAUAUCAUAAAUUUUGACCCCAAUAAGGACCAAUCCCUAUUAAAUGUAAUUGGGUUGACCUAAGACUAAAUGUUAGACCCAACUAAUAAAAACCCAUCUGUUUGUUGGAGUCUAAAUAACCCAGCCUUAGGUAGGGCCCAUGCCUUAUUAUUUUAAGAUGUAGUCCAACUGGUUUGACACUGGAUUGAGUAAAGCCCAACUUAUGAGCAUCUGUGCAUUUCCAUCCAUCCACAACCUACUGGCAUGGACAAACUUUGGUCAAUUAAACCUAUUAUAAAUGUAUACAAAAUUUUAAGUUCAAAAGAUAAUUUUUCUUAUUUAGUUAGGAUUCAUAUUAAAAAGGCACAAAGCACGAAUUUUCAUGUUUAAAUUCACAAAUAUCACGAAAGCUCCUUCAAGCUCUAUGGACCAUUUUAUUUGUAACAUUAUAUUACUCUUAAUUAUCAAAUUAACCAACAAAUUCUUCUCAUUAGUUAUUUUUCUUUUGUAGUGUCAUAAAAUUUGAUGUAAAGUAAUAUUGGUCAUCAUUUCAACUUUCAUGUUCCAAUUAGAUGCAUCAAGCAUGUGCAACAUAUUUGAUAUAACUAAUAUUUUUAUAAGUAAUUGAAUUUUUUUUUCUAUAAAUCAAUUAACUUGAUUAUCAAUGAAUACUUUCAUACAUGAUAUUGAUGUAGUUUCAUAAAUAUUUUUAAAUAGUCAUAGAAGUCUUUUAUCUGAUUCACUAGAAAGAAAAAUAAACUAUUCUAAUGAAAAUACUUGAUGAUUUGAAGUGAUUGCUUUUGAUUUUAUUUGAUUGCUACCAUUAUUAAUUGUUAGAAAUUGGCAACAAAUACCCAUUUUGCAUCACUUCUAUAUGCAUCGAGGGAAUGAAUUAUAUUUCAUAGAGCUAACAGGGCAAAACUCAUACUUUUGGAAUUAUGGAAAAGGUUGCUAGAAAGCUAAUUAACAAUUUAUAUUAUGAUUAAGACUAGUUGGGUUAGAAAUAAUUCAUAUGGAGAUUAAAAAAAACUAUGUAAUUUAGUUUAGUAGCUUGGGUGCUAUUGUAAUGAUUAAUGAUCUGCAACUUGAACACAUCUACUAGUGCUUUCUACUUGUAUAGCUAAAUUUAUGUUACCACUUUGAACUACAGUACUUACAUGAGAAGAAAGCUUUUCCUUAGUGAUAAUGCAAAAGAAAUUAAGUAUCAAUUUUUGUUAAACUAACAAGUGAUAGUUUAGAUAUGUUUUGAAUACACUUCCUUUCUUCUAUUUUUUUAUUUUGAAAAAAAAAACUCUUUAAUGAAAUAUAAGAAAUCUUAUAUGUAUAAAAAGUAAAGACUUAAACAAAAAAAUUCUUCAAAUUUUAAAAAUUUCGAGAAGUAUUUUUAAGAAUUUGUAUUUUUAGUAUAAUAAUUCCUAUAUUUUGUAUAAAAGCUUUUGUUCAAAAAAAUAGAAGUGUAUCCAAAUUAAAAAUUAAUGGUUAAAUUAAGAAUGUUUCUCAGAUCAAGGGAUAAUGAAAGUUGUAGAGAGUUUGCAUUACUCAACCUUUGCAACUACUUUUUGAAGGUAAAAGAAAAUACCUUCUUACAUAACAUACAAUGGCAAGUUCUGGUUUGUAAGAAACUAAUAAAUGAUUAAGAAUAUGAAUAAGACUUCCUUAAUAAUAGAUAUGUAGAGAAGAAUAGUGGAUGAUAGGAGGUGAAAAUCUUGUAAUAAAAUAUCAAUAUCGGUUAUAAGAUAAUCAACAUUUUCUUGUACCUAUGUGAUUAAGAAUCUUGUAGCUCCCUUAUUGAAAUAUAAUAUAAAAAUAUAAAUAAACUAUUUAGAAGUGCAUGUAGUUUUCAACAUGAGGAAGUUCAAAAGCAAGUUAAUUAUGAUAAUUUUCUAUAGUCUAUAUUGAACACAAAUUAUUUUUUCUAAAGGUUCAAUCGUUCUAUGAAGGUUAAAAGUUUGAAUUGUUUACAUAUGCAAAUGUGAAAUUUGAAAUUUUAUAAUGUUUUAUAAUUUUCUUGUAGAUUCAAAAAACUUGUCCAUAUUCAAAAAGCUCGAGACCUUGAACCUCAAUCACAACAAGUUCAAAAACACUAGCCUACAACAAUUGAAUAUAUUUACAUCCCUUAAAAAUCUUUCUCUAAGACGGAACUAUGAUGGAGGAUUUUUUCCGAUCCAAGGUAUGUGUAAUUAUUAUUAUUAUUUUUAAUGAUAAAAUAUUAGAAUUGUCAACAUCUUUUAUCUUUUUUCCCCUCAAUGGUGUUGCAGAAUUAUGCACUCUAGAAAACUUGGUGAUGUUGGACCUAAGUGGGAAUUUCUUUAUUGGCAUGCAAGGUAAAUACAAAGUGAAGUUUUGGUUAUAUAUAUAUAUCAUGUAAGAACAUAACUAAAAUCAACAUUCUUUGCCUAUCAAUUUGUGCAUGACUAUUAUUUAGUUAUUCUUCGUAACAUAAUUGAAAGAAUGUUUAGGUGUAUAACAUUUAAGAAUUUUACAUGGCACAAUGAAAAACAUGGUAAUCAAUGUAUGCAAUAAAAUUCUAAUAGUUGAAAAAGAAUUUUCUUGUAAUUUUAUGUUCGUGUAUAGUAAUCAAAGAGAAAAUCAUGAAAAUGUAUAUUAGUUAGACUUUAUAUAUCAAUAGACAAAAAAGAAAGAAAAAAGAUUAGUUCCUUAACUUAUCCUAAAAUUUUCUAGAUAACAAGGAGUUUUUUUAUUUUGGGCUAUAAGAUUUACAACCUGAAAAGUGAAGAUGAUUAAUAUUAGUAAUAUAAUUUUGAAAUAUAAAAAUUAAUGAAAUAAUGUUCUCUAUAACUAUAACUGCAACUGCAACUAUUAAUAAAAGAUAAUAAAAGUACUUUAGACUUUGAAUCCAUGGUUAGGUUUGCAAUUUUUUGAUGAUCAAUAAAGCUACAACUUAUGCUGCAAAAGGCUAUACAAAAUGUAUUAGGAGCAUUGCUAAGCUCAUUUAUCAAUAAAAGAAAUCCAGUAAUACUUUGAUUGGAAAAAACCUAGAAUCAUGUUUGAUAUAUAUAAUAGGAGAAGAAACAAAAUAACAAUUCCAUGGUAUUAGUUAGUUUGAUAUCCCUUUUGUUAUAUGGAAUAACUAUUCCAUUUUAAAAUAAUUAUUUCAUCUUAUCGCUAGAACAAAAAAUUUCAAGCAAUUAUAUGCGCUUUUGGGUUUCUUAAGAAUUUAAGCAUUUAUGGGUCACCCAUAUAUACAUAUAUAUAUAUAUAUAUAUAUAUAUAUAUGUAGGAAGAAUAAAAAAAAAUAUUAUACGGAGACAAGGGUAGACACCCAUAUAUAUAUAUAUAUAUAUAUAUAUAUAUAUAUAUGUAGGAAGAAUAUAAAAAAAUAUUAUAUGGAGACAAGGGUAGACACCCAUAAAUGUACAUAUAAUUAUUUAAAUAAAAAAUCAAUAAGAAACAAUAUACAACAAAAUAGAAAAUUUUAAUCUUCUUAAAUUUUAAAAAUAAAAACUAAAUGAAAAAAAAUUAAGAAGUAAAAAUAAUAAUAAAAAGGUCAAGAAUACAAAUAGAGAAGUAAACAAAAAAAAUACAUAAAUUAAAAUUAAAAUUUAAAAGAAAAAAUACAUAGAUUAAUAUGAACACUAAAUGAGGUUUUUUGAGAUAGACUUAGUUAGACCUGAACCAGAUGGAUAUUAAAAAAAAUAAAAAAAAAUUGAAAGAAAUAAAAACUAAUUAGAUGCUAAAUAUUGGAUUAAAAUAACCAAAUGAAUAAAGAGUAAUUAUUAAUUUUUAACAUUUUUUAUUCCCUAGAAUUAUUAUUUUGUGUAUUAAAUGUAUUCUGAGUGUAGUGGUAUAAAAAAUGUAGUUAAGAAUACUAUGAAGAAUAAUAAUGGUGAUGAUAAUGGUGACGACACUUAAUACCUUUUAUUGUACGUUUAGAAAAAAUGAGGUUCUUGAUCUUUAUGGAGAUUAUCAUUACUCAUCCGCAAGCAUGUUGAUAGUUGAAACUACUCAAUUAUCAAAAAUUGAAUUUCUAACCUUCAAUUUUUCUCUCUCAAAUGUAUAUGUGGGUGAGAAAGCACUAGGAAGAUUAUAAGGUCUCACAUGUAUAUGAGUCAUAGGAUAAAAAAUAUAGAGACAAUACUAGCAUUUAUUUGAUCUAGUGGCAAAUAGAGAAAUAUAAAAUAACCAUAACCAUAAUGUUCUAACCUUAUAUAUACCAGAACCAUGUUUCCUUCAUUCAAUGUUGCAACUUUUUCUUUUCAAAUUAGAAUGUAACUUGUAGGAUCCAUUGCCCAUCAAAAUUUUGAAUCGAAUAUUAUAAGAUAUUUCACAUUUCUACCUACUAAAGCAUGAGCUUCAAUGUUCUCAUGCACUUUUGGCUACUAAGUUAAAGAACCCUUUGAGGAUUAAUGGAGUUUCUAUGAGUAGCAAAGCAUUAUAAUCAGAAAGUCUUAUCAGUGAUAUGCAAUUUGACCAAGAACUUAUUCCCAACUAUUUUAUGAAUUUUAUGACUUUUCUUGGCUACUUGUAGGCAAGCUAAAGAAAUUUUCUGGUUUGUUCAAGUCUAAAAAGUGGUUUCAAGUUUAGGGCCAAGCUUGGGCUGCACCUAGGUCCUUGGGCCUUGUUCAGCUCCACGUUUAAACCAACCUUGAGUCCAUCUUUGUAAUUUUUCUCCCAAUUCAUUGAUUAAUAUUAGGAUUUUAUAGAGCCUAUAAAUUGACCAACUAAAUAAAGUAGGUUCAUAAACUUUUAGGUGAAAAUUUUCUCUUUAAUAAAUGUUAAUUCAAGAGUCUCCGUAAUCUUUUUAUAUUCAUAUUAAUUGGUAUUUAAACCGACCUUACUAUAUUAAAGUCAAAUACCAAAUAGUGAACACUAUAUCUACUACUACCACUAUGAUGGUCACAAACAUAGAAUGCUCCAUUUUUUAGAGUCAAUUGAUGCUUAUAAACAACUUUGUUUGAAAAUAAAACACAUCGAGUGAUUGCAUCAAGAGAUUGAUGUAAUAAUUGCAUACUUGAUCUAGAUAAUGUUAAUAUGAGUUGACUAAAUAAAUGAGUAUUUACUUAUAAGGUAGCCCAUAGAACAUUAUUUGUGGAAAUAUUCAUGCACCUCUACAUAUGUUCAUGAUAACUUAGGUUGAUAAAUUUAAGAAGAACAAAUUCAUAACCUUGGGCAUAGUUAGUAAGAAAUUUCACCAAUAGAGUUUGGUAUCAUGAUUCUAAUUGUUCAAAUUGUUUUAAAGGAGUAUUUUAAAUUGCAUGUUAAUUUGCUUCUAAUAAAUGGAGAGAAACCAAUUCAAGAAGAGAAUUGUACUCAAGCUAUGUAUAGCAUUCAUGAAGAUGUAGAAAAUAUUGAUGAACUUACUUUUGAGCAAGUUGAAAUCAUAAUUAAAUAAAAUAACAAACCCAAGGGUUAAGAUUGUCAAGUAAAACUUUAAUUAAAAUUUAUUGAUUUUUUAAAUGCCUAUUAGAGGAGCAAUAGAAGUUCUAGAUAGAAAGUAAGAACUUUUCUAAGGAAUCACUUGUUAGAUUUUAAGUGAUCAAUAAAUAUAAUGUCCAAUUUAAAACUUUUAUAAAAGCAAUGGUUCUAAAGAAUAACUUGAUUUGAAUUUAAAGUUAUUAUUGAUAUUUAUUUAUAAUGGAUGUAGUUAAUCAAUUGAACAUAGUAAAAAACACAUAAUUUUUUCAAAAUACCUUCUAAUUGUUGGGUAUAUUUAAGUAGUUAUUCAUAUCUCAUUAUCUUUUUACUCACAUACUAAUCUCCUUAUUGAGUAUUUACCAAUUACAAGUAGGUUGAAAGUUACUUGAAUUUAAGUCACUAAUCAAUGUUAACUUGAUGACAAAUAAGUCUCCCUUUGAAACUUGUUUUAUAACAUAGCGAAAUGUAGUCGAUCAAUCAUCAAAACAAUGUUUAAGCAUUGGGAUUUAGUUGUUAAUUUUUAUUUUUUAUUUUUUGUGCUUAAACAAAGACAAAAAUUAUAAAAACUCCUGAAAAGUACAUAUUAAUUGAAUUUAAUUUAUACAUCAAACAAGAACAAACUAGUCUUGGAUUUAAAAUUCAAUAGGUUUUGUAAUUAUAAUUCCUAAAAAUUUGUAAGACAACAAAAUUAUUGGACACUAGGCUAUUGGGUGUGUAUGACUAAGAGGUGAAGGAGGGUUCAUCUUAUACAAAGGAUGAUUUGAUUAAUUUUAAAGAUUGAAUAAACAAUAAUUGCAUAUUCAAGUAAAAAUAACAUUGCUAAAAAGGAAAAUAAGUAUUUUAGUCCUCAAACCUAAAAUGGCUAAAAAAUUUAAUUAAUACAAUUACAACUUCACCUACAAAAAAAAAAAAAAAAAAAUACCCAAAACUUUUCAAUAGCACAACUAAGUCCAUUUAUCAAAAGCUCUAUGAACAACAACAACUAUCAAAUCACAUAAAUCAUGUUGUUUACAAAGUGCCCUUGAUGUUUUAAAACAUAAGAUAUUACAUAAAAAUCAACCAAUAGUGUAUGACAUUAUAAAAAACAUAUCCAAAUCCAUUGUCGAACUUAAACUAAAUUCAACUUUAUAUACAUAGUCGCAAGUGGGUCUUUUUGUCUUUCAAUUUGGGUCAAAUUCAGAUGUUAGUUUUUUACACAACAAGGGAUUAUCAAGGUGAUAAUUCAUGCAUAUAAAUAGUAUUACUUAUAUAAAAAAAAUGGUAAAUGCAAUUUUUUUGUAUUCACUCACCAUUUGGCAUAUCAAUAAGAAAAAAAUAUAUACAAUAGGUGCUAUCAAUAAUAUUAUGCAUCACUAGAAAUUAUAAUUUUUCAUUUGUUAUCACUACUUGUGCACUUUGGAAAGCUUGCUAGGUACAACAAAUUAGCUCAGUGAAGAAAUUGAUCAAUUCCUUCAUUUCUAAAUAAAUUUGCAUAUACACUAGAAUAAAAACAACUUUUUAACUUAACAAGUUGACUGAGUCUCAGAACUUAGUAGGUUGAAGGCAUAGACUUCCAUCCAAGCUCAUUUACUGGCACCACAUGUUGGAAAAAUAAAGAAAAAUCAAAACACUUGAGUAUAGUUGCAAACCAAUCUAAAUAUAGAGUGAGAUCUACCUUUCUUUGAAAGUUUAGAACAAAUUUUUAUUUUUAUGAUAAGACUAUGCAGUACUUAUCCCUCUCUAACAAGUCUAUAAUCAGUCCAAAGCAUGGGAUAUUGCAUAUUUCUUGAACUCAAUUAGCCUUUAAUCCAUGCAUUUCAAGUAAAUUUAAAACCUGGUGUACUUGUUCUUGAUUCACAUCCUUGUCACUAUUAUCAUUACUUGUUCUUGAAUAUAGAACCUUAUUGUCCAUUAACAAGCGGGCCUAUGUUCCUCCAUGAUUCAAGAGUAUUAUGUUUUGUUCAUCAUCAGUUGGUCUUGCUCUAAAGCUUCUUUUUUAUGACUAUCAAUAACCAGACUUAGAUACCAAAAUUUAUGCAAGAGAGCAUGUACUUUAUACAGUCAAGAACUUGUGAGUCUAGACUUUGUUAUCUAGGUAAAAGAAUAAAUUGGUUUGUUAAAAUAGCUAGCAUUAGGUAUCUAUUCAAUUCCUAUCUUAGACAAUAAAGAUACAAAUGAUCAAAUACAUUCUUAUUAAGAAACAUUUGAUACCAAAAGUGAUGUAAGACAACACAGUUCCUCUAUUCAAUCAAGUUUAAGGCUUAGAUGAACCUAUGAAUUUAUAUUAAUUAAUUGGGAAAGAGAAUAAAUAGGCUAAGUAGAAGUGAUAGGAUUGUAAUAGCAUUAAGUUAAUGAUCUUGUUUAGGUCUUCUACUAAAUUAGAGAAGAAACAAACAAAAGUAAUCAAACGUGUUAGUGAUAAUUAUAUCUACUUAACAUUGAGACAAUAGUUGUACUAAUGGUAAUUAUAUUAUUUCUUGAGAGUUUAAACAAUAUAUAUUGAAAAUAUUUUUAAAGGUUUAGCAACUACCAAGGUUAUAAUCAACUACGAGCUUUUUAUUUUUAAAAAUAUGAAAUAUUAAUAUCUUUACUUUCUUUGAUCUUCUUGUAGGUUUUAAAAGUUUGUCUAAGCUGAAAAAGCUGGAAAUCUUAAACCUUCGUGAUAAUCAGUUCAACAAGACCAUUAUAAAACAGUUGAGUGGACUCACAUCCCUUAAAACACUAGUUGUAAGCUACAACUAUAUUGAGGGACUUUUUCCUUCCCAAGGUAUUGCUUAUUCUUUUAAUAUCCUUAGUAACCACUCUACCAUGAUUUUUUUUUUUUUCAAUUUUAUUUUCUUUCUUGAACCAUACAGAAUUAUCUAUUUUUGGAAACUUGAUGACACUGGAUUUAAGAGAUAAUAGACUCAAUGGCUCCCUAUCAAUCCAAGGUAAAUUCUAAUCAGAAUUAUCAUUAUAUUUAGGGCAUAUAAUAAAUUAAUUAAAUUAUUUUAUCUAUUAUCAUUACUUGGUUAUUUGGAUUUUCUUGAUAUUGUUUAGCAUUUUACAUAGGAAAAUGAAAUGGAAAAAUCAACCCAUGCUUAGUGUUUAAGCACUGGGCUAGAAGUAUAUUUGUCUUCCCAAUUUAAUCAAAGAGAAAAGUCAUAAAUAACAUAAUUUAACUUAUACCUUAUAUUGAUUGAAGAGGUUAGACUACUUUUGGAUUUAAUGGUCAAUAUUUGUUGAAGAUAGGGUUUCCUAAAUUUGAUAAAAAGAACUUCAAUUUAAAUUACCAUAACUACAUAAAGGUGUGACUAGCAUAAUUAAACUCUUUUAUUAAUAGAUGUUCAUAGACUAGUAUUAUAAUCCCACAUGCACAAAUAAUCAAAUUUUGAAAUUAGACUUCAAAUAACUAUGCAAUAUACGAAACUACAAAAUGAAUGGUAGGUCAUAAUUAAUUAAAUUCGUACUAUAUUCAAUGUUGGUCAACACGUGUCAAGUAAAAGUUUUGGCCUAAGUGUAAGGGCUCACUUGCUCCAAUAUAUAUGUUAUUCACUUUGGGUCAAGGCCUACUUUAAAAUAUCUAUACAUUUAUGAGAUAUUUUAAAAUGUAAAAUGAUAGGUUUUGAUCAUUUUUAAAGGUAGCAAACAUUUUAUUUUAUUUGUAUUUAAGAACAACGUCUUUUCUUAUACAAUGUUUAUUUAAUUUUCUUUUGAUAGAUUUUGCAAGCUUAAGCAAUUUGGAGAUAUUGGAUUUGAGUUAUAAUUCCUUCAAUGGAAUUGUUUCAUCAUCUAUAAGAUUAAAGUCUUCUCUCAAGUCUUUAUCCUUGGCUGGAAAUAGACUCAAUGGUUCUUUACAAUGUCAAGGUAGGAAACAUUUAAUUUUAUUUGUAUUUAAGAACAAUGUCUUUUCUUAUAUAAUGUUUUUUUAAUUUUCUUUUGAUAGAUUUUGCAAGCUUAAGAAAUUUGGAGAUAUUGGAUUUGAGUUAUAAUUCCUUCAAUGGAAUUGUUUCAUCAUCUAUAAGAUUAAAGUCUUCUCUCAAGUCUUUAUCCUUGGCUGAAAAUAGACUCAAUGGUUCUUUUCAAUAUCAAGGUACAUAUGUUAUGCUUUCUUUGUUUCAUAAAGAUUAGACAAGAUAAACAUUGUGAAAAAAAGGUUGUCAUAGUUAAUGUAAAAUGAUAGGUUUUUGAUCAUUUUUAAAGGUGGCAAACAUUUUAUUUUAUUUGUAUUUAAGAACAAUGUCUUUUCUUAUACAAUGUUAUUUUAAUUUUCUUUUGACAGAUUUUGCAAGCUUAAACAAUUUGGAGAUAUUGGAUUUGAGUGGUAAUUUCUUCAAUGGAAUUGUUUCAUCAUCUAUAAGAUUAAAGUCUUCUCUCAAGUCUUUAUCCUUGGCUAGUAAUAGACUCAAUGGUUCUUUUCAAUAUCAAGGUACAUAUGUUAUGAUUUCUUUGUUUCAUAAAGAUUAGACAAGAUAAACAUUGUGAAAAAAAGGUUGUCAUAGUUAAUGUAAAAUGAUAUGUUUUGAUCAUUUUUAAAGGUGGCAAACAUUUUAUUUUAUUUGUAUUUAAGAACAAUGUCUUUUCUUAUACAAUGUUAUUUUAAUUUUCUUUUGACAGAUUUUGCAAGCUUAAACAAUUUGGAGAUAUUGGAUUUGAGUGGUAAUUUCUUCAAUGGAAUUUUUUCAUCAUCUAUAAGAUUUAAGUCUUCUCUCAAGUCUUUAUCCUUGGCUGUAAAUGGACUCAGUGGUUCUUUACAAUAUCAAGGUACAUAUGUUAUGCUUUCUUCGUUUCAUAGAGAUUAGAGAGGAUAAACAUUGUAAAAAAAAAAAAGUUGUCAUAGUUAAUGCAAGCUAAAACUAAAAAACUUGCUUUUUCAAUUAUGUAAGCAUGUUUUGUUCUUGAUGAAUCUUUACAACAUUCAAAGUUACUAAUAUUUAUAAUUCAUAGAGACCUCAUUAACAACCACUAACAACUAAUUGUAAGUAACUAUGAAAAAAGUAAGGACAAAAAUGAGGGAAAAGCAAGGAAAGUGACAAAUUUUUUCAUCCCCAUAAAAAAUGCUAAGGAAGAAAAAGGUGAAGAAAAUUUAAAGAAAGUAUAUUUUUCAAAAAUUAAAUUUUCUUUCCCUUAAAGUUGGUAUGGACAACCAAACAAGAAAAUGAUUUUGAAAUUCUUUUUUGACUUUUUUCUUUCAUUUUUUUUCCUACUCUAUUUUCUUUCCCUCAAACUUUCUAGGUAGUAAACAUUACCUAAGACAAAUAGGGAAGAAAAUAUUUUAUCAUUUAUUUAUUUAGCAUUUUUCUUACAUUUUUUGUAUUUUAUCCAAAUAUAAGAAAACUAUUUUUCUUUAUUUUUUCUUUUCCUUGUUGCGUUUCAAGAAUCAAGCAUACUUUAAACUCUAAUUAAGAGUUACAUAGAUUUACGAAGAAACGAUGCAACUGGUAACAAAAAAUUAAGGAAAUUUAAUUUUUGAGAGUAAGUAUAAUGAGAUUGGUUUGUUUGAUACAAAAUUUGAAUAAAAAUUCUUUUAAUGAAAAUUCAAGGAAAGGAAAAAAAAAACAACUUUAUCUCUAGACUAUAAUACUAAAUCAAUUAAAAAAAAUCUCCUAACAUCGUUUAUGUUCAUCUUUCUUUUUAUGGAUUUGAAAAACUCAAUAAUUUGGAGAAAACUGAUUUAAGGAAGAAUAUUUUUUAGAGUAAAAGAUUAUUAUUUAAGAAUAUCAUAAAUAUUAUAGUCAUUGUUGAAUAUGAUAAAUGAUAAAUAAAAAAUAAAAAAUAAAUAAAAAGUCGUUGGAAAUUUAGAUACUUUUAUGGAAAGAUAGACAAAGUGCUCUAGUUUAUAAUACUAAUGCACUUUUCUAAUUUGAUAUGAAAAAAGGUAAAACGAUAGGUUUUGAUCAUUUUUAAAGGUAGUUUGUUUAAAUCAUUUUAAUUUAUUUUGAUUUAUGAACAAUAACUUUUAUUACACUAGUUAUUUUGAUUUUCUUUUGAUAGAUUUUGCAAGCUUAAGCAAUUUGAAGGUAUUGGAUUUGAGUUAUAAUUCAUUUAGUGGGAUCGUUCCAUCAUCUAUAAGAUUGAUGUCUUCUCUCAAGUCUUUAUCUCUGGCUGGAAAUGACCUCAAUGGUUCCUUACCAAAUCAAGGUACAUAUAUUGAGAUUACAGGUUUUUCUGUUUUCUUUUUUAAUAUCUUGUUUGUUCUUUAUGCCAAUGAAGUCAUGCAUGUCUAUUAAUUUUUGGUAUUUAAUGAAAAACUUUAUUCUUAAUUCAUAAAGACCUCAUCAACUGUGAGUAACAGCUAGUUGUAAGUUUGGGGGCAUUGACAAGACGAGGAGAUGAUUGGUUACAUGUCUUAUUCUCUUUUGUAGGCUUUUUCCAAUUGAAUAAGCUUCAAGAGUUGGAUCUUAAUUACAACUUAUUCCAAGGGAUCCUUCCUCAAUGUUUGAAUAAUUUGACAUCUCUAAGGUUAUUAGAUCUCUCUUCCAACCUAUUCUCCGAAAAUCUUUCUUCCACUCUGUUACCUAAUCUCACAUCCCUGGAGUACAUUGAUCUCAGUUACAAUCAAUUUGAGGGUUCAUUCUCUUUCAGCUCUUUUGCUAAUCACUCCAAGCUUCAAGUGGUCAUACUUGGAAGUUAUAACAACAAAUUUGAGGUAGUUGGAAGGGAUAACAACAAAUUUGAGGUAGAAACUAAAUAUCCAGUUGGUUGGGUUCCCCUGUUUCAGUUGAAACCUCACCGGUGACCUUCCUGGUUUUCUUCAAUACCAAUUUAGAUUAACGGCAGUUGAUCUCUCCCAUAAUAACUUGACAGGAAGUUUCCCCAAUUGGCUGCUUGAAAACAAUACGAGAUUGGAAUUUCUGCUCCUGAGGAAUAACUCUUUAAAGGGUCAACUACUUCUCCUAGGACCUAAUACCCUGAUCAGUUCGUUGGAUAUCUCACACAAUCAGUUGGAUGGACAACUUCAAGAAAAUGUGGCCCAUAUGAUUCCAAAUAUUUGGAAGUAUUCCCAAUUCAAUCUCUAGACUUCUAGAGCUAAGGAUUCUUUUGCUAAGAGGAAACCUUUUAAGUGGUUUCAUUCCAUAUCGACUUUGUCAUUUGACUAAAAUAAGCUUGAUGGAUCUUUCAAACAACAAUUUUUCUGGGUUAAUUCCUGGAUGCUUUGGUCAUAUCGGAUUUGGAGAUUUCAAAACUGAGCACAAUGUGUAUAUACCGAUGUUGGAUUCAUAUUCAGAAAGCAAUCCUUCUAUAUAUACGGGUUACUUAAUAAAAUAUUUAUUUUUCUCUAGUGAACUCCCUGAUAAAGUAGAUGAAGUUAAGUUUGUUACCAAGAAUAGGUAUAGCUCCCACAUAGUAGAUAAAAAUAUUUGUUCGGAAUUUAGAUAUUUUUAUAGAAAAGUAGACAAGUAUUCUAAUUUAUAAAAACAAUGCAUUUCUUUAGUUUGGUAUAAAAAAAUGAAAUGAUAGGUAUUGGUAAUUUUUUUUAAAGUAGCAAACGUUUUAUUUUAUUUGUAUUUAAGAAAGAUGUCUUUUCUUAUACUAGUUAUUUUAAUUUUCUUUUGACAGUUUUUGCAAGCUUAAGCAAUUUGGAGAUACUAGAUUUGAGUUCUAAUUCCUUAAGUGGGAUUAUUCCAUCAUCUAUAAGAUUGAUGUCUCAUCUCAAGUUUUUAUCGCUGGUCGGAAAUCACCUCAAUGGUUCUUUACAAAAUCAAGGUACAUAUGUUAUGAUUUGUUUGUUUCAUAUAGAUUAGAGAAGAUAAAUAUUGUAAAAAAAAAAAGUUGUAGUUAAUGUAAGUUAGAAAAAAGUAUCUUGCCUUAUAAAUUAUAUAAGCACGUGUUUGUUCUUAAUGAAUCUUUACAACAUUUAGAGUUACCAAUCUUUAUAAUUCAUAAAGACCUCAUAAACACUGAGUAACAACUAAUUGUAAGUAAUUGUGGAAAAGUAAGGAAAACAAAUUGCUUCAUUUGAUACAAAAUUCGAAUAAAAAUUCUUUUAAUGAAAACUCAAGGAAAGGAAAAAACAUUUUUAUCUCUAGAUUAUAAUACUAAAUCAUGUAAAAAAUCUCGUAACAUCAUUUAUAUUCAUAUUUCUUUUUAUAGAUAUGAAAAAUUCAACAAUUUGGAAUAAACUUAUUCAAUGAAGAAUAAUUUUUAGAUUUAAAGAUUAUUAUUUAAGAAGAUCGUAAAUAUUACCAUCAUUGUUGAUGUCUAAGAAGAUCAUAUUCAACAAUUUUUUUAAUAUGUUGUUUUCUAUGGUAAUUAAUUGAUGUCUUGUAAUUUUUAAUAUUUAAUGAAAAACAUUAUUUUAAUUCAUCUAGAGCUCUUAAUUCAUGAAGACCUCAUUAACGGUGAGUAAUAGUUGGCUGUAAGUUUGGAGUCAAAGACAUUUCAAGGAGAUGAUUAGUUACAUGUCUUGUUCUCUUUUGUAGGUUUCUGCCAAUUGAAUAAGCUUCAAGAGUUAGAUCUUUCUUACAACUUAUUCCAAGGGACCCUUCCUCCAUGUUUGAAUAAUUUGACAUCUCUGAGGUUAUUGGAUCUCUCUUCCAACCAUUUAUCCGGAAAUCUUUCUUCGCCUCUGUUACCUAAUCUCACAUCCCUGGAGUAUAUCGAUCUCAGUUACAAUCAUUUUGAGGGUUCAUUCUCUUUCAGCUCUUUUGCUAAUCACUCCAAGCUUCAAGUGGUCAUACUUGGAAGUGAUAACAACAAAUUUGAGGUAGAAACUGAAUAUCCAGUUGGUUGGGUUCCCCUGUUUCAAUUGAAGGCUCUUUUCCUAUCCAACUGCAAGCUCACCGGUGACAUUCCUGAUUUUCUUCAAUACCAAUUCAAAUUAGAGGUGGUUGAUCUAUCCCAUAAUAACUUGACAGGAAGGUUCACCAAUUGGUUGCUUGAAAACAACACGAGACUAGAAUUUCUAGUCCUAAGGAAUAACUCUUUAAUGGGUCAACUACUUCCCCUGAGACCUAAUACCCGUAUCCUUUCAUUGGAUAUCUCACACAAUCAGUUGGAUGGACGACUUCAAGAAAAUGUGGGCCAUAUGAUUCCAAAUAUUGUGUUUCUAAAUUUAUCCAACAAUGGUUUUGAAGGUCUUCUCCCAUCCUCAAUAGCUGAAAUGAGUUCCUUAAGGGUGUUGGAUUUGUCUGCCAAUAAUUUCUCAGGAGAAGUACCAAAGCAGUUGCUUGCAACAAAAGAUUUGGUGAUUCUAAAAUUAUCAUAUAAUAAAUUUCAUGGUGAAAUAUUUUCAAGGGACUUUAACAUGACUGGGUUGGAUAUUUUGUAUUUAGACAAUAAUCAGUUCAUGGGAACUCUGUCAAAUGUAAUCUCCGGAAGCUCUCAGUUAAUGGUGUUGGAUGUGAGCAACAACUACAUGUCAGGUGAAAUUCCAAGCGGGAUAGGUAACAUGACAGAAUUGAGAACAUUGGUCAUGGGCAACAAUAAUUUUAGAGGCAAAUUACCACCUGAGAUUUCUCAAUUGCAACAGAUGAAGUUUCUUGACGUUUCUCAAAAUGCUCUUUCAGGAUCUCUUCCUUCUUUGAAGAGCAUGGAGUAUUUAGAGCAUCUACAUUUGCAAGGGAACAUGUUUACAGGAUUAAUACCGAGAGAUUUUCUCAAUUCCUCAGAUCUAUUGACUUUGGAUAUGCGAGAUAACAGGUUAUUUGGAAGUAUUCCCAAUUCAAUCUCUGCACUUUUGGAGCUAAGGAUUCUUUUGCUAAGAGGAAACCUUUUCAGUGGUUUCAUUCCAAAUCAUCUUUGUCAUUUAACUAAAAUAAGCUUGAUGGAUCUUUCAAAUAACUCUUUUUCAGGGCCAAUUCCCAAAUGCUUUGGCGAUAUCCGAUUUGGGGAGAUGAAAAAGGAGAAUGACGUGUUUAGACAGUUCAUUGAUUUUGGGUAUGGAGGGGAUUCUCGUAAUUUAUAUGUUGGAUUCACGGUGAAAAAAUGGGAGUUCGAUAGUGAUGUAUAUGAUGAAAAAAAUGAAGUUGAGUUUGUCACCAAGAACAGGCAUGACUCCUACAGUGGUGACAUCCUUAAUUUCAUGUUUGGAUUGGACUUGUCAUGUAAUAACUUAACCGGUGAAAUCCCUCACAAACUUGGAAAGCUAAGUUGGAUUCAUGCAUUGAACUUGUCUCACAAUCAAUUGAAGGACUCCAUUCCAAAGAGUUUCUCCAAUCUUUCUCAAAUAGAGAGCUUGGACCUUUCUUAUAAUAAAUUAAGUGGAGAAAUUCCUCUAGAGCUAGUUGAACUCAAUUUUCUAGAGGUGUUCAGUGUGGCUUACAACAACAUCUCUGGUAGAGUUCCAGAUACAAAAGCACAAUUUGGGACAUUUGAUGAAAGAAGCUAUGAAGGUAAUCCUUUUCUCUGUGGGACAUUGUUAAAGAGAAAAUGCAACACAAGUAUCGAGCCACCAUGCGCACCAUCACAAUCUUUUGAAAGUGAGGCAAAAUGGUAUGAUAUCAAUCAUGUUGUUUUCUUUGCAAGUUUUACUACUUCAUAUAUCAUGAUCUUGUUAGGAUUUGUUACCAUCCUUUACAUCAAUCCUUAUUGGCGUCAUAGAUGGUUCAAUUUUAUCGAGGAAUGUAUAUAUUCCUGUUAUUAUUUUGUUUUUGAUAAUCUUUCCAAGUUAUCAGCAUAUUUGUAUAAUUAGAUACUUUUAAUUGGAUGAUGUUUGCAUAAUUAACUACUAUUUGUUUCCACUAGAUAGAAAGAAAUGGGAUGUAUAAUUGCUACAAGUUGAAACUUACAUACUUUGCUCAAAUUUUGACAUCUUUUGAUUUUAUUUUCAAGUUCCGUUAUUUUUUAUGUAUUGUUUAAUUCAAGAUUUAACCAUAUUUUGUUACUCUUAUAAAAACAAAUUCAAAUUUUUAGGAAGUUUUAGCAUUAAAAUAAUUUCAUAGUCAUAUUUUAAAAAAUAAAGAAGAAAGAAAAUAAUAAAUAAUUGGAAAAACAAUUCAAGGGAGUAUUAAAUUAUCAUCUUAGAAUUGUUUGGCAUAGUAUGGGAAUUCAAAAAUAAUCUUUCAAUUUGUUAGAAGCGUUUAUUUAUUUAUUAUAGCAAUGAUUGAAAUAUCAAUCACAAAGCAAUGUUUUCUUUUCUUUUGUAGGGCACUAACACUUUUUCUUUGAUCGUAAUAAUUGAUAAAUAUAUUACACAAUUAUUUGUUUUUAAAAAGGGAGGGAUGACAAAUAUAAUAACAUGUGAAAUAUUUCUAAAUGAUGGGAAAUAAGCCAAUCUAAUUAGGGUGCAAUAUUAUUCAUUUUAAUUUAUAUGAAUUUACUUAUUUUUAUUUGUAUCAUAUUUUGAACCAUUUUAUGAAAUUAAGGGAGAUUAAAACAUCGAGUUUCUUAUUUUAAUUUAUAUUUUUAAUAAUAAAGCAUGAAAUAUUUUUUUUUUUAAAAUCAUGAAUUUCUUUAAUUCCUUAGGAAACCAAUAUAUAAAAAAAUUGAAUAUAUUAUGAUUUUAUGUCCUAAAUCUCUAAAUUUGUUCAUCACGUAUUUAUUUUUAUAUUAAAUUUAUUAUUAUUAAUUAUUUAUUAUAUAUUAUUAUUUUAUGUUUAAAAAUGUCCAUAAAUAAUUAAAAUUAAUAAAUAAAAAAAAUGAAAUAUUAAAAAAAUUAAAUUAAAAAGAUUUCAUCAAACUAACAUAUUUAAAAAAAAAAAAAAGCAAAAAGAAGAUGGGGAUAUUAUAGAUGAGGGGAAAAAGAUAAAAAAUAAAUAAAAAUUAUGCGGUAUGAUAAUUGCCUCGUGUUAAAGUUAUUUUCUUUUAAAAAUAAUAAUUGUAAUGAUGAACUCAUUUGUCUUAUUAAAGUAAACAAAAAUGAAGAAAAAAAAAAAGUUGUAGUUGGCUAGAGGUGAGAGAGAGAGAGGAGGGUUUGAGUGUAAGUUUGAAAUAUUAAUUAUUUUCACUAAGUAGAUAUUUUGAAGGUUAUUUUCCCCAAAACACAUAUUCUUUUAAUAAAAAAUCAAAAUUUUAGAUUAUUUGUUCCUUUAAACUUUAGUUUGAAUAAAAUUAGUUUUAAUUAUUUUCUUUUUGGAAUUAUAUUUAACACAUUAUUAAAAAUAUAAAAAAAUAUUAUUAGGUUUUUAUGUGCUGAUUGGGUUUUUUAAAUACCCAAUAUGCCCUCCAAUCUACCACUUAAGCAUCCGAUAUGGCUAAAAAUAAAUUAAAAAAAAAAAAAAGGAAAAAAAACAAAAGUGUAUGAUCCUCUUUCUCGAGUCUUCACAUUUUCAGACACUGAACCCAAAUCAAAAUUAAUCCUCCAAAUUAAUUUUCACCUCGAACCCAAACCCUAACUGCUGCCCCGUUUUCUCCUCAAACAUAGCUAUCCGAAAAACCCUAACCUCUGCCUCGUCUUCCUCUUAUCCCGGAAACCUAAAUCCCGUGACCCUAACCCCUUCUCUUUCCGAAAACCCUCCGGAAUAGGAAGAUUCAUAAUUCUUCAGAAUUAAUUUUCACCUCGAAGCCAGACCCUAACUGCCUCAUCUUCCUCUCAUUCAUAUCCUAAAAGUAGCUUCAACAGUCAGGCCUGUAGCCAUGAAAGCCGUAAUGAUCGCCACUUCCGGUGAUCCCCAAGUUCUCCAAGUGCAAGAAGUCGAAAACCCUAAAAUUGGAGAUGAUGAAGUUCUAAUUAGAGUGGACACCGCUACCAUUAAUCGAGCAGAUACGCUUCAGGGAAAGGGCUUGCACCCUCCCUCAAAGGCGGCAGUCCCUACCCCGGCCUCGAAUGUUCUGGAAUCAUCGAAGCUGUUGGAAGGGUCGUCGUUCGAUGGAAGGUUGGCGAUCAGGUAUUUCAAUUACUGAAUAUUUUUUCCUGUUCCUGUAUUUUUCUCGGCUAUCAAACACCAGGAACGCGUAAAUAAGGAGGUUAGCUGAUUGCGAAAACGGAAAUUUUUUGUUCGUGUUUGUGUUAAGGAGUCUUUGUUGAGAAUUUUGGGGAAAUUUAUGAUAAGUUUGUGAUUUUAUGAUUAAUUUUGUGUAUCAAUAAAUGUUAAUUAUUGAGCUUAUUGGUUUUUCAAAUUUAUGGUUGUAAGAAAAUUGGUCAGUGUAAGGUUAUGGGUUCAUUACCAAUUUGCUUACUGAAAAUUUUUCCAGAUAUUGUGGGCUGGUUUGGUAGCAGAAAUAAGAACUGUGUUUUCUUUUCCAAAACGGAAAUAGAUGUAGAAAACAUGUUUGGUAGCCUACUUUCAGAACUUGUUUCUGAAAAUAUUUCCUGAAAAUAUUUCCUGAAAAUGAAUUAUUUCAGAACUUGUUUUUAAAAACUGCAAGCACUUUAUCAAUUUAAAAGGUUCUGAAAUGGACAUGUUCAUGGUCUUCAUUUUGUAAAAUGAAAGCUUUUAUGAAAAAACCAUUUUCCAUUCUACUAAGCAAACAGGCUUUAUAUUGUAACGGAUCUAUUGGCCAUCUCCUUUGUCAUGUUUUGUGAAUCAUGGCAACACUGGAAUCCACUCCAUUACUCUCUAUUAGUGAUUAGGAGAGAAAGCACCGAUUUUAAUGCUAUACUUUAUGUGAUUUUGCUUCCUCCUGAGUACAAGUUCAUAAUAUAUAUGGUACAUGGUACAUGUCUGUAUGACAGUUUGUGGUAUACAGAUGUGUGCUCUUCUUUCUUGUGGUAUACAGUUUGUGGUGGAGGGUAUGCUGAAAAAGUGGCUGUUCCAGCUGGGCAAGUUCUUCUUGUCCCAUCUGGUGUUUCUCUAAAGGAUGCUGCCGGUAUUCCUGAGGUUGCAUAUCCUGUUUGGUUUUAAUGAUGAGCCGACUGUCUGCAGGAGAAACAUUCCAGGUGAAUUUUCAUUUUUUUUUAUUUUCUGAUGCCUGAUAUAUUUACCAGUACAUAACUUAGCUUAAUGGGGUUGUGCAUAUUCUAAUGGUUUAAAAAGUCCAAUGCGCACAAAUUUACACUGUUGGUGUUUAAUGUGUGUGCAUCAAUAUUGGAUUAGGGAGGCAGAAGAGCCAUGGUUUUUAUUAAAACAUUACAUCAUCAUAUUCUUAUUUAGAUACAUCGCGUCUCACGAUUUCAUUGCAUCCAAGGCCAUGUUGUUUUUGAUUGCAUGGUUUGUCAUGAUAAUUUCUCAACCCUUCUCUGGAAAAUUAUGUUGGAUGGCUGAUAUUAAUUACCCCAAAAGAAGAAAUUUUAUGUUGAAGUAAGAUGAGUACCACAAAGAGUUACUUUUGGUUGUUCCUAUCAUCAAAUAGGUGAUUGAUGCACAAUCCAAAUGGCAAACACUUUUUCCCCCUUUAUCCAGAUGGAAUUUUUAUGCAUGGAUGAAUUGUGAAAUGAGGACUGAUAAUAUUUCAGGUUCAUGGGGGUUCAAUUGGAAUUGGUACGUUUGCUAUUCAAAUAGCGAAAUACCGAGGAGCAAGGGUAUUUGUUACAGCAGGUUUGCCAUCACUAUUCUACCUCAUCUCAUGGCACCAAUUCCUUGUCUUCACAUGUUUUCGACCAUUUUUUACAACUGAAAACGAGGAAAAAUUAGCUGUUUGUAAGGAUCUUUGAGCAGAUGUGUGCAUCAAUUACAAGACAGAAGACUUUGUUGCUUGGGUGGAGGAAACAGGAGGGAAAGGUAUAUUCUAUUGUAUCCUAACAAUAAUUUCAGUUGAAGAUGGAAUUGCUUUUAAUUUUUUAGUGCACCAAAUCCACUAGUCUGGUAUGUUUGAAAAGAUAAGUAGUCAUCUUCCACUUGAUUCCGAUUGUGAAGAUCUAACUCCAAAAAUGUUGAAUGACAGGUAUUGAUGUUAUACUGGAUAAUAUUGGACGGGCCUACUUUGAGGGAGACAUCGAUAGUUUAAAUGUUGAUGGAAGGCUUUUUAUUAUUGGUUUUUAAGGGUGGAACAGUUGCAGAAGUAAAUCUUUCAGGUUUACUUGCAAGGUGCCUUACAGUGCAAGGUACCACUUUCUCUAUAGAAGAUUUUUCUGUAGUUUUGGAGUUGAUUCAAUUUGAUUAAUCUCAUCCAAGUUCAGAACUGAGGUGGAUUCUGGCAAGCCAAGGAAAAACCAAAUUACCAUAAAUUCUUUUUUUUCUGGAUUGUUUUACUUCUUGGAAAUCCUGUUUCUUGAUCUGGUCAGGUAUAUGGAAAUUCCAAGGAAAAUAUGUUUUACAUUUUCCAUAAUUGGAAACACUCAGGAAUUUAAUAUUUUCCUCUGAAAUAGCAAUGGUUUUCUAAUUACGACAUUUGUUUUUCUUGUAUCAUCCCAAAAUAUUUUUUAGGUGUUUGUUCUCUCUUGACACAGCUUUUAAUUGGGUCUGUCUUGCUUUUUGAUAGAUCUCUUGACAAGUUGCUUGUAUAUCAUACUUUCUUUAUUGUUUUCGGAUCAUGAACCUUGCUUCUGUCAGCCCUGUUAUCACUACCCAAACUAGUAAAUUUAUGCACAAAACUCCAUGUGUCAGUAACAGUGGUUAUUUGAUUGUAUUAAAUAAUUUGUAAAUACAUUGGAUAAGUUUGUACUAAAUGGCAAUUGUUUCUGCAGUGGCUGGUUUGCAAAACAGAAGUCUGGAAAAGAAAUCUGUAAUUGUGAGUGAGGUGGAGAAGAAUGUUUGGCCUACAAUCACAGGCGUACAAGUAUUUUCCAUUGACGGAAGCAGUAGAGGAUCACCAGCUCAUGGAAAGCAGCAAGCAUAUUGGGAAGAUACCACAUAUUCCAUUAUGUUAUGGUUAUGAAUGAUCUUAUGCCUCAGAGGGGGAUGACAUGAUUUUAAAACUCUUAAUGAGCAUCUACUAUCUGAUACAAUGUGUGAUGCGCGCAGGCCUAGAUGGUCAAUGCUUAGUUUCUUAUGUAGCCCUGUCAUUUGAGAAUAAAAACCAGCCUUCCCGUCCAAACAUUUAGACUACUGGAAUCUAAAGCCUCAAGAUGGUUGACAAUGAAUUUUCAUGUGGAAACAGAUCAUAACUCUCCAACCUCCACAGACGAGCUUACCUUCCUUAUCUGAAGUUUGAACAAAACUGUAUAAAACUGUUAGGUAGGUAGAACUGUCUAAGAAACCAGAGCUUGGCUAGUUGAUCACCUUAUUUACAGAGCUUGGAUGUGAGAGAAACCAGCGCCCCUAAAGGUCAGGACAAGAUCCAUUCCACCAAAGUUGAGCCUUGCAUGUAGUCACCUGGUAUUUUCUUUUAUUGGAGUCUUCCCCUCUACCCUGGCACUGGGAUUGAAAGCGAAUGAAAAACGUGCACAGAUUGAAGGUGUGCUGCUUGAGUUGAUUGUGGUUUGAGCAUGAAAAUUUGAAGAUCCAGAACAGCAAAUGAGGAAUGCCUAUCAAUUUGAAACCAGCAUGGGUGGAUGAAUGGAGAGGUUCUUCACUGAAUUUGUCCAUGAAGCUUUUUAGCACUCUAGGGCAAGGGUCUCCAAGACUAGCUGUUGAUUGCACAUCCCUCCUGCGCAAUACGAAGAACAGAGUGAAAUGCAAAUGCAGGAAAGGGUGUUUCUUAGCUGUUCAACAACUGACAAUACAUUGGCAUGACAAUUCCCUGGAUCGAUGCCCUCUUGGAGUUCCAAAGCUUGUUCACAGGUCAAUUGAACUUGAGGGUUUUGGGACAUGUACUCCAAGUUUGGUUGCCAAGAAUCUCCAGGUGGAGGAUCAGCUUCUGACACGUGUGCACACACCUCUUGGCCAGUUUGUGUUAUUGCAAUUUUAAUAAAUUGCAAAAAAAAAUUAUUGCCAACAAUUUUUUCUUUUUUUCUUUUUUCUUUUUAAACAAACUGCAAAAAUCCUUUUUUUUUUUUAUAAAAAAAAAAAAAAAAAAAAUUUCUCCAACAAAGUGAUUUUUUUUUUUUUGUGGCAUGACUCGGUUUGACCACUAACUCGGUGAACUGGUCUACCGGCUCAAGUUUGGAUCCCUUAAUUUUGUGGCAAAUUGGGCCUCAAGCCCAACAACCUAACUUCCACGCGGGCUAUCUAUAAUAGGUUAAUAUUGCAAACCAAAAUAAUAAUAGACAUGAUUCUUUUCAAAAAUUUUAUAAUGUAAUAUUUUUUAAAAUUAUAAAAUAAUAGGUUAUAUAAAUUUUAAUAUAUAGGUAAAAUUAAUUAAAUUUUAACAAAUAUCUUCACAUUUAGACAUUACAUAUCUUUUAUUUAAUAAAAUGUUAAAAUAUUAAUAUAUCUAAAUAUAAUAUUAAAAAUGAAAAAUAAAAUAGUAAUAAUUUUUAUUUUUUUUAUAUAUUUAAAUUUAUAUAAUUAUUAUUUAUUUUAAAAACAUACAAAUUGUAUAUUUAUAAUAUUAUUAGUUCAACUGUGAUUCAACCAUCGCUCCGAUUAUUCAAUUGUGAAUUAAUAAAUUUUUUAAUUCAAUGAUAGGUUUGAUCAUAAAAAUAUUAUGUUUUUUUUAUGAAAAGUACUCAAGAAAUAUCAUUAAUCACUAAGAUCACGUGGUUGGGUUAGGUGUAUCCGAAACAUAGGUAUUACUCUCUUCCUUAGUUAGGGCUUAGCUUUUGAAAAUGUAGAUAGGUAAAGUGGAUGGAAAGUCUAUAACUACGUAGAGAUUGAGCUUGGAGGCCAAUCUAGCAAAUGUGGAGAUUAGAAAUAGUUUACCAUCUAGAUAGUCAAGCAUAGCAAUUUACCAAACCCUUACCAACCAUCCAUACUAACCAAUUGUGGUUAAAUGUUUACAAAAAUGUACAUUAAAUCAAAGAGAAAAAAGAUUAAAAACGAACAAGAGAGAAGAAGUACGUCACCUAAUUUUGGUAAUAAAUGAAAUUAAAAUAAAUUCAUAAAUUUUUUAAAUUAAAAUGAAUUUGAACUUUAGAGAUUUGUGUAGAUAUCUUAUUAAAAAACCAAAAAGUUUGUUGCAUAUAUAAUUUCAACAAUGCAUAAAUAAUUACAACAUACGCAAUACAAUAAUAUUACACAAUUAUAUUUUCAAAUAUAAUAUAAGAUCAUUAAAGUGAUAAAUUGUAGUUGUAUAAAAUAUUUAUACAAGUAAAGAAGAAAUUAUGAGAUUAAAAUGCUUGUUGGAUUCUAAGUAAAAAAGAAAUGAGAUAUAGAAAUUGUCCCAUCAGACAUAUAAAAUUUCAUAUACAUAAUUUUCCCUUCAAGAAAAUUUAGGGUCAAAUUGAAAAAAUUUCAUUCAUAGAUUUUGGUAAAACCUCUAUCUAGUCCCCCAAGUCUUGUAUACAAAAGGAAAUAACAUUGGUAUGAGGGGUUUGAAUGCUUAAUUUUAGAUUGAAAAUGGUUGAGAUAAUUUUUGAUCGACUUCACAUGUGUUUUUGAUAAACUUGGAACAUUCAAACUUGUAUUUGAAGAAUCUUCAAAUCUUCAAUUUGCUCUUAAAUAAUGUUGAAACCUUUGAAAUUUGAAUAGAAGAAUCUUUAAGCAUUUGAAUUUUGGUUUAAAGAAUUUUGAAAUUUGAGAUUGAAGAAUCUUCAAAUUUGGGCCUGAAGAUCGAAGGCUAAGCUUGAAGAGUUCUUGAAGCUUGAGUGGUAUCUCUGAUUUUGUAUUGUAUUUUAUAAAAACUUUUAAAUAUAUUAUAUUUAUAGGUUUGAAGAGACAUUGAGAUUUUGUAUACAUGUUUGGAGUUUUAAACCUUGAAAUAUUACUCUUUUAUGAAAUUAACAUUUAUAAAAUUUGGAAGAACAUAAUUAGAUAAUAUUUUAAGUUAUUUUUAAUGAAAAUUGAUAAUUACCUUUUAAUUAUCAAAUUCACUAUUUCUAUUUAUUUUUGUAAUAUAUAUUAAUUACUAAAAUCAUUUAUUUCCUUUAUUUAGUUUGAAAGCAAUUAUAUAUCUUUUGUUUGUGUAGAGCUCAUGUGACACGACAAAUUUUAUUUUGUAACUUGCUCUGAAUGAAUGGCCAUUAUAAACUUCAUUUUAUCCUCAUCUGAUUUUGACGUGGGAAUAGGAGAGAUGAGGAUUUGACAUUUGGACCUAAGCCUCAGAGGGUUUUAACUCCACUCAACUACUUUAUGCCUUGUAUUUAAUAUUGCAAACCAAAAUAAUAACAGACAUGAUCCUUUUCAAAAAUUUUAUAAUAAUAGAAGUGUAAAUAAUAUAAGUAAAAAUAAUGUAAUAUUUUUUAAAAUGAUAAAAUAAUUGGUUAUAUAAAUUUUAAUAUAUAGGUAAAAUUAAUUAAAAUAUUUAAACAUUACAUAUCUUUUAUUUAAUAAAAUGUUAAAAUAUUAAUAUAUUUAAAAUUGUAUAAUUAUUUUUUAUUUUAAUACUAUAUAAAUUGUAUAUUUAUAAUAUUACUGGUUCAACUAUAAUUCAAUCACCGGUCCAACCAUUGAACCAUGAAUUAGUAAAUUUUUUUAUUCAAUGAUAGGUUUGAUUCUAAAAACAUUAUGUUUUAUAUAAAAAGUAUUUAAGAAAUAUCAUUAAUGGAUUAUCACUGGUUGGGUUAGGUGUAUCUGAAACAUAGGUAUUACUCUCUUUUUUAAUCGGGGCUUAGCUUUGGAAAAUACAAACAGGUAAAAUGGAUGGAAAGUCUCUCAUAUUAAGUUGAUUAAUUAAGUCAAAACGUUGUUACAACCAUGGAAGAAAAUAUCGGUAAUCACGGAUAUAUCGAUACUUCGAUUUUACGGAUAUAUCGGAUAUAUCGGAGAUAUAUCGGAUAUAUCGGAGAUAUAUCGGCGGAUAUUCUGGAAAAAAAUAUCGGUAGACUUAAAAUUGUUAAAAACUCAUGGAAAUGCAAGAAAAACCUCAUAAUAAUAUAAUUAGAAGUAUAAUUGACAUUUUAAAGUUGUUUUAUUGAAAAAUUUGAUAUAUAUAUAUGAUAUAAUUUACGAUAUUUGAUGUAAUUACAUCAUGUCGAUCUAUAAGAAAUGUUAAUUUUGUAAUUGUUCUCAUUAUAAAGUCACAUAAAAUAUUUCAUUUUAUUAAAUAUCAAUAAUUUGUACACAUUAAAUUCAUUAAAUAAACAUAUUUCAUAUUCAAAAUAUACUAUUUCAUGUUAAUUAAAUUAAUUAAAUAAUUUAGCUAAGUUAACUAGUUUAAUUUAAUUCUAAAUGUGAAAAUAAAUCACAAAUAAUCAUCUAAAAUAAACAUAUCAAUUUAUAAUUAAAUAAUCAAAUUAACCUAAGUUAAUUCAAUAAAAAUAUAAAAAUUAAUUACAAUUGAAUGUAAAAAUAAUAUUAAAUCAUCCAUAUUGCAAACAUACUAAUUAAACAAUAUAAAAUAAAUAAUGAUAUAUAUAUAUAUAUAUAUAUAUAUAUAUAUAUAUAUAUAUAUAUAUAUAUAUAUAAUUUUUUAAUAUUUAAUUAAUUAUUAAUGAUAUUAAAAACAUUAUGAAGAAAAUUAUAUAAUUUUUAUAUUUUUGGUAAUUAAUUAAAAGACUUUGCAUUUAAUUAUAAAAUAAUUAUAAUUAAUUUGCUAUUUAAAAUAUUCUUAUAUUUUCUUUAUAUAAUGAAUUUAAGUAUAUAUAUAAUUGUUGCAUAUUAUAUAUCAAGGGCAACUUAGCUCAGGUGGUAAGCGGAUGAACCCCAAACCUUUUGAUUUGGGGUUCAAAUCCUCUCAGCAGCAAGAAAAUAGAGGCACUGUAGCGCGUUGACGGGCACUGUAUUGCCGAAAUAUCGUGACAUUUUCUACUACUUCUUUGACUGCUUUAUGUGAAUUGGAGUAAUUACUUGCUCAUUGUGAAAUGUUUUCCAAUAGACUAUCAUUUAAUGGAUAACUAUGGAAGAGGAGUUUGGUUGAAAGAAAAAGAUCAAUAAAGUCAAAAUAAAUUAUUAAAACUAUUUUUUUUGAUGGAUUAUAUCAAUCUAGAUAAUGUCAAAGAUAUUACCAAUUUGAUAUCACCAAUUGAUAACACAAUUAAAAAAUAAUAUGAAUUUGAACAUAUUUCAAUUCAUUGUAAUCAUAUCCAUGACCUAAUUUUACACAUCCUUAAAUCAUGGUUGAGUUAUGAAACAAAUCUAUACCAUCAAUAGAAAAUAAAUAAAUAAAUAAAUACAAAAAAAUAUAUAGAUAGUCAAGCAUAGCAAUUUACCAAACCCUUAGCCACCAUCCAUACUAACCAGUUGUUGUUAAAUGUUUACAAAAAUAUACAUUAAAUCAAAGAGUAAAAAGAUUAAAAACAAACAAGAGAGAAGAAAUACAUCACCUAAUUUUUGUAAUAAAUGAAAUUAUAAUAAAUUCAUAAUUUUUUUAAAUUAAAAUAGAAAUUCAAAUACAUGUAACUAUUGUUUUUGUCUUGUAAAUCAUCCAAUUUUUCAAUGAAUUUAAACUCCACAGAUUUGUGUAGAUAUCUUAUUAAAAAAAGCAAAAAGUUUUCACUAAAAUCAUAAAAUUUAGAUUAGAAAUGAUUUACUAUAUUAGUUCAAAAUUCAUCUCCACAAAAAUUGAAAUAAAUUAAUUAUCUUCAAUUCAAAUAAAAUUUCUCCAAUUAAAUUUCCAAAUAUGUGCCUUAAUACCUAUAAUGUAAUUUGUAAUUUUAAUUAAAAAAUAAAUAAAAAUAAGGAUUUGAUCUUUUUCUUACCAUUUGAUGAAAAUUAUAAAAUAUAUUAAAAUUACAAGUGAUCAGACAUUUGAAAUUUGCAUCAUUUCUACCAUUGCAAACACCACCAACUCCAUAUUUCCCAUUUUUCUACCUGCUGCCAAUUCACUCAUCUCUCUAGGAAGAUUUUUGAGGUUAUCGUCAUGCUUGAGAUAAUCCAGAAAGUUGAUUUGGAAAAUUUCUUUUGUAAAAUUCCCCAUUAUCAUGCCCUAAACCAAGACAUAUCAUGAUUGGAUGGCCCCUUCACCAAUUUCACAAUAUCCAAUAGCAUAUCAUCUACUUCCAUUUUGUCAAUGGGAAUUACCAUUUUGCAUGGGAAGCACCAACGAAGAUGGGGGUUUUCAAAUUGGAUCACUAGCAAGGAAACCCACCGCAACAAUCUGAAUUAUUGAGCACAACAUCGGCUUUAGAGAACCCCUCCUGAAGGCGAAAUCGUCAUCUUGGCUAAACGUAGUCAUAGUUGGGUUGUGAGAAAUGGAGAUGAAUCACAGAAGGCUUUCAGUUUGACAGCAACGAAAAGGUAAAUGUACUCUAGAGAAGUUUUGACCUUGGGAGAAGUGCUUUUGAAUCCAAGUCAAGGUCUGUUCUGGAUCCCUUUUUGACUCUUUCUAUUAAAGGAAGAUAAUCUGCCUAGGAUUUGGAUGCAAGCCUGCAAGGCCAUGUUUAGGAGACUUAUGCAAAAUAUUUAUCCAUAGCUCCCCGCUUGAAACAUCUACAUAAAGCGUCUUCCAAGUGUGAACCAUCGUCUUGGGUCCUUGAGAUGAACCCAACUAUUUAGCAAAUUCUAGAGCUCUCAUUCCAAAUCCAUCAGUUUUCCUAGAUGAUUGGCCAGUGGAGAUCCAUGGAUAUAACAUAUGAAAUGUGCACAAUAAAAGUAACCAAACGGUUGGUUGGUUUGGCUGAAUCCCACAAUCGCAAAGACUUAUCAUACGAAACUGUUACCAACUGAGUUGAAUUUGGCAUAAAAAGGAUAUUCGUUACUACAAACUAGCGUUCUUUCGUGGUGCUCUCUUUUUGUAGGCUAUCCAUGUUCCAAAGAAAAACCCUCGUCAUGUCUGGCAUUGGGUACUGAUUAGAGUGUGGGAUGUUCAUUCUCCAUUAUCACCAAACAUAUGCAGGAUAUAUAUAUAUAUAUCCUGCAUAUGUUUGGUGAUAAUUCAAAAUAUGCCUUCAUUUUAUGGAACAUACCCGAAUCCAUUUUGUUUGUGUUGAAGAGGUGUAGAUCUUCUAAGGCUAUGAAGGGCACCACAUUUUCUAAGAAUUCUCUCUGACGAUGGGAAGUCAGAGAGAACAGGUUCUGUUUUUAUUUUGAAAACGUUGUUAUCCUUAAAGAACAAACACUAUUCUUUGGAUUUAUACCCUCCUACCUUAGGGAUCAUACCGUUUGGCUAUUGGGCCUCACGAGUCUUAGGCCCAUCAUCUAAGACCCGUGAUGGCAUUGGGCUCUACACAUAAGGUGGCCCAUACUCUAGAACGAAUAGAAAUCAUAUGUAUAUAUAUGGAUAGCUAAAUCCUGAACAAUGGUUAAUAUGAUGUCGGUCCACAUUUUUUCUAUCAAUCUCCCACUUGGACCACAUAUAUUACAAAACAAUGUUCAUGAUAGUACUUUAUUGAGCUCAUAUUUGCUAUCCUAUCCUAAUAUCCUUAAACAAUCCGGUCUACUAGUUAUGCUAACAUAGGAUCAAAGUGGCCUUCAUUAAUCAUAAUUAUAACUAGACCCAUCAAUGCUCACAACAUUAACAAAAUUAGUAACAUGGAUCAAGUAUGGAUGUGUAGCAUGGAAAUUACAUAAAAUGUGAUCUUUAUUAUGUCUAUUUCCAAUUGGUCCUACUUUAUGACUAAAAAAUAGUCAAAUUCCACUUUCAACACUUGAUGCUAAACUGCUUCUGAAAGUCAUCAUUUCAAUUCAGAGAAUUCAAAUACAAUAGUCUUUAAAAUCAAGGUUUGUACAGAUAACACAACAUAAUAUCAUAUCAAGAAAAUAAACACAAAAUCUAAAUACUAACUCCCACUAUACUAGAACAUCAUCAAUAUGUACAACACCCAUAUGUGUGACAUGCUCAUGAUAUACUUUGGGUGGCAAACCCUUAGUGAGCGGAUCCGCAAUCAUGGAGUUUGUGCUUGUGUGUUCAAUCGAUACUUGAAGACUCUGAACUCUUUCUUUCACAACCAAGAACUUGAUGUCAAUGUGUUUGGACUUUGACAAACUUCGGUUGUUCUUAGAAUUACAAUUCUGUGGCUUUAUUAUCAUAAUUUAUUCUUAAUGGUUUCUCAAUCUCAUCAAUGAUUCACAACUGAGUGACGAAAUUCCGCAGCCAUAUCCCAUGGUUUGAUGCUUUGUAGUAGGCUAUGAAUUCUGCCUCCAUGGUGAAAGAAGCAAUAAGUAUUUGUUUAACACUUUUCCAUGAAACUGUUCAUCCAACCAACAUGAAAAUGUAGCCUGAAGUGGAUCUCCUGCUGUCAAGACACCCCGCAAAAAUGGAGUCCGAAUAUCCCAUGAUCUCUAAAUGACUAGAUCUACGGUAUGUGAGCAUAUAAUCUUUAGUUCUUUGUAAAUAACGCAUAACCUAUUUUGCCUUUUUCCAAUGAUCCAUACCUAGGUUACUCGAAUAUUUGCCUAACAUUCCAAUAAUGUACGCAAUAUCCGGACGUGUACAAACUUGUGCAUACAUGAGACUUCCUAUUGCUGAGGCAUAGGGAAACCUCUUCAUAUCCUUCUUUUUAAGUUCAUUUUUCGGACAUUGGUGCAAACUAAAUUUAUCGCCUUUUGCUACAAGCAUGUCUCCUGGUGCACAAUUGCUCAUGCCAAAUCUACUCAACACCUUAUCGAUGUAGGCCUUUUGUGAUAAUCCAAGUAAAACGAUCCCUAUAGAUCUGUAUACCCAACAAAAAAGAUGCAUUACCAAGAUCCUUCAUGUCAAAUUUACUAGACAAAAAUCGUUUGGUUUCAUGCAAAAGUCCCACAUCACUACUUGCAAGUAGAAUAUCAUCAACAUAUAGCACCAAGAUACUGAAUUUGCUCCCACUGAACUUGAGAUAUAUGCAUUGAUCAAUGGUGUUUUCCUUAAAACCAAAUGAAGUAAUCAUCUGAUCAAACUUUUGGUACCAUUGUUAAGAUGCUUGCCUUAAACCAUAUAUGGACCUUUUUAAUCUGCAUGCAAGUUGCUUUGAAUCAUUAGACUCAAAGUUCUCCAGUUGCAUCAUGAAUAUUGUUUCAUCAAUGUUACCAUUAAGAAACGCAGUUUUAACGUCCAUUUGAUGCAGCUCUAAAUCAUAAUGAGCCACAAGUGUCAUGAUGAUUCUAAAUGAGUCAUUUGAUGAAACCGGUGAAAAGGUCUUGUAGACCCUCAAUUUUGUCCAUUUAGCACAUGUCUUUAAAUUCACAUCCAGUGCUCCACGGUAGUUCCUUGGUGGCCCAUUACUACUCAUAUGGCUUACCUUUUUUUAAGUCACCUCGGAGACUUUGGUUGAGGGAUUAUCUGACCCCUUAUUGUGAUCCUUGGCAAUCCUAAUUUAGAUUGGGCUUGAAUUAGAUACACUUAGCCCAUUUAGGCACCUUAGGCCCACUUAGGCAUCUUAGGCCCGUUUAGAUACACUUGGCCCACUUAGGCUCACUUAGACCCACUUAGGUCAUCUUUUAAAUAUUUUUUUUACAUAUUUGCAUGAUUGCAUUUUUUUGUAUGACUUGCACGGUUGCAUGGCUCAUGGGGCCUAAUUUUUGUUAAUUUGUUUGUUUUAUUUUUAGUUUUAGUUUUAUCAUUAUCAAUCACUCGUUUAUUUAUUUAUUUAUUUUAUUUGUUAUCUCAUUCUUUAUAUUAUUUUCCUUAAUUUAUUUAUUUAUUAUUGUUUUAUUGUUUUCUAAUUUGUUUGCUUAUUUAGUUAUUCAUUCAAUUAUAUAAUUUCAAAAAUUUCAUGUUUUUGCAAGGAAACUUACCAUUGGAGACUAAGGAAAGCGGGACUCUCCUUGGAAAGUUUUGGAGGGGAAUUUGAAGUUGGGAAGAUUGCUUUUGAAUUAGAAGAUUUAGAAAAAGGGAAAAAGGAAGAAGAGAAGAAGAAUGGAAAUAGGGGAAUUUUCUUUUUUUUUGGAAACAAAUUUAGGUCUUGAGGGAUGAUAUAUAUAUGUGAGAAAAGAAAGAGAAAGGGGGAGUGAACAAGCACGCAUUGGAGGAUUGGGAGAAAUUCUGGGAAAAGGUGGAGAGACGUAUUGGAGGCAUUGGAGGAAACCAUUUAAGAGGAGAAGAAGAAAGAAGCACAGAAAAACCAGUGGAGAUUUUCUGAGGAUAGAAACCAGUGCAGAUUUUUUUUUUUUCGUCAAAAGGAAGCAUUCCCAGGUAUGUCUACUGUAGAUUCCUUCUUCAUUCCCAUUAUCCUUUUGUUAUGUACUAAUCUUUGCCGGGUUUUGAGUCUUGCUUGGAUGCUAGGGGGGCAGAAUGACGGAGGUCACAUGUUUGUCUACAUUGAUACUUGCUUCUAUAGAUGUUAUUGAUUUAUCCCUUAGGAGUUCUCUAAUUUUGAUUUAGUGUUGCUAGGUUCCAUUUAUUAUUAUUUCCUGUGCAUUACAUGAGAACUGUGGUUGUAUUCGUUUGUUGGAAUCUGCUCGUACUUAUCCCAUCAUUCCAAACCCAUUGAACCUAACAUGAAAUGGGUUUUCAUUUAAUGGAUCACUUAUUUGUUCAUCCAUUUUUUUUUAUCAAACUCUAUUUUGGCGGGGUUGUUUUUCUACAGUUGAGCAUGCUUCAAAUUGCUCUGUUUUGCUUCCCGGGUGUGUCUUCCUAUAUUUAUGAAUGAAUAAGGUAUAGAUUUGUGGGCUUAUGAGCUGUAAAGGUGAUUUCAGUGGGGUUGAGAUUCUGGGUCCACAAGAAAAAAAUAGAAUAGCAGAAGAGAAAAAUCUGUAAGAGAGUUGGGAAGUCCAGAGUAGUGCAAAUCCUCUUGGGCGUCUUUGGUUCAGAAAUAUCAGAAAAGUUAGAAGGAUGAGAAAAACAAGAAAGAUUGUUUGCCUUUGAACUUUUGAUUGCUUAAAGAUGUUUGACAAUGACCACUGUAAACAACCUGCUACUUUAAUGGUUGUGAUAUUUGAAUGUCAGUAUGAAGAUGUGAUUGGGGUGAAAGUGCUGAAAUCAGAGCUCAGGAGAAGAUCAUUGACUAUUGAGUCUGAUAUGGAAUACAAUUGAAAUGCCAACAUUGAGAUAUUUGGAAGAAGGGGUCUUGCUCCAGGAGUUAGACUUGGUGGGGUGGUUGGUGACUCACUUACCAGAGUUGUAGGAAUGCAAGCAGAUGCACUUUUGUUUGCAGAGGCCAGAAAAUAGGGUUUUGAUUCUUUGGAAAGAGAAGAUGACAAAUAUUUGGAAAGAUUUAAAUUGUUUCAGUUGGAAGCUACUGAAUUUUACCAAGUCUUGAUCAAGAAAAUAAGAAGAUGUAGUGGGCGUCCAGAGGAGCCAUUGUUUUAAUGAAAGUCAGAGUUCUAUAGUUCUAUUCUACCAAUAAAAGUGCAUGAUUUUUGUUUGUCUUAAGGAUCUUGCUAGGUGCAGAGAGCUCUAUAACAAACCUGAUGUUCAGAGUCGCAAUUGGUCAAUUGCUGCUACCUGUUAUAGAGAAGUAACAAUAAUUUGGCACUGGUGCAACUGAAAGAAGAGUACAUGAGGAAAUUCCCUUUCUGGAAUGAUCCAUAUGUUCUAGUGAGCUUGCUUUCUGCUAGCCGACUGCGUGGAGAUGUUGUAAUUGGGGAGUGUUUGGCUAAAUGGCUUCUAAAACUUCAGCUUGUGACUACUUCUCCUUAUGUAUUAUUAUCAAACUUGUAUGCUUCAGAUAGGAAGUGGGCAGAUUUAAAGAACCUGUCAUCAGCGGAUAACAACUUCUCUGACUCAACUUUAGACUCAAUUUCGGGGUUAGAAUCAAUCAAGUCUUUAGAUUUAAGUCGCAACCCCUUUUCUGGUGAUAUGGCAGCAUCAUCGACAAAACUGACUAAUUUGGUAUCCCUUAAUUUAUCGUUAAAUGAGUUCGAAAGUAAAAUUCCAAAAGGUCUCGAGCUGUUUUCAAAACUUGAAAUUCUUGACUCGCAUAGGAAUAUGCUCAGUGGACUUCCAGACGAGGAAUUCUUGUAAUUUUCAGGUGCCAUUCGUGUUGACUUUAGUGGGUGCUAGCAGAGUACUAUCUAUGUUAUUCAUUAUAGCAGAUUCUUAACAUCCACAUUUAUUUAGGAAUAGAUGCUUCAGUUUGGAUGAUAAACAGAUUACAGAUUUAAGGCAUUCUAUUGAUAAGAUUCUAAGUGACAAGUCUUCUUGGAAUGAAGAUCUCUUUGUUGCUACAGUCAAAUUGCUUACUUCUGCUGCAGUUGAUCAGCCUGUUUUUUCUUGUCACCAUAAUUUCAGCCAAAGACAAUCUAGGUUUGAUGCAGCCAAUAAAUGAAGCUUCUUUUGGAAUAUUGGGGUCUGUCAAAGCAAGUUUGGUAGAUGCACUCUUGCAAGUUAUUGAAAGAUUUCAAUGAUCUUAUCAAAUAGCAAUCCCCGUUUACUACUGAAUGUGCUUGACUUACUGAAAACAUUGUGGCAAGGGGCUGCUCAAUAUGCAGAUAUUUUGGAAUGGCUGAAAAACUCUGAAAAGUUCUGAAAACUAUUUUUGUAACUCUAUUUCUCUAAUUGUUAGAAUGAAAGCUCCCCUGCCUGAGAAUCUAACCAAAAUGGAGGCUCUAAGCUUGGCAUACAAAUACCAGUGUCAAACAGCUGUAUUGGAAAUAAUGGCAGAAGUCUUGUUCCUGUGGAAGAAGUUACUGCAUGCUGAAUUUCUUGAAAUGCUUGCAAAUCUGCACAGUUCACCAAUUGAGCCUAGGAAUUCUGAUAUAUCUUCAGGAAUGGAUGACGAGUCCAAUAAUAGUGAGAUGCUCGCAGCUACUAACAUCCACCCUGGACAAGAUUCAUGGAGAAAAUUGGAAGUUGAAUACAAGGAAUUGCCGCAAGUGCACAAUGGUACAUUGCAGCAGAGCAUCUCUGUCGAUGCAAAACUAAUCAAAGAGGAUGUAAUUAGCUUAGUAGAUAAGGAAAGAAGGCAAGCUCUACAGACACCACAAGUGGUUAUGAACAUGCUCGAUGCGACUAUGCCUGGUACUCUAAUGGAAGAACAUAAGAAGAAGGUCCUGGCUGCCGCAGGACAAGGAGAAACAGUUAUGUAAACUUUGUGUGAUGUUGUCCCAGGGGAUAUUUGUGGAAAGCUUUCUACUGUUGUUUCUAGAAUUUUGGCAUACUCAAGGCGUAAAUUUAAACUUUGAGGGUCUUCUGAUGAUUGACCAGACUCCUAAUGUUUCGUCAGGAUUGAAAUCUAAGAUCCAAAAAGAAAUUGGAAUAACAUCAAGUGAAGAAGGUGGGACCGAAAGCUAGGAUACAGUUGAAGAUUACAAAGGUAUAGUUCUUGGAGGUUCCGAAGCCGCCAAACACUCCUUGGAGAAAUUAGGGAAAAUAUCAGAUGGAAGUUCUUGCUCCGGUGUAGAGAAUUCUUGUAAUCAUUCACAGAGAAUCGGUGGUCAAAUUAUAAGUGACUCGGAUGAAGAAGUGGACAUUGAUGAAUAAGGAGGUGGAAAUGAGUUAUUUGAUUUUGCUGCACUGGCUGCUCUCACGAAAAUAGUAGCAAGUGCAAGUUCCGAUAGUGGUAGUAUCACAAUAACCUCUCCAAAGGGAUCCAAGCUUCUCUCUGAUUGCCCCCCCUGCUGGAUUGGGAUCUACAAACCAGUCUCUAAGACCUGCUCCCCAACAAAACCUGUCCAAUCUUUUUACCCAUUUUCCAAUCUUGCAGGGAGGCAAACUGGUGAAGAAUUUAAUCUUGAUAUUGCAGAGAGAGUUGUUUGUGAUCUUAACACUACUGAAGCGUUUCCAAGUGUGUUAGAUCUAAAAUGCAGCCUGAAGUUCUCUGGCCAACUAAACUCGAGCCACUUGAUCGCCAGAUUGUCGAAGAACAAAUCCAGUUCAGUUCUUUCCUUUUACUGGUUUUCUGGCUCAUCCCUACCUCAUGAAUACACCCAGUUAGGCAGUGUUAUUAAAGUACCAAGGGACCUUAUUGAUCCCUACAUCCUGGUUAGCAUCCUUGCUUACGGGCAAUCCUGAACAUGGUGCGCAGCUGUACUGAUAAUCCGUCAUCUGAUAAGUCUUGGAGAUGUUCCCUGCUGCUAUUGCAUUCAGAAAACUCAGAUUGCAUAAGGAAGCUUGCUGAAAGUAUCUCAUAAAUGCUACAACAAAGGACAACUAAAAGGCAAUUUCCCAAGACUUAAUGCCUCAUUUCUGAAACCUGCAAGGGGAGAUGAAGUAUUAUCCAAAGAACCUAAAUGACGAUAUGGAGCUUCAUUAAAAUCUGUCCAGAGAAUUCAAACAGAUCAAUGAAGAGCUGUCUCUAAAGUCAUUCAUGAAAUCGAAAGGACAAAGCCGCGUCAAAAGCUGUUGCUGCUCGCGGUCUUGGACGCAAUGCAAAGAUUGGUUCUGGGAGGGGUCUCAGUGUUGUAGCUAUGGCAACAUCUGCGCAAAGAAAGGAAAUGACAAAUUCGAACAUGAAAUGGAAGUAGGGAUCUUCGCCAAGGUUCAUACUGAGAGAAUGGUUUCAUCUUCAAGAUUUGGAAUCCCAUCAAGACCUCUUGCCAAAUGUUCUCCUCAUGUUUGUUUUCGUUUGCUAUUAUAGUUACCUACGGUGUCGGAUUUCAUUCGAAUUUUUCAGACAAGUCUCCGCAUUCAGCCCAUGGAAAUGACAACCAGAAUUCCAAAACAACAGCGAUCAGACCAGUUCCCAGAUUCCAAUUGUUGGAUAUGUUGGUCAGCCAUAUGGAGCCCCGUCACUACCAAUCUCCCCUCUCUAAUAUCUGUAGCUGAAUUAGCAUCACCAGCUUCAUACGAUUGGCAUCUGGUCUACCUCUUUCAUUAUACUUUCCUCAGAAUUUGUUUUCCAGACAGCAAUGGCAGGUUCCAAUUUGGAACCCAAUAGCUAAAUAGAACCCACCUGGUAGUAAAGGUCAGCAAGCAGGGCUUCAAAACAGAGAAAAUCGGAAGUGAGGAGACCAAAAUCUUGUGCAAUAAGUAAAGAACACUUCAAAUGCCAUAUCCUUUUUCAUUAGAUGCAGAAGGAGGACUCUCUCUGGGUAGGAAUUGUAAUGAUAUGGAAAGGAUGGGAAGUCAUGAUACAAAGCUGUUUUAUCGUUUUAGCUUGGGAAUUGACAACUUCAUCUUCAAACGGUGGAAUUCCAUGAAUAAGGAGCUUUAAGACAUGCCAACAAAUUGCCAAGGAAUAGUCAACUUCUUCACCCAACAGUGAAACUAAAAGUGGAAAGAGCAGAGUAGCAUUGUUUUUUUUGGACCUUUUAUGAUCAUCAUGCAGAAAAAAAACAGCUCAGUAGCUGAAGUUGAGUAUAUUGGCAAACCUGAGAAUGCACUUCCAACCGAUGGAACUGAACAGCAGCAUAAGAAAUCUGAUUUGGAGUUAAGACCUACUACCACAUUACAAGCUCUAGUUGAUGAUUCAAAUUGUGAUCUCGAGAAACUAAAGUUGAAUCCAAACGACAUUGCUGAUGAAAUCAUGUAUCAAACCCUAUGAGCUUUGACUCUGAAAUGAAUAUGGACAGUUCGUUUCCAGUCACGCCAGCAGUAUACGGAGAUCUCUUCACACAACCACCAGCAACGUAGUCACAGCCAAACCCCCAAACCCCCAAACCCCAUUCUCCAUGACCGAUCUGGUGCACACUACUCUUUUCCUUUCACACCCCUCUUGCUUUCCUCGUGAUUUUAUGUGUCUUGAAUUGUGUUUUCAAAAAUUGUUUUCAUCCAAAUAAAUCUAAUUUUAGAUAAUCAUCUUUAGACCUUCUCUAGGCAUUGAAAUCUAAAUUUCAACACCCUUUUGCUGCCAUUUUCCUUCCGGCAUGCGUCUUCACUAUUUUAUUUGAUUUUCAACUAAUUUUCUUGAUUUUCAACAAGCAUGAACAAACUUCAUGAUUCCAAACAAUGGAAUUCAUUGAAUUGACUCAUGCAAAAUCAACUAGGGCUUUGGUGGGGGCCCGACAUUCAUAACACUCACUUCAAUACUGUUUACUUGAUAUGUUGAUUUUUGAUUCUUCUUGAUGAAAUACUUGAAUUCACUUAAUAUUUAUUGUUGAGAUGCUCUCGUUUCCCAUAGAGGAGUACUAGCUUGCUAUCCAGGUACGCUCUCUUCUCAUCUAUUUUUUUAGAACUCUAUGGACUUGUAUGUCAUUGAUGACCAUAUCCAUAUUUGAUGUGAUUCUUGAAUCUCUUGAUAUAUGCCUGAUUUGCUUGAAUAAAACAAAUGUUGUGUGAUGUAUCUCCAAACUAAUCUCUUAUGUUUUAUGAUAGCGCUUGGGAAGCCGUCCAGGUACGCAUUUUUAACUCUUCUUAAUUGUGAUCUGAUCUUGUUUGAUAUGUUAUGUUUUUGGAAUCACCUAGCCUACUUAGGUAUCCAUGAUCAACCAUUUAAUUGCCACGCUUCCCUUAACUUAGUCAGUAGAGACCUCUUUAGGGCUUAGAGGGGUGCUACCUCCUAGAGGUACCUUUCCAAUAAGUAACCUGAUCCCCGGACCUAAACUUGGGUUUCUCAAAGACAUGCUUUUUCCAAAACUAGAGAGUCACUUUUUAGGGUUUUUCUUUCUUGUUUUAUUUUCCCUUUAAAAUAAAAAUAAAAUAGGUGGCGACUCCAACUUUUUUUCCAAAAAUAAUAAAAAGCGAGUCUCGCCGAUCGAGUGGGGGCGCACGUGAAAAAUGCGGGUCCACAAAUUGGCGACUCCGCUGGUGAUUUUGAGGAUCAAGCUUGAACACUAGUUAAGGAAAAUGUGGCGUUUAAUUGGUCGAUUAGUGGGUACCUCUUUUUUUUAGGCAAGGUGAUUCGAUUUGCUUGCUUGUUUGGUUUGCUAUCUUAACAUGUUUGAUUGCCUUGGAUGAUCACUUGAUUGUUUUGCUCACUUUAGCAUGAUUCACUAUCACAUAUGUUAGAUAGGACUUUGUUUGUUUGAUAUUUAUUUGCUUCGCAUGACUGUUUGAAUGAUCACUUGAUUGUUUUGCUCACUUUAGCAUGAUUCACUCUCACAUAUGAUAGAUAGGACUUUGAUUGUUUGAUAUUUAUCUGCUUCACAUGACUGCUUGUUGCAUGACAACCCUUUCUCUUGCAUGUUCGUAUGAUUGCUUGUCUUCAUUCACUAUUUCACUUUAGAUCUUAGGUUUUUUUCGGAUGCACCCACAUCCUUCAUUGUGCACUUUAGAUUAUCCUUGAGUGUUGAGAGAUGGGAGAGCCUUCACCAUUAAGAAACCCCCUGAGAACGCGAGGAAGUGCAUGUGUAGAGGUGAUGACCACCUUGCAUGGAAGCACCCCAUCUCUUUGGAGGCAUGCAGAGGGUUGCGUACCGCCGGAGGGUACGAUCGCUUCUGCUAGGGAUCCUUUGACCCACCCAUUUUACCCUAUAGAACCACCUCAACCUUGUAGGUUAGCCUAGACCCAAUUAAGAUCUCAUUCCUACACGUGGGUGCAUCUGUGGACCUUCAGAACUGCCUUGGUCACAAUUGGAUUCGGUUAUCCCUUCCUUAGUCUCCUUUUGGUGUAAUCAGAGGAGGGUAUCAGAUUGAGUACAUUUGGGCUAUUCUCUUGCACACUUAUCAGCUGAUUCAUACAGAGUCACUUUCGUAUCGCAACUUAUCCAGUGUUUCCAUACUUGUAGGAGAGUUUACCGUGACCAGUCUGGAUUCACCUUCGUGGAUUAGAGUUAGAGGCAGAUUGACCAGAGCAUCAGAUCAGUCAGACCGGAAAUCAGAUCAGGGGGAUAUGGAUUCUCAGAUAGUUAUCGUUGACCAGUUUGCUGCAGCCAUGGCUUCGAUCCAAGAGGCUAUAGCUAGCCUUGGCCAGAGGAUAGAUGGGCAGCAGGCCCGACAGGUCCCAGUUCAGGAGGAUAUCCAGUUUGAUACCACAGUACCACCGCCACCUCCGCACAGUCAGCCAGCACCACAGACUAUACCUUUUACUCUGCAUAGUCAGACUGAGGUUGCACCACCUCCUGCCAUAGUGCCUACUCCGAUCUCAGAGGACCCACAUGCUCGUAUGGAUAAACUUGAGCAGAAGUUGAGACAGAUGAGGACUUCAGAGGGAACUAUUACUUGGGAGGAUUUUGAUGGAGCACCAGUGGCCAGUCUACCGGCCAAGUUCAGGAUGCCUGAGAUUGAGAGAUACAUAGGCAUAGGAUGCCCUCACAUCCAUUUGAGACUCUAUAGUACUGUUAUGAGGGCCCAUGGACUGGAUGAUGCCCAGAUGGUUAUGCUCUUCCCUAUGUCAUUGAGUGGAGCUGCACAGCGUUGGUUCGCUUCAUUGGAGGUAUCACGCCGUAGGACUUGGGAUGACUUAGCCCAGGAGUUUUUGAGACAGUUUGCAUUUAACACUAUCAUUGAUGUUUCGAGGAGAGAGUUGGAGGCUUUGAGACAGAGGCCGGAGGAGUCAAUCACUUCAUUUAUCUCCCGCUGGAGGGAGAAGAUUUCACAGAUUAUAGACCGUCAUUCAGAGAGAGAUCAGAUUAGCAUGAUCAUGAGGAGCUUGCAGCCUAGAUUUGCGAGACGCUUGAUGGGAUUUCCCCAUACGGAUUUCGGAUCUUUGGUACAGGCUUUGUAUGGUAUAGAGGAGGGCAUUGCUAGAGGAUUAUGGUCUGAGUCUUCCCCUACUGAUUCUAAGGGGAAGAGGCCUUUAGGAGGACAGAGAUCAGGAGAUGUUGGUGCUAUCAGUUCAGUAGGGAUGAGACCUUCUAGACGCUAUCAGACAGUUGGGCAGACUCCUGGGUACUACUAUCCACCUUCACCUCAUGCGCAUUACAGACUACCUACUCCUUCCAGACCUAUGACUCCUACUUAUCUGCAUCCGGACUUACAGCCUGUUUUUGCUGCACACGUCGCAGAGAGGUCUCCUGCCCCAUAUACUCGACCCCGAGCUCCACAGACCACUACUUAUGUGCAGAGGCCACCACGUCAGUUUGCUCAGUUGGAUAUGCCUUUGAGUCGAGCUUUUCAGAAGCUCACAGAUGGUGGAUUACUAAUUCCAUUAGCAUCCAGGACUUUACCCCAACCCAUACCACCUCGCUUCAGGAUGGACUUACAUUGUUCCUACUAUCAGGGACCAGGGCAUGACACGGACCAUUGCACUGCUUUGAGACAUGCUAUUCAGGAUUUGAUAGAUCAGGGUUUGGUCAACUUGGGGCAGCCAAGUGUGACCACCAACCCUCUUCCUACUCAUUCCACACGCGCAGUGCAUCCAUCUUCAGGAGAUAUUCAUCACAUGGACCUUAUAGAGGGUUGACAGUAUACACAUGUUGAGUUGGGAUGAUGGAUUACCCGAGCCUAUUGUUCUACAUGACAGUUAUGAGGUCGAUGGGGUUUCAGUGGUCCCUCAAACUCCUGCACCAUUUAGUUUGAUCCCGGACGAGGCACCAUUCCAGUUGACUCAUCUUACACCUUUAGUUAUCGGAUGUCAGGAUGCUUUUGUCCCAUUCACUUUAUGGCCUGAGGAUGAUGAUUCAGUAGGGAGAGAGAUACAGAUUGUGACUCGUAGUGGGAGGAUAGCUCAGCCACCACCACCAGCAGUCAGACCAUUUGAGGGUACAGCCUCUCAUGAGGAGGUUAGGAGAGAGGAUGAUGAGGUUUUGAGACAGCUACAGAGCACUCAGGCUCGCAUUUCCAUCUGGAGUUUAUUAGCAUCAUCCAGUACUCAUAGAGAUGCUUUGAUUCGAGCCUUGAGUCAGAUCAGAGUAGAGACUACCACCACUCCAAAGGGAUUGAUUCAUAUGAUGACGGCUAGCAGGGCCACUUGCAUUGUAUUUUCAGAUGAUGACUUGCCACCUGAUGGUUUAGACCACGUGCACCCUCUAUACAUCACAGUUGGAUGUUCAGGCCGUAGAGUCCCGUCUGUCCUACUGGACAACGGCUCAGCCCUGAAUGUUUGCCCUUUAGCCACUGCUAUAGCCCUUGGUUUCGCGCCUUCAGAUUUUGGUCCUUCUACUCAGACAGUCAGGGCGUAUGAUAGCACCAAAAGGGAGGUUAUGGGUACCUUGAUGAUUGAUUUGCAGAUUGGUCCAACCAUAUUUUCCACUUUGUUCCAGGUUUUGAGGAUUCCUACAUCCUUUAACCUACUACUAGGCCGACCAUGGAUUCAUGUACCUGGAGCUAUUCCUUCUUCCCUUCAUCAGAAGGUGAAGUUUAUUCAUGAUGGGCAGGUCAUCACAGUUCGCUCUACCAGGGAUAUAUUUGCCGCUUCUGAGCCAGUACUUCAGAUCAGUCACAGUGAGGACGACCUACUUCUGACUGGGUUUACUUUUGAUGAGAUAUAGACUCUCAAGAUUGAGGAUUUUUGUAGAGACUUUGUGGCUAUGUCAUUUGAUCAGCACAGUAGCACAGUGGUCCUUGAUAUGAUGAGGGGUAUGACCUUUCUACCUGGCAUGGGGUUAGGACGACGUCAGCAGGGACCGAGCGAGUUCAUAGCUGGCAUGGACCAUGAUACGACAUUUGGACUUGGAUUCAUCCCUACUGAGGCCGAUUACCGUCACAUGGCGCGGCUACGCAAGAAGAAGGUGAGAGCCCGUUUAUCCCGCACACCAUUUGAUUAUCCUAUUCAACCCUAUAGGAUGAGUUUGGCUGACCACUUUGUCAGAGGAUCAGAGACUCGACCUCGUCUAGAGGGGAUUGAUAGUGUGGUUCAUACAGAUAGAGAGACUGACCUUCAACAUCUAUUUCACCAGCUACAGUUGAGUGAUGGGGCUCCCGACUCUUUUUUCCCUUUGACGAUUACUCCCACAUCUCCAGAUCGAGCUAGCAUGUUGUCUCUAUGCUUUCCAGAGGAAAUCACUGGUGAUGGGGUGAUUGUUGAUCCUACUGAGGUGAUUGAUGGAGUUGUUCCCCAUGAUGAGUACCGUGAUGAGAUGGACAUGAUGACCGUGAGCCAGAUUACUGGCAUUGUUCAGCUUCAGCCUGUUUCAGCAUUUGAUAUGUUUGGGGUGUCUACCAUUGAGGUUUUUGAGGGGACUCAGACUCUUCCUGUUCCAGAGCUUCUAGAGGAUGAUAGUUGUUUGUUUGAGGGCAUUAUUAGCCCAGUUGAGGGAGCGUCCGACCUUGUGGACCCACCUCUUUCUUUUGAUGUUUUAUCGGGAUUUGUCUCCCGCUCUAACGAUGUUUCUGUUGCUUCAUUUAUGGAUUUGAGCAUUUUUUAGUAUUCGCCUGUCUCUUGUGAUAGUAUCUUUAUAUCUGCACCCCACCUACCCACUUCACAGAUAUUUGAUAUAGAUGAUGAGAUUGCACAGCCCAGUUCGGAUAGGGACUCUUUGGAUCAUGACUCUGGUCCCAUAGAUGAGAGAGUUUCACCUGCUGUAGGGGACAUUGAGAUUGUUGAUUUUGGCACAGAGGAUCAGCCUAGAGAGCUGAAGAUUGGUUCACCCCUAUCUACAGAUGAGAGAGAUAGACUCAUCCAUUUACUUAGGUCAUACUUGGAUGUCUUUGCAUGGUCUUAUGAGGACAUGCCAGGUGUUGAUCCCUCUAUAGUCCAACACCAUUUACCUACCCUACCACAUGCUAGACCAGUUAAGCAGAAAUUGAGACGGUUGCAUCCACGUUGGAGUCUACAGGUAAAAGAGGAGAUUCAGAAACAACUCAGUGUUGGAUUCAUAUCAGUAGUUGAGUAUCCAGAGUGGUUGGCUAAUGUCGUCCCUGUUCCUAAAAAGGAUGGCAAAGUUAGGGUUUGUGUUGACUUCAGAGAUCUCAAUAAAGCCAGCCCUAAAGAUGACUUUCCCCUUCCACACAUUGAUUUGUUGGUUGAUGGCACCGCAGGCCAUUCGAUGUUGUCUUUCAUGGAUGGGUUUUCAGGGUAUAAUCAGAUUUUGAUGGCUCCAGAGGAUAUGGAGAAGACAACCUUUAUUACUGAGUGGGGUACCUACUGUUACAGAGUUAUGCCAUUUGGGUUGAAGAAUGCAGGAGCCACUUAUCAGAGAGCCGCUACCACUUUGUUUCAUGACAUGAUGCAUAGGGAUGUCGAGGUUUACGUGGAUGAUAUGAUUGUGAAAUCCCGAGGUAGAGCAGAUCACCUAGAUGCUUUAGAGAGAUUCUUUAAGAGGAUCCGGAAGUUUAGAUUGAGGUUGAAUCCUAAGAAGUGCACCUUUGGAGUGACUUCUGGGAAAUUAUUGGGGCAUAUGGUCAGUGAGCGAGGCAUAGAGGUCGACCCAGAUAAAAUCAAAGCCAUAUUUGACAUGCCUGCACCAAAGACUGAGAAAGAGAUUAGAGGUUUUUUGGGCAGAUUACAGUACAUUAGUCGGUUCAUAGCCAGAUUGACAGACAUAUGUGAGCCUAUCUUUCGUCUUUUGAGGAAGAACCAACCAACAAUUUGGAAUGACGACUGUCAGUUUGCAUUUGAGAAGAUCAAGGAGUAUUUGCUUUCUCCUCCUGUUUUAGUGCCUCCUACGCCAGGACGUCCACUUCUUCUAUAUUUGUCAGUUUCAGACAUGGCCUUGGGAUGUAUGUUAGCUCAGAUUAAUGACUCAGGGAAGGAACGGGCUAUUUACUACUUGAGUAAGAGGAUGCUGGAGUAUGAAGUGAAAUAUGUUAUGAUUGAGUGCCUAUGCUUAGCACUAGUUUGGGCUACCAGGAGGUUGAGGCAUUACAUGACAGAGUACUCAGUACAUUUGAUAUCCCGCCUGGACUCGUUGAGAUACUUGUUUGAUAGACCUGCAUUGACUGGUAGAUUGAUGAGAUGGCUUGUACUUUUGACAGAGUUCGAUAUUCAGUAUGUUUCUCAGAAGUCUAUUAAGGGAAGUACUGUCGCUGAUCACUUAGCCUCACUACCGACAUAUGAGGAUAGACCAAUUGAUGAUGAUUUUCCAGAUGAGGAGUUUGUUGCUAUAACCAGCUUAUCAGAAUGGUGCAUGUACUUCGAUGGUGCAGCCAAUCAGUCAGGGUAUGGGAUAGGUGUUCUAUUGGUAUCCCCUCAGGGUGAUCAUAUUCCGAGGUCCGUUCGUUUGGCAUUCUCUAAUUGACAUCCUACCACGAAUAACAUAGUUGAGUAUGAGGCUUGUAUCCUUGGUUUAGAGACUGCAUUGGAGCUUGACAUUAGACAGAUAGAGGUAUUUGGUGACUCCAAUCUGAUACUCAGGAAGAUUCAGGGGGAUUGGAAUACUAGGGACGUGAAGCUUAGACCAUAUCAUGCAUAUUUAGAGUUAUUGGUUGUGAGAUUUGACGACUUGAGAUAUGUUCAUCUGCCUAGAGCGCAGAACCGAUUUGCUGACGCCUUAGCUACUUUAGCUUUCUCCAUGGACAUUCCGAUUGAUGUAGUCAUAUGUCCAUUAUUGAUUGAGUUGAGGCUUGUACUCGCCUAUUGUUGUUUGAUUGGAGAGACAGAGGUCCAGGAUGACCUACCUUGGUAUCAUGAAAUUUAUCAGUUUCUUAGAUCUGGCACAUACCCUGAGGUAGCCACUGCCAAGGAUCGGAGAGCACUAAGGAAUUUGGCCACUAGAUUUGUGAUUUGUGGAGAUACCUUGUACAGACGAUCAGCUGAUGGUAUGCUUCUAUUGUGUUUAGAUCGAGCCUCUGCAGAUCGAGUGAUGAGAGAGGUUCAUUCAGGAGUUUAUGGUCCGCAUAUGGGAGGACACAUGCUAGCCCUUAAGAUUAUGAGGACGGACUAUUUCUGGUUGACUAUGGAGACAGAUUGUUGUCAGUUUGUCCAGAAAUGCCCAGAGUGUCAGAUUCAUGGUGAUCUCAUUCAUGUACCGCCAUCAGAGUUACACGCUUUGACCUCGCCAUGGCCAUUUUCAGUAUGGGGUAUUGAUAUUAUUUAGAAGGUUUCACCAAAAUCUUCCAGUGGUCAUGAGUUCAUCCUAGUUGCCAUAGAUUAUUUCACCAAGUGGGUGGAAGCCGCAUCAUAUGCGAGGUUGACAUCUGCUAGGGUUGCCAGUUUUAUCAGAUCACACAUCAUUUGCCGCUAUGGGGUUCCUCAUGAGUUGAUUUCCGACAGAGGGGUGCACUUCCGAGCUGAGGUAGAUACUUUGUUGCAGAAGUAUGCCAUCCGACAUCAUAGAUCUUCAGCAUAUAGGCCACAGACCAACGGGGCAGUAGAGGCUGCAAACAAGAAUAUUAAGAGGAUUUUGAGGAAAAUGGUUGAGACUUCUCGAGAUUGGUCAGAGAAGCUUCCUUUUGCGUUGUGGGCAUAUCGUACAUCUUUUCGUACUUCUACAGGAGCUACGCCUUACUCUCUAGUGUAUGGUAUGGAGGCUGUUUUGCGAGUCGAGACAGAGAUGGGUUCAUUGAGAGUAGCCAUUGAGCAGCAGAUUUCUGAGACAGAGUGGGCUCAGGCUCGAUUUGAUCAGCUUAACCUUUUAGAUGAGAGGAGAUUGAGAGCGGCAGAUCAUGUUCAGGCCUAUCAGAGAAAGAUGGCUCGUGCCUUCAAGAAACGGGUUAAGCCUAGACCAUUGCAAAAAGGGGACUUAGUUUUGAGGAUUCUCAGAGGUUUGAUUGGAGACCCUAGAGGAAAGUUUAGACCUAGUUGGAGUGGGCCUUAUGUUAUCCGAGAGUUGACUCUAGAAGGGGCUGCAUGGUUGACAGACUUAGAUGGAAACCAAUUUUCAGAGCCUACCAACGUGGAUCAGCUAAAGAAGUAUUAUGUUUGAGACCGUGGUCGCAGGAUGGGUGGCCAUCAUUUCGGUUAGCCUCAUACUUUAUCACCUCUAUAUAUUAGACCGUUGCUAGCCCAUUGAGCUUCGCAUGGUAUGUUAUAGCCUUAUUUCUUUCUUAUAGCUUUGAUUACCAUUUCUACACCCGGGUUGGGGCCCUUUGAUGUAUAUGCAUGUUUUGCUAGGAAAGUCUCAUGAGCUUUAGACUUAUAGGUCUAUCUUCUCAUUUUGUUACCAUCCUCUUAUCACCCUAUUUGUUCUAUUUUAUUAUCAUCAUAUAUUCAUUCUCUUUCUUGUCUCUAUCAUUAUUUGCUUCAUCUUAUCUAUUCUCUUCCUUGGGUUGAUGAUUCUUCACGUCUUAGUGCAAAGAGGGCAGUCAUAGCACUUCAUUCAUCCCAUCAUUUGGCAAUGAUUCGGAGAUUUUAGUUUGAGAGGUUGUCUCAUGGGUUAGGGUUCAUGUAUUCAUCAAUGAUUUGAGAGAGUUUAUUCAUUUUAUUGUAUAUUUCCCAUUGGAGUUUGACUUAUUGAUGAUCAGAGCAUGCGCAAAAAAAAAAAAAAAAAAAAAAAAGCGCAAUGACAUGUUUGUGUAUGGUAUCUUGCUCCAUUGGGUACUUAUAUCACCUUUUGAGGUAUGUUUACUGGGUAUAUUUGACAUUGUGGGUUCUUGUGAGAUGUUUAUAUGAGUUUUCACUCCUUGAGCCACUCUUGUUAUGCAUUUGGAGUGUUGGGGGUUCAUGUGAGAGUUCUAUGGUAUCCUAUGCUUCUUGGUCAUGGUUGAUACAUAUUAGGUAUGAGAGAUGAAUGACCUUUUACUAGGGUCUCCAGAUCAUUGUCUUAUCCACCAUUCCAUCAUUGGUGAUAUGACUUUCCUUUAUUGUACUAACAUGGGUUGAUCAUCACUCGUUCCACUUUCUCAUUGCUUUCUUUUGUAUCCCAUUACCGCUUUCCAGAUCUUUGUUCCACCUUUUAUUCAUUCCCUACAUAUUGAUACCCAUUACUGAUUUGAUACUUUUUUUUCACAUCAUUCACAUAUUUCAUUGAUGGUUUGACCAUUCAUCAUUUCUCUCAUUUCGUUAUCGACAUUCCCUUUGGUUACUUCUAAGUCCAUGACUCAUGAGAUUUUUCUAUGCAUUACAUCUUGUACACGAGGGUACGGGUUUGAUCAUUGGGUAUUUGAGCCUAGUUUCCCUUCAUUUCUUUCACCCUAUCACCUUGGCCUACGUUACGUCCCGUGUCUUAAGACCACCCUGAGGCCACGAGAUCAGACGUUAUCUUUGAUAGUCUUCACUUGGACAGGCUUUUGUAGAUUGAUUGAAGUAUGGUCGUUGCUAUGUUCUCUUUUAUGGAAGAUACUUUUGGAAGCAUUUGGUUUCUCUCUCGCUUGGCAUAUUGAUGUUUGAUGGAUUUUUUUGGGUUUGGAGACAGUUCAUUGAGGAUAUUGGAUUCAUCCUUUGGUUGUGCAUUAGAUGUCCAUAUUGGGGAAUAUUCCCCUUUCAUUUGGUUGAGAUGAGCCCCUAGUGGAGCACUUUCUUUGAGUCUGGGUAUUUUCACCGAUCAGAGAUUCCUAGUGAGGUAUGUUGAGGCUAUAUCAGUUUUAGUGGAGCAUCGUUGAGCCCCUAGUGGUUCCAUUCGCGGAGUACUUCUGAGAUAGACUAGGGGAUUAUUAUUGAGUUGGAGGCAGUUUUCAGUGCAGUGUAUAGAUCAGGCAUACUGGGGCAUAUUUCCCCAUUUUGAGGUUACCAGAUCCCUAUCAGAUUCAGUCAGGGAUUCAUCAGAGACAUGUUUCUACUUUUGAGAUUACCACAUUCCUCAUCAUUUUGGCUAUUCAUUUGAGAUUAGAUUUAGAGUGUCUCCCUUGAGGCAUUGGUCGAUACUUCACUCCGACUUCUUAGCAGAUUAUUGUUGAGCUGAGGAUAGUUGAUUGAUGAUGUUGGAUUCAUCCUUUGGUUGUGCAUCAUCUAUUCACACUGGGGCAUAUGCCCCCCUUCCUCCGAGAUUCUUAUCUGUUAUUGUAUACGGUACGAGGAUGGAUGAUCAUUGUUAGUUUGUUUACCUCACGACUUCGACAUUAGAUUAUCCACACUGGGGCAUAUUCCCCUCUCCUUGAUGAGAUUGUGUUUGGACAGCGGUACGAGGAUGGAUGAUCAUUGUUAGUUUGUUUGCCUCACGACUUCAACAUCCGAUAUCCAUACUGGGGCAUAUUCCCCUCUCCAUUAUGAGAUUUAUUUGAGCAGUGAUAUGAGGAUGGAUGAUUGGUGUCGGUUGUUUAGCUUAUGACUUUGACAUCAGGUCUCAUACUGGGGCAUAUUUCCCUACUUUUUGAGUAUCCUUGAGAUUGAGACAGUGACCAGCUUGGUUUUAGAUUGAGUACUAGCCUAGAGCUUCCGACGAUCGACUGUAUCAGGGCCUCCCUACAUGGAUUUGUUGAGAUAGAGAUGGAUCGUAUCAGGUUUCACCCGAGGAGCGUGGGUGGAUCCUUUAGCCAGAUGCUCAUGAGACAGAUUUGUUUUCGUCAUUGUUACCUUGUCGAUUGGGUUAUUUGAACAAGCAUCAUUUUGUGCACUUUGAGAUUUGCUUUUAGAUGAGCCACGAUAUACACGCUUUGAGAUUUACCUUUUGACAUUCGUCGGUAGAGCAAUUUUUCAGACACAGAGGCCUCUUUCAGUUUUGACUUUUCAGAGGUUUGUCAUGGUGUAUUGGUUUUUGACUCAUUGAUUCUAGCAGAUGAUUGGUUUACUGGUUGUUUCAGCAGUGUGAGCACCUUGGAUACUAGGGCAUAUUUCCCUUCUUGGUUUCAGUAGUCCGACCCUUGACAUUUUGAGUAUAUGGCUUUGAGCCAAUUUAUUUCAUGUCCACUUUCAAGUUGGUCUUCUCUAUUAUUCCCUUCUAGGCCCUGAGCCUUAUAGCCCUAAGUUAUUCAUUCCUUCUAGACCUCGAGUCUUACAGCCCUGAGCAUUCUUUUUCCUUUAGGCCCUAAGCCUUGUGGCCCUGAGCUAUCAUUUCCCAUAGACCUAGAGUCUUUCCAGCUCUUAGCUGAGCUUUCAUCACUUGGUCGCCCAUGAGUGGUUUGACAUGGAGUUUGCGUAUCGCAUUCUCCUUCUAGCCGAUCAGUCAUAGAGCCCAAAGCUCAUAGCCCUGAGCUAUUCAUCGACCCAGAGUCAUUUUCCAUCUUGACCCAGAGUCAUUCAUAGCACCCCGAGCCCUGAGCUCACGACCCGGAGUCAUUUGCAUCAUUCAUAUCCCUGAGAUGUUUCGUUUUCAUCAUUCUAGCCACUUGUGAGUGGUCUCGACCCGACAUCUUGAGUCGGAAAGUAUCUUGAUCGGCUAUCUAUUAGAGCCUGGAGCUCUCGACCCAGAGUCACUUUCCAUUUCGACCUAGAGUCAUUAUUUCCUAUUUUAGAGCCCGGAGCUCUCGACCCAGAGUCAUUUUCCAUUUUGACCCAGAGUCAUUCCUAUCUAUUUAGAGCCCGGAUCUCUCGACCCAGAGUCAUUUUCCAUUUUGACCCAGAGUCAUUCCUAUCUAUUUAGAGCUCGGAGCUCUCGACCUAGAGUCAUUUCCCAUUUUGACCCAGAGUCAUUCCUUUCCACUUAGAGCCCGGAGCUCUCGACCCGGAGUCACUUUCCAUUUUGACCUAGAGUCAUUAUUUUCCAUUUUGACCCAGAGUCAUUUUCCAUUUUGACUUAGAGUCAUUCUUUCCUAUUUAGAGCCUAGAGCUCUCGACUCAGAGUCAUUUUCCAUUUCGACCUAGAGCCAUUCUUUCCAAUUAGAGCCCUGAGCUCAUGACCCGGAGUUUUUUAUCCUAUUUCAGAUCCAGAGUCGUUCAUCUUGUCCCUGACCCAGAUUCAUUCAUCCCAUCCAUGACUUUGAGUCAUCAUUUUCACCUCUUUCCAUCUUUGUGCUACUCGUCACAUACUGUUCUCUCUUUAUUGUCAUUCCCCCCACAUAGAGUUGUCCCAUCCAUGUCAUUGAGACCCCAUCUUUUGAUCUUACCUCUUCAUGUGCUAGGACAAAAUCUCUGGUCCUUCUUUAAUUCUUCGGUAUAGUUCACUUCAUUCUGCUCAUUACUCGUGUUUCUACUCACAUUCUCUACACUCGUGAUCUAUACCAAAGAGGGGCAUAUUUGUAGACCCUUAAUUUUGUCCAUUUAGCACAUGUCUUUAAAUUCACAUCCAGUGCUCCACGGUAGUUCCUUGGUGGCCCAUUACUACUCAUAAGGCUUACCUUUUUCUGAGUCACCUCAGAGACUUUGGUUGAGGGAUUAUCUGACCCCUUAUUGUGAUCCUUGGCAAUCCUAAUUUAGAUUGGGCUUGAAUUAGAUACACUUAGCCCAUUUAGGCACCUUAGGCCCACUUAGGCAUCUUAGGCCCGUUUAGAUACACUUGGCCCACUUAGGCUCACUUAGACCCACUUAGGUCAUCUUUUAAAUAUUUUUUUUACAUAUUUGCAUGAUUGCAUUUUUUUGUAUGACUUGCAUGGUUGCAUGGCUCAUGGGGCCUAAUUUUUGUUAAUUUGUUUGUUUUAUUUUUAGUUUUAGUUUUAUCAUUAUCAAUCACUCGUUUAUUUAUUUAUUUAUUUUAUUUGUUAUCUCAUUCUUUAUAUUAUUUUCCUUAAUUUAUUUAUUUAUUAUUGUUUUAUUGUUUUCUAAUUUGUUUGCUUAUUUAGUUAUUCAUUCAAUUAUAUAAUUUCAAAAAUUUCAUGUUUUUGCAAGGAAACUUACCAUUGGAGACUAAGGAAAGCGGGACUCUCCUUGGAAAGUUUUGGAGGGGAAUUUGAAGUUGGGAAGAUUGCUUUUGAAUUGGAAGAUUUAGAAAAAGGGAAAAAGGAAGAAGAGAAGAAGAAUGGAAAUAGGGGAAUUUUCUUUUUUUUUGGAAACAAAUUUAGGUCUUGAGGGAUGAUAUAUAUAUGUGAGAAAAGAAAGAGAAAGGGGGAGUGAACAAGCACGCAUUGGAGGAUUGGGAGAAAUUCUGGGAAAAGGUGGAGAGACGUAUUGGAGGCAUUGGAGGAAACCAUUUAAGAGGAGAAGAAGAAAGAAGCACAGAAAAACCAGUGGAGAUUUUCUGAGGAUAGAAACCAGUGCAGAUUUUUUUUUUUUCGUCAAAAGGAAGCAUUCCCAGGUAUGUCUACUGUAGAUUCCUUCUUCAUUCCCAUUAUCCUUUUCUUAUGUACUAAUCUUUGUCGGGUUUUGAGUCUUGCUUGGAUGCUAGGGGGGCAGAAUGACAGAGGUCACAUGUUUGUCUACAUUGAUACUUGCUUCUAUAGAUGUUAUUGAUUUAUCCCUUAGGAGUUCUCUAAUUUUGAUUUAGUGCUGCUAGGUUCCAUUUAUUAUUAUUUCAUGUGCAUUACAUGAGAACUGUGGUUGUAUUCGUUUGUUGGAAUCUGCUCGUACUUAUCCCAUCAUUCCAAACCCAUUGAACCUAACAUGAAAUGGGUUUUCAUUUAAUGGAUCACUUAUUUGUUCAUCCAUUUUUUUUAUCAAACUCUAUUUUGGCGGGGUUGUUUUUCUACAGUUGAGCAUGCUUCAAAUUGCUCUGUUUUGCUUCCCGGGUGUGUCUUCCUAUAUUUAUGAAUGAAUAAGGUAUAGAUUUGUGGGCUUAUGAGUUGUAAAGGUGAUUUCAGUGGGGUUGAGAUUCUGGGUCCACAAGAAAAAAAUAGAAUAGCAGAAGAGAAAAAUCUGUAAGAGAGUUGGGAAGUCCAGAGUAGUGCAAAUCCUCUUGGGCGUCUUUGGUUCAGAAAUAUCAGAAAAGCUAGAAGGAUGAGAAAAACAAGAAAGAUUGUUUGCCUUUGAACUUUUGAUUGCUUAAAGAUGUUUGACAAUGACCACUGUAAACAACCUGCUACUUUAAUGGUUGUGAUAUUUGAAUGUCAGUAUGAAGAUGUGAUUGGGGUGAAAGUGCUGAAAUCAGAGCUCAGGAGAAGAUCAUUGACUGUUGAGUCUGAUAUGGAAUACAAUUGAAAUGCCAACAUUGAGAUAUUUGGAAGAAGGGGUCUUGCUCCAGGAGUUAGACUUGGUGGGGUGGUUGGUGACUCACUUACCAGAGUUGUAGGAAUGCAAGCAGAUGCACUUUUGUUUGCAGAGGCCAGAAAACAGGGUUUUGAUUCUUUGGAAAGAGAAGAUGACAAAUAUUUGGAAAGAUUUAAAUUGUUUCAGUUGGAAGCUACUGAAUUUUACCANNNNNNNNNNNNNNNNNNNNNNNNNNNNNNNNNNNNNNNNNNNNNNNNNNNNNNNNNNNNNNNNNNNNNNNNNNNNNNNNNNNNNNNNNNNNNNNNNNNNNNNNNNNNNNNNNNNNNNNNNNNNNNNNNNNNNNNNNNNNNNNNNNNNNNNNNNNNNNNNNNNNUAGGUGCAGAGAGCUCUAUAACAAACCUGAUGUUCAGAGUCGCAAUUGGUCAAUUGCUGCUACCUGUUAUAGAGAAGUAACAAUAAUUUGGCACUGGUGCAACUGAAAGAAGAGUACAUGAGGAAAUUCCCUUUCUGGAAUGAUCCAUAUGUUCUAGUGAGCUUGCUUUCUGCUAGCCGACUGCGUGGAGAUGUUGUAAUUGGGGAGUGUUUGGCUAAAUGGCUUCUAAAACUUCAGCUUGUGACUACUUCUCCUUAUGUAUUAUUAUCAAACUUGUAUGCUUCAGAUAGGAAGUGGGCAGAUUUAAAGAACCUGUCAUCAGCGGACAACAACUUCUCUGACUCAACUUUAGACUCAAUUUCGGGGUUAGAAUCAAUCAAGUCUUUAGAUUUCAGUCGCAACCCCUUUUCUGGUGAUAUGGCAGCAUCAUCGACAAAACUGACUAAUUUGGUAUCCCUUAAUUUAUCGUUAAAUGAGUUCGAAAGUAAAAUUCCAAAAGGUCUCGAGCUGUUUUCAAAACUUGAAAUUCUUGACUCGCAUAGGAAUAUGCUCAGUGGACUUCCAGACAAGGAAUUCUUGUAAUUUUCAGGUGCCAUUCGUGUUGACUUUAGUGGGUGCUAGCAGAGUACUAUCUAUGUUAUUCAUUAUAGCAGAUUCUUAACAUCCACAUUUAUUUGGGAAUAGAUGCUUCAGUUUGGAUGAUAAACAGAUUACAGAUUUAAGGCAUUCUAUUGAUAAGAUUCUAAGUGACAAGUCUUCUUGGAAUGAAGAUCUCUUUGUUGCUACAGUCAAAUUGCUUACUUCUGCUGCAGUUGAUCAGCCUGUUUUUUCUUGUCACCAUAAUUUCAGCCAAAGACAAUCUAGGUUUGAUGCAGCCAAUAAAUGAAGCUUCUUUUGGAAUAUUGGGGUCUGUCAAAGCAAGUUUGGUAGAUGCACUCUUGCAAGUUAUUGAAAGAUUUCAAUGAUCUUAUCAAAUAGCAAUCCCCGUUUACUACUGAAUGUGCUUGACUUACUGAAAACAUUGUGGCAAGGGGUUGCUCAAUAUGCAGAUAUUUUGGAAUGGCUGAAAAACUCUGAAAAGUUCUGAAAACUAUUUUUGUAACUCUAUUUCUCAAAUUGUUAGAAUGAAAGCUCCCCUGCCUGAGAAUCUAACCAAAAUGGAGGCUCUAAUCUUGGCAUACAAAUACCAGUGUCAAACAGCUGUAUUGGAAAUAAUGGCAGAAAUCUUGUUCCUGUGGAAGAAGUUACUGCAUGCUGAAUUUCUUGAAAUGCUUGCAAAUCUGCACAGUUCACCAAUUGAGCCUAGGAAUUCUGAUAUAUCUUCAGGAAUGGAUGACGAGUCCAAUAAUAGUGAGAUGCUCGCAGCUACUAACAUCCACCCUGGACAAGAUUCAUGGAGAAAAUUGGAAGUUGAAGACAAGGAAUUGCCGCAAGUGCACAAUGGUACAUUGCAGCAGAGCAUCUCUGUCGAUGCAAAACUAAUCAAAGAGGAUGUAAUUAGCUUAGUAGAUAAGGAAAGAAGGCAAGCUCUACAGACACCACAAGUGGUUAUGAACAUGCUCGAUGCGACUAUGCCUGGUACUCUAAUGGAAGAACUUAAGAAGAAGGUCCUGGCUGCCGUAGGACAAGGAGAAACAGUUAUGUAAACUUUGUGAGAUGCUGUCCCAGGAAAUAUUUGUGGAAAGCUUUCUACUGCUGUUUCUAGAAUUUUGGCAUACUCAAGGUGUAAAUUUAAACUUUGAGGGUCUUCUGAGGAUUGACCAAACUCCUAAUGUUUCGUCAGGAUUGAAAUCUAAGAUCCAAAAAGAAAUUGGAAUAACAUCAAGUGAAGAAGGUGGGACCGAAAGCUAGGAUACAGUUGAAGAUUACAAAGGUAUAGUUCUUGGAGGUUCCGAAGCCGCCAAACACUCCUUGGAGAAAUUAGGGAAAAUAUCAGAUGGAAGUUCUUGCUCUGGUGUAGAGAAUUCUUGUAAUCAUUCACAGAGAAUUGGUGGUCAAAUUAUAAGUGACUCGGAUGAAGAAGUGGACAUUGAUGAAUAAGGAGGUGGAAAUGAGUUAUUUGAUUUUGCUGCACUGGCUGCUCUCACGAAAAUAGUAGCAAGUGCAAGUUCCGAUAGUGGCAGUAUCACAAUAACCUCUCCAAAGGGAUCCAAGCUUCUCUCUGAUUGACCCCCCCUGUUGGAUUGGGAUCUACAAACCAGCCUCUAAGACCUGCUCCCCAACAAAACCUGUCCAAUCUUUUUACCCAUUUUCCAAUCUUGCAGGGAGGCAAACUGGUGAAGAAUUUAAUCUUGAUAUUGCAGAGAGAGUUGUUUGUGAUCUUAACACUACUGAAGCGUUUCCAAGUGUGUUGGAUCUAAAAUGCAGCCUGAAGUUCUCUGGCCAACUAAACUCGAGCCACUUGAUCGCCAGAUUGUCGAAGAACAAAUCCAGUUCAGUUCUUUCCUUUUACUGGUUUUUUGGCUCAUCCCUACCUCAUGAAUACACCCAGUUAGGCAGGGUUAUUAAAGUACCAAGGGACCUUAUUGAUCCCUACAUCCUGGUUAGCAUCCUUGCUUAUAGGCAAUCCUGAACAUGGUGCGCAGCUGUACUGAUAAUCCGUCAUCUGAUAAGUCUUGGAGAUGUUCCCUGCUGCUAUUGCAUUCAGAAAACUCAUAUUGCAUAAGGAAGCUUGCUGAAAGUAUCUCAUAAAUGCUACAACAAAGGACAACUAGAAGGCAAUUUCCCAAGACUUAAUGCCUCAUUUCUGAAACCUGCAAGUGGAGAUGAAGUACUAUCCAAAGAACCUAAAUGACGAUAUGGAGCUUCAUUAAAAUCUGUCCAGAGAAUUCAAACAGAUCAAUGAAGAGUUGUCUCUAAAGUCAUUCAUGAAAUCGAAAGGACAAAGCCGCGUCAAAAGCUGCUACUGCUCGCGGUCUUGGACGCAAUGCAAAGAUUGGUUCUGGGAGGGGUCUCAGUGCUGUAGCUAUGGCAACAUCUGCACAAAGAAAGGAAAGGACAAAUUCGGACAUGAAAUGGAAGUAGGGAUCUUCGCCAAGGUUCAUACUGAGAGAAUGGUUUCAUCUUUAAGAUUUGGAAUCCCAUCAAAACCUCUUACCAAAUGUUCUCCUCAUGUUUGUUUUCGUUUGCUAUUAUAGUUACCUACGGUGUCGGAUUUCAUUCGAAUUUUUCAGACAAGUCUCCGCAUUCAGCCCAUGGAAAUGACAACCAGAAUUCCAAAACAACAGCGAUCAGACCAGUUCCCAGAUUCCAAUUGUUGGAUAUGUUGGUCAGCCAUAUGGAGCCCCGUCACUGCCAAUCUCCUCUCUCUAAUAUCUGUAGUUGAAUUAGCAUCACCAGCUUCAUACGAUUGGCAUCUGGUCUACCUCUUUCAUUAUACUUUCCUCAGAAUUUGUUUUCCAAACAGCAAUGGUAGGUUCCAAUUUGGAACCCAAUAGCUAAAUAGAACCCACCUGGUAGUAAAGGUCAGCAAGCAGGGCUUCAAAACAGAGAAAAUCGGAAGUGAGGAGACCAAAAUCUUGUGCAAUAAGUAAAGAACACUUCGAAUGCCAUAUCCUUUUUCAUUAGAUUCAGAAGGAGGACUCUCUCUGGGUAGGAAUUGUAAUGAUAUGGAAAGGAUGGGAAGUCAUGAUACAAAGCUGUUUUAUCGUUUUAGCUUGGGAAUUGACAGCUUCAUCUUCAAACGGUGGAAUUCCAUGAAUAAGGAGCUUUAAGACAUGCCAACAAAUUGCCAAGGAAUAGUCAACUUCUUCACCCAACAGUGAAACUAAAAGUGGAAAGAGCAGAGUAGCAUUGUUUUUUUUGGACCUUUUAUGAUCAUCAUGCAGAAAAAAACAGCUCAGUAGCUGAAGUUGAGUAUAUUGGCAAACCUGAGAAUGCACUUCCAACCGAUGGAACUGAACAGCAGCAUAAGAAAUCUGAUUUGGAGUUAAGACCUACUACCACAUUACAAGCUCUAGUUGAUGAUUCAAAUUGUGAUCUCGAGAAACUAAAGUUGAAUCCAGACGACAUUGCUGAUGAAAUCAUGUAUCAAACCCUAUGAGCUUUGACUCUGAAAUGAAUAUGGACAGUUCGUUUCCAGUCACGCCAGCAGUAUACAGAGAUCUCUUCACACAACCACCAGCAACGCAGUCACAGCCAAACCCCCAAACCCCAUUCUCCAUGACCGGUCUAGUGCACACUACUCUUUUCCUUUCACACCCCUUUUGCUUUCCUCGUGAUUUUAUGUGUCUUGAAUUGUGUUUUCAAAAAUCGUUUUCAUCCAAAUAAAUCUGAUUUUAGAUAAUCAUCUUUAGAUAUUCUCUAGGCAUUGAAAUCUAAAUUUCAACACCCUUUUGCUGCCAUUUUCCUUCCGGCAUGCGUCUUCACUAUUUUAUUUGAUUUUCAACUAAUUUUCUUGAUUUUCAACAAGCAUGAACAAACUUCAUGAUUCCAAACAAUGGAAUUCAUUGAAUCAACUCAUGCAAAAUCAACUAGGGCUUUGGUGGGGGCCCAACAUUCAUAACACUCACUUCAAUACUGUUUACUUGAUAUGUUGAUUUUUUAUUCUUCUUGAUGAAAUACUUGAAUUCAUUUAAUAUUUAUUGUUGAGAUGCUCUCGUUUCCCAUAGAGGAGUACUAGCUUGCUAUCCAGGUACGCUCUCUUCUCAUCUAUUUUUUUAGAACUCUAUGGACUUGUAUGUCAUUGAUGACCAUAUCCAUAUUUGACGUGAUUCUUGAAUGUCUUGAUAUAUGCCUGAUUUGCUUGAAUAAAACAAAUGUUGUGUGAUGUAUCUCCAAACUAAUCUCUUAUGUUUUAUGAUAGCGCUUGGGAAGCCAUCCAGGUAUGCAUUUUUAACUUUUCUUAAUUGUGAUCUGAUCUUGUUUGAUAUGUUAUGUUUUUGGAAUCACCUAGCCUACUUAGGUAUCCAUGAUCAACCAUUUAAUUGCCACGCUUCCCUUAACUUAGUCAGUAAAGACCUCUUUAGGGCUUAGAGGGGUGCUACCUCCUAGAGGUACCUUCCCAAUAAGUAACCUGAUCCCCGGACCUAAACUCGGGUUUCUCAAAGACAUGCUUUUUCCAAAACUAGGGAGUCACUUUUUAGGGUUUUUCUUUCUUGUUUUAUUUUCCCUUUAAAAUAAAAAUAAAAUAAGUGGCGACUCCAACUUUUUUUCCAAAAAUCAAUUUUUCACAAAAAUAAUAAAAAGCGAGUCUCGCCGAUCGAGUGGGGGCGCACGUGAAAAAUGCGGGUCCACAGGUCUCCUUAUAAUCAAUGCCUUCCUUUUGAGUGAAACCUUUUGCGAUUAGGCGUGCCUUAUACCUAACAAUGUUGCCUUUUGAAUCCCACUUGAUCUUAAAAAUCCAUUUACAACCAAUCGGUUUUACACCUUCAGGCAACUUUACUAGGUCCUAAACACCAUUGUCUUUCAUUGAUUUCAUCUCAUCCUUCAUGGCUUCUAUCAACUUUUCAGAGUCAGAACUUUGUUUGACUUGACUAAUUGAAAUUGGAUCGUCUUCCAAACCCAUGUCAAACUCAUGUUCCUGGAGAUGUACAACAUAAUCAUCUGAAAUUGUACUUCUCCUUUCUCUAGUGGAUCCCCUCAGUGGCACUUGUACUUGAGGUUCUUGAGGUUGUUGAGUUACCUCUUCAUGAACUUGAAUCGGUUCCAUAACUUGAGCAGGAGGAAUCUCAGGUGUGUUUUGAAUCUCUGUUAUUGACUGUACAUUUUGGAUAGUGUCAUCAAACAUAAUAUGACCAUGUCCAGUCGUAAUAAUAGGAAUACUAACAGAUUCCUCUUCAAAUACCACCUUUUUUAACUGUUCUCUCCCACUUAACUCAACAUCCUCAAUAAAUUUAGCAUUGCCCAUUUCAAAAAAUGAUCUAGUUGAGGGGUCAUAAAACUUGAAACCUCUCGACCUUUCAGAAUAUCUUACAAAGUAGCAACUCACUGUUCUGGAGUCUAAUUUCUUUUUAUUUGGUUUGUAAGGCCUAGCUUCAACUGGACAACCCCAGACAUGCAAGUGCCUAAUACUAGGUUUCUUGCUAGUUCAUAACUCAUAUGAGGUUUUGGCUACUGCUUUGCUUGAGACUCCAUUCAAAAUAUAAAUUGUUGUUUUGAUGGCUUCGCCCCAAAGUGAUUCUGGUAAGGUGGAAUGACUGAUCAUACUUCUUACCAUAUCCUUAAGAGUACAGUUUCGCAUAUUUGCUACACCAUUUUGGCUUGGAGUUCCCAGCAUGGUGUAUUGAGGAAUAAUACCACACUUCAUCAAAUAUUUGGCGAAUGACCCUAGACGUUGUUCACUGGAUCCGUCAUAUCUACCAUAAUAUUCACCUCCACGGUCAGAUCUGACGGCCUUUAUUUUCUUGCUUAGUUGGUUCUCAACUUUAGCUUUGAAAUUCUUGAACACAUCUAAUGAUUGAGACUUCUCAUGAAUCAAAUAAAGAUAGCCAUAGCGUGAGUAAUUUUCAAUGAAAGUGAUAAAAUAUUGUUGUCCAUUCCAAGAAGGAGUAGGAAAUGGACCAUAAAUGUAUGUAUGUAUCAAUUCCAAGACGUCACUGCACUUGUUAGCAUCAUUUUUUCUCAUAUUUGUUUGUUUACCCUUAAUACACUCUAUAUAGACUUGAAAUUCUGAGAAAUUAAGUGGAUCAAGAAUUCAUUCUAACACAAGCCUUUGAUUUGAAAUAUGACCCAAACGCCUGUGCCAUAACAUCGAUGAAUUCUCAUUUGUUAAUUUUUGUUUAAUGUCAUAAUUACUUAAAUGCAAGGUUUCAUUUCCAUUAGUGGUCUUUAUGUUUAAUUUGUAUAAUUUGUCUGUUAGACUACCUAUACCAAUAACAUUUGAAUUUAGAUAAAGACUAACCAUUCCAUUUCUAAAUGAACAAUAAUAUCCAAAUUUUUCCAGACAUGAAACAAAAAUUAAAUUCCGUCUAAACGAUGGUACUAUAAAAGUCUCUUCCAAAUCCAAAGUACAUCCAGAGUCUAACUGUAAUAUAAAAAGACCAAUAGUCUUGAUUGCAACCUUGUUGCCAUUUCCCACAUAGAUGUAUCUUUCACCAUCAGUUGGCAUUCGGCUCCUUAGGCAACCCUACAUCGUGACACUUAUGUGAGUAGUUGCACCCGUAUCUAUCCACCAAGUGUCAGUAGGCACUACGACUAAAUUAAUUUAUGAACAAACAAAGUUGAGAAGUGUACCUUUCUUUUCACGCCAAGCAGCGUAUUUGGUACAUGUCUUUUUCAUAUGACCAACUUUCUUGCAAAAUAAACAAGUCAUCUUCUUAUCUUGUUUCUUCUGCACCUUUUGCUUUGAUGUCCCAAAAAUUGCAGUUUGUUUUUCUUUAUUGUCCCUCUUUCUUUUCUUGUUGGUACCAAAUGCCUGAGAUGUGGAAGCCAAGUGAGCACUUUCUAUCUUUUCUUGUUUCAAUCUCUUAUCCUUUUGUGCACAUUGAGCAAUAAGCUCAUUCAAAGUCCAUUUUUUCUUUUGUAUGUUGUAACUGAUUUUGAAUGGACUGAAUUGUGUAGGUAAAGAGAUCAAGACCAAGUGUACGAGUAUGUCUUCCGAAAACUCUAACUUUAGUGCCUUUAGUCUAGUCACAAGAUUAGACAUUUCCAUAAUACACUUCCUUAUAUUCUCUUUCCCUUUGUACCGCAUAGAGACAAGCUUACUAAGAAUAGUGCUUGUCUUAACCUUUUCUUUUGCAGCGAAUCGGCUUGCUAUCUGGUCUAAGAAUGCCUUGGCUCGAGUUUUCUCAGGUAUUACACCCUUUAUAGCUUUUGGAAUUGAGUGCUUUGUUAUCAUUAACUCAUGCGAUUGGAUCGCUCUCAUUUUUCCAUAGUAGACCUUUGCUCAGCAGUGCUGGCACUAGUAAGAUCUGAAGAGCAAUCCUCUCUUAAUGCAUAGUCUAAAUCCAUGCACCCGAGCACAAUUAUAGCGUGCUCUGUCCAUUUCUUGAAGUUUGUGCCAUUAAGCGCAGGAAUGUUAUUAACAUUUGCAGAUAUAGAAUAUGUUGAAUUCAUAAUAAUAAAGCUCACAAUCAGUCACAUAAACAUCAUACAUACAUGAAAAACAUCAUACAAGAUACCUAGCACAAACAUUAAUAUUCUGUCUUUGGACAAUAAAUAUUAACUUGUAAUUGGUAUCCUUAUACAAAAUUAAUUCAUAAAUAUUUAUCGACAAUAAAACCAAAAACAGUAUGCCUAUCUUUAGACUAACAUAUCGAAUGCAAGAUAAACUUUAUAUGUCACAUAUUUAUGAUUACUUUAUUUAUUAUUAUAUUAAAAUAAUCUUCUUUUGAGCCGAUUAUUUUAAAUAAUAAUAAUAACAUGUUUAGAUAUUAUAAAAUAAAUAAAUUAUAUAAUAUAAGUUACUUUGGCAACUAACAUACAUAAUUCAUUUAUUUUAAAAUAUUAAACACAAACAUAACAAGAAAUAAUAAAUUCAAUUAAAAUUAUUUAUUUAUUUAUGCAUAAACCCAUGUAUAUAUAUGUAUAUAUUAAUUGAAGCAUAAAAAACCAUCUACAUGUGUAUAUAUAUCAAUUGAAGCAUAUAUACAAGCUUUAGUCUAAUGGUUUAAGCAAAAAAUAGGCCAUGGUAAAGGGUUUAAGCCAACCCACCCCUUUAGUUUGGUUUUUGUUUUUGUUUUUUUUUUAAUUUCUUUUGGGCUAUUGACCAUGCAUUCUCUCAUGGCCCAACGACCACUUGUGUUCACUUACAAGCCAAGCCCCUUCCAUAUAUAUAUAUAUAUAUAUAUAUAUAUAUAUAUAUAUAUAUAUAUAUAUAUAUAUAUAUAUAUAUAUGUUUUUUUUUAUUUUAUAAAUUUUGUCCAUUGCAGCCCAAAGUGACCAUCCCUUGAAAUGGCAUCAUCAACGGUGCCAGAGUUGUCCUCGAAUGACGCCUACAGUGAAACGCCGCUGCCAUCAUCGGAACGGUGAUUUCCCAUCGCCAAACGACGGUGUCACUACCGGAAUGAUGCUGUAACGGCAUCGCUGGGAAGCAGCCUAACCUGUGGCGUGACGUCGUGACAAGCAGUGCCGCCAGCGGUGAAACGCUGUCGCCAUCAUCGGAACGGUGAUUUUCCAUCUCCAAACGACGGCGCCACCACCGGAACAACGCUGUAACGACGUCACUAGGAAGUAGCCCCACCCGCGGCACCAAAAUGGUGCUUGGAUGGCGUUUGGAAAGCUUGGAACAACACUCAAAUCAGGGCUUCUCACUGGCAAAUGACGUUUGAACGGCGUCUGGAAAUAAUGCCUGUAGCGCCUAAAAAUUGUGCUCUUUUGAACACCUGAAACAACGUCGAAAUGACGUCUAACGACGUCUGGAAUUGCACUGUUGUCUAGAAUGAUGCCAUGAUGGUGUCUCACUCGCCUUAAAUGGCACCAACCACUGUGACUUGCAGCCCCAAAAAUGGCGCUUGAACAGUGCCUGAAGUGUGCUUGGAACGACGCAGCAAACGAUGCCUAAAAUGGUGCAUUUUGUAUGCCUGAAAACGGCACAGGAAUGAAGCCUAAACUACGUCCAUUUUGAACGCCUAAACGGCAUCCUAACGGCGCCUGGAACGGUGCCUGAAUGACGCCUGGAAUUGGCCCAGAUUUAUUUUCUGUUGUUUCCUUCCUCUUGUAUAUUUUGUUUGUGUUUUAAAAAAAAAGUGUUCUGGUGAAAAUGGGAAAUGCAACCAGGCUCUGAUACCAUUUUGUGAGACGUUCAUUCUCCAUUAUCAUCGAACACAUGCAGGAUAUAUUUUAUAUAUCUAUCAAUUCAUUCAAAAUAUGCCUUCAUUUUAUGGAACAUACUCGAAUCCAUUUUGUUUGUGUUGAAGAGGUACAGAUCUUCUAAGGCUAUGGGGAGGGGAGGGAGGGGAGGGGGGUACCACCUUUUCUGAGAAUUCUCUAUGACGAUGGGAAGCCGGAGAGAACAAGUUCUAUUUUUAUUUUGAAAACGUUGUUAUCCUUAAAAAACAAACACUAUUAUUUGGAUUUAUACUCUCCUACCUUAGGGACCAUACCCUUUGGCUAUUGGGCCUCACGAGUCUUAGGUCCAUCAUCUAAGGCUCAUGAUGGCACUAGGCUUUACACAUAAGGUGACCCAUACUCUGAAACGAAUAGAAAUCAUAUGUGUAUAUAUAUAUAUAUAUAUAUAUAUAUAUAUAUAUAUAUAUAUAUAUAUAUAUAUAUAUAUGAAUAUUUAAAUCCUGAACAAUGGUUAAUAUGAUGUCGGUUCACAUUUAUUAUAUCAUAGAGACUUCCUAUCUGAAGAAAAUCGACAGCAGAUAGCUUUGCCAUUCUUAGUCCGUAUACAACCAACCUUAGCAAGGGUUGAACCCUUUUAUGCUUAGUUGUGCCAUACAGAUCCUUACCAUUUGAUAAUGUCAUCUAGUGAACCAAUACCUCCAAAUGAGAGACCAUUGCCUCGGUAACUAGGGCUCAUGACUGAGAAUUGUGUGAACCCUUUUGCUUGGGAUGGAGCUUGACUGAUGAACAAAAUAUUCAUAGGCCUCUUCCCAUAACUGGCACCUUGUGUUUGCAACAUAAUUGAACAUGUAUUGAAGUGAGUUUUUUUGCAUCUUUUUGUAAGAAAAUUCUAAACAACAUAGACUACUUAGUGUGCCCAGCUCCUCGGGGAAUCAAGGUUCAUUCUUGUAGGGCCAAUUUUAUCACAGUCGAACUAGAUAACAUGGAGAGUAUGUUGCAAUGCUUCAAUGGGGUAUUUCUUAGGAAAAUCCACUUGAAGCUGGUACAAUUCGUUGGCGUACUGAGUUCUUGGAGCUUUAUUGACUUCAAUCACCCAUCUCUGUAGAUUAUCAGUGACUUUAUGCUCGGAUCCUGUAGGAAGAUUGACCUGACAUUCCACUAGCUCUUUCUGGAAGGUAAUCUUGUUUAACACCGUAUGAGAAGAGGCAGGGGAACUGGUCAUUGUUUCUUUGAGAAGAUCAAUGGCCGAGGAUGGGUUUGGACCAGAAUUGCUAUAUGGGUUUUCUUUGGGUGAACCAAUUAGCGGAGUGGGUGGCUAUAUAGCAACUGAAGGGUGGUCAUACUAGCUGACAUUCCACUAGCUCUUUCUAGAAGGUAAUCUUGUUUAACACCUUAUGAGAAGAGGCAAGGGAACUGGUCAUUUUUCUUCGAGAAGAUCAAUGGCCGAGGAUGGGUUUGGACCAGAAUUGCUAUAUGGGUUUUCUUUGGGUGAACCAAUUAGUAGAGUGGGUGGCUAUAUAGCAACUGAAGGGUGGUCAUACUAACGAGGAGCUAUUAUUUCAUGCAAGUGGACAGGAAAUGAGUAGCUUCUUCAAGGAUAUAUGAUUAUUCAUCUUUAGCUUACGUUGAAUAUCUCCUAACAAAUUUCUGCUUUGAAGCUCCCUUAGUUUCACUACAGCUAACUUGGCUAACUUGGUUUCAUCAUGUUUCCUACAACCUCUAAGCAAAGCACGCCAGAUCACCGGAUUAGGUUCUAUUCGCAUUUUGUCCAUAAACUCCUUUGCCUAUUGACAAUAGACUGCCCCUCAAAAUUUGAUGAGAUAACAUCAAUGCUGACAUGUUGGCCAUCGCCAUAAGCAUCUUUAUAGAGAUUGAUUCUAUGUUUACAUAUUUCUCUCUCCUCAAGUGAGUUCAACUUUUCUGUAACAUCCUUCUCCUUCUCAACUAACAGUCUUAGUUGAACAUCCAACCUAUGUUCCCAAAGUGCCAACAUCUCAUAUCUGAUGACAAGCCAACAACCUUGUCCUUGCUAAGACCCAAAUAAGUAUCUAGAACCAUCAGCAUCAACCCUUUCAUAGGCCUUUGUAUUUGAAGGUCGGAUUAGGAUUGCUUUGAAUGCAUUGGCAUUGCAAUACACAAUUGUUUCUUCUCCAAUAAAAACACCACAAAGAGGUGAGAGGACUGGUAUUAGCAAAGAAGUGUUGUUAUCUAUAUUGUUCUGAGCCCAAGUACCCUCAACAAAAUCCUCAUCCUCAUCUGUACUUUUCCAUUACAUCCUUAGGCGUUUCAAUGUGAUCCACAUGGCUUACAGGAAUCCAGAAAUACCGGUCUGUAUAAAAGUUGUUCUUAAGGGGCUCUCCUAGAAAACAUCCCAAUCAAGAUGAUCAACCUAGCUUAGAUGCUCAACACCCCAAACUUACCAUAAAUAGAGGAAUAAAAAGCAAGGAUAGGAGCCAGAGUAAAAACUGAGGGAAGAGCAAAUAGGAAAUCAAGCAAAACAUGAAUGUAUAGAGCCUCAUUUCAGGUGACAUCUUUGGGCUAAUAAUAGGUGGAAUUAGCAAAGUAGAUAAGCAUGAUUGUUAUAAAUAUCAAGUUCAAGGAUGAAGCCGUGCAUCAGCUACUUAUAGGGGGAGUCAAGGAAACCAAGAUAAGAUCAAAGAGAGCAUGUAUGCAAAUAAACAGAUUCGACAAAAUAGACCAAACAGAUCAUGAAUAUCCUCCUACAAAAAACUACUACACGUGGCAAAAAGUGAUGAAACAAAAAGAGUCGGGUCCGCAUAUACAUAUCCUAUUCUAUCCUAUUCCUUCAAAUCCAAAGCAACCUAUAUUUUCAAUGGGAUUUGUUGUGAUGAAUUUUACUGGAUUGUAACAUGUAAAUAUGUUAAAAGAGGCUUGGGACAUUCCUAUAUAGUAACGCAUAAAGGUACUUCCAUUGUGAAGUUAUCAAAAUUGCAAAUUUAAAUUACAAAAUUUGAAAACAUAGAGAUGAAAGAUGAUGAAACCUUCUUUGAAAUUUUAUAUUGAACUCAUUAAUAUUAUUAAUUUUCAUUUCAGUCUAGGGGAUAGAAUUCUUUACUCUAAAGUGGUCACAAAAAUAUUAAAAUUCCUUGUCGAGAGAUUUAGACCUAAAGUGAUCAAUAUAGAAGAAAGUAAAAAUCUUCUAAGUGUAGGUAAACUUGUGACUCUACCAUUUCAUAAAAAAUCCUCAAUUUUAUAAAUUAUAUAGAUUUCUUCAUUUGAUACAAAAUUUGAAUAAAGAUUUUUCAAAUGACAACACAAGGAAAGGGAAAAAAAAUUCUCUCCAAAUCAUAUUAUUUAAUCACUUAAAUUAUUUAAAAAUAAAAAUGCUUACUGCUAACAUUAUUUAGUUUCAUCUUUCUUUUGAUGGAGGUUAAAAUUCAUAAUUUUGAGGAAAAAGAUGAGGAUUCUCAUUUUUUUUCCAUGUAUGAAUGGGAUUCUCAUUGUGUAUAUGUGGGUUACUAAAUGGCAAAUUUGCGGGCCACCAGAGUCUGCAAUAUGAGUGAAAAAAUGAAAUUGAGUUUGUCACCAAGAAUAGACAUGGUUCCUACAAAGGUGGCAUCUUUAAUUUCAUGUUUGGAUUGGACUUGUCAUGUAACAACUUAACAAGUGAAAUCCCUCAUGAACUUGGAAUGUUAAGUUUGAUUCAUGCAUUGAACUUGUCUCGUAAUCAACUAAAAGGCUCCAUUUCAAAGAGUUUUUGCAAUCUUUCUCAAAUAGAGAGCUUAGACCUUUUUAAUAAUAAACUAAUAUAAUAAAAAAUAUUUAGGUAGAUCACAUUUAAAUAUAGCUAAUAUAAUAAAAAAUUAGUAUUAUUAGAAAGACAUGAUCAAUUAAAUUUUUUUUCUUAUCUAUGACACGACUUUAUUUUUUUACAUAGUCAAUAUAAUUUAUUACAACUUAUAUGUCAUUAAAUUAUACACGUUUAUAUUAAAUAUAAUAUAAUAUCAUUAAUGGAAUAAUUAUGCAAGUAAUAUAAAUUGUAUAUAAUAUAAAAAAUUUAAACUCCAUCAAACUAAUGGAAUCUAUUAUAAUAAGUAGACUAGACACCAUGUUGGCCCGAGUUGGAAGCCUGGGCCAGAUUUUAAAGGCUGGGCUUUGAGUUGCCCGUGGGCGUGAGCCAAGGUCUUCUCUUGGUAUCAUCAUUUUGAAGAAAUAAAUUGCUGAUACAGAGAAAAAAACUAUACUAAAUAGAAAAAUAAAUAAAAGCAUUGACUAAAAUGAAGGUCAAGGUCCUUGAAAAAUAAUCUUUAAAUUGUUGCAUAUAUAAUUUCAAUAAUGCAUAAAUAAUUGCAAUAUAUAUGAUAUGAUAAAGAAUUUGGAAUUAAAAGAAGAUUGAUCUAUUUUAAAUGUGGUUGGAAUAUUUCUAAAUUUGUGAUGGGAAGUUAGACAGCCAAUUAGGGAUCCAUAUUAUUUAUUUUCAAUGAUAUGAAUUUAUUUAUUUUUAUUAAUAUUCUUAAUGCAACAAUAUAAAAUAUGUCAAUUUUCUAAAAUUUAAAAAGUAAUUGUAAAAGAAAUUUUUUAAUUAUUUUUCUGAAAUUGAGUUUAUUAUAACAUUUUUCUUUACUUAAAUUUCUUUUUUAUUUUUAUUUUUUUAAAAAAUAAGAUAUGAAAAAAAAAGAUCAAUAUUAGUAAAAGUAAAACCCAAUAUAUAAAAAAAAAUGAAUAAAUGUUUAUGAAAUAAAAUUUAAAAGUGAGAAGGUAAUAAAUUUUUUCUCUUUUAAUUCCCAUUCAAUUCAUUACAAAAAAUAUUUUUGGUUUUUAUGCUAAAAUUUAUUGUCUAUUAAAAAAUUCUAGUAUAUCUAGCUAUCAUAGAAGAGCUAUAAAAUUUUAUUGUUUAAGAGAAUAUGUGUUGCUACUUUAAAAGAUUUAUAUGCAAAAGGGAUUGAUAUUUUUUUCCUUUGGAUAUGUUUAGUUCCCGGAAAAUGUGAGGGAAGAAAAAUAGAGAAGAAAAGUAUAACAAAAUAAAAAGUGAAGGAAAAUGAAAAAUAGAUUUAAAGUUAAUAAAUUAUUUUCAUUGGUUUUUUCAAACUUAUUUUACUUAUUUUAUUCUAUUAAAUAAAGAUUAACUAAUUUUAAUUAUAUUUGGUUUGAUUUUUAUUAUUUUUCAAAGCAAAACCAAAUAUGAAAAAAAAAAACAUUUUUUUUUGUUAUUUUUUUUUUCUUUAUUACUUUUCUGGACUCAAACAUAGCUUUUAGAUUUGGAGCAUGGAAAGAUAAGAGUAUUGAAUAAAGGUUCUAUAUAUGCUCAUGCCCAUGCCCAUGAUACCAUUGAAAAAAAUGGAGAGAGGGUGAAACCUUUACUAGAUGAUAAAUUAUUCUCUUCAAUGGAAAUCAAAUAUAAUUAUUUUUAUCUUGUAUUAAUUGAAUGUUAUACUCCAUAAACUCAAAAUUAAAAUAAAUAAAUAAUUUAAAAACUAGGACAAUCCCAUUUUUUUUUCAAUUUCUUAAAAAGAAAUUAAAUUAUAUUUAUUUAUAUCUAUUUUCAUCCCUACCCAACAAAAUAAUAAUAAAAAAAAAAAACAAGGUGGGACAUGUAUGAGAAAUUCUCACACUAACUCUCCCUAGUUUAUUUUUUAUUUUUUUUAAAAAAUCAAUUUCUUUUAAAAAAAUUAAACUACAUAAAAAAUAAACAAAUUUUACAAAAUUUUUUUUAAGAAAAGUAAAUUUCUUAUUUUAUAUAUGUUAAAAAUAAAUAUAAUCUUUUAUUUUUUAUAUAUAUAAUCGGGAGUGGGACAAAGAAAUAAUCCCCUUCGAUUCCAAUCCAAAAUUUUAAAAUAUAAAAUAAAAAUCUUAAACUCAUCCCUAAUCCAUUUAUUUUUAAUCCUAAACUUGUCUUAUUAAGAAUAAGACAAAGUGAGCACAUGAAAACACUUCUUUUAUCAUCAUCUCUACAAGUUCUAAUGUUUAGAUUGCAAUCCAUAUCAAAGAUUUAUAAAGAAAGAACAACGAUGAAUUUCAUAAACAUUUGAAAGCAUAUACAAAGUUUUAAAUAAUAUUGCUUGAGGUGCAAAUAUUAUUUGGCGCACAUGUUGAGGGACUUCAACUGGUGUAGUCUAGGUUUUUUACACUAGUAAGUAAUCUUGAAUAUCUAGAGUAACUUGAUCAAAAUCUCUUUAAUUUUAUUUUCUUUGAUGGUUGUAUGAUGAAUUAGAAUGCUUAUAUAACAGGAUUAAAAAUUUUAAGAAAAAAAACCAAGAAGAAAGAAAGAAGCACCGAUCUUCCAAAUAUUGCUUCCACUUUAAUAUCUAGAAGGCUCUAAGAAAAUAACUUUAUUCAUGAAUCAUAACCCAAGUCGAAAAUAAAUUGAACCCAUUUUCUAAGUUAAAUUUUGAAUUUUUUACUAGUGAAUGCAAAUUGGGAAAAUGUAUAUAAAUAUAAUUAAACUAGAAUAGUAGAUUAGGUUUGUAGGUGGAGUUUGUUUGAAUUGUUGGAACUUCCAAGUCGUUGUGGGUCUAGUGGUCCCAUAGCUCUCUAUUAAUUUCCACCAUCAAUUUUCUACAAUAAAGUCAAGUCAUUCCUAACCCCUAUAUUAAGUUGGCCUUAAAAGUCAAGUCAUUGAUCAUAGUUACAUUCAUGAAUCACAACCCAAGUCGAAAAUAAAUUGAACCCAUUUUUCAAGUUCAACUUUGAAUUUUUUACUAGUGAAUGCAAAUUGGGAAAACAUAUAUAAAUAUAAUUAAACUAAAAUAGUAGAUUAGGUUUGUAGGUAGAGUCUGCUUGAAUUGUUGAAACUUCCAAGUCAUCGUGGGCCCAGUGGUCCCAUAGCUCUCUAUUAAUUUCCACCAUCAAUUUUUUUGCAAUAAAGUCAAGUCAUUCCUAACCCCUAUAUUAAUUUGGCCUUAAAAGUCUAGUCAUUGAUAGCUAAAUCCUAACCCAAGUCAAAAAUAAAUUGAACCCAUUUUCUAAGUUCAACUUUGAAUUUUUCUUAAUUGGAAAAAUGUAUAUAAAUACAAUUAAACUAGAAUAGUAGAUUAGGUUUGUAGGUGGAGUCUGCUUGAAUUUGUGAAACUUCCAAGUCAUCGUGGGUCUAGUGGUCCCAUAGCUCUCUAUUAACUUCCACCAUCAAUUUUCUGUAAUAAAGUCAAGUCAUUCCUAACCCCUAUAUUAAUUUGGCCUUAAAAGUCUGGUCAUUGAUAGCUACGUUCAUGAAUCCCAACCCAAGUCAAAAAUAAAUUGAACCCAUUUUCUAAGUUCAACUUUGAAUUCUUUUAAUUGGGAAAAUGUAUAUAAAUACAAUUAAACUAGAAUAGUAGAUUAGGUUUGUAGGUGGAGUCAAGCUUGAAUUUGUGAAACUUCCAAGUCGUCAUGGGUCUAGUGGUCCCAUAGCUCUUUAUUAAUUUUCACCAUCAAUUUUCUGCAAUAAAGUUAAGCCAUUCCUAAACCAUAUAUUAAUUUGGCCUUAAAAGUCAAGUCAUUGAUAGUUACGUUCAUGAAUCACAACCCAAGUCUAAAAUAAAUUGAACCCAUUUUCCAAGUUCAACUUUGAUUUUUUUACUAGUGAAUGCAAAUUGGGAAAACUUAUAUAAAUAUAAUUAAACUAGAAUAGUAUAUUAGGUUUGUAGGUGGAGUAAGCUUGAAUUGUUGAAACUUCCAAGUCAUCAUGGGUCUAAGGGUCCCAUAGCUCUCUAUUGAUUUCCAUCGUCAAUUUUUAUGAAUUAAGAUUUAAAAGUGAGAAGGGAAUAAAUUUUUUCUUUUUCAAUUCAUUACAAAAAAUAUUUUUGGUUUUUAUGCUAAAAUUUAUUGUUAUUCAAAAAAUUAAAGUAUAUAAAUAAUAUAUAUAUAUAUAUAUAGAUAUAUAUAUCUUGCUAUUAUAGAAGAGCUCCAAAGUUUUCGUGUUUAAGAGAAUAUGUGUUGCCACUUUAGAAGAUUUAUAUACAAAAAGGAUUGAUGUUUCUCCUUUGACUAUUUUUGGUUCCCAAAAAUUCGAGGGAAAGAAAAUAAAAAAAAAAAAAGUAGUAAAAAAGAAAAAUAAAGGAAAAUAAAAAAUAGUUUUAAAGUUAAUAAAUUAUUUUUAUAUGUUUUUUCAAACUUAUUUUACUUUUUUUUUCAUUAUAUAAAGAUUAAAUAAUUUUAAAAAUGUAUAAAUUUCUAACUAAUUUUAAUUAUAUUUAAUUUUUGUUUUUAUAUUUUUUAGACGGGAUCCGACACAUGAAAAAAUCCUUUUUUUUAGCAUCUUUUUUUCUUUUCUUAUUACUUUCCAAUAACCAAAUAUAACCUUUAGAUUUAGCCUUUAGACUUGGAGUAUGGAACGAUACUGACUAUUGAAAGAAGGUUUUGUAUAUGGCCAUGAUACCAUAGAAAAAAUGGGCGAGAGAGAAAAAACCUUUAUUAAAUGAUAAAUUAUUUUUUUCAAUGGAAAUCAAAUAUAAUUAUUUUUAUAAUAAUUACUUUAUUUUUAAAAAAUAAUAAUAAAACAAAUAAUUUGUUGUUGCAUUAAGUAUUCUUGCAUUUGGAGAAGCAUGUUACUACUUACUACAUAAAUAGAUAUUCAUGGAGUGCAUUCUCUAAAAAGCUCCAGUCUCAUGAAAAUGGAAAGAUGGACCGGCCGGUGAACCGGUUCGAGUUUGGAUUUAUGGGCUGCCUCAGCCUUACACGCAUGAUAGACGGUUGCAGGUGAAGAACUAAUUAAUUUAAAGCCUUCUUCUAUCCUCUCCUAUUCCUCUAUCACUCCAAAUGUUCCACAUGAUAAUGACAAUUCUUUUGUUAAAUGGUAAAAAAAAAAUUUAACAAUUAAUUUUUAAAAAUUUUAAAUUCUAAAUCCAAUUGAAAUUUGACUCUAAUUUGAUGAUAGUUAAAUUACCAUUUUGGGAGAUUCCACUCACUAGUAUUCUCAUUUAUAAAAUCAUGAACUUUGGCAUCCUAAUUAAUGCAAUUUAAACUUUUUUUUUUGUUUACAAAUGAAAUAAGAGGCAACAUAAAAACCCAAAAGUUAAUUUUCCUACCAUCUCUAUGCACCAUUUUAGCUUUACUCCAAUAUAUUUUCUAUGAUUAAUUAUUUUCAUUCAAACAAUAAUAUCAAAAUAUUUUAAAAUUAGACAUAUCAUAAUCAAAUAUCAUUAUAUUAUUAUCGAAUAAUAUUUAAUGUAAUUUAAUAAUCAACUUAUACUUAUAAAAUUUAUUUUUUUUAUUAAUGCAUAUAAUAUUAUUAUCAAAUAUCAUAAAUUAUAUAUAUAUAUAUAUUUCUUUAACAAAACAACUUUAAAAUAUCUAUUAUACUUCUAAUUUCAUUUCUAAGAGGUUUUUUUUUUUUUUUUUUUUUUUUUUUUUUACAUUUUUAUAAGUUUUGAUCAAUUGUAGGCUAACCGAUAUUUUUUAUCAAAAUAUCCACCAAUAUAUCUCCGAUAUAUUAGAUAUAUCCGUAAAAUCGAAAUACCAAUAUAUCCAUGAUUAUCGAUAUUUUUAUCCUUGAGGGAUAACAACUAAUCUAGUUUUUGCACUUAUUGAUAUUCCUCAACAUUUAGAUUGAUUUGACCAAAAUCUUUUUAAUUUUAUUUUCUUUGAUGGUUAUAUGAUGAAUUGGAAUAGUCAUAUAACAUUAACAUAUUUAAGAAAAAAUGAUAAAAAAGAUCGCAUUUUUCAAAUAUUGGUUUCAACUUUGAAUAUUUUUAUUGGUAAAUGAAAAUUGUGAAAAACCUACUAAUGCUAAUACUUUUCACCACAUAAUUAAAUAUAAUAAACUAGAAUAGUGAUUCAUUGAUGUCUCAUAAAGCUACAUGCCUUCUUUGACUUGUUAGUUGAUUUUUGUAGGCGGAGUCCAUUUCCAUUUGAAUUGUUGAAACUUCCAAGUCCUUGUGGGUCUAGUGGUCUCUCUAAUAAUUCCCACCAUUAAUUUUUUGUGAUGAAGUGCAGUCAUUGAUAGCUACUAUAUCAAUUUGCUAUUAAAAGUCAAGUCAUUGAUAACUACUAUUCAAUCUUUUUCAAUAUGGAAAUUGGAAUCGCUAGCACUACUCUUCUCAUUGUUCAUUUUUAAAUUUUAGGUAAUGUGAGAAUGUGUGAACAUAAAUGUCUUCUAAUCAACCAAUUUUUUUGAAAAAAACAUGUACAAAAUUGUAAAACUUGCAAAAUCAAACUUUCUUGUUGAAUAACCAUAGCUUGAUGGUUUUGAAGAAUCAAAGGAUGAAUCCUAAAAGGGUAUUUGAUAAAAAAUAAAAUUUAAAAAAUUAAAAGACAACUACUCCCUUAAGUGUAAUAAGUGUUGUAGACCCCCGGAAGCAGGGACUUUUUUUGAAUUUUUAUUUUUAUUUUCCCGGGGCCCGACAUGAUGGUCAGGAGCUGAUUUUUGGGGCAGAGAGGGGACUCAAGUGGGCGGCUCUCGGGGGGGCAGAUUGGACGGGAUACGGCUGGCUUGCUGAGGAAGACAGGAACAGAAGAAAAACAGAGGAGAAAAGAAGAAAAAGAAAGAGAAAGGAGAGGGGGAUUUCAGACAAGAGGGAGGGAGAAAAAGAAAAGAAAAAGCUGACUGGAGAGGAUUUUGUGGACAGAGGAACCUUCGAGGUAUGAACACUAUCGAUNNNNNNNNNNNNNNNNNNNNNNNNNNNNNNNNNNNNNNNNNNNNNNNNNNNNNNNNNNNNNNNNNNNNNNNNNNNNNNNNNNNNNNNNNNNNNNNNNNNNNNNNNNNNNNNNNNNNNNNNNNNNNNNNNNNNNNNNNNNNNNNNNNNNNNNNNNNNNNNNNNNNNNNNNNNNNNNNNNNNNNNNNNNNNNNNNNNNNNNNNNNNNNNNNNNNNNNNNNNNNNNNNNNNNNNNNNNNNNNNNNNNNNNNNNNNNNNNNNNNNNNNNNNNNNNNNNNNNNNNNNNNNNNNNNNNNNNNNNNNNNNNNNNNNNNNNNNNNNNNNNNNNNNNNNNNNNNNNNNNNNNNNNNNNNNNNNNNNNNNNNNNNNNNNNNNNNNNNNNNNNNNNNNNNNNNNNNNNNNNNNNNNNNNNNNNNNNNNNNNNNNNNNNNNNNNNNNNNNNNNNNNNNNNNNNNNNNNNNNNNNNNNNNNNNNNNNNNNNNNNNNNNNNNNNNNNNNNNNNNNNNNNNNNNNNNNNNNNNNNNNNNNNNNNNNNNNNNNNNNNNNNNNNNNNNNNNNNNNNNNNNNNNNNNNNNNNNNNNNNNNNNNNNNNNNNNNNNNNNNNNNNNNNNNNNNNNNNNNNNNNNNNNNNNNNNNNNNNNNNNNNNNNNNNNNNNNNNNNNNNNNNNNNNNNNNNNNNNNNNNNNNNNNNNNNNNNNNNNNNNNNNNNNNNNNNNNNNNNNNNNNNNNNNNNNNNNNNNNNNNNNNNNNNNNNNNNNNNNNNNNNNNNNNNNNNNNNNNNNNNNNNNNNNNNNNNNNNNNNNNNNNNNNNNNNNNNNNNNNNNNNNNNNNNNNNNNNNNNNNNNNNNNNNNNNNNNNNNNNNNNNNNNNNNNNNNNNNNNNNNNNNNNNNNNNNNNNNNNNNNNNNNNNNNNNNNNNNNNNNNNNNNNNNNNNNNNNNNNNNNNNNNNNNNNNNNNNNNNNNNNNNNNNNNNNNNNNNNNNNNNNNNNNNNNNNNNNNNNNNNNNNNNNNNNNNNNNNNNNNNNNNNNNNNNNNNNNNNNNNNNNNNNNNNNNNNNNNNNNNNNNNNNNNNNNNNNNNNNNNNNNNNNNNNNNNNNNNNNNNNNNNNNNNNNNNNNNNNNNNNNNNNNNNNNNNNNNNNNNNNNNNNNNNNNNNNNNNNNNNNNNNNNNNNNNNNNNNNNNNNNNNNNNNNNNNNNNNNNNNNNNNNNNNNNNNNNNNNNNNNNNNNNNNNNNNNNNNNNNNNNNNNNNNNNNNNNNNNNNNNNNNNNNNNNNNNNNNNNNNNNNNNNNNNNNNNNNNNNNNNNNNNNNNNNNNNNNNNNNNNNNNNNNNNNNNNNNNNNNNNNNNNNNNNNNNNNNNNNNNNNNNNNNNNNNNNNNNNNNNNNNNNNNNNNNNNNNNNNNNNNNNNNNNNNNNNNNNNNNNNNNNNNNNNNNNNNNNNNNNNNNNNNNNNNNNNNNNNNNNNNNNNNNNNNNNNNNNNNNNNNNNNNNNNNNNNNNNNNNNNNNNNNNNNNNNNNNNNNNNNNNNNNNNNNNNNNNNNNNNNNNNNNNNNNNNNNNNNNNNNNNNNNNNNNNNNNNNNNNNNNNNNNNNNNNNNNNNNNNNNNNNNNNNNNNNNNNGGCCCGCCAUACGUGCUUUCCUCAUGAUUGAUUGAUUUGAUUGAUUGAUUGACUUGGCUAUCAUACAUGAUUUAUUUAUCCUGCUCUCCGACAUGCAUGCUAUUAUUUCUUACUUGUGCACUAACCUCUCUCUUGAUAGCGCAUGGUGGCUCGUCGCCCAAGUACGCACCUACUUUCACUCUGGUAAUUGCCCAAGCAUAUUUUGAUUCUCACGUGUGCAUGAUUUAUUCUGGGUACUCAUUGAUCUACUCGUCCAUUGCCAUGAUUGCUUCAUUUUAUUAGUAGAGACCCGACUUUAGGGACUUAGAAGGGUGCUACGGUCCUUACCGUACCUUCCCGAUAAGUAACCUGACCCCCGAACCCGACCCGGUUUUUCGCAGACCGCCUUUUUCAAAAUAAGGAGUCACACUUAGGGUUUUUCUUUCUUAUUUUGUUUACCCUUUAAAAAUAAAACAAAAAUAAGUGACGACUCCAAGUCAUUUUUUUUUUCUUAAUCAAAUAAAAUCAUUUUUCUAACAAAAAUCGAGUUCGUCAUCGAGUGGGAAACACAUGAGCCGAAAUGCGGGGUCCACAAAAUGGCGACUCCGCUGGGGAUUUUUAGAGGGUCAAACUUGAACUUAGAAUGAAGCAAGCGUGGCAUUCGAUUGGACGAUCAGUGGAUGCCCAUUUCUUGAUGGCACAUUGAGGAUAUUUGAUGUAUGCUCGGAUUUUAUAUCUGUUCGAGACUUUUGACAUGUUGAUUAUGGUGAUUGAUUUUAUCCUAAUUGAGGCUUUCGAGGCCAUGUUUUUUCGUGCCUCACUGAUUAUAUCUGUUUGCUACAUCGACAUUGUUGAUUUAUUGAUGAUUGAUCUUAUUGCAUUGAUUAGCACAUUGAUUCUGAUUUUGCCAUGUUUGUUCUGAUCACUUCACAUGCAUACACUCACCACUGUAUAUCACUCGACUUGACAUGUUGAUUCUCUGACUUGUAAUACUGUUUUGACCGUCUUUGAGCAUGAUGUUUGUAUCACUAUUCGUCCCGAUCGUCGUAUUCUCGCUUAUCUUGCGUGUAUAUGAGUGAUAUAUCCUGCUCUGCCUGACUGUAUGAUGCAUGACUGCCCUACCUCUGCAUGAUUGCAUGUCGUCUGUCUAUGUGGGUCUCACUUCUAUCCCCCUACCUCCAAAUCUCUUGGUCUCGGUCAUUCUUUUCAUCUCGGUUCUCACUAUUGCAAGUGUGAGACCUUCUGUGUGCUUGCUCUCUGACCGAGCCAGAGAUUAGGAGUAGGGUCUAGCGACGGGCUAUAUCGAUGCACGGGAGCAUUCUGGAGGAGAGCGACACUUUGAUGUCGAUUGGAGUCCGAUCAUUGAAGACCUGUAUAGCCCCGAGCUAGGUUUCAUGGAUAGUCGUGCGACCAGUGUGUUUCCUCUUCUGCUCUAGAUUCUUAGGGUUUUCGGAUGUACCCACACCUUUCACUGUGCACUUUAGUUGACCAUUGAGCGUCAAGAGUUUGAGAGGUUUCACCAUAGGAAACCCCCUGGGAUGUCGAGGUAGUGCAUGUGUGGAGGUGAUGACCACCUUGCAUGGAAGCACCCCGUCUCUUUUUGAGGCGUGCAGAAGGUUGCGUACCGUCGGAGGGUACGAUCGCUUCUGCUAGGGAUCUUUUAAAGUCCACCCAUAUCCAUUUAGAGUCACCUUCACCAUGCAGGUUGAGCCAUAGAUCCUUUCAAUCAGGACUCCCUCCCUACACGUGGGUGCAUCCGUGGGCCUUCAGAGACGGUUCAGUAGCAACAGGUUUGGUUACCUUCGCAGUAGUCUCUUAUAUAUCUGCUCAGGGUUGGAUAUCAGUUUGUUCGCUUCCAGGCUACCUUUUGACACAUUUGAUAGACAUUCUUUGUGAAGUUUCCCUUACCCCGCACCUUAUCUAGUAUUUUCACUAUUGUAGGAGUACCGAUACGUUCAGUCUGGGUUUGACUUCUUGGAUCAGAGUUGGGGGUAGAUUGAUCAGGGUAUCGGACCAGUUAGGCCAGAGAUCAGAUCAGAGGGAUAUGGAUUCACAGAUAGUUACCGUCGAUCAGUUCGCUGAGGCCAUGGCUUCGAUUCAGGAGGCUAUAGCUAGCCUUGGCCGAAAGAUAGAUGGGCAGCAGGCCCAGCAGGUCCCGCCCCCGGUUGGUGCCCAGUAUGACCCUACAAUGCCACCACCUCCUCCACCCAGUCAGUCAGCGCCACAGGCCAUGCCGUUCACUCUGCAUAGUCAGACCGGGGUUGCCCCACCUCCCAUCACCGCGCCCACCCCGACCUCAGAGGACCCACAUGCUCGCAUGGAUAGACUUGAGCAGGGUUUGAGACAGUUGAGGGCUUCAGACAGAGCCACUACUUGGGAGGGUUUUGAUGGAGUACCGGUAGCUAGCUUGCCGGCUAAGUUCAGGAUGCCUGACAUUGAGAGGUAUACCGGCAUUGGUUGUCCACGCCUCCAUCUCCGAUUAUACAACACCGUGAUGAGGGCUCAUGGACUGGACGAGCCUUAGAUGAUUACUCUUUUCCCACUAUCUUUGAGUGGGGCGGCCCAGCGUUGGUUUGCAUCUUUGGAGGCCUCGAGGCGCCGCACAUGGGACGACUUGGCCCAAGAGUUCCUACGACAGUUUUCGUUUAACACUGUCGUAGAUGUAUCGAGGAGGGAGCUCGAGGCUUUGAGACAGAGGGCGGAGGAGUCUGUUUCUUCUUUCAUUUCUCGCUGGCGCGGGAAGAUAGCUGAGAUUAUCGAUAGACCAUCAGAGAGGGACCAGAUUCAGAUGGUUUUGAGGAGCCUGCAGCCGCGGAUCGCCAGACAUGUGGUAGGGGCCCCGUUCACAGAUUUUGGGUCUCUGGUUAUGGCUCUGUACGAUGUCGAGGACGGCAUCUCGAGAGGCUUAUGGGCAGAUUCUUCCCCUAGUGAUAUUAAGGGGAAGAAGCCCUUCGUAGGAUCGAGGCCAGCAGAUGUGAGCGUUAUCGGUUCUUCCAGUCAGAGGCCUCUCAGGCGCCAUCAGUCGAUCCCACAGUUUCCCGAGCCUCAUUCAUCCUAUGCAUCUCAUCAGUACAGACCACGGGCACCUCGUCCAGCUUAUGAUCAGACAUAUACUCCGCAGACUCUGGCUUUGCCUUAUUAUGCCUCCCAGGGCAUUGAGAGACCCUCAGUUUCCUACACGGCUACAGGACAGCCAUGCUAUGCUGCUCAGUUCACUACGAGACCCGCAGCGUCUUAUCCCCGACCCAGAGCUCAGCAGACUUCUGCUCCCUUUGCUUUGAGGGCGCAGAGGCAGUUCUCACAGAUAGGCAUGCCGUUGAGCCAGGCUCUUCGGAAGCUUACAGAGGCUGGGUUAUUGACUACUCUCACCCCUCGGUCGCCGCCUCAGCCGAUUCCACCUCAGUUCAGGAUGGAUCUACACUGUGCAUACCAUUAGGGGCUUGGACAUGAGACCGAUCGAUGCACCGCUUUGAGGCAUGCCGUUCAGGAUUUGAUUGACCAGGGUUUGGUACACUUGGGUCAGCCGAGUGUGACCACGAACCCGUUGCCUGCUCACACCACACAUGCAGUCCCUCCACCAGCCGAUGACAUUCAUUUCUUAGAGUUUGAUGAGAUCGAUGAUCACAUCCACAUGCUGAGUGAUGUUGAUUCAGACCCAGAGCCCAUCAUGCCAGAUGUGAUUUAUGAGACGAGUGGGGUGACUCUGGGUCCUCGGAUGCCUGCUCCAUUCCGAUUAGUUCCCGAGGCGGCGUCCGUGCAGGCUGCCACAGUUGAGCCAUUGAUUUUGCCGCAUUACAGUGUCCAGACGCCUUUCAUCUUGAUCCCGGAUGUUGAGGGGGUUCAGGCUCCGUAUGUUGAUGAUUCUCAGACUCUGGACAUUCAGUACGUUCUCCGAGGAGGUAGAGUGAUGAGAUAGCCACCUCCAGCUGCUGCCGCUAGACCCUUAGGGGGUGCGUCAUCCCAGGAGGAGGUUAGAGUAGAGGAUGACGAGAUUUUGAGGCAGUUGCAGAGCACUCAGGCUCGUAUUUCUAUCUGGAGCCUUUUAGCGUCCUCCAAUACUCACCGGGAUGCACUGACUCGAGCUCUGAGCCAGAUUAGAGUUGAUACCACGACGACUCCUGAGGGACUCAUUCAUAUGAUGACGGCUGGCAGAGCCACUUGUAUCAUCUUCUCCGAUGAUGACUUGCCACCAGAGGGUUCUGGCCACGCGCGUCCUCUCUAUAUAUCUGUUGGUUGUUCAGGUCGCCGAGUUCCAUCUGUCCUUCUGGACAAUGGCUCGGUCCUGAACGUAUGUCCUCUGGCCACCGCCAUCGCUCUUGGGUACGCACCAUCCGACUUCGGUCCAUCCACUCAGACCGUUCGAGCUUAUGACAUCACCCGUAGAGAGGUCAUGGGUACAUUGGAGAUUGAGCUCCUGAUAGGUCCGACCACAUUUAUCACUAUCUUUCAGGUUUUGAGGAUUCCUACAUCCUUUAACCUGCUUUUGGGCCGACCGUGGAUUCAUCGAGCUGGAGCCGUUCCUUCUUCACUUCAUCAGAAAGUGAAGUUCAUCCAUGAGGGCCAGGUAGUCGUCGUACAGUCGGCAGGGGACAUGUUCAUUUCCGCUGAGCCCGUGCUCCAGAUCAGCCACAGUGACGAUGAUUUACUACUGACCGGGUUCACUUUUGAUGAGGUACAGACUCUUGAGCUGGGAGACUUUUGCCGGGACUUCAUCGCUAUGUCCUUUGACCAGCAUGGGAGCACAGUGGUGCUUGAUAUCAUGAGAGGCAUGUCCUAUCUACCCGGCAUGGGGUUGGGUCGACGUCAGCAUGGACCGAGCGAGUUCAUCACCAUUCCUGAUCAUGACGUACCAUUUGGGCUUGGGUUCAUCCCCACCGAGGCUGACUAUCGAUACAUGGCGCGUUUGCGCAAGGAGAGAGCGAGGGCUCGGCUGACCCACACGCCUUUCGACUAUCCUCUUCGCCCAUACACCAGGAGCUUAUCUGAUUACUUUGUGAGGGCAUCGGAGUCACAUGCACCAUCUGAUGGGAUCAUCGGAGGACUCAGCACCACCCAGGAGGCCGAGCUUCAACGCCUUGUCCAACAGUUACAGUUGAGUGACGGAGCCCUUGGCCCUUCGGCUUCUGUGUUGAUUGCUCCUCCUUCCCCAGAUCGCACGAGCCUUAUGACGCUUUGCUUCCCGGAUGAGAUUGAUGAUCACGGGACUUUUGCCGAGAUUGGAGACGUAGUGGAUAGAGCCGUGCCGCGUGACGAGUACGUUGAUGAGAUGCUCGCGAUGAGUUUGAGCCAGACCGAGGAGAUGGCCCCGCCGGAGCUCGCUUCACCUUUUGAUCUCUUUGGGGUGUCCGUCCUCGAGAUCACUGAGGAUAUCCAGGUUGCCCCCACUCCAGAGGCCGUCGAGGAUGUUAUAGUUGUUGUUGAUUUGUUUGAUGGCCCUGUUGGCCUAGUUGAGGGAGCGUCCGACCUUGUGGACCCACCUCUCACCUUUGAUGUUUUAUCGGGAUUUGUCUCCCGUCAUGACUAUGUUUCUGACUUUUCAUCUAUGGAUUUGAGCACCUUUGAGUAUUUGCCUGUCUCUCAUGUUAUUGAUUUAUCUGCACCAUCUUCACCCACAUCACAGAUUUUUGACAUUGAUGAUGAGAUUGCGCAGCACGACUCAGACGAUGAUUCGUCUUCUGCUUCCGAUUCAGACCCCGUUGAUCAGAGAGUUUCACCUGCUGUAGGGGACACCGAGAUUGUUGACUUUGGCACAACAGAUCAGCCUAGGGAGUUGAGGAUCGGAUCAGAUUUGUCUACAAAUGAGAGAGAUAGCCUCAUCCAGCUACUCAGAUCCUACUUGGACGUUUUCGCAUGGUCCUAUGAGGACAUGCCAGGCCUUGAUCCAUCUAUCGUCCAGCAUCGUUUGCAACUUCUGCCCCGGGCCCGACCGGUUAAGCAGAAGUUGAGACGAUUGCACCCUCGUUGGAGCUUGCAGGUGAAAGAGGAGAUCCAGAAGCAGCUCAGUGUAGGAUUCUUAUCAGUGGUUGAGUACCCGGAGUGGCUGGCCAAUGUCGUCCCUGUUCCCAAGAAGGACGGCAAGGUGAGAGUCUGUGUUGAUUUCCGAGAUCUCAACAAGGCCAGUCCUAAGGAUGAUUUUCCUCUUCCACACAUCGACAUGCUAGUUGACAGUACGGCAGGUCAUUCGAUGUUGUCCUUUAUGGACGGAUUUUCCGGGUACAGUCAGAUCUUGAUGGCUCCAGAGGACAUGGAGAAGACGUCCUUCAUUACCGAGUGGGGCACUUAUUGCUAUAGAGUCAUGCCAUUCGGAUUGAAGAACGCAGGAGCCACAUAUCAGAGAGCAGCGACCACACUCUUCCAUGACAUGAUGCAUCGGGAUGUCGAGGUUUACGUAGACGACAUGAUAGUGAAAUCCCGAUAUAGAUCAGAUCAUUUGGCAGCUCUUGAGAGGUUCUUUGAGAGGAUCAGACAGUUCAGAUUGAGACUGAAUCCCAAGAAGUGCACUUUCGGAGUGACUUUCGGGAAGCUCUUGGGAUACAUGGUCAGUGAGCGAGGCAUAAAGGUAGAUCCGGACAAGAUUAGAGCCAUUCUUGACAUGCCUGCGCCGAGGACAGAGAGAGAGGUCAGAGGCUUCCUGGGCAGACUUCAGUACAUCAGUAGAUUCAUAGCCAGAUUGACAAACAUCUGCGAGCCCAUAUUUCGACUCUUGAGGAAGAGUCAACCUACUGUUUGGGAUGACCAGUGCCAACGUGCCUUCGAGAGGAUCAGAGAGUACUUGUUGUCACCUCCUGUUUUGGCGCCUCCUACACCAGGCCGUCCUCUACUCUUAUACUUGUCUGUAUCAGACGUGGCCUUGGGUUGCAUGUUAGCUCAGCUCGAUGAUUCGAGCAAGGAUCGAGCCAUUUACUAUUUGAGUAAGAGGAUGUUAGACUACGAGACGAGGUAUGUCAUGAUUGAGCGUUAUUGUUUGGCAUUGGUUUGGGCCACUCACCGGUUGAGACAUUACAUGACCGAGUAUUCCGUGCAUUUGAUAUCUCGCUUGGAUCCUCUGAGAUAUUUGUUUGACAGACCCGCUCUGGUUGGUCGCCUUAUGAGAUGGCUGGUACUUCUUACUGAGUUUGACAUCCAUUAUGUCACUCAGAAGUCCAUCAGAGGGAGCAUUGUAGCAGAUCAUCUAGCCUCAUUACCAGUUUCUGAUGCCAGAGCUAUUGACGAUGAUUUUUCAGACGAGGAUGUCGCUGCUGUGACUAGUCUGUCAGGUUGGCGCAUGUACUUUGAUGGCGCGGCCAACCAUUCCGGAUAUGGGAUAGGCGUCUUGUUGAUAUCCCCUCACGGUGAUCACAUUCCCAGAUCAGUUCGUUUGGCAUUCUCGGAUCGGCACCCUGCCACGAACAACAUUGUUGAGUAUGAGGCUUGUAUCUUGGGAUUAGAGACGGCCCUUGAGCUUAGGAUUAGACAGAUGGAGGUGUUUGGUGACUCCAAUAUGGUAUUGAGACAGAUUCAGGGUGAGUGGAAGACUAGAGAUGUGAAGCUUAGGCCUUAUCAUGCAUAUUUGGAGCUACUGGUUGGGAGAUUUGAUGAUUUGAGAUAUACCCAUCUGCCUAGAGCGCAGAACCAGUUUGCUGAUGCUUUAGCUACUCUAGCUUCCAUGAUCGAUAUUCCCGUUGACGCCACUGUUCGAUCUUUGUUGAUCGAGUCGAGAUCUGCUCCUGCUUACUGUUGCCUGAUCGAUGAUGUAGAGCCAGAUGAUGGUUUUCCAUGGUAUCACGACAUAUAUCACUUUUUGAGACUCGGCAUAUAUCCUGAGGCCGCCACGGCCAAGGAUAAGAGAGCAUUGAGACAGUUGGCCACUCGAUUCGUGAUUUGUGGCGAGACACUGUACAGGCGAUCACCUGACGGGAUGCUAUUAUUGUGUUUGGACCGCGCCUCUGCCGAUCGGGUGAUGAGAGAGGUUCAUGCGGGAGUCUGCGAACCACAUAUGGGAGGACAUAUGUUGGCUCGUAAGAUCAUGAGGACAGGAUACUUCUGGUUGACCAUGGAGACAGAUUGCUGCCAGUUUGUUCAGAGGUGUCCCGAGUGUCAGAUACACGGAGAUCUCAUUCACGUGCCGCCCUCCGAGCUGCACGCACUAACUUCACCAUGGCCAUUUUCCGUCUGGGGUAUUGAUAUCAUCGGGAAGAUUUCACCGAAAUCUUCCAGUGGUCAUGAGUUCAUCCUGGUCGCCAUCGAUUACUUCACCAAGUGGGUGGAGGUCGCUUCGUAUGCGAGAUUGACAUCGUCUGGAGUUGCUAGUUUCAUCAGAUCACACAUUAUCUGUCGCUAUGGAGUCCCUCAUGAGUUGAUUUCAGACAGAGGAGUACAUUUCAGAGCAGAGGUUGACACCUUAGUACAGAGAUACAGCAUCCGGCAUCAUAGAUCGUCUACGUACAGGCCGCAGACGAAUGGGGCAGUAGAGGCCGCGAAUAAGAAUAUCAAGAGGAUAUUACGGAGGAUGGUCGAGACUUCUCGGGAUUGGUUAGAGAAGCUCCCAUUUGCAUUGUGGGCUUAUCGAACUUCUUUUCGCACCUCUAUAGGCGCCACACCCUACUCCUUGGUAUAUGGCAUAGAGGCGAUGCUACCCGUUGAGAUUGAGAUGGGUUCGUUGAGAGUAGCACUAGAGCAGCAGAUUCCCGAGGCAGAUUGGGCUCAGGCUCGAUUUGAUCAGCUCAAUCUCCUAGAUGAGAGGAGAUUGAGAGCAGCAGACCAUGUUCGUGCGUAUCAGAGGAAGAUGGCCCGCGCUUUCAAAAAGCGGGUCAAGCCCAGACCAUUACAGAUAGGUGACUUAGUUCUGAAAGUCAUCAGGGGAUUGAUCAGAGAUCCUAGAGGGAAGUUCAGACCCAACUGGAGCGGACCUUAUUUCAUCAGGGAGUUGACCCCAGAGGACGCUGCAUGGUUGAUGGAUUUAGAUGGAAACCGAUUCUCAGAGCCAACCAAUGUGGAUCAGCUAAAGAGGUACUAUGUUUGAGACCAUGGUCGCAGGAUGGGUGGCCAUCAUUUCGGUUAGCCAUUUACCUUGUUACUCCCUUUUGAUACAUAGUCCAUUGCUAGCCCAUUGAGCCUCGCAUGCGCAUUAUAGCCUUUCUUUUUUAUCGCCUUGCUCACAUUUUCACACCGGGAUAGGGGCCCUUUAAUGUAUGCAUGCAUUGUUUGGUAGUUUCAUGAGCUUUGGACCUAGAGGCAUGUUUUUUCUCAUUGUCUUUUUCUAUCACUACACCUUUGCAUUUUCAUCUCAUCUUAUUGGUUAUGUUAUUCAUCUCUUCUUCCUUAUCCUAUCUACUAUCUGUUUGUUUCAUAUUUCGCUUCACCCUGGGGGGUGAUCCUCCUCAGUUCAUCACAUGGAGGGUAGUCACAUCAUUUCUGCCAUCUAUCUCGCGGACACUGAUUUAGAGAUCCUUAGUUUGAGAAGGUCAUCUUGUCAAAGAGAGUUUGUUUGUUACCUUAGCACUUGGGGGUGUGUCCAUUUGUUAUCGAUAUCAUCUUUGGGGUUCAUUUGUUCAUGUUCAGGGUACGCGUAUUUGUAUAUAUGUAAAAAAAAAGAGAAAAAGAAAAUUAUUAUUAUUAUUAUUAGCACAUGUGUGUAUGUGCAUAGUGUUCUCGAUCAUUGGGUAUGUAUAUUGAUGUUUGGGGGUCAUUUUUAUCGAGUAUGUUCGUUAUUGGGAGUUCGUAUGUGAACUCUCUGAGAUCCCACGCUAUUUGUAUUGCUUCGUCAUAUCUAUUUGUGAGAGAGACGAGUGACCUUCUCCUAAGGACUCCGAGUCAUUGCCUUUUCCAUCAUUACCUUCAUUAUUGAUGUGACUUCACUUCAUGUUUGAUCUGAGUCGUUCACCACCUUUCUUCACAUAUUCAUUGUUUCGCCGUCGUUUUUAUCAUUGCUUGUGAUUCAUCUCAUUCCCUUCGCGUCUUAUUCCCUCCUUAUAGCGACCCAUCUCGGUUUCGAUGCUCACUUCGCAUCAUCAUUACACAUGUCACUAUCAGUUCAUUUUGCUCCAUUUGUCUCCUUAUCGAUAUCAUAUUCACGUUAGGCAUCCUCAGGUCCAUGGCUCAUGGGGUUCACUAUACAUGUUGCAUUUCAUAUAUGAGGGCAUGAGUUUUGAUCAUUGGGUAUUUGAGCCUAGUUUCCUUUCGUUUCUAUCACCCUAUCACCUUGGCCUACGUUACGUCCCGUGUCUUAAGACCACCCUGAGGUCAUGGGAUCAGAUGUCGUCUUCGGCAGCCCCUACUUGGACAGGUGAUUGAGAUCUGGUUGAUAUUUAGAUAUUGUCAUGCUUCUUCUUCUGGGAGUCGCCCCUUUGAUGUGUAGGACUGAUUCAGUUGUGUUCGGAUUACCAGGAUCGUGAGUUUGACGAUGAUUGACUUGGUGUCACCUGUUUUUUUGACCUAUCAUACCUCUGGUACCACACUGGGGCAUAUCCCAUUUCAUUUGGAGGUUCAUGGAUCCUCACGGAGUUGCGCGAUCAUCACUUACUGGAUGCUCAUCGAGACGUGGACAUGAUCGUUACCUUACGAAGCCUCUGAGACCCAUCCAGCCAUAUGAUUUCUUGUCGCUUGAUUUCUGGCCUAUCGUGCGCCCGAUGCCAUACUGGGGCAUAUUUUCGUUUCGGAUGAGAUAUACGGAUCUUCACGGAGGUCACGUGCUCGACGAUAGAUGAUUUCAUGUCAUUUGUUCUGCAGACCUAUCGUGCGCCCGAUGCCAUACUGGGGCAUAUUUCCGUUUCGGAUGAGAUUUACGGAUCUUCACGGAGGUCACGUGCUCGACGAUAGAUGAUUUCAUGUCAUUUGUUCUUCAGACCUAUCGUGCGCCCGAUGCCAUACUGGGGCAUAUUUCCGUUUCGGAUGAGAUAUACGGAUCUUCAUGGAGGUCACGUGCUCGACGAUAGAUGAUUUCAUGUCAUUUGUUCUGCAGACCUAUCGUGCGCCCGAUGCCAUACUGGGGCAUAUUUCCGUUUCGGAUGAGAUAUACGGAUCUUCACGGAGGUCACGUGCUCGACGAUAGAUGAUUUCAUGUCAUUUGUUCUGCAGACCUAUCGUGCGCCCGAUGCCAUACUGGGGCAUAUUUCCGUUUCGGAUAAGAUUUACGGAUCUUCACGGAGGUCACGUGCUCGACGAUAGAUGAUUUCAUGUCAUUUGUUCUUCAGACCUAUCGUGCGCCCGAUGCCAUACUGGGGCAUAUUUCCGUUUCGGAUGAGAUUUACGGAUCUUCACGGAGGUCACGUGCUUGACGAUAGAUGAUUUCAUAUCGCUUUUCUUCUGACCCGUCCCACGUUCGAUGCCAUGCUAGGGGCAUAUUUCCGUUUCGAUUGAGAUUUACGGAUCUUCAUGGAGUUGCAUGCUCAUCCCCACUUACGAGAUACACACUGACAUGGUUGUUUCCUCCGUGGAGCCUCUCAGGAGUUACCCAGUUAGGCCUACACUUCGCGACGCCUCGAUGUCAUCAUGUUUUCCUUCCGGGAGACGCCCCUUUUGAUCUAUGGGUUUGAUUCAGUUGUACACGUGGAUGAUUUGGAUCGCGCAUUUGAUGACGGGUGAUCUGAGCUCAUCUGGUUCUUCUGACCUAUCACACAUCCGAUGUCAUACUGGGGCAUACCCCCAUCCUUGAGUCCACCAGGUAUUUUGCGAUUUUUCUCAUCACUUGAUCCACAUCUGGAUCUUUGCGGGUCGUCAUGCUGGGGCAUCCCCCCACUGUCAUUUACGUUUGGGGCAUCCCCCCACUGUUAUUUACGUUUGGGGCAUCUCCCCAUUGUUAUUUACGUUUGGGGCAUCCCCCCACUGUCAUUUACGUUUGGGGCAUCCCCCCAUUGUUAUUUACGUUUGGGGCAUCCCCCCACUGUCAUUUACGUUUGGGGCAUCCCCCCAUUGUCAUUUCGUUAGGGGCAUCCCCCCGCUGUCUUUACGUUUGGGGCAUCUCCCCACUGUUAUUUACGUUUGGGGCAUCCCCCCACUGUCAUUUACGUUUGGGGCAUCCCCCCAUUGUUAUUUACGUUUGGGGCAUCCCCCUAUUGUCAUUUCGUUAGGGGCAUCCCCCCGCUGUCUUUACGUUUGGGGCAUCUCCCUACUGUUAUUUACGUUUGGGGCAUCCCCCCACUGUCAUUUACGUUUGGGGCAUCCCCCGCUGUCAUUUUCGUUUGGGGCAUCCCCCCACUGUCAUUUUCGUUUGGGGCAUCCCCCCACUGUCAUUUACGUUUGGGGCAUCCCCCCAUUGUCAUUUCGUUAGGGGCAUCCCCCCGCUGUCUUUACGUUUGGGGCAUCUCCCCACUGUUAUUUACGUUUGGGGCAUCCCCCCACUGUCAUUUUCGUUAGGGGCAUCCCCCCGCUGUCUUUACGUUUGGGGCAUCUCCCCACUGUUAUUUACGUUUAGGGCAUCCCCCCACUGUCAUUUACGUUUGGGGCAUCCCCCCAUUGUCAUUUCGUUUGGGGCAUCCCCCCACUGUCAUUUUGUUUAGGGCAUCUCCCCAUUGUUAUUUAUGUUUAGGGCAUCCCCCUAUCUUCAGUUUGUUUAGGGCAUUCCCCUACCGUCAGUUCGCUUAGGGCAUCUCCCUUUGUUUCAGAUUUAUCACCACCGUAGGUCUUCACCUAUGGGCCUUAUAGUUUAGUGUUUAGAGUUAGCUUUUUGGUUUGACUUUCAGAGCUAUUAUUUUCUCAGUUUAUCAUUUAGAGUUAGUUUUUUUUUGUUUGGCUUCCAGAGCCAUUAUUCUUCUAGUUUAGUGUUUAGAGUUAGCUUUUUUAUUUGGCUUCCAGAGCUAUUAUUGUUUUUUUCCAGUUUGACGUUCAGAGUCACCAUCAUCACUUUUCAGUUUCGGCGUUCAGAGCCAUCACCGUGUUUUCAGCUCCGGCAUUCAGAGCCAUCAUCGAUUUUCAGAUCGACAUUCAGAGUCGCAUCCUCGGUUUCGGCGUUCGGAGUCGUUAUCACUCCUCGGUUUGACGUUCAGAGUCAUCAUCAUCACUUCUCAGUUUCGGCGUUCAGAGCCAUCAUCAGUUUUCAGAUCGACGUUCAGAGUCGCAUCCUCGGUUUGACGUUCAGAGUCAUCAUCAUCACCUUUCAGUUUCAGCGUUCAGAGCCAUCAUCGGUUUUCAAAUCGACGUUCAGAGUCAUCAUCAUCACUUCUCAGUUUCGACAUUCAGAGCCAUCAUCGAUUUUCAGAUCGACAUUCAGAGUCGCAUCCUCGGUUUCGGCGUUCGGAGUCGUUAUCACUUCUCGGUUUGACGUUCAGAGUCAUCAUCAUCACUUCUCAGUUUCGGUGUUCAGAGCCAUCAUCAGUUUUCAGAUCGACGUUCAGAGUCGCAUCCUCGGUUUGACGUUCAGAGUCAUCAUCAUCACUUCUCCGUUUCGGCAUUCAGAGCCAUCAUCGGUUUUCAGAUCGACAUUCAGAGUCGCAUCCUCGGUUUCGACAUUCAGAGUCGUUAUCACUUCUCAGUUUGACGUUCAAGAUCAUCGUCAUUACUUUUUAGUUUCGGCGUUCAGAGCCAUCAUCGGUUUUUAGAUCGACAUUCAGAGUCACAUCCUCAGUUUCGACGUUCCAAGCCAUCAUCACAUCUUCGUUGACGUUCAGAGCCAUCAUCACUAUUUUCAGUGUGGCGUUCAGAGCCAUCAUCGCUUCUCAGUUUAGGCUUCCAGAGCCAUUACUGUCAUCUUGUUUAGGCUUCCAGAGCCACUACUGUCAUCUUGUUUAGGCUUCCAAAACCACUACUAUCAUCUUGUUUAGGCUUCCAGAGCCAUCAUUGUCGUCUCGUUUAGGCUUCCAGAGCUGUUAUUUUCUAGUUUAGCUUUUAGAGUCAGUUUUUGGUUUGGCUUCUAGAGCUUUUACUUUCUUGGUUUAGUGAUUAGAGUUAGCUUUUCGGUUUGGCUUCCAGAGCUUUUAUUUUCUCAAUUUAGUGCCUAGAGUCGGUCUUGUCAUCCAGAGUCACAACUCCUGGCGUUCAUGUCCACUGGCAUUGCACAUCUUACCUUCAGGGUUUUGCAUUCGUCCUCGGCUUUCCUCACUUCGUUACCCGGUGCUUAUCCCAUAUUCAUCUCGUACUCCAGGGUGGUUCGACCGUUACUCAUCUUUGACAUUGAUCUCUUGAGUCACCUGUAGAGAUGUCUUAGAGGGAAUCUGGGUCCUCGAUGCAGCUUUCGAGGCGCCUUGAGCCUCUCUUAGAAUUUUAGAGCCUCGAGCGAGUUUGUGUUCUACUUGUACCUUUCGGGUUCGGGGGUCUUUCUUUGUUCUUCGAUAGAGUUCACUUCAUUUCACUCUCUUUUCACACUUCUUUUUCACUCUAGUGUUCACAUUCCUUACACUCGUGAACUCUAUCAAAGAGGGGCAUAUUUGUAGACCCCCGGAAGCAGGGACUUUUUUUGAAUUUUUAUUUUUAUUUUCCCGGGGCCCGACAUGAUGGUCAGGAGCUGAUUUUUGGGGCAGAGAGGGGACUCAAGUGGGCGGCUCUCGGGGGGGCAGAUUGGACGGGAUACGGCUGGCUUGCUGAGGAAGACAGGAACAGAAGAAAAACAGAGGAGAAAAGAAGAAAAAGAAAGAGAAAGGAGAGGGGGAUUUCAGACAAGAGGGAGGGAGAAAAAGAAAAGAAAAAGCUGACUGGAGAGGAUUUUGUGGACAGAGGAACCUUCGAGGUAUGAACACUAUCGAUCUCUCGUUUUCUUCCACAUUUUUUUUAGUCUUCAUGCAUUUUUGCUGCUGUUUCUAGCUCCCUUUCAUUGCUUGGACAUGGAUAUUAUUGGUUAUGUGCCCAUUUGUUAUUGUUCCUCUGAGAUUUCCAUGGCUGCGUUUAGGUUAUUCAGGUUGCUCUUUCUAUGGUUUUGGAUUCUACCUGUUCAUAAGUUCAGUGGUUUUCAUCAUGACAUGGGCAUUGGUUUAUAUCACCCGCCGAUUUGUGUUCCAUGUUGUGUUCUAUUUCUAAAGUUAUUUAUUUUUUUUCUUUCUUUCUUUGUUAUUAUUCUCCCCUGCUUCCAUUUCUUAUCUGGACGUGUGGCUUCUUUUGGGUGCAUUGUUUCAUCACGACAUUCCCACUCCAUUAACUUUCAUAUUCAACCUCAUGCUCUCUCUCUCUACCCUUUACUCACACCCACCGAACCCAUUCCUCCCCGCCACUUUCCAUCACCUGCCCCAAGCAUCACCCAUUCAAUCAUUUCAUUCCUUCUCCGUGUACAUGAAGCUCCAUGCAUGCGUGCAUGGGAGCCAUGCAAAGGUGGCACGCUCCUGUAAAGGCCACAGCUGCCGGAUCCGUCCUCGGACACAGACACCAGGCCGCAGCUGCAGGUUCCACUCCCGAACGCCGACGCUGGAACGCGAUGGCGAAGGCGGCAUGGGUGGCGAUAAUCGAGGCGGCGGCGUGGAAAUCGGGCAUCCUGGACAGAUUUCGAGGCCCUCCGGCGUUGCCUCUCUCACCUUCAUUUCCUCCGUCGCCGUCUUCGGAGGUGAGGAAGAAGAUGAAGUUGGCUUUUGGGCUUGCCCAUGGUGUUGGGUUUGGGCUUAAGUGGGAGCCCAGCCCAAGCAAGGUGAUGGAAGUCAAUGUCUUCUCAAUGAAUGGGUUGAGACAGGGAUGGGCUUGGGCUUGGGCUUUGCUAGUGGACUUGGAGGCUUGGAUUUGGGCUUGAGGCUUGCUGAUGGACUUGGACUGAAAUAGGGUUGAUAGGGUGAUAUUAUUAUUAUUAUUAUUAUUAUUAUUAUUAUUAUUAUUAUUAUUAUUGUUAACGAAUAUUAUUAUCAUUAUUAGCAAAAUAUUAUUAUUAUUAUUAUUAUUAUUAUUAUUAUUAUUAUUAACGGAUAUCAUCAUUAUUAAUUAUUAUUAUUUCUAUUAUUAUUAUUAUUAUUAUUAUUAUUAUUAUUAUCAUUGUCAUUAUUAUUAUUUGCUCAGUUUUUUCAAAUCUUUUCAUCGUUAUUAUUUAUUAUUAUUAUUAUUAUUAUUCAUUCAAAUUUUCAAAAUCUAUUUAUUAUUAUUAUUAUUAUUAUUAAUCCAAACUUCCAAAAAUCUCAUUAUUAUUAUUAUUAUUAUUCAUUCAAAUUUUCAAAAUCUAUUUAUUAUUAUUAUUAUCAUCAUUAAUCCAAACUUCCAAAAAUCUCAUUAUUAUUAUUAUUAUUAUUAACUCAAUUUUCAAAAAUCUAUUUAUUAUUAUUAUUAUUAAUCCAAACUUCCAAAAAUCUCAUUAUUGUUAUUAUUAUUAUUCAUUCAAAUUUUCAAAAUCUAUUUAUUAUUAUUAUUAUCAUCAUUAAUCCAAACUUCCAAAAAUCUCAUUAUUAUUAUUAUUAUUAACUCAAUUUUCAAAAAUCUAUUUAUUAUUAUUAUUAUCAUCAUUAAUCCAAACUUCCAAAAAUCUCAUUAUUAUUAUUAUUAUUAACUCAAUUUUCAAAAUCUAUUUGUUAUUAUUAUUAUCAUCAUUAAUCCAAACUUCCAAAAAUCUCAUUAUUAUUGUUAUUAUUACCUCAACUUUCAAAAUCUUAUUAUUAUUAUUAUUAUUAUCAUUAUCAUUAUCAUUGAUUAAAGCUUUCAAAACCAUAUUAUUAUUAAUUCAAACUUUCUAACUUCCAAUUUCCAAGCCCAAUUUAUAAAAAUUCAACCUUCAAAUAAUACUUCAAAAUUCCGAUCUUUAAAACUCAAUUUCGAUUUCCGAAAACACUCAUACUCACUUUAAUCUAUUUAAUUAUUGUUAUUUUGAUAAUUUAUUUCAAAACUCCAUUUUAAAUCGAAUUCUCUAAAACUUCUGAUUUUCCGAAUUAAAUUCCUAAUCCCAAAAAUUCUCAUGUUCCCACUAAAUUAUUUGAUCAUUGGUAUUUUAUUUAUUUCAAAACUCCGUUUUAAAUCAAAUUCUUUAAAAUUGUUGAUUUCCGAAUUAAACUCCUAAUCCCGAAAAUUCUCAUGUUCUCAUUAAUUUACUUAAUCAUUAGUAUUUUAUCUCCAUUUUAAAUCAAUUCUUUAAAACUUCAGAUUUACAAAUUAAAUCCCUAAUCUUGAAAAUUCUCAUAUUCACAUUAAUUUAAUCACUAAUAAUUUGUUUAUUUAUCUUAAAAUUCUAUUUUAAACAAUUCUUUAAACUUUCUGACUUCUAAAUCUAAUUUCCAAUUUCAAAAAUUUCAGCAUUCCCAUUCAUUUAUUUAAUCAUUAUUUUCGUCCUUAUUAUUAUUAGUUCAUUUAUUUAUUUCAAAAUUCCAUUUUUAAACAUUUUUUUUGAAUCCCAACUUUCGAACUUAAUUUCCGAUUUCUAAGAUUCUAAUUUCCUUCAAGUUUGACAUCCCAAAAUUCCAACUUUUAAAUUUAAUUCUCAAGACUCCAAUCUUCAAAUAAUUUUCGAGACUCCAAUUCCCAAAUAAAUUUCAAAAAUUCAAUUUUCUCUCUAACAGUUUUAAUUCUCUUCGGGUUUCAAAUAAUCUUCGAUUUCUCUUGGUUUUAUAUAAACAUGAAUGCUAUUUUCAUAAUUCCAGAAUAAUGGGAUUUGUGAUAUUAAUUCCUGCAAAAAUGAAUGGGCUUUGGUGGGGGCCCGCCAUACGUGCUUUUCUCAUGAUUGAUUGAUUUGAUUGAUUGAUUGAUUGAUUGACUUGGCUAUCAUACAUGAUUUAUUUAUCCUGCUCUCCGACAUGCAUGCUAUUAUUUCUUACUUGUGCACUAACCUCUCUCUUGAUAGCGCAUGGUGGCUCGUCGCCCAGGUACGCACCUACUUUCACUCUGGUAAUUGCCCAAGCAUAUUUUGAUUCUCACGUGUGCAUGAUUUAUUCUGGGUACUCAUUGAUCUACUCGUCCAUUGCCAUGAUUGCUUCAUUUUAUUAGUAGAGACCCGACUUUAGGGACUUAGAAGGUGCUACGGUCCUUACCGUACCUUCCCGAUAGUAACCUGACCCCCGAACCCGACCCGGUUUUCGCAGACCGCCUUUUCAAAUAAGGAGUCACACUNNNNNNNNNNNNNNNNNNNNNNNNNNNNNNNNNNNNNNNNNNNNNNNNNNNNNNNNNNNNNNNNNNNNNNNNNNNNNNNNNNNNNNNNNNNNNNNNNNNNGGCUGCGUUUAGGUUAUUCAGGUUGCUCUUUCUAUGGUUUUGGAUUCUACCUGUUCAUAAGUUCAGUGGUUUUCAUCAUGACAUGGGCAUUGGUUUAUAUCACCCGCCGAUUUGUGUUCCAUGUUGUGUUCUAUUUCUAAAGUUAUUUAUUUUUUUUCUUUCUUUCUUUGUUAUUAUUCUCCCCUGCUUCCAUUUCUUAUCUGGACGUGUGGCUUCUUUUGGGUGCAUUGUUUCAUCACGACAUUCCCACUCCAUUAACUUUCAUAUUCAACCUCAUGCUCUCUCUCUCUACCCUUUACUCACACCCACCGAACCCAUUCCUCCCCGCCACUUUCCAUCACCUGCCCCAAGCAUCACCCAUUCAAUCAUUUCAUUCCUUCUCCGUGUACAUGAAGCUCCAUGCAUGCGUGCAUGGGAGCCAUGCAAAGGUGGCACGCUCCUGUAAAGGCCACAGCUGCCGGCUCCGUCCUCGGACACAGACACUAGGCCGCAGCUACAGGUUCCACUCCCGAACGCCGACGCUGGAACGCGAUGGCGAAGGCGGCAUGGGUGGCGAUAAUCGAGGCGACGGCGUGGAAAUCGGGCAUCCUGGACAGAUUUCGAGGCCCUCCGGCGUUGCCUCUCUCACCUUCAUUUCCUCCGUCGCCGUCUUCGGAGGUGAGGAAGAAGAUGAAGUUGGCUUUUGGGCUUGCCCAUGGUGUUGGGUUUGGGCUUAAGUGGGAGCCCAGCCCAAGCAAGGUGAUGGAAGUCAAUGUCUUCUCAAUGAAUGGGUUGAGACAGGGAUGGGCUUGGGCUUGGGCUUUGCUAGUGGACUUGGAGGCUUGGAUUUGGGCUUGAGGCUUGCUGAUGGACUUGGACUGAAAUAGGGUUGAUAGGGUGAUAUUAUUAUUAUUAUUAUUAUUAUUAUUAUUAUUAUUGUUAACGAAUAUUAUUAUCAUUAUUAGCAAAAUAUUAUUAUUAUUAUUAUUAUUAUUAUUAACGGAUAUCAUCAUUAUUAAUUAUUAUUAUUUCUAUUAUUAUUAUUAAUUAUUAUUAUUAUUAUUAUUAUUAUUAUCAUUGUCAUUAUUAUUAUUUGCUCAGUUUUUUCAAAUCUUUUCAUCGUUAUUAUUUAUUAUUAUUAUUAUUAUUCAUUCAAAUUUUCAAAAUCUAUUUAUUAUUAUUAUUAUUAUUAUUAAUCCAAACUUCCAAAAAUCUCAUUAUUAUUAUUAUUAUUAUUCAUUCAAAUUUUCAAAAUCUAUUUAUUAUUAUUAUUAUCAUCAUUAAUCCAAACUUCCAAAAAUCUCAUUAUUAUUAUUAUUAUUAACUCAAUUUUCAAAAAUCUAUUUAUUAUUAUUAUUAUUAAUCCAAACUUCCAAAAAUCUCAUUAUUGUUAUUAUUAUUAUUCAUUCAAAUUUUCAAAAUCUAUUUAUUAUUAUUAUUAUCAUCAUUAAUCCAAACUUCCAAAAAUCUCAUUAUUAUUAUUAUUAUUAACUCAAUUUUCAAAAAUCUAUUUAUUAUUAUUAUUAUCAUCAUUAAUCCAAACUUCCAAAAAUCUCAUUAUUAUUAUUAUUAUUAACUCAAUUUUCAAAAUCUAUUUGUUAUUAUUAUUAUCAUCAUUAAUCCAAACUUCCAAAAAUCUCAUUAUUAUUGUUAUUAUUACCUCAACUUUCAAAAUCUUAUUAUUAUUAUUAUUAUUAUCAUUAUCAUUAUCAUUGAUUAAAGCUUUCAAAACCAUAUUAUUAUUAAUUCAAACUUUCUAACUUCCAAUUUCCAAGCCCAAUUUAUAAAAAUUCAACCUUCAAAUAAUACUUCAAAAUUCCGAUCUUUAAAACUCAAUUUCGAUUUCCGAAAACACUCAUACUCACUUUAAUCUAUUUAAUUAUUGUUAUUUUGAUUAUUUAUUUCAAAACUCCAUUUUAAAUCGAAUUCUCUAAAACUUCUGAUUUUCCGAAUUAAAUUCCUAAUCCCAAAAAUUCUCAUGUUCCCACUAAAUUAUUUGAUCAUUGGUAUUUUAUUUAUUUAUUUAUUUCAAAACUCCGUUUUAAAUCAAAUUCUUUAAAAUUGUUGAUUUCCGAAUUAAACUCCUAAUCCCGAAAAUUCUCAUGUUCUCAUUAAUUUACUUAAUCAUUAGUAUUUUAUCUCCAUUUUAAAUCAAUUCUUUAAAACUUCAGAUUUACAAAUUAAAUCCCUAAUCUUGAAAAUUCUCGUAUUCACAUUAAUUUAAUCAUUAAUAAUUUGUUUAUUUAUCUUAAAAUUCUAUUUUAAACAAUUCUUUAAACUUUCUGACUUCUAAAUCUAAUUUCCAAUUUCAAAAAUUCCAGCAUUCCCAUUCAUUUAUUUAAUCAUUAUUUUCGUCCUUAUUAUUAUUAGUUCAUUUAUUUAUUUCAAAAUUCCAUUUUUAAACAUUUUUUUUGAAUCCCAACUUUCGAACUUAAUUUCCGAUUUCUAAGAUUCUAAUUUCCUUCAAGUUUGACAUCCCAAAAUUCCAACUUUUAAAUUUAAUUCUCAAGACUCCAAUCUUCAAAUAAUUUUCGAGACUCCAAUUCCCAAAUAAAUUUCAAAAAUUCAAUUUUCUCUCUAACAGUUUUAAUUCUCUUCGGGUUUCAAAUAAUCUUCGAUUUCUCUUGGUUUUAUAUAAACAUGAAUGCUAUUUUCAUAAUUCCAGAAUAAUGGGAUUUGUGAUAUUAAUUCCUGCAAAAAUGAAUGGGCUUUGGUGGGGGCCCGCCAUACGUGCUUUCCUCAUGAUUGAUUGAUUUGAUUGAUUGAUUGACUUGGCUAUCAUACAUGAUUUAUUUAUCCUGCUCUCCGACAUGCAUGCUAUUAUUUCUUACUUGUGCACUAACCUCUCUCUUGAUAGCGCAUGGUGGCUCGUCGCCCAAGUACGCACCUACUUUCACUCUGGUAAUUGCCCAAGCAUAUUUUGAUUCUCACGUGUGCAUGAUUUAUUCUGGGUACUCAUUGAUCUACUCGUCCAUUGCCAUGAUUGCUUCAUUUUAUUAGUAGAGACCCGACUUUAGGGACUUAGAAGGGUGCUACGGUCCUUACCGUACCUUCCCGAUAAGUAACCUGACCCCCGAACCCGACCCGGUUUUUCGCAGACCGCCUUUUUCAAAAUAAGGAGUCACACUUAGGGUUUUUCUUUCUUAUUUUGUUUACCCUUUAAAAAUAAAACAAAAAUAAGUGGCGACUCCAAGUCAUUUUUUUUUUCUUAAUCAAAUAAAAUCAUUUUUCUAACAAAAAUCGAGUUCGUCAUCGAGUGGGAAACACAUGAGCCGAAAUGCGGGGUCCACAAGUGUAUAUGGUAGCACAAAUUUCCUACCACUUAUUAUUUUUUCCUUUCUUAAAAAAUCAUUUACUCUAUUAAAUAAACUAACCUUGGCUUAUCACUUAUAGCAAAAUAGGUUAAGUAGUUUUUAAAAUUUUAUAAUAUUAGAUUUACAUUUUUAUCCUUCAAAAUUUCAUUAAUGCUAGAUUCUUCUAUAUGCUUAACUAAUAAAUAAUUUUUAGCAUUUUUCUUUUCUUAUAAACAUAAAAAAAUAAAAAUAUUAUUAACUUAUUGGUAUAUUUUAAAUUUUUAAUUAGAUUUAAGCUUUUAUUUGUUUGGAUUACCAAUUAUACAUAUAAAUCCUUUAUUAUUAUUGUUAUUAUUGAAAGAAAGGGGUUGAAUAGGUAGUCCCUGAAUCCCCAAAUUAAAUUCUUUAUUGCCUACUUUUGGUUUAUUCCUUUACAUGAAUUCCUUGGUGAGAGUAAACAUUUCAUUAAUAGAUAAAUAAAAUUGAUUCCAUAUCAUAGGGUAUAAUGUGGAAAAAUCACCAGUCUCAUGUGUUCCUUAGUGGAUCCUUUGGAGCCCUUAUCAAAGUUUCAUGAUGAAACCAUUGACUUUUGUUUAACCCAAAUGUGCUUUCAAGACAAAUCUUGAAAGAUUUGAGAGAUGGAGGUUCAAGUCUUUUAUGAACGACCAUGUUCUCUUAGGGUUCAUGAAAAUUCACACCUUUUGAUAAAUAAAACUUAUCUAUUUAUACAUCUAAAACCCAGUAUUUAUUUAUUUAAUUAUAGAAAGUUUCUUAGUUUUAAAAACAUUACAAAAAUCAUUUUUAGAAUCAAAUAACAAUUUUAGAGAUAAACACAAUAUUAAAAUUUAACAAAAACAAAAUUUCGAAUUAAAAACACAAUAUAAACUAAAUUACAAAAUAUAAAGUAAUUUUUAUCCUAAUUUCUUGUUUCAAAACCAAAUGGAACACCUAGAAGGGGAGUGAAUGGGUGAUUUUAAAUUUUUUCAAUAAUGAUUUAUAAGUUAUACCCAAUUCUUUUACCUUGCGAGUUGUUAGGGACUAUCAAUUCUUUUCUUUUGGCAAUUCAAACAAUAUAUCAAAUAAUAAAAAGAUAUAAAUAAUGAGACAUAAAGAUUUUUAUGUGGAAAACCCCCCACACUAACCAUGGAGAUAAAAAGUCAUGGAGUCUAAGACCUAUUAAUCUAAAUUCACUUUACGAAAUCAAGUUACACAAAUUUAUUUGGCAACUUUACCUUAAAGACUUACUCUUCGGUACUGACAACUUGAUUCACGUCCACGACGUAGCAACCCUCGAUUACUCCAAUGGAUCACUUCAAGCUUACUAAAAGGAUGAAGGCCUUCAAACCAAGAUUCAAAAAUCAAUUCCUUGAAUGAGAGAUCAGGAAUGGUGUGCCACUUUAGGCUUUCUCUCUAAGAACUCUAAAAUGAUCUCCUCAAUGAAAACCUCUUAAACAAAAUGAGAUAUUUUCCCACAAUCUCUAAUCCUUAAGGGGUUAUAAUGAGAUAUUUAUAAGCAACUAAGUUGAAGAGUUUCAGUUUUGGAAGGUUUCUCAAUUGAAUUUGUGUGAAAAACUCGGCAGAAUCAACAUGACUGCUCGAGCCAACACACUUCCCACUUGAGCGUUUCGGGCACUUGAGCGGUAAGGCUCGCUUGAGUUGUCCCAAGCGCUUGAGCAUUCCAGGCUACUUGAGCAAUCUUGCUCUAUUUCAAAAGUUAAUUUUAAAUCAUUUUAAGUUCAAAACAAAAUUGAUUCCCUUUAUACCUCAAAGGAGCCUAACUUGCCACAAACCAAACCUUUUUAGAUAUACUUGUGACUUCCUGGUUGGACGAAUAACAACUCUUAAUCUUCAAUGGAAAGCAAGUCAUUAUCUAAAAAGAUUUAUAUGGUCAAAUAUAAAAAAACAAAAAAAUUUCCAACAUAACAACAAGACUCAAUGUCCUAACAAUCUCCCCCUUUGGCAAUUUUAUGACAAAAACAACGUUACAUAUACCCACCUGAACUCUCAUAAUGGAGUUUAAUAAUACACAUUAACGUUCAAUUAAAAAUAAACUAAGGGAAUACUUUGUAUCACUUUGUAGUAUUUGUCUUCCAACUUUGUAACCUACACACAUAUAGAAAACUAUGCCAAAGGUAAAGCAAUGUGCAAGAUAAGAUAUGAUCAAGAAAGCAAAAUAGGAUAAUUGGAAAUUUUGCUUGAUGCCUUGUGAAAGCAUGAAAAAAGAACAAAUUCAUAUAGUAAUACCAAGGGACAAAGCAAAACUCGAGAAGAAUAUAUAUGUAUGCAAAUCAACCAAACAUAAUUAAAGCUACAUAAGAUGCAAUAGAUCAAUAAUAAUGCCUAGGGGUCUAUCUCCAACCAGAAAAUAGGGAGUGAAGAUCAUAGGAAGAACCUUCUGUGACUUAGAAAGGUUCUAGAGAGAUAGUCAAUUCAAAUAUAAAUAUCUUGCUGGAAACAUCUAUGUUAUGUAUCUCUCUAAACCUUCUAAGUUAUGCUUUCAUCAGUUGAUUUGGUUUUUCUCCAAUGUCUUAGGUUUAAUUUCCUCUAAUAUUUCAAUUAGAAAGAAAUUGGUAGUCAAUUGACUUAGUGGGUGUUUGGUAAAACUUAAUACUUAUUAUUUAAUGAUUAACUUUAAGUUAAAUUGUUCUUAAGUUCUUAAUUUAAAAUUUAUUACUUAUUCUGUAUUUAAGUAUUAAGGUUAUUUGAAAAAAUCGACUUAAAAUUUAUUCUAAAUCAUCAAAUUGACACAUUUACCCUUAUUAAUUUUAAUUAUAUUUAUUUUCAUUAAUUUUAAACAAUAAAUUUAUUCAUAAAACAUCUAUAUUUUUGUAGAUACAUAAUAACCAUAAAAUAUUUACUAUAAAAAAUGAGUCAUGGAUGUAGAAUUAUAAUUCAAAAAUAUACACUUAUGAGUGUGGGUAAAUAAGGCAAAAAUGAUUUGAGAUUAAGAGUAAAGUUAAUUAUUUUGACUUAAGACUUCAAGUUAAAAAUAACUUUAAGUUGCAAUAUUAAGUUAUUUUAUCAAACAUGGUUAAUUUACUUAACGACUUAAAUUAAGUUAUUAAGUUGAUUUAUCAAACACCCCACUAGUAGUAUGUUGAAAAUGAAGAGCAUCCAUAGUAGAUAAUGUAUAUGUAUUUGUGUUUAGAGUAGAAGGGCACUACAACAAUGGACUUGCAUGUGAUUUGGUCGCGAUAUGAUUUUGGUGAGAAUAUUUUAUUGUCUUUAAAAUAUUGUUAUAUGAAAUGCCAGACUAUGUUAGUAAAUAAUAGUUAUGUUAGUAGAAAUGAAAGUUUGUUUUAUAAUGCAUUGACCAUCCUAACACAUGUACUUAAUUAUCAUUAGUAGUUAGACAUGUAUUCCCUUUUUUCAAUUUUUUUCUUCUUUUUAAAUACAUUCUAGUGGUACUUUGCCUUAUGACUUAAUUUUUGUUACACUUACUACUUUUGGUUUUAGUCAUAUUUCGUUUUAUUAGUAUUUUCAUUUUGUGUUACAAUUUUAUUUAGUUUCUCUAUAUUCUCUUUUGGAUGGUGAUUUCACUUCAAAAUUUAAUUCAAAUUAGGCUUAUUAUCCCCUUAGUAAGCCUUUUCUAGGCGAGUUGUUAUAGAAAAUUAAACAAACCUCUCCUAAGGUUGGCCUUGUUACGUAGACUUCUUUUCUAUUUUGAAAUAUUAUAUUGACCUCCCUUGUUAGAUAUUGGUUUUUACAAUUACUAAGAAUAAUGCUUCUUAAUCAUUAUUAACGACGUCUUCUUUCUCCAAUUUUCUUCUUCUUCCUCCAUACAUGCUAAUUUGCAAAAAUUUAUACCCAUUAUUUAAAUGAAAUUUUUUGAAAUAAAUUAAAACCUUCCUUAUUUGAUAUUAUAGAAACCUAAUUUAAAUAAAAUAUUUUGAAAUAAAUUAGAUAAAAAAAAAAAAAAAAAAACUUGUCAUCAUUCUAACCCAAAUCAAAUUUUAAAGAAUAAUUAAAUAUUUCAAGUCUCAUUUUGUCUCAAUAUCACCUUUGCUAAUCAACCUAUCCAAUCUUAGAUCAAACCCAAAUUGCAAUCAAAUUUUGACAAGAAAAAAUCAACUUAAGACUGAAUAAGAAAACUUGUGGAAAGAGUCUCAUCAAGAAGGUGCAUGAAACCCUCCGUUCAAAAACUUCUUCUAAAAUAAAAUUAAAAAAGAAAAGAAAAAGAAAAGAAAGAUAUUCAAUGUUAAAGGACUUUUAAGAUAAAUCAAAAUUUGAAAAUGAAUGUUAAUACUUGCAAUAGAUUCCACAUUCAUGAACAAAUUACCAUUGCACCACUUAUUUUCAAUUCACACUUUAAUUUACUAUCCAUAGAAACUUUCAUUAAAUUUUCCAUAAAACAAACAAAGAGCCUUAACCCCCAAAUAUUUUAAUUCUUAAAAAUACAUCAUUUCAUCAAUUUUUGAAACCCUCAUUUUAACACAAAUUAUUUUUUUUACAAAUAAUUAAAAGAAUAAAAAGAAAAUUAAGAAGAGGUUGUCAUUAUUAUUCUUGCAAAGUCACCACAAAAUAAAUUAUAACAAAUAUAGAAAAUAAAAUAAUAUGACGAUGAAGAUAAUGCUUAGAAAGUUAGAAUGAGGAAGAUAAUAUCAUUUAGAUGAUUUAGGUUAAGAUGAGGACUAGAUAAGGAAAGUGACAUCAAUUGCCUAAUUAUUUGGGGUUUUAGAGAUACAAAAUGAGGGAGAUGACUAAAAUUAUGGUUUAAUUAUUUUUGGUUAAGGAUUAUUAAGUUAUUUUAAGGAAUUAAUUAAUUUAUUUAUAAUAAAUUUAGAAAUUAAUUAAAAGUUAAUUAUAAUAAUUAUUGAUUCAUAGUUUAAUUUAAAGCUAAUUUGAAUAAAAGAUGAAAAACUGAAAGUCCAUUAGGGUUCCACCUAGAGAGGGGAGAGGAGGUGGAUGAUUUAAAAAAUUUCAAUAAAGAUCUAUAUGUUAUAUCCAAUUUUAUUUUACCCUGUGAGAUGUUAGGGAUAACCUUUUCUAUCAAUCUUAGGCAAUUCAAACAAAAUAUCAAAUAUAAAAGAUAAGAACAAUAAGGUAUGCGAUUUUUAUAUGGAAAAUCCUCACACUAACUGUGACGAUAAAAACCACGAGGUCUAAGACCUAUUAAUCUAAAUGCACUAGAUGAAAUCAAGUUACACAGAUUUACUUGACUGCUUUACCUUAAAGAUUUACUCUCCGGUAGGUACAACUUGAUUCAUAUCCACAACAUAGCAACCCUUGAUUGCUCCAGUGGAUCACUUCAGCUUCCUUGAAAGGAUGAAGGUCUUCAAAAUAAUAUUUAAAGAACAAAUCCUUGAAUGAGAAAUUGAGAAUGGUGUGGCAAUCUAGGUUUUGUCUCUAGGAGACCCUUUUUAGAGAAUAAAGUCUCUCAACAAUCUAUCUCGAAUCUCUUCAAGAUCUCUAACCCUCAAGAGGUUAUAAGGGAGGUAUUUAUAGACAAAAGUUUGAAGAGUUUCGAUUUUGGAAGGUUUCUUAAUUGAAAUUUCGUGAAAAACUUGGUAGAAUCAACAUGAUUGCUCAAGCGCCUCAAGCACUUGAGUGGUAUGGCUCACUUGAGCGGUCCUAAGCGCUUGAGUAGUCUUUAGUGCUUGAGCACUCUAGGCCACUUGAGCAGUCUUGCUCUAUUUCAAAAAUCAAUUUUAAAAUCUUUUUAAGUUCAAAACAAAAUUGAUCCUCUUUAAUACCUCAACAUAGCCUAAUUAACAUAAGUCAAACCUCUUUAAACAUGUGACUUCUCAAUUGGACAAACAACAACCCUUGAUCUUCAAUGAAGAGUAAGUCACUAACUAGAAAGACUUCUAUGACCAAACAUUACAAAGAACAAAAUUGCCAACAUAUAGGCAAGACUUACUGUCUUAACAAUCUCUCCCUUUGACAAUUUUGUGACAAAAAAUCGUUACAUAAACCCACUUGAACUCUCAUAACGGAGUUUACAUAACACACUUUAAUGCUCAAUUAAAACUAAAUUAAGGGAAAACUUUGUAUUAGUUUAUAGUACUUAUAUUUCAACCCUGUAACCUACACACAUACAAAAAACUAUACUAAAGGUAAAGUGUUACGACCGCCUCUACCACGGCUUCCAGCACGUUUGCCACGAGGAGCUAUGGUGAUUCUUUGUUGUAACAAACCUGAUCAAGAGAAUAAAUAUGGUUUUAAUUCGAGGAAAAACCAGACCUCCCAAUAGCAAACUGCUAUAUAAUAUUCUGAUUGUUCCCCAUUGAUAUGCCGUGAAGCUCUAUAAAUAGCUUUACAAAGUUAAACAACUCCAACAUCCCUAAACUACUCAUCACCUAGAUAAGGAUAAACACUAUUCCUAACCAAACUCCUAAUACUUUAAUCUGAUAACAAUUCAGAUUGCUAUUAUUAUCCUAAAACAAAUAAAAAUAAGAUAAUUAAAUAAAAAAUGAGAUAAUCCUAACACAAUCCUACUCAGCAACUCCUAUGCCUCAUGAAUACAGCAACUCCUCUUGCUAGUGGACAUAACAUUUCCUACCCCUUUAGAUUCGACCCUUGUCCUCAAGGGUGAUAUCAGGAAAACGAAGCCUCAUGAAUACAACAACUCCUCUUGCUAGUGGACAUAACAUUUUCUUCGAUAUCUCCAAUUCCGUCACCGUUAUCCUCCUCUGGCCAGCAUCCUUCAAUCAAAAAAAGCUUCUUACACCGAUGCCCAGGGGCAAACUUUUCGUCACAAUUGAAGCAAAGGCCCUUAUCUCUACGUUCUUUCAUCUCCGUUGGUGACAAUCUUCGAAUGGCGGGAGUAGAUGAAAGUGGGCGACUGGUGACUGUUGAGUUCGUUGAUACAGUCUUUUUUGGCUCAAGGUUGAAACUGGAUCGCUUAUGAUAUUUAACCUCAUAGAGCCGAGCCAAACCUAUUGCUGCAGACAACGUUGGUGGUUUCAUGGCUUGAACAUCUAUCCUCACAUCUUCGUUUAGACCACCAAUGAAACAAGCAACCUGUUGAGACUGAUUUAACUUCCCCACUCGGCUGAGGAGUUUCUCGAAUUGGCUUUGAUACUCCCGUACUGAACCAACCUGUUUGAGCCUUAUAAGAUCUCCAAAAAAAUCAUCAAAUUUCGUUGGCCCAUACCUGGAAUUCAGCCCUUCCUUGAGCGUGAGCCAUGCAACUUCCCCUUCUUCCUUCAGUAUUUGAUACCACAAUUGUGCCUCGCCUUCUAGAUGAUACGUCGCUAGCGGAACCUUCUCUUCCUCAGCAAUUUUCUGAAAUUCGAAGAAUUGCUCUACUCGACAAAUCCAACUCGUUGGAUCUUCACUGCCAUUAAAGCGAGGAAAAUCAAGUUUAGUGACCCUUGGAAUUACCGCACCAUAAGACUCAGUGGAGUCACGAGGGCCUCUAUAAUUGAAUCGCCGAGACCCCCCACCAUUGUGUGAACUCUCUCCUCGUUCCAAACUUUGGUUGCCCGAUAUUUGAUCUAAUCGGGUAUUCAUUGACGUUAUUACUUGCAUCAGUGUUUCUUGUAACUCCUGGAACUUCCUAUCUUGCUCUGCUGCUAUAGAGCCUAUCUCUGUCUCCAAACGAUCAAUGCGUGAUUCAUCCAUAACCUGCUCUGAUACCAAGUUGUUACGACCGCCUCUACCAUGGCUUCCAGCACGUUUGCCACGAGGAGCUAUGGUGAUUCUUUGUUGUAACAAACCUGAUCAAGAGAAUAAAUAUGGUUUUAAUUCGAGGAAAAACCAGACCUCCCAAUAGCAAACUGCUAUAUAAUAUUCUGAUUGUUCCCCAUUGAUAUGUCGUGAAGCUCUAUAAAUAGCUUUACAAAGUUAAACAACUCCAACAUCCCUAAACUACUCAUCACCUAGAUAAGGAUAAACACUAUUCCUAACCAAACUCCUAAUACUUUAAUCUGAUAACAAUUCAGAUUGCUAUUAUUAUCCUAAAACAAAUAAAAAUAAGAUAAUUAAAUAAAAAAUGAGAUAAUCCUAACACAAUCCUACUCAGCAACUCCUCUGCCUCCUCUUGCUAGUGGACAUAACAUAAAGUAGUGUGAGGGAUAAAGUAAUGUUGAGAAAGCAAAACAGGAUAGUUUGAGGUUUUGCUUGAUGACUUGUGAAAACAUGAAAAUGGAACAGAUUUUUGUAGAGACACUAAGGCACAAAGCAAAGCUUGAGAGGAAUAUAGAUACACACAAAUCAGGAAAACAUAAUAGAAGCUUGAUAAGACAUAAUAGAUCAAUAAUAAUGCUUAGAAGUCUAUCUCCAACCAGAUAAUGGGUAGUGAAAACCAUGGAAAGAAGCUUCUAUGACUCAGAAUAGUUCUAGAGUGAUAAAUAGUUCAAACAUAAAUAUCUUAUAAGAAACAUUCGUGUCAGGUAUCUCUUUAAACCAUCUAAGUUAUGCUUUCAUCAGUUGAUAUGGUUGUCUCCAAUUUCUCAAGUUUAAUUUCCUCUAAUAUUUCAAUAAUUUCCCUUAAUGGAUGAAUGAAUGAAUGAAUGAAUUGAAUUAAAGAAUUCAAAAUUUUUAACUCAUAGUAACUCCCCUUAAAUUACAAUCAAUACAAUAAUUCAAAUCAAGUAUACCAAAACAUAAAUAAUAGAACAUUUAUGCAUUAGGUGGCGGUAGAGGGAUAGAGCUUGAAGCGCCCUGAGAAUGGAUACAGGAAAAGAUGUAGUUAAGUUAUCCCUAAAUCUCUCAGAGUUGGAGAUCCUAAGAGUCCAUCUUCUGAUGAAGUCGAGCCAUGGAAUUUAGAGCCUCAUGGGCGUUGGGUCUACAGAAGUAAAAGCCUUGUGUGUAGCUCGGGAAGAACUAACACAACCUCAACUCUAGAGUGAGUCCUCGGAGCAGACUCUAAAUAGUCUGUCUCUAGAAUUCCACUCUACUCCAUAGCUCGAAGCUCAUCCUCCUGGACAACUGCCUCUGCAUGCUGGCCUACAUCAUGCAGUUCAUAAGCUGGAACAACCAUCAAACUGUAUACAUGAAUGUAGUGCUUGGCCCAGGAACUCCCAUCCAAAAAGGCAUGGGUAGCUUAGACCCCUAGUGUAGGAUCAAUCUUAAAUCCCACAUCCUCGAGUAUCCGCGUGAUGAGGAGGGUAAAGGGGAGAGUGCCUCCUCUAAAGGAUAAACCACGAAGGGGAAUGAUUGUAUCCAGGAUGACCUAGCCAAUGUCAAAUUGUUGGCUUGAGAGAAUGGCGUGAAUAAAGUGAGCAGAUGGUCAACGGAUUUGGGUGCAGUGUGUAAAUGGGUAGAAGGAGUAAGUGAAUAAUGUUGCAAACAACCAUGUUUGCUUGGAGAAGCCAACAAUCAGGAUAUAAGAAGGAAAGAGGCAAAGACUGCCAUAAAGAGAAGUCAGAAUGGUGUCAAGUUUCUCUCGGGUGAGAGCCUGAACCUCUGGGGAAAACAAAGGAAUGAGAGCCUUAAUUUGCGACUUGCUAAGGACACAUUGAAUGGAAUGAGAGGAAAUAAGGAAAAAUUGACCAUGCAUGGUCACCUGAAAGCUGACUCCGACCAUAAUAUAAUGCAUGUUCUCAUAGAACAUGUGAACAAGAUGGGGAUAGGAAGUCCCCUAGAGAGAAAACAGUCUCCUAACCCUACUCUUGAAUGAUGAUAGGGAAGACAGUGUCCUGAAAAGCUUAGAGGUUAAUGGCAUGCUCAGGCUCGACACACCGAUAUGUGAAAGAAGCGUAAUUAUGGUCCCGUGCCACCUGGCAGUGAAAGCGCUCAACCGGAAGUGCAUCUAGGUUAAAAAGACCCUGGAGUGGGAUGCCCUAGACGGUUUCAGUGACCUAGGAAAGGUCACCUCCCUUUGACAUCUAUGACUAGCCAUAUCUAAGGUAUAUAAUAUGAAAAAACAAAAGCUAAAGAAAAACUAAAGAAAAUCCAGAGAAAAGCUAAACCACUAAAAAUGUUAAACUCAAUGCGUCGAACAAUACUAUACAAAUGGAAAUGAAAAAUAUGAAGCGAACUGACCUCAGAAUACAAAAGGACAGUAACCCAGAGGGCUCGAAGAGGAAUAGGAAAGUUUGAAAUGAAUAUGGCGUCCUGGAUGACCUUUAUAUAGCUUAUAGGAGUGCUUGAUGCAGAUUAGCACUCGAGCGUCCUUACUAACUUAAAUCAAAUUAUUUAUUAAUAUGUAAAUAUUUUAAAAGUUUCAAAGGAAGUAUUCAAUUUAGAACCUUUUUAGAUUUUUUUUGAAAGAAACAAAAAUAAAGCGUGAAAUAUUAUGUGUUUAAGGUGUUAGAAGACAAUAUUGUCUAAUCCAAAGCCUUACACAUUCCCACAAAAAAAAAAAAAGGAAAAAGAGAGAUAUUAUAUAAGAUUUUGAUCACAUCUAAUAGAAACUCAUAUUUAGCAACAUAUCACCAAGCACUAUCUUAUCUGAAAGCUCUAACAUGUUGGAAAUUUAUUUAAGGUUCCAUAACAACUAACAACUUUUUCUGACGACUCAGUAGUGGACCAUUUGCACUUUAACUGCAUUAUUGAAUUUAAAUCAUAUUAGAAUAGUAAUUGACUUCUCUUUUGUGAGGCUACAUAUCUUGUAGGAUGGGAUAGGUGAUUCAUUUCAUAUAUGAAAUUUAGUUAAUUUAGUAAUGCAUCCAAGUUCAUUAUGAAUCUAAUGGUAUCACAACUCCUUGAAUAUUUGUAAUCUGUAAUCUUUGAUUCAACUUCUCAAGUCUAGUCAUUUUAUCGGCAUAACUAGUUUGCUUCAAUUAUCUCUCAACUUUAUUAUAAAACUAAGGGAAAAAAUUAUCACGGAUUUUAUAUUAACUUAACCAAACAUCUUUAUAUAUAUAUAUAUAUAUAUAUAUAUAUAUAUAUAUAUUGUAAAUUUAGGAAAAUUUCAUCCAUUAGCCAUAGUAAGUAAGAAUCAAAUAAGGGAUAUGUAAGCCAAUGGUGAUAUUGAUGGCGUCAAAUCAAUGACAUAGUAGAAAAGUGGAUUGUCUAUUUUCAAACCUUUAUAUUUUCAUCCAAUAGUAAAAAGGUUUAGGCAUCACUUGAAAAGUAGUUCGUUUUUUUACCUUGGACUAUGAUUUAUGAAUAAAGUUCUUCUAUUGUAUACCUUUUGUGAUGCCCCAAACCUAAUUUAUGGGUAAAAAAAAAUAAUUUAGAAAAAAAUAAAUAAAAAGUUAAAUAAAUUUAAUUAAGGUAAAAAUGUAUUUUCGUAUUUAAAAUUCCUAGGUAUCAAUUAUAUAUUUCUUGUCUUCUCUAUUCAAAAAACCCUAUUACACAAAAAUCAAAUAUUAGAGAACAUAGGACAACGCAGGGUUGAAGAUUUGGAGGUUUAGGGUUGAAGAUUAGUUUUCCGGGUAAGAUUCUAACCCUUAAAUUAGUAUUUUAGAUUCGUUAAUUAGUUUAAACACUUCAGAUAUUCUUUGAAAAUCUGAAUCUAUGUUAGGGUUUGUUAAUUUAAUUUUUAAAUAAAAAAGAUUGAAAAUUUAUGAACAUAAGUAGAGUUAUUAUUAAAGAUUGAAAUUUUUUGAAUAUUUGAAUUAAAAAUCUAGAAAAAAAGAAGAAAAUAAAUUAUAGCUUUGGAUGUGGAAAAAAAUUAAUAUUAAUAAAUAAAUAAAACCUAUGAGUAUGGAGGUAGAAAAAUAUGAGAGUUGAAAGCAAAGAAAAAAAAAAAGAAUAAGGUUUUGUGGUUGUACAUGCCUCCUUAGUGGAAAAAAAAUACAAGGUUGCUUGCAAUAGGAUAUGACAAAGAGAGAGAGAUAAAUGCUUAGAUGUUGAUUUUUGUGGGGAAAAAAAGAUUGGGUAAUGUAGGAGAGAAAUAGGUAGCACUUGUAGAGUUGGUGGAGUUGUUGUAAAAGCUCGUAGGGGUAAUUGUUAGGUAGUGUAGGGUAUGAGAUUAAUUGUUAGGAAACAUUAGGACUUGAAAUAAUAAUAAUUGCUUCUAGUAAAAGUUUUAAUUUAGUUUAAGUAUAUAAAAGAAAUAGAUGAUUAGAAUAAGAUUUGGAAGGAAUAUGAAUUCAUAAAAAUUUCGAGAUUUACUAAUUUAGAUUAUUAUUGUUUUGGAAGUUGAAUAUAAUAUAGGUGAUAAUAUUAUUAAUAUAGGAAAUGAUUCAGAUUCUCAAACCUACAAUUUUAGAUAAAUAGUUAAUAGUAAUAGAUGAUUUUUUAUUUUUAUUUUAUUUUUAUUUUUUAUGUUAUGUUAAGUGAAGAAUGGAUUCUUUGAGAUUAAUUCUCUAAGGUUUCUAAGUGUUUCUUUAAGGUAAGGGAUGUUAAUACUGAUUUUGUAAAUGAAAAUAUUUCUUUUUAUAAGUUAUUUUAAAUUAUGAAAAAUUUUAUUUUUAUUUAUGCAUGGAUCAAAUAUAUAUUUUUUCACGAGAAACAUGUUUGGGCAAUUUCUUUGUUUAUAAAUAAAUAAAUAAAUAAUGAAAACUUUGGAAAUAUAAUGUUUUGUUUUGUAAGUUUAAAAUAAUGAAAUAAAGUUUUUUGACUCUAGUUUAUAUGACCUUAGUUAAUGGGUUAUAAUUGUUGACAUUUUCAGCUCCAGUCAAUGAUUAUAAUUGUUGACAUUUUUGGUUCCAAUCAACGAUUAUAAUUGUUGAGAUUUUCAACCCUAGCCAACGGGUAUAAUAGUUGACCUUAUAGCCCUAGUCAACAGAUAUAAUUGUUAACCUUUGGUUUUGCCCAUCUUAAAAAGAACAAAUUUAAGGCUAGCCAUUUAUUUGUAAAGUCCCACUUAACUAAGUACCAUUUGUUAUUUAAUAACCAGAGUAAAGAUAUUUUGAAUGUAUUUGAUAUGAAAUUGUUUUGAUAUAAAUAUGAAAAUGUUUGGUUGAAAAGUUCAAAUGUUUAAUGCAUGUUGAAUUCAAAAGUUUUUAUGAAAAUGAUUAUAUGUUAUAUCCCCUAUUUGUAAGUUUGAUCCAUGAAACUGUAUUAAUAUUCCUUAUUGGACUUUGAGCUCAUUCCCCUUUGUUGAGAAUUUUUUUUGGUAUUCUCAGUUUGGGUAAGGAGUGAUGACUGGGUUGGGGAAUUUUCUUUGCUAUGAUUUUGGUUCAAUCUUUAUUUUGGACAUUGUUUAGAUGUUAAAAUUUAAUUGCCAUUUAAAUUAUUUGAGUUUGGAGUUAUUUGGACGAUAACACUUUGAUUGAUGUGUUAGUUUUAAAGUUGAGAAUUGAAAAUUAUAGAAUUUAUUUAUCUUACUACUUUGAACAGAAAUUUAGUAGUUGGAGAUCAUCCAGUUACAAGAUGAAUAUUUGUGUCGUUUCCACUUUGAGCGUUCAGGCUUAGGGUGUGAAAUGACCGUUAUGCCCUUGGAGUGGGUAUAUUGUUUAUUUGAAUUUAAUGGUCCCUGAACUCCUUAAUUACUCAUAACUUUAUAUCACCUUCUCAAAGUAAGUUGUUUUACAACUACUAUCUAGCUACUUAUCUCUACUAUGACAACUUUAUUACAUAGUGAUUAAUUGAAAGAAUCUACAUGUCUUAUUUCAUAGGAUAGUUGAUUUUUUCACUCAAUGAAUCUUGCUUUUAUUAUUGAAAUUUUCAAAUCAUUGUAGUCCAACAAUUUCCUAUCCAUUGGUAAUUUCAUAUUACAUUUCCAAAGUCUAAUCAUUUAAAAACACUUGUAGUUAAUAUAUUGGCAAUUGCAUUGUGGGAAGUUGUUCACUUGAUUUUAAUGUUGAAACUUUCAAAUUGUUGUAGUCCAACAAUUCCCUAUCCAUUGGUAAUUUCAUAUCACAUUUUCAAAGUAUAAUCAUUUACAAAUACUUGUAUAUAGUAUAUUUGGUGAUUGUAGAGUGGAAAGUUGAUCGUUUUUAUGAAGACCUCUAAAAUAGAAAUUUUUUUCAUUCCAUUUAAUAAAGAAUUUCAUUAAUUGAACAUAUAUGUUUUUUAACCGGAAAGUAAAGGCCACAUUAGGCCUUAGGUGACAAUACUAGGUGAGGGUUUUUCUUAAAAUUUAUUUAUUACGAAAUAUAAAUAAUAUUAUUUAUUUUAUAAUAAAGAUUAUUAUAAUAUAUUUUUUAUAGAUUUGAAAAAAAUAUUAAUUGAGUUUUAUUUAUUUUUAAAUAAUUGUUUUCAAUAAAUAACUUAUUUGUAAAAAUAAAACUAUUAAAUAUAUGCAUUUGAAAAAUAUUUAAUUUUUAUUUGAUUUAGUAUCAAUUAAUAUUUGUAAUAUUUUUUAAUAUUAUAGAAGUUAACAUACCCAAUUAAGAUAUUCAAGAUCAAGAGAAUAUUAUAGAAGUUAACAUACCCAAUUAAGAUAUUCAAGAUCAAGAGAAUAUUUGAGAUUGAAUUAAUUUCUUUAUUGUUUAUGUUUUAGUAAAUUUUUAUAUCCAUAACAAAAUUUUUAUUGUUUAUUUUUCAUUCAAUGUUUGCAUUUUGUAAUAGAUAUUAAAACAAAUUUUUUUCUUGCAUGUUAAAAAAAUAUUUCAAUGUCUUUAAAAAUAAAAUAUUGCAGUAAAAUCAAAAUUACAUUGUGAAACUUUAAGCAAAUGUUUUAUACUUAAGAAGUGCCAAUUAGAGUAAGCAUGCAUCUACAAUUGUGAUUUAGAUGUCAUAUUGAAACAAUAGUUCUCUUUGACUAUAUCAUAAAAUUUGGUUCGAAUUACUUUAAGUCAUCUUGUAGAUUUUCAAGUUCCAAUGAUAUGCAUCAAGUAUGUGCAACAUACUUGAUAUAACUAAUAUUUUCUUAAGUAAUUGGACACUUUUUUCUAUAAAUUUACUUGAUUAUCAAUGAAUACUUUUAUGUAGGGUAUUGAUAUAAUUCGAUAAAUAUUUUAAAAUAGUAUUAGAAUAGCUUUGCUCUUUCCCAAUUAACAAAUUUACUAAAUUAACUUAUAUAUAUUUGUUUAUUUGAAUUUACUGGUAUUUGACGCAAAUUGUUAUUAUUUUUAAAAUUAUAGGAAAACCAUUAUUUAUAGAGUUUAAUUAUAUUUGGUAAAUUAUCUUUUUAAGUUUGACUAAGAUUAGGAAACUAUUAAUUUAAUAUUAAUCCAUAAGGCUCUAUAAAUUUGUAGUUUUAUAUAGGAUUUAAAAAAAGAAAGAAAAAGUAAGAAAAAGUAAGAAAAAGUGAAGAGAGAUAGGCAAAGAGUGCAUUGGGUUUUAGAUAGAGAAAGGUUGAGAGAGUUUUGAUUACUACUCAAAAAGAACAUAUUUUAGAUAGUAAUUCUCAUGGGUUUCACAUCUUUUGAGCAUUAAUUAUGCCUAAAAAUGCUCAAUUAACAUGUUGUUGCCCUCGCAAGAGUUACUAACAAGUUUUAUAAAGUUUUGGAGUCAUUUCAAGUUAUGAUUUUAAUAAAUUGAUGACAAAAGAGAUGAACUGAUUUGAAGAAGGCAAAUAAUAUUGAUGAUGAUCCAAAUGUAAAAUGAAAGAAGCAAUAUAAUUAGAUUGAUCGGGAUUUGCUGCUAAUUUGGAGGUAGUUAAGGUGGAGUCAAAAGAAGAAAAUGGAAGAAAUGACAAAGAGGACCUUAAAAACCAAAUGUUGCAGAUUUGUAUGAUCAUGCAAAAAUUUUACAUGACUAUGCGAAAUGGAUUAGAGAAGGAAAAUUGACUAUGGUAUAAGGAGGAUGCUUAAGUUGAUUUCACAUGAACAUGAGAAAAUUUCGCAUGAACAUGUGAAAAUUUUGCACAAUCAUGUGAAAUGGUCCAAAAAGCUCUCUAAUGUUGUUGUUGCUCCACUAAUUUCUCACCACCAUGCGAAAUCGAUCUUUUCAUGCAAAAUGGUUGAAGCUCAUGUGAAAUCAUGAUUUUGAUGCUAAACUCUAGAUUUGUGAAUUUGGAAGGUUUUAGAAGACCAAUGAGAGGUUGCCAAGUGUCCACUUGACCUUGGUCUAUAAAUAGAAACUGGAAUUUCCCAUGUAAAGGGCUUUGAGAUACUUUUGAUUUUAGAUUUUUCUAGAAACUCUUUCUCUAAAUAGAAUUCUUUAUUUUCUUUAAUUUUCCCUCAUUUUCUCAUUAGCCAAACAUGCCUAGUGAGACCAAAUCUCCAAGUAUGAGUGGCUAAAUCUCGUUUUUCUCAGAGGAAUGAGGAUCUAGAGGUAAGAUCUAUGGUGAAUUAUAGAAAUGAGUUUUAAUUGCAAAUGUAAUUUGAUCCAAUUGAUUGAUUAAUUGAAAUUUGAGGAUUUUUCUCUUUAAAUUGUCCUGAAUGACUAUUACAUUGCAAACUAGGUAGAUUCAUUAAAUUCUUAAAGCUAGAUUUAAUGAGACUGAAUAGUUGCAUUUGUAUGAAUCAUUGGAAAAUGAUUUAAGAUGAAUUGAAUAUAUAAUUUAAAUUGAUCUCUUGGAUUAAAUAACCUAAUUUGAAGAGAAAUUAGGUUUAGACUUAAAGGUAAAUCUAAAAUUGGUUUAGAUAAGAAUUUAGGUUUUCAAUCUAACUUGAUGAAAAAUAAAUCUCAACAUCUAUUCGCCAUGGAAAUUUUUUUCUAAAAAAUAUUAACUCCAAGAAUUCCUUUUCCUUAUCAAUUUUCUUAUGUCAUCUAUAAUGUUCUGGUUUUGUCCUCUGUAAUGUUCUUUAUUGUAUUGUGGAAUUAUUCUCUCUCAUCUAUGUAGGCAAGUUGCUAAACCACGUUAAAACCUCAAAUACCAUUUGUGUUGAUUUUUUUUUAUCUUUGUGUUCUUGAUUAAUGAUGCUUGCAUCAAAGCUUCUACCAACGUAACAAUGUGCAACAUAUUUGAUAUAACUUAUAUUUUCUUAAGAAAUUGAACACUUUUUUCUAUAAAUUUACUUGAUAUCAAUGAAUACCUACAUAUACGGUAUUGACAUAGUUUGAUAAAUAUUUUAAAAUAGUAUUAGAAUGGCUUNNNNNNNNNNNNNNNNNNNNNNNNNNNNNNNNNNNNNNNNNNNNNNNNNNNNNNNNNNNNNNNNNNNNNNNNNNNNNNNNNNNNNNNNNNNNNNNNNNNNUUCUUUUUCCCAAUUAACAAAUUUAUCAAAUACACACACACACAUAAUACUCAUUAGUAUGUCUUUUAUGAAAAAACUAUAUUGUUUAUUUGAAUUUAGUAGCCAUUCAACUCCUUAGUUACUCAUAAACUUUAUAUUACCUUCUUAAAGUCAAGUCAUUUACAAUUAUUUCUAUCUAGCCGGCCUUCUCCAUUAUGACAACUUUAUAAGAUAGUGAUUGAUUGGAAGAAUCUACAUGCCUUUGUUGAUAGGAUAAUUGUUUUUCUUUUUUUCGUAUUCAAAGAAUCUUGCUUUUGUUAUUGAAACUUUCAAAUCCUUUAUGUCUGAGAUUUGAUGUAAAUUUGCUUAGUUACCAAUGAUUUCAAAUUUCAUUAAUUAGUACCCCUAUAGAUGUAAUUUGUGUACAAAAUUUAUUUUUUAAAAGAAUUUAGGGAAAAAUAUUUUAGGUAUAUGUCUUUAACAAUUCUCUAAAAUAAAUUUUACUUGCUAAAAAAUAACUUAUAUAGAUAGAAUACAUCUACAAGAGUUCUAACUAACGAAAUUUAAAACUAAUGGUGGUUUAGCGUAUUUAAACUAAACAUUAGGAAGGGUGACUGAAAUUAACCCUCUAGGUAUAUAUGUUUAACAAAAUUUUUAUUGUUUAUUUUUCAUUUAAUUUUUGCAUUUUUCAAUAAACAUUGAAAAGGAAUUGUUUUUCCAUAUGUUAACAAAAAGAAAUUUGAACACCUAUAAAAAUAAAAUCUUGUAGUAAAAUUGGAGUUACAUUAUCAGACUUUUAACGAGUGUUUAUGUUUAGAAAGGCCAAUUAAAGCAAGCAUGCAUCUAGAAAUUGUAACUUAGAUGCAUCAAACAUGAGCAACAUAUUUGAUAUAACUAAUAGUUUCUUAAGUAACUAAACACUUCUUUUUCUAUAAAUUUACUUGAUUAUCGUGAAUACUUACAUAUAUUUACAUAGUUUGAUAAAUAUUUUAAAAUAAUAUUAGAAUAACUUUGUUUUUUCUCAAAUAUUAGAAAAUAAUAUAAAGUUACUUAUAAACUUUAUAUCAUUUUCUCAAAGUCAAGUCAUUUACAAUUAUUUCUAUCUAGUCUUCUCCAUUUUGACAACUUUUAUAUGAUAGUCGUUGAUUGCAAGAAUCUACAUGUCUUUUUUGAUAGGAUAGUUGUUUUUAUUUUUUUUAUUUUUUUUAUUCCAAAAAUUUGCUUCUAUCAUUGAAACUUUCAAAUCUUUUAUGUAUAUUACCAAUCAUUUUACAAGUGAGUUAAUUUCACUUAGGGUAGAUAUACUUAGCCACACCCCUAUAGAUGUAAUUUGUGUUUAAAUUUUAUUUUUUAUUUAGGUAAAAAUAUCUUAGGUAUAUGUGUUCAACAAUUCUCUAAAAAAUAAAUUUUCUUAUCUAAAAGUUUAUAUAGAUAAAAUACAUUUAUAGAAGUCCUAACUAAUGAAAUUUAAAAUCAAUGGUUGUUUAGUGUAUUUACAUUAAACCUUAUCGGGUAUGAUUGAAAUUAACUCUUUUACAAGCACUUGUAGCUAAUAUGUUUGUAGUUGUAGUGUUGGAAAUUGAUCAUUUUCUUGAAGGCCUCUAAGAUAUUGGAAAUAUUGCCAUAGUUUUAGACUUUUUUUUAUUACACCUAAUAAAAAAUAUUAUUAAUUUAACAUAUAUAUUCUUAACUUAAAAGUAAAGUCUCUCCAUAUUGUAUGAGCCCUUAGGUGGCAAUAUUAGGUGAAGUUUUUCUUUCGUUUAUUACAAAAUAUAAAUAAUUUAUUAUUGUAUGAUAAAAUUUUAUAUAAUAUAUUUUUAUAGAUGUAAAAUUAUUAUUGGGUUUUAUUUUAUUUUUUUACUAAAUUGUCAUUUCAAUAUAUAAAACUUAUUUGUAAAAAGACAAUUAUAAACUAUAUGAAAUACAUUUAGUUUUUUUAUUUAAUUUAGAAUUUUAUUUGGAUUAAUAAUUGAUAUUUGUAAGAUUUUUUAAUAUUAAAAAAAGUUAGCAUACUUAAGAAAGAUAUUCAAGAUCGGGAGUGUUUGAUAUUGGAUUAAUUUCCUUAUUUUCCUAUUUUAAUAAAUUUUCAUGUCCAUUACAAAAUUUUUGUUGUUUAUUUUUCACUUCAAUAUUUUUAUUUUGUAAUAGACAUUUGAAAAGAUUUUUUCCUACAUGUGAAAAAAAAAAAGAUUUGAACACUCCUAAAAAAGAAAUAUUGCAAUAAAAUUAAAGUUUACAUUGUAGGACUAUUAGCAAGUGCUAUAUACUUAAAAUAGACCAAUUAAAGUAGAAAUACUUCUAAAAUUGUAAUUUAGGUAACAAUAAUAUAAAAAGAUAAUAUUUUUGAAACAAUAGUUCUCUGGAGUUUUGGGUACGAUGGACUAGACUUUAUGUAACAAUAGAUAUACGAACUUUCCAUUAACAUCUUGAGAGACAUGAUGAGGAGCAAAGUCAUCCAAGAAGGUACCAUAGAGGUACCUUAGCUCCAUUCAUCUAGACUACAUAAUGUUUAAAGAUCAAAUUCAAUGACUAGAUUUCAAAAAUCAAUAUAAGCUUUCUCAUAUUCUACUCUAUAUAAGACAAUGGUAUCAUUUUAACAUCAGUUUGAAACUUAGAAGUCACUUAGCACAUUCUAGUUAUUAAUUUAAGAGCAUUAAAAGAAAAUAUAAAAAAAGUUACUUUAUCCUUGUGAUUUUGAUCUAGGACUUUUAAUGAUAUUAAAAAAAAAAAAAACAGAAAAAUAAAUGGAAAUAAAAUCAACAAAUUAAACAAUUGAAUUAUGUUAGUUUAAUUUUUGCAUCGUUAAAUGGGUAAAUAAAGACUCUUAGAUUUGAUAUUAAUAUGAACAUCAUGACUUCAGUGAAUCUUACAAGAAAAUUUUAGUUUGAAAGACUUCAUUCAUUAAACGUGUGGCACAUAUUAAAGUAAAACUAAGUCUUCUCUAUAAUUUGUACCUAUCAUAGUUUCUUUCCUCAUAAAUAGCCUUUUUUGAAUAUAAUAUAGACUUCAACAUGCAUGGUGGGGCCGAUCAAACUACUAGUCAAGACAACUCAUGGGCAACAACGAUGUACCAACUACAUUUAAAUACUCUUCAUCUAUUUGCAUAUCAAGAGUAAUUUAGUAGUGUCUUUCUUAUGUACCUCAUAUCUAGAUUUUCAAUGGAGAGUUCUUCAUCUAAAAUUUUGACUUGGGUUUUCAUACUAGUUUUGGUUUAGACAUGUGGAUGCAAAGGUUGCAUCAAAGAAGAGAAGUGGGCUAAAUCAUCUUACAAAUUUUCAAGUUCAAAUUAGAUGCACCAAACAUAUGCAACAUAUUUGAUAUAAUUAAUAUUUUCUUAAGUAAUUGAAUACAAUUUUUUUUUUAAAUUUACUUGAUUAUUAAUGAAUAACUACAUGUAUGGUAUUGACACAACUUGAUAAAUCUUUUAAAAUAGUAUUAGAAUAACUUUGCUAAAAAAAAGUAAAAAUAAAAAUAAAAAUACAUCUAUAUAUAUAAAAUUAAAUAAAAUUAAAAAUUAAAAAAGAAUAUAUAUAUAUAUAUAUAUAUAUAUAUAUAUUCUGUGUGUGUGUGUGUGUGUGUGCAUGGUCCCACAACUCAUUAGCUACUCAUAAGCUUUAUAUCACUUUCUCAAAAUCAAGUCAUUUUGUAAUUAUUUCUAUCUAGCCUUCUCCAUUACGACAACUGUAUAGGAUAUUGAUUGGUUGGAAAAAUUUUCAUGUCUUUUUUUAUAAGAUAGUUUUUUAUUAUUAUUAUUAUUCAAAGAAUUUGCUUUUAUUAUUGAAACUUUCAAAUCCUUUAUGUCUAGUGGUCCUACAAUUCCCUAUUCAUUGGUAUUUCAUAUUACCAAUCAUUUUAAAAAUAAGUUUAUUUCACCCGGUAAAUAUACUUAACUACCAAUGGUUUCAAAAUUAAUUGAUUAACACACUUAUAGAUGUAAUUUGUUUUUAAAUUUUAUUUUUUUAGAAGAAUUGUAGGUAAAAAUAUUUUAGGAAUAUGUGUUCAAUAAUUCUCUAAAAACAAUUUAUAUAGAUGGAAUACAUUCAUGGAAGUUCCAACUAAUGAAAUUUAAAACCAAUGACGAUUUAAUGUAUUUGCACUAAAUCUUAGGGGAGGUGUACUAAAACUAGCCCUUAUACAAAUAUUUGUAGCUAUAAUAUUUGUAGUUAUGGUGUUGGAAGUUGAUCAUUUUCUUAAAGGCCUCUAUGAUAUUGGAAAUAUCGCCAAAGUUUUGAACUUUUUGUUUCACCUAAAAAAAAUAUCAUUAAUUUAAUAUAUAUACUCUUCGCUUGAAAGUAUAGUUUUUUCAUAUUGUAUGAAGUUGUAGCUAGGUGACAAUAUUAGGUGAAAUUUUUUUGGUUAACUACAAAAUAUAAAUAAUAUAUUUAUUAUAUGAUAAAAUUUUAUAAAAUAUAUUAUUAUAGAUGCAAAAUUAUUAAUGGAGUUUUAUUUUUUACUAAAUUAUCAUUUCAAUAAAUAAGAACUUAUUUGUUAAAAGAAAAUUAUAAAAUAUAUGCAGUUGAAAAAAAUUUAAUUUUUUUUAUUUAAUUUGGUAUUUUAUUUGAAUUAAUAAUUGAUAUUUGUAAGAUCUUUUAAUAUUAAAAGAAGUUAACAUACUUAAAAAAGACAUUCAAAAUCAAGAGAGUAUUUGAUAUGAAAUUAAUUUAUUUAUUUUUCUAUUUAAAUAAAUUUUUACAUCCAUUAAACAAAUUUUAUUGUUUAUUUUUCACUUCAAUAUUUUUAUUUUGUAAAAGAAAUAGAAAUAAAAUCAACAAAUUAAACAAUUGAAUUAAGUUAGUUUAAUUUUGUCACCGUUAAAUUGGUAAAUGAAGACUCUUAUAUUUGAUAUUAACAUGAACAUCAUGACUUCAUUGAAUCUCACAAGAAAAUUUUAGUUUGAAACAUUUUAUCCUUUAAACAUGUGGCACAUAUUAAAGUGAGACCAAGUCUUCCCUAUAAUUUGUAUCUAUCACAAUUUAUUUCCUAAUGAAUAGCCUUUUUGAAUAGAAUAUAGACUUUAGCAUGCAUGGUGGGGCCUAGCUAUCAAACUACUAGUCAAAACAACUCAUGGGCAAGAAUGAUGUGCCAACUAGAUUAAGUAUUCUCCAUCUAUUUGCAUAUCAAGAGUAAUUUAGUAGUAUCUUUCUUGUGUACCUCAUUUCUUGACUUUCAAUGGAGAGUUUUUUAUCUUAAAAUUUGACGUGGGUUUUCAUACUAGUCUUGGUUCAGAUAUGUGAAUGCAAAGGUUGCAUCGAAGAAGAGAAGUAGGCUGAGUCAUCUUACAAAUUUUCAAGUUCAAAUUAGAUGCAUCAAACAUGUGCAACAUAUUUGAUAUAACUAAUAUUUUACCAAGCAACUAAAUACUUUAUAUAUAUAUAUAUAUAUAUAUAUAUAUAUUAGUGGUCCCACAACUCAUUAGCUACUCAUAAGCUUUAUAUCAUUUUCUUAAAGUCAAGUCAUUUACAAUUAUUUCUACCUAGCCUUCUCCAUUGCAACAACUGUACAAUAUAUUAAUUGAUUGAAAAAAUCAUCAUGUCUUUUUUGAUAGGAUAGUUUUUUUUAAUUCAAAGAACUUUCAAAUUAUUUUUAUCUAGCCUUCUCCAUUAUGACAACUGUAUAAGAUAUUGAUUGAUAUGAUAGUUUUCUUGUAUUCAAAGACUUUGCUUUUAUUAUUGAAACUUUCAAAUCCUUUAUGUCUAGUGGUCCUACAAUUCCCUAUUAAUUGGUAAUUCAUAUUAUCAAUCAUUUUAUAAAUAAGUGAAUUUUUCACUCCGUAAAUAUACUUAACUACCAAUGGUUUCAAAUUUAGUUGGUUAGCACACUUAUAGAUGUAAUUUGUUUUUAAAUUUUAUUUUUUAGAAGAAUUUUACGUAAAAAUGUUUCAGUAUAUGUGUUCAAUAAUUCUCUAAAAUAUUUAUAUGGAUGGAAUACAUUCAUGAAAGUUCCAACUAAUAAAAUUUAAAACCAAUGACGAUUUAAUGUAUUUGCACUANNNNNNNNNNNNNNNNNNNNNNNNNNNNNNNNNNNNNNNNNNNNNNNNNNNNNNNNNNNNNNNNNNNNNNNNNNNNNNNNNNNNNNNNNNNNNNNNNNNNGGGGGGGGGGGGGGGGGUGUAUACUGAAAUUAGCUAGUAUAUUUGUAGUUGUGUUGUUAGAAGUUGAUCAUUUUCUUAAAGGCCUCUAAGAUAUUGGAAAUAUUGCCAAAGUUUUGAACUUUUUGUUUUACACCUAAAAAGAAUAUCAUUAAUUUAAUAUAUAUACUCUUCACUUGAAAGUAUAGUCUCUCCAUAUUGUAUGAAGUCGUAGCUAGGUGACAAUAUUAGGUAAAGUUUUUUUGGUUUACUACAAAAUAUAAAUAAUACAUUUAUUAUAUGAUAACAUUUUGUAAAAUAUAUUAUUAUAGAUACAAAAUUAUUAAUUGAGUUUUAUUUUUUACUAAAUUAUCAUUUCAAUAAAUAAGAACUUAUUUGUUAAAAGACAAUUAUAAAAUAUAUGCAGUUGAAAAAAAAUUUAGUUUUUUUAUUUAAUUUAGUAUUUUAUUUGAAUUAAUAAUUAAUAUUUGUAAGAUCUUUUAAUAUUAAAAGAAGUUAACAUACUUAAAAAGACAUUCAAAAUCAAGAGUCUUUGAUAUGAAAUUAAUUAAUUAAUUUUUCUAUUUAAAUAAAUUUUUACAUCCAUUAAAAAUUUUUUAUUGUUUAUUUUUCACUUCAAUAUUUUUAUUUUGUAAAGGAAAUAGAAAUAAAAUCACCAAAUUAAACAAUUGAAUUAAGUUAGUUUAAUUUUGCCACCGUUACAUUGAUAAAUGAAGACUCUUAGAUUUGAUAUUAACACGAACAUCAUGACUUCAUUGAAUUUCACAAGAAAAUUUUUGUUUGAAAGAUUUCAUCCUUUAAACAUGUGGCACAUAUUAAAGUGAGACCAAGUAUUCCCUAUAAUUUGUAUCUAUCACAAUUUAUUUCCUAAUGAAUAGCCUUUUUGAAUAGAAUAUAGACUUUAGCAUGCAUGGUGGGGCCUAUCAAACUAUUAGUCAAGACAACUCAUGGGCAAGAACGAUGUACCAACUACAUUAAAUACUCUUCAUCUAUUUGCAUAUCAAUGGUAAUUUAAUAGUGUCUUUCUUAUGUACCUCAUUUUUAGACUUUCAAUAGGGAGUUCUUUAUCUAAAAAUUUGACGUGGGUUUUCAGACCAGUCUUGGUUCAGAUAUGUGGAUGUAAAGGUUGCAUCAAAGAAGAGAAGUAGACUAAGUCAUCUUAUGAAUUUUCAAGUUCAAAUUAGAUGCAUCAAACAUGUGCAACAUAUUUGAUAUAACUAAUAUUUUAUUAAGCAAUUGAAUACUUUUUUUGAAAAAAAUUUACUUGAUUAUUAAUGAAUACCUACAUGUAGGUAUGGCAUUGACACAAUUUGAUAAAUCUUUUAAAAUAGUAUUAGAAUGACUUUUCUAGAAAAAAAAAAGUAAUAAUAAAAAUAAAAAUACACAUAUAUUAGUGGUCCCACAACUUAUUAGCUUCUCAUAAGCUUUAUAUCACUUUCUUAAAGUCAAGUCAUUUACAAUUAUUUCUAUCUAGCCUUCUCCAUUACGACAACUAUAUAAGAUAUUGAUUGAUUGCAAAAAUCAUCACGUCUUUUUUGAUAGGAUAUUUUCUUUUUUAAUUCAAAGAAUUUUCUUCUAUUAUUGAAACUUUCAAAUCCUUUAUGUCUAGUGGUCCUACAAUUCCCUAUUAAUUGGUAUUUCAUAUUACCAAUCAUUUUACAAAUAAGUUAAUUUUACUCGGUAAAUAUACUUGACCACCAAUGGUUUCAAAUUUGUAGCACCCUUAUAGAAGUAAUUUAUUUUUAAAUUUUAUUUUUAAGAAGAAUUGCAAGUAAAAAUAUUUUUGGUAUAUAUGUUCAACAAUUCUCUAAAAACAAUUUAUAUAGAUGGAAUACAUUCAUGGAAGUUCCAACUAAUAAAAUUUAAAACCAAUGUCGAUUUAAUGUAUUUGCACUAAAUCUUAGGGGGCGUAGACUAAAAUUAGUCCUUUUACAAAUAUUUAUAGGUAGUAUAUUUGUAGUUGUGGUGUUAGAAGUUGAUCAUUUUCGUAACGACCACUAAGAUAUUGGAAAUAUCGCCAAAGUUAAGAACUUUUUGUUUUACACCUAAAAAGAAUAUCAUUAAUAUAAUAUACAUAUAUAUAUAUAUAUAUAUAUAUAUAUAUAUAUAUAUAUACUCUUCACUUGAAAAUAUAUCUCUCCAUAUUGUAUGAGGUCUAAGGUGACAAUAUUUGGUGAAGGUUUCUUUUUUUGUUUAGUACAAAAUAUAAAUAAUUUAUUUAUUAUAUGAUAAAAUUUUGUAAAUAUAUUGUUAUAGAUGCAAAAUUAUUAAUUGAGUUUUAUUUUUUACUAAAUUAUCAUUUCAAUAAAUAAGAACUUAUUUGUUAAAAAACAAUUAUAAAAUAUAUGCAGUUGAAAAACAUUUAGUUUUUUUUUUUUAUUUAAUUUAGUAUUUUAUUCGAAUUAAUAAUUGAUAUUUGUAAGAUAUUUUAAUAUCAAAAGAAGUUAACAUACUUAAAAAGAUAUUCAAGAUCAAGAGUGUAUUUGAUAUGAAAUUAAUUUCUUUAUUUUUUUUUUCUAUUUUAAAAAAUGUUCACAUCCAUUAAAAAAAAUUUAUUGUUUAUUUUUCACUUCAUAUUUUUAUUUUGUAAAGGAAAUAGAAAUAAAAUCAAUAAAUUAAACAAUUGAAUUAAGUUAGUUUAACUUUACCACUAUUAAAUUGGUAAAUGAAGACUCUUAGAUUUGAUAUUAACAUGAACAUCAUGACUUCAUUGAAUCUCACAAGAAAAUAUUAGUUUGAAAGACUUCAUCCUUUAAACAUGUGGCACAUAUUAAAGUGAGACCAAGUCUUCCCUAUAAUUUGUAUCUAUCACAAUUUCUUUCUUCAUAAAUAGCCUUUUUGAAUUGAAUAUAGACUUUAGCAUGUAUGGUGGACCCUAUCAAACUACUAGUCAAGACAAUUCGUAAGCAAGAAUGAUGAACCAACUAGAUUAAAUACUCUUCAUCUAUUUGCAUAUCAAGAGCAAUUUAGUAGUGUCUUUCUUAUGUACUUCAUGUUUGAACUUUCAAUGGAGAGUUUGUCAUCUAAAUAUUUGAUGUGGGUUUUUAUACUACUCUUGGUUCAAAUAUGUGGAUGCAAAGGUUGCAUCGAAGAAGAGAAGAUGGGUUUGCUUGAAUUCAAGGCUUUUCUUAAAGUGAAUGAUGAGCACACAGAUUUUCUUCUUCCUUCGUGGAUAGAUAACAACACUAGUGAAUGUUGUAAUUGGGAGCGAGUUAUUUGCAAUCCCACCACAGGUCGAGUUAAGAAGCUUUCCCUCAAUGAUAUAAGGCAACAACAAAAUUGGUUGGAAGUCAGUUGGUACGGUUAUGAAAAUGUCAAAUUCUGGUUACUAAAUGUCUCUAUAUUCCUUCAUUUUGAAGAACUUCACCAUCUAAAUUUGUCUGGAAACUCAUUUGAUGGGUUUAUUGAGAAUGAAGGUAUGUUACCUCUCACCUUUCAAAUUUCUUUUCACUUAUACUCCAAACAUUCUAAAGGAACUACUAGCAUAUGUUCUUAAGAGUGUUCAAAUGGAGACCAAAUGGUCACUAAUAACUAUUGAAUUUAAUAUAAAUUACUAAUGAUUAAAAUUUAAAAUAUGAAUUAACAUUUAAAUAGAACAAUAAAAAAUUAUUAUUUUAAAAUAUUAUAGAUUACAUUAGCCUUAUAUAUAUAAGCAUACUUGUUAUUUAUUAAUUAACAGGAACACUUAGGCUCCCGUAUUCUUAUCCUUUUUGCUUAAUUGUCUUUCUUUAUCUUCCAUUCCUAAAAAGUUUGAUUUCUAUAUUCCAAAUUGAUAGAGAUUGGUUAAAGAAAGGUGAUCACAAAAAUUGACUAUUGCUUUCAAAUGAGGAAUCACCAUUUUUAGAAUUUCACAUUUACAAAAAAAAAAAAAAAAACUUAGCCUUGGGUAGGGCCCAGGCCUCAUUGUUUUAUUCUGAUGUUGGGUUGGUUUAACAAUGAACAGAGUAAAGCCCAACCCAUGACUACUACGCAUUUCCAAAUUCCACCCAUCCACAACCCAUUGAUAUGACAUUUUCAGGGACUUAAUUUAAUCAAUUAAACCUAUUAGAUGGAUUCUACAUACAAUGUUAAAAUGAAUAUAAAAACUUUAAUUCAGAAAAUAAUUUCCUUUAUUUAGUUAGGAUUCAGAUUAUAGGGGCACAAAGCAUGAAAAAUUUCAUUUUAAAUUCACAAAGAUCACAAAAUCUCUUUGAAGCUCUAUGGACUUUUUUAUUUCUAACAUUUAAACACAAAAAUCACAAAAUUGAAUUAAUAAUUUGGAUACAUAUUCUUAUAUUAAAGACAUGUAAGCUUACAGAUUUAAAUAUGAAGAUCUCAACUUGUAAUUACAUGCUUCUAAUUAAAGUUAUAUUACUCUAUUUUAUAGGAUUUAAAGGGUUAUCAAGUUUAAAGAAAUUGGAGAUCUUGGACAUAAGUGGUAACGAGUUUGACAAAAGUGCCUUAAAAUCUUUGAGCGCAAUAACAUCACUCAAGACAUUGGCUAUUUGCAGCAUGGGACUGGCUGGAUCUUUUCCCAUUCGAGGCAUGUUAUAUGUUCACAUUGUUUCUUCAAAAUUAAGUAUAAUAUAUUUCUAACUUUUAAUGUUCCUUAGUUAAUCUCUCUUUUGAUUCAUGUUUGUUGCAGAAUUAGCUAGUUUGAGAAAUUUGGAAGUGUUGGAUCUAAGCUAUAAUGAUUUGGAAAGCUUUCAACUAGUGCAAGGUACUUCAAUAACUUGCUAAAAAAAACUUAUGAUAUUUUGUUAUUAAAUUAACAAUAUUAGCCAACAAUUUCAUCUCUCUUUUGAUUUGUAUUUGAUGCAGAAUUAACUAGUUUGAGAAAUUUGAAAGUGCUAGAUCUAAGCUAUAAUAAUUUGGAAAGCUUUCAACUAGUGCAAGAUACUUUAUUAACUUGUUAAAAAAACUUAUGAUCUUUUGUUAUUAAAUUAAAUGUAAGAUUAACCAACAAUUUCUUCUCAUUAGUUAUUUUUCUUUUGUAAUAUCAUUAAAUUUGAUAUAAAGUAGUCUAAGUCAUCCUUUCAAUUUUUUUAGUUUUAAUAAAUGCAUCAAGCAUGCACAAGAUGUUUGAUAUAACUAAUAUUUUCAUAUGUAAUUGAAAACUUUUUUUUAUGAAUUAAUUAACUCGAUUAUCAAUAAAUACUUACAUGUAUAAUAUUAAUAUAGUUUCAUAAGUAUUUUAAAAUUGUCUUACAACACACACACACACACAUAACAUACUUUUAUGCUAUGUUUGGUUCUAAGAAAAUUUGAGGGAAAAUGAAAGGUGUGUGAUACUUUUAUGCUAUGUAUGGUUCCCAAAACAAUUGAGGGAAAAUGAAAGGAGAAAAAGUAGAGAGGAAAAUUAAAAGAAAAGAAGAGAGUGAAGAAAAAUAUAAAAUUGAUUACAGUGAAUAAAUUAUUUUUAUGUGUUACUUUAAACUUGUUUCACUUAUUUUAAUUCUUCAAUAUAAAGAUGAAAGAUUUGAAAAUGCAUAAGUUUCUAAUUAUUUUAUAUUAUAUUAUAUUUUAUUUAAUAUUUUUUACAAUACAACCAAACAUAAAAUCUUAAUACUUGAGUUAUGUUUGGUUUGCACAAAAUAUGAGGAAAAGAAAAUAUAGAAGAAAAUUAGAAGGAAAGGAAAAGUGAAGUAAAAUAAAAGUAAAUUUAAAAUUAAUAAAUUAUUUUUAUAUGCUACUUUAAACUUAUUUCACUUAUUUUAAAUUAUUUAAACUCAUUUCUAGCAAAUAAUAAUGGAAAUUACAGAGAAGUUUGUGUUAUUCAAGCUUUACAAUGACUUUUCAGGUGAAAGAAAAUAUUUUUGUUGAAACUAAAAAAUGAAAUACCUUCCUAAAUAGCCUAUUGACUGAAAGCACAUUACCCUAACACAUACAUGCACCCUUAUUAUUUAUACAAUCAUGUAAUAAUUAAUAUAGUUAGUAGGAUUCUGAUGGUCGUUUCUGUCUUGGUUUCCAAUAUUUCUGAUUGAUAGUGUUUCGUUAAUGAAAUAUCAUAAAUUUUGACUCUAACAAGGACCUCAAUUAGACCUAAUCCUUGUUAAAUGUAACUAGGUGGCCUAAGACUAAAUAUUAGACCCAACUAAUAAAAACCCAUCUAUUUAUUGGAGCCUAAAUAACCUGGCCUUGGUUAGGGCCCACGCUUUAUUAUUUUAAGAUGUAGUCCACCUGGUUUGACACUAGAUUAAGUAAAGCCCAACUUAUGAGCAUCUGUGCAUUUCCAUCCAUCCACAACCUAUCGACAUGGACAAACUUUGAUCAAUUAAACCUAUUAGAAAUGUAUACAAAAUUUUAAGUUCAAAAGAUAAUUUUCCUUAUUUAGUUAGGAUUCAUAUUAAAAGGGCACAAAGCAUGAAUUUUCAUGUUUAAAUUCACAAAGAUCACGAAAGCUCCUUCUUGCUCUAUGGACUAUUUUAUUUGUAACAUUAUAUUACUCUUAAUUAUCAAAUUAACCAACAAAUUCUUCUCAUUAGUUAUUUUUCUUUUGUAAUGUCAUAAAAUUUGAUAUAAAGUAGUCUUGGUCAUCAUUUCAACUUUCAAGUUCCAAUUAGAUGUAUCAAGCAUGUGCAACAUAUUUGAUAUAACUAAUAUUUUUUAUAAGUAAUUGAAGUUUUUUUCUACAAAUCAAUUAACUUGAUUAUCAAUGAAUACUUCCAUAUAUGAUAUUGAUGUAGUUUCAUAAAUAUUUUAAAAUAGUCAUAGAAGUCUUUUAUCUAAUUCACUAGAAAGAAAAAUAAACUAUUCUAAUGAAAAUACUUGAUGAUUUGAAGUGAUUGCUUUUGAUUUUAUUUGAUUGCUACCAUUAUUAAUUGUUAGAAAUUUGCAACAAAUACCCAUUUUGCAUCACUUCUAUAUGCAUUGGAAUGAAUUAUAUUUCAUAAAGCUAACAAGUCAAAAAUCAUACUUUUGGAAUUAUGGAAAAGACUGCUAUAAAGCUAAUUAACCAUUUGUAAUCUAAUUAAGACUAGUUGGUUUCGAAAUAAUUCAUAUGGAGAUUAAAACAACUAUGUAAUUUAGUUUAGUAGCUUGGGUGCUAUUGUAAUGAUUAAUGAUCUACAACUUGAAAACAUCCACUAGUGCUUCCUAAUUGUAUAGCUAAAUUCAUGUUACCACUUUGAACUAUAGUACUUACAUGAGAAGAAAGCUUUUCCUUAAUGAUAAUGCAAAAGAAAUUAAGUAUCAAUUUUUGUUGAACUAACAAGUGAUAGUUUAGAUAUGGUUUGAAUACACUUCCUUUCUUCUAUUUUUUUUUUUUUUAUUUUGAAAAAAAAAACUCUUUAAUGAAAUAUAAGAACUCUUAUAUGCAUAAAAAGUAAAGACUUAUAUAAAAAAAUUAUUUUCAAAAAUUUUUAAAGCAAAAGAAUUUAUCUUCUUCAAAUUUUAAAAAUUUUGAGAAGUGUUUUUAAGAAUUUGUACUUUUAGUAUAAUAAUUCCUAUAUUUUAUAUAAAAGUUUUUGUUUAAAAAAAAUAGAAAUGUAUCCAAAAUACAACUUAUUUGUUAAAUUAAGAAUGUUUGUCAAAUCAAGAGAUAAUGAAAGUUGCAGAGAGUUUGCAUUACUCAACAUUUGCAAUUACUUUUUGAAGGUGAAAGAAAACACCUUCUUGCAUAACAUACAAUGGCAGGUUCUGGUUUGUAAGAAAUUAAUAUCUAAAUAAAAAUAUGAAUAAGACUUCCUUUAUAAUAAAUAUGUAGAAAAGAAUAGUGGAUGAUAGGAGGUGAAAAUCUUGUAAUAAAAUAUAAAUGUCGGUUAUAAGAUAAUCAACAUUUUCUCUAUUUCUUGUACCUAUGUGAUUAAGAAUCUUGUAGCUCCUUUAUUGAAAUAUAAUAUAAAAAUAUAAAUAAACUAUUUAGAAGUAAGUGCAUGUAGUUUUCAACAUGAGGAAGUUCAAAAGCAAGUUAAUUAUGAUAAUUUUCUAUAGUCUAUAUUGAACACAAAUUAUUUUUGCUAAAGGUUCAAUCGUUCUAUGAAGGUUAAAAGUUUGAAUUGUUUACAUAUGCAAAUGUGAAAUUUGAAAUUUUAUAAUUUUUUAUAAUUUUCUUGUAGAUUCAAAAGGCUUGUCCAUAUUCAAAAAGCUCGAGACCUUGAACCUCGAUGACAAUAAGUUCAAAAACACCAGCCUACAACAAUUGAAUAUAUUGACAUCCCUUAAAAAUCUUUCUCUACGAUGGAACAAUUUUGAAGGAUUUUUUCCUUUCCAAGGUUUGUGUAAUUAUUAUUACUUUUAAUGGUAAAAUAUUAAAAUUAUCAACAUCUCUUAUCUUUUUUCCUCUCAAUGGUGCUACAGAAUUAUGCACUCUGGAAAACUUGGUGAUGUUGGACCUAAGUGGGAAUGGCCUUAUUGGCAUGCAAGGUAAAUACAAAGUGAAGUUUUGGUUAUGUAUAUAUCAUCUAAGAACAUAACUAAAAUCAACAUUCUUUGUCUAUCAAUCUGUCUAUCAACAUAAUUGAAGGAAUGUCUAGCUGUACAACAUUUAAGAAUUUUGCAUGGCACAAUGAAAAACAUGGUAAUCAAUGUAUGCAAUAAAAUUCUAAUAGUUGAAAAAGAAUUUUGUUGUAAUUUUAUGUUCAUGUAUAGGUUAGAACAAAGAGAAAAUCAUGAAAAUGAAUAUUAGUUAGACUUUAUAUAUCGAUAGACAAAAAAAAAAAAAAAAAAAAGAUUAGUUCCUUAACUUAUCCUAAAAUUUUCUAGAUAACAAGGAGUUUACAACCUGAAAAGUGAAGAUGGUUAAUAUUAGUAAUAUAAUUUUGAAAUAUAAAAAUUAAUGAAAUAAUGUUCUUUAUAACUAUAAUUGCAACUAUGAAUAAAAUAUAAUAAAAUUACUUUAGACUUUGAAUCCAUGGUUAGGUUUGCAAUUUUUUGAUGAUCAAUAAAGCUACAACUUGUGCUACAAAAGAUUACAAAAUGUAUUAGUAGCAUUGCUAAGCUCAUUUAUCAACAAAAGAAAUCCAAUAACACUUUAAUUGGAAAAAACCUAGAAUCUUGUUUGAUAUAUAUAAUAGGUGAAGAAACAAAAUAAUAAUUCCAUGGUAUUAGUUAGUUUGAUAUCUCUUUUGUUAUAUGGAAUAACUAUUCCAUUUUAAAACAAUUAUUUCAUCUUAUUGUUAGAACAAAAAGUUUCAAAUAGUUAUAUGGGCUUUUGAGUUUCUUAAGAAUUUAAGCAUUUAUGAGUCACACACACACACACACACACACACACACAUAUGUAUAUAUAUAGGAAAAAUAAAAAAAUAUUAUAUGGAGACAAGGGUAGACACCCAUAACUAUACAUAUAAUUAUUUAAAUAAAAAUAUCAAUAAGAAACAAUAUACAAUAAAAUAGAAAAUUUUAAUCUUCUUAAAAUUUAAAAAUAAAAACUUAAUGAAAACAAGAAUUUAAGAAGUAAAAAAAAAUAGUAAGAAGGUCAAGAGUACAAAUAGAGAUGUAAACAAAAUAAUAAAUAAAUAAAUAAAAAUAAAAAUUUAAAAGAAAAAAAAUACAUAGAUUAACAUGAACACUAAAUGAAGAUUUUUGAGAUAGACUUAGUUAAACUUGAACUGGAUGGAUAUUAAAAAAAAAAACAAAUUUCAAAGAAAUAAAAACUAAUUAGAUGCUAAAUAUUGGAUUAAAAUAGCCAAAUGAAUAAAGAGUAAUUAUUAUUUUUUAACAUUUUUUUAUUGCCUAGAAUUAUUAUUUUGUGUAUUAAAUGUAUUCUGAGUGUAGUGACAUAAAAAAUGUAGUUAAGAAAACUAUGAAGAAUAAUAAUGGUGAUGACACUUAAUACCUUUUAUUGUACAUUUAGAAAAAAUGAGGUCCUAGAUCUUUGUGGAGAUUAUCAUUACUCAUUCGCAAGCAUGUUGAUAGUUGAAACUACCCAAUUAUCAAAAAUUGAAUUUCUAAUCUUCAAUUUUUUUCUCUCAAAUGUAUAUGUGGGUGAGAAAGCAAUAGGAAGAUUAUAAGGUCUCACAUGUAUAUGAGUCAUAGGAUAAAAAAUAUAGAGGCAAUACUAGCAUUUAUUUGAUCUAGUGGCAAGUAGAGAAAUAUAACAUAACCAUAACCAUAAUGUUCUAACCUUAUAUAUACAAGAACCAUGUUUCCUUCAUUCAAUUUUGCAACUUUUUCUUUUCAAAUUAGAAUGUAACUCGUAGGAUCCAUUGCCCAUCGAAAUUUUGAAUCGAAUAUUAUAAGAUAUUUCACAUUUCUACAUACUAAAGCAUGAGCUUCAAUGUUUUGAUGCACUUUUUGCUACUAAGUUAAAGAACUCUUUGAGGAUCAAUGGAGGUUCUAUGAGUAGAAAAGCAUUAUAAUCACAAAUGGGCUGCACUUAUGGUCUUGUCAGUGAUAUGCAAUUUGACCAAGAACCUAUUCCCAACUAUUUUAUGACUUUUAUGACUUUUAUGACUUUUCUUGGCUACUUGUAGGCAAGCUAAAGAAAUUUUCUGGUUUGUUCAAGUCUAAAAAGUGGUUUCAAGUUUAGGACCAAGCUUGGGUUGCACCUAGGUCCUUGGGCCUUGUUCAGCUCCACGUUUAAACCAACCCUGAGCCCAUCUUUGUAAUUUUUCUCCCAAUUCAUUGAUUAAUGUUAGGGUUUUAUAGAGCCUAUAAAUUGACCAACUAAAUAAAGUAAGUUUAUAAACUUUUAGGUGAAAAUUUUCUCUCUAAUAAAUGUUAAUUCAAGAGUCUCCGUAAUCUUUUUAUAUUCAUAUUAAUUGGUAUUUAAACCAGCCUUAUUAUAUUAAAGUCAAAUACUAAAUAGUGAACACUAUAUCUGCUACUACCAUUAUGAUGGUCACAAACAUAGAAUGCUCAUUUUUUUUAGAGUCAAUUGAUACUUAUAAACAACAACUUUGUUUGAAAAUAAAAUACAUUGAGUGAUUGCAUCAAGAGAUAGAUGUAAUAAUUGCAUACUUGAUGUUGAUAAUGCUAAUAUGAGUUGAUUAAAUUAAUGAGUAUUUACUUAUAAGGUAGCCCAUAGAGCAUUAUUUGUGGAAAUAUUCAUGCACCUCUACAUAUGUUCAUGAUAACUUAGGUCGAUAAAUUUAAGAAGAACAAAUUCAUAACCUUGGACAUAGUUAGUAAGAAAUUUCACCAAUAUAGUUUGGUAUCAUGAUUCUAAUUGGUCAAAUUGUUUUAAAAGAAUAUUUUAAAUUGCAUGUUAAUUUGCUUCUAAUAAAUGGAGAGAAACCAAUUCAAGAAGAGAAUUGUACUCAAGCUAUGUAUAGCAUUCAUGAAGAUGUAGAAAAUAUUGAUGAACUUACUUUUGAGCAAGUUGAAAUCAUAAUUAAAUAAAAGAACAAAUCCAAGGGUUAAGAUUGUCAAGUAAAACUUUAACUAAAAUUUAUUGAUUUUUUAAAUGCCUAUUAGAUGAACAAUAGAAGUUCUAGAUAGAAAGUAAGAACUUUUCUAAGAAAUCACUUGUUAGAUUUUAACUGAUCAAUAAAUAUAAUGUCCAAUUUAAAACUUUUAUAAAAGCAAUGCUUCUAAAGAAUAACUUGAUUUGAAUUUAAAGUUAUUAUUGAUAUUUGUUUAUAAUGGAUGUAGUUAAUCAAUUGAACACAGUAAAAAACACAUAAUUUUUUCAAAAUACCUUCUAGUUGUUGGGUAUAUUUAAGUAGUUAUUCAUAUCUCAUUAUCUUUUUACUCACAUACUAAUCUCCUUAUUGAGAAUUUACCAAUUACAAGUAGGUUGAAAGUUACUUGAAUUUAAGUCACUAAUCAAUGUUAACUUGAUGAUAAAUAAGUCUCCCUUUGAAACUUGUUUUACAAGAUAGCGAAAUGUAGUCGGUCAAUCAUCGAAACAAUGUUUAAGCAUUAGGAUUUAGUUGUUAUUUUUUAUUUUUUAUUUUUUGUGCUUUAAACAAAGACAAAAAUGAUAAAAACUCCUAAAAAGUACAUAUUAAUUGAAUUUAAUUUAUACAUCAAACAAGAACAAACUAGUGUUGGAUUUAAAAUUCAAUAGGUUUUGUAAUUAUAAUUCCUAAAAAUUUGUAAGACAACAAAAUUAUUGGACACUAGGCUAUUGGGUGUGUAUGACUAAGAGGUGAAGGAGGGUUCAUCUUAUACAAAGGAUGAUUUGAUUAAUUUUAAAGAUUCGAUAAACAAUAAUUGCAUAAUAAAGUAAAAAUAACAUUUCUAAAAAGGAAAAUAAGUAUUUUAGUCCUCAAACCUAAAAUGGCUAAAAAUUUUAAUUAAUACAAUUACAACUUCACCUACAAAAAAAAAAAAAAAACCCAAAACUUUUCAAUAGCACAACUAAGUCCAUUUAUCAAAAGCUCUAUGAACAACAUCCACUUUCAAAUCACAUAAAUCAUGUUGUUUUCAAAGUGCCCUUGAUGUUUUAAAACUUAAUAUAUUACAUAAAAAUCAACCAAUAGUGUAUGGCAUUAUAAAAAAACAUAUCCAAAUCCAUUGUCGAACUUAAACUAAAUUCAACUUUAUAUGCAUAGUCACAAGUGGGUCUUUUUGUCUUUCAAUUUGGGUUAAAUUCAUAUGUUAGUUUUUUACACAACAAGGGAUUAUCAAGGUGAUAAUUCAUGCAUAUAAAUAGUAUUACUAAUAUAAAAAAAGAUGGUAAAUGUAAUUUUUUUGUAUUCACUCACCAUUUGGCAUAUCAAUAAGAAAAAAUGUAUAUAUAAUAGGUGUUAUCAAUAAUAUUACUCAUCACUAGAAAUUAUAAUUUUUCAUUCGUUGUCACUAUUUGUGCACUUUGGAAAGCUUGCUAGGUACAACAUAUUAGCUCAAUGAAGAAAUUGAUCAAUUCCUUCAUUUCUAAAUAAAUUUGCAUAUACACUAGAAUAAAAACAACUUUUUAACUUAACAAGUUGACUGAGUCUCAGAACUCAAUAGGUUGAAGGUAUAGACUUCCAUCCAAACUCAUUGACUGGCACCAUAUGUUGGAAAAAUAAAGAAAAAUCAAAACCCUUGAGUAUAGUUGCAGACAAAUCUAAAUAUAGAGUGAGAUCUACAUUUCUUUGAAAGUUUAGAACAAAUUUUUAUUUUUAUGAUAAGACUAUGCAGUACUUAUCAUUCUCUAACAAGUCUAUAAUCAGUCCAAAGCAUGGGAUAUUGCAUAAAUUCUUGAACUCAAUUAGUCUUUAAUCCAUGCAUUUCAAGUAAAUUUAAAACCUGGUGUACUUGUUCUUGAUUCACAUCCUUGUCACUAUUAUCAUUACUUGUUCUUGAAUAUAGAACCUUAUUGUCCAUUAACAAGCGGGCCUAUGUUCCUCCAUGAUUCAAGAGUAUUAUGUUUUGUUCAUCAUCAGUUGGUCUUGCUCUAAAGCUUCUUUUUUAUGACUAUCAAUAACCAGACUUAGAUACCAAAAUUUAUGCAAGAGAGCAUGUACUUUAUACAGUCAAGAACUUGUGAGUCUAGACUUUGUUAUCUAGGUAAAAGAAUAAAUUGGUUUGUCAAAAUAGCUAGCAUUAGGUAUCUAUUCAAUUCCUAUCUUAGACAAUAAAGAUAGAAAUGAUCAAAUACAUUCUUAUUAAGAAACAUUUGAUACCAAAAGUGAUGUAAGACAACACAGUUCCUCUAUUCAAUCAAGUUUAAGGCUUAGAUGAACCUAUGAAUUUAUAUUAAUUAAUUGGGAAAGAGAAUAAAUAGGCUAAGUAGAAGUGAUAGGAUUGUAAUAGCAUUAAGUUAAUGAUCUUGUUUAGGUCUUCUACUAAAUUAGAGAAGAAACAAACAAAAGUAAUCAAACGUGUUAGUGAUAAUUAUAUCUACUUAACAUUGAGACAAUAGUUGUACUAAUGGUAAUUAUAUUAUUUCUUGAGAGUUUAAACAAUAUAUAUUGAAAAUAUUUUUAAAGGUUUAGCAACUACCAAGGUUAUAAUCAACUACGAGCUUUUUAUUUUUAAAAAUAUGAAAUAUUAAUAUCUUUACUUUCUUUGAUCUUCUUGUAGGUUUUAAAAGUUUGUCUAAGCUGAAAAAGCUGGAAAUCUUAAACCUUGGUGAUAAUCAGUUCAACAAGACCAUUAUAAAACAGUUGAGUGGACUCACAUCCCUUAAAACACUAGUUGUAAGGUACAACUAUAUUGAGGGACUUUUUCCUUCCCAAGGUAUUGCUUAUUCUUUUAAUAUCCUUAGUAACCACUCUACCAUGAUUUUUUUUUUUUCAAUUUUAUUUUCUUUCUUGAACCAUACAGAAUUAUCUAUUUUUGGAAACUUGAUGACACUGGAUUUAAGCUGGAAUAGAUUCAAUGGCUCCCUAUCAAUCCAAGGUAAAUUCUAAUCAGAAUUAUCAUUAUAUUUAGGGCAUAUAAUAAAUUAAUUAAAUUAUUUUAUCUAUUAUCAUUACUUGGUUAUUUGGAUUUUCUUGAUAUUGUUUAGCAUUUUACAUAGGAAAAUGAAAUGGAAAAAUCAACCCAUGCUUAGUGUUUAAGCACUGGGCUAGAAGUAUAUUUGUCUUCCCAAUUUAAUCAAAGAGAAAAGUCAUAAAUAACAUAAUUUAACUUAUACCUUAUAUUGAUUGAAGAGGUUAGACUACUUUUGGAUUUAAUGGUCAAUAUUUGUUGAAGAUAGGGUUUCCUAAAUUUGAUAAAAAGAACUUCAAUUUAAAUUACCAUAACUACAUAAAGGUGUGACUAGCAUAAUUAAACUCUUUUAUUAAUAGAUGUUCAUAGACUAGUAUUAUAUUCCCACACACACAAAUAAUCAAAUUUUGAAAUUAGUCUUCAAAUAACUAUGUAAUAUACGAAACUACAAAAUGAAUGGUAGGUCAUAAUUAAUUAAAUUCGUACUAUAUUCAAUGUUGGUCAACACGUGUCAAGUAAAAGUUUUGGCCUAAGUGUAAGGGCUCACUUUCUCCUAUAUAGAUAUUAUUCACUUUGGGUUGAGGCCUACUUUAAAAUAUCUCUAUACAUUUAUGAGAAGUCUACUAAAUAUAAAGUCGUAGAAACUUUUCUUCUUAGGUGAUAUGGAAUUUCACAUUAGGACCAACAUUUUAUAUAUUUUGAAAACAUAAUUUAAUUAACAUUUUAGAACUAAUUAUUAGUUAUCCAUUUAUAAUCCUAGAGGAAAUUCCUUUUACCUAUGCAAAUUAUAUACCUCUAGUAAUUACCUUUAAUUUCUCAUUUACAACUUCCUAAAAUAAUAUGAAAAAUGACAAAGUGUACAAUAUCUACCAAUAUGGGUGGAAUAUGCAGUGAGACCCACAAUGCUCAAUAUAGUACUAGCAUCUAUGUCAUCUAAUAGCAAUGAAAGUACUAAGUAAUAAAAACAAUUGUUUUGGGCACUUUAUGCAAUUGGCCUUGUAAAAAAAGAAAUCUAAGGUAGUUGGACUCAUUUACUAGUAAUUUAACAUAUGACUAGAACCUAUUGAAUCAUUUGCAAUAGCACUUACUUUGGUCAUGUCCAAAUUUAGUGCACAUGGUGCAAAAAGGGGUGUUGCUAGAGGAUGCUUUGUUUUCCCACUUAUGAAAGUCUCAAUCUUGCUAAUAUAUUUUAUGCCAUGUUUAUCAUAUACAAAUUUAGCCUAAGUGUAAGGGCUCGCUUGCUCCUAUAUAGAUGUUAUUCACUUUGGGUCGAGGCCUACUUUAAAAUAUCUCUAUACGUUUAUGAGAAGUCUACUAAAUAUAAAGUCGUAGAAACUUUUCUCCUUAGGUGAUGUGGAAUUUCACAUUAGGACCAACAUUUUAUAUAUUUUGAAAACAUAAUUUAAUUAACAUUCUGGAACUAAUUAUUAGUUAUCCAUUUAUAAUCCUUGAGGAAAUUCCUUUUACCUAUGAAAAUUAUAUACCUCUAGUAAUUACUUUUAAUUUCUCAUUUACAACUUCCUAAAAUAAUAUGAAAAAUGACAAGGUGUAUAAUAUGAGCCAAUAUGGGUGGUAUAUGCAGUGAGACCCACAAUGCUCAAUAUAAUACUAGAAUCUAUGUCAUCUAAUAGCAAUGAAAGUACUAAGGAACAAUUUAACAUAUGUUUUGGGUACUUCAUGCAAUGGCCUUGUAAAAAAAGAAAUAUAAGGAAGUUGGACUCAUUUACUAGCAAUUUAACAUAUGACUAAAACCUAUUGAAGAAUUUGCAAUAGCACUUACUUUGGUCAUAUCCAAACUUAUUGCACAUGGUGCAAAAAGGGGUAGUGGUCGAGGAUGCUUCCACAUAAGAAAGACCCUACUUAACUAUUACAAAGGUUAUUUUCCCACUUGUGGGAAUGCUAACCUUGCUAAUAUAUUAUAUGCCAUGUUUAUCAUAUACAAAUUUUUCUUUACUAAAUAUUUCUUUAAUGAUCUUGAACCUAAAAUUAAAUAUUUCAUUAGUAUUGGUCAUGUCGUUCCUCAACUUUUCAACUUUUAGAGUUAAAUCUUUAUCUUUAUCAUUGAUAGUUUUAUGUUUAGUCCCUAGAAACUUCACCUUAUUAACAAUAUGUUCAUUUAAUAUAUUGAUAUUUUUAAUUUUCAAAGAAUCAUAGAGCUCAUUAAUUUUAAUGUCUUUUUAUUCACUUUUAUGCUUUCAACCUUUGUUUUUAGUUUUCCUAUAAUAAUGCAUCAUAGACCCCAUGUACAUCAUUAAAAUAAAACUCAUUUUUUUCAUUAGGAUUCAAUUAACCCAGUGGAUCAUAAUCAAAAUUAGUUGCAUAUGAACAAAAACAAUAAGAUUAUCAUUUUGUACAUCUUUACUUUCAUUUGAGUUCUUAGCCCUACAAUCAUGAAACAUGGAAUUACUCCAAGUCACCUACAUAGCCUUCAUACCUAAUGUUUUUAAGGCAAGGACAAUCAACAACCAUGUGUCCCAUUCCCCCAAUGGUUCACUACAAAAUCAAGGUACAUAUGUUAUGCUUUCUUUGUUUCAUAGAGAUUAGAGAGGAAAACAUUGUAAAAAAAAAAAAGUUGUCAUAGUUAAUGUAAGCUAAAACUAAAAAACUUGCUUUUUCAAUUGUGUAAGCGUGUUUUGUUCUUGAUGAAUAUUUACAACAUUCAGAGUUACUAAUGUUUAUAAUUCACAGAGACCUCAUUAACAACAAGUAACAACUAAUUGUAAGUAACCAUGGAAAAAAAUAAGGAGAAAAAUAAAGGAAAAUCAAGGAAAGUGGAAAAUUUUUUCAUCCCCAUAAAAAAUGCUAAGGAAGAAAAAGGUGAAGAAAGUUUAAAGAAAGUAUAUUUUUCAAAAAUUGAAUUUUCUUUCCCUUAAAGUUGGUAUGGACAACCAAACAAGAAAAUGAUUUUUAAAUUCUUUUUUGACCUUUUUCUAUCAUUCUUUUUUUUCCCUCUACUCUAUUUCCUUUCCCUUAAACUUUCUAGGUAGUAAACAUUACCUAAGAUAAAUAGGGAAGAAAAUAUUUUAUCAUUUAUUUAUUUAGUAUUUUUCUUACCUUUUUUUGUAUUUUAUCCAAAUAUAAGAAAACUACUUUUCUUUAUUUUUUUUCUUUUCCUUGUUGCUUUUCAAGAAUCAAGCAUACUUUAAACUCUAAUUAAGAGUUACAUAGAUUUAUAGAGAAACAAUACAACUGGUAACUAAAAAUUAAGGAAAUUUAAUUUUUUAAUUUUUGAGAGUAAGUAUAAUAAAAUUGGUUUGUUUGAUACAAAAUUUGAAUAAAAUUAUUUCAAUGAAAAUUCAAGGAAAGGAAAAAAAAAACUUGAUCUCUAGACUAUAAUACUAAAUCACUUAAAAAAUCUCCUAACAUCGUUUAUGUUCAUCUUUCUUUUUAUGGAUUUGAAAAACCCAAUAAUUUGGAAAAAACUGAUUCAAGGAAGAAUAAUUUUUAGAAUAAAAGAUUAUUAUUUAAGAAGAUCAUAAAUAUUAUAGUCAUUGUUGAAUAUGAUAAAUGAUUAAAAAAAAAAAAGGUAGUUGGAAAUUUAGAUACUUUUAUAAGACAAAUGCAUUUUUCUAGUAUGAUAUGAAAAAAGGUAAAAUGAUAGGCUUUGAUCAUUUUUUAAGGUAGUUUGUUUAAAUCAUUUUAAUUUAUUUUGAUUUAAUAACAAUAACUUUUAUUACACUAGUUAUUUUGAUUUUCUUUUGAUAGAUUUUGCAAGCUUAAGCAAUUUGGAGCUAUUGGAUUUGAGUCAUAAUUUAUUUAGUGGGAUCGUUCCAUCGUCUAUAAGAUUGUUGUCUUCUCUCAAGUCUUUAUCUCUGGUUGGAAAUCUCCUCAAUGGUUCCUUAGCAAAUCAAGGUACAUAUAUUGUGAUUACAAGUUUUUCUGUUUUCUUUUUUAAUAUCUUGUUUGUUCUUUAUGCCAAUUAAGUCAUGCAUGUCUAUUAAUUUUUGGUAUUUAAUAAAAAACUUUAUUCUUAAUUCAUAAAGACCUCAUCAACUGUAAGUAACAGCUAGUUGUAAGUUUGGGGGCAUUGACAAGACGAGGAGAUGAUUGGUUACAUAUCUUAUUCUCUUUUGUAAGCUUCUGCCAAUUGAAUAAGCUUCAAGAGUUAUAUCUUUCUUACAACUUAUUCCAAGGGAUCCUUCCUCCAUGUUUGAAUAAUUUGACAUCUUUGAGGUUAUUGGAUCUCUCUUCCAACCUAUUCUCCGGAAAUCUUUCUUCCUCUCUGUUACCUAAUCGCACAUCCCUGGAGUACAACGAUCUCAAUUACAAUCAUUUUGAGGGUUCAUUCUCUUUCAGCUCUUUUGCUAAUCACUCCAACCUUCAAGUGGUCAAACUUGGAAGGAAUAACAACAAAUUUGAGAUAGAAACUGAAUAUCCAGUAUGUUGGGUUCCAAAUAUUAUGUUUUUAAAUUUAUCCAACAAUGGUUUUGAAGGUAUUCUCCCAUCCUCAAUAGCCGAAAUGAGUUCCUUAGAGUCGUUGGAUUUGUCUGCUAAUAGUUUCUCAGGGGAAGUACCAAAACAAUUGCUUGCGGCAAAAUAUUUGUGGCUUCUGAAAUUAUCAAAUAAUAAAUUUCAUGGUGAAAUGCUUUCAAGGGACUUUAACUUGACUCAGUUAGGGUUUUUGCAUUUGGACAAUAAUCAGUUCAAGGGAACACUGUCAAAUGUAAUCUCCAGAAUCUCUAGGUUAUGGGAUUGGAUGUGUUUGGCCCCCACACUCAUUUUAUUCACUAUCAAGGUUUAUUCAAUGACGUAUUACCAAUAUAUUAAUUUCACUAAUUAUAUAUUUUUUUAGUGAUUUUUGUAAAAAUAUUUUUAGUUUUUAGUGCUUUUAUUAAUGAUAUUUAUGUCGGAAAUGCUUAGUCUAUAGAGUACAUCAACACUUAACAAUCCAUUAAUAAAAAAACGAAUGAAAAAAGUUACAAUGAUUAAACUUUAAAUAAAAAAAGAAAAAACCUUUUAAUUGCAGUUGUAAUUGACCAAACAACUCGACUCUCAACAUCUUGAGCGAAGUCCAACAACACUGAUUCAAGCUUCACAAUCUAGCAUAUGGAUUUUUCUUUAAUUUUCUCCCCCUCUUCAAAAUAAAUUUCAUUUAGAAUUUUUCUAUUAUUAACUUGAUAAUUUCAUAUUUGCUAAACUUAAAAACUUCUUAUUAAGAAAUUUUUAAAAACUUCUUAAAAACAACUACAUGUCAAGUGAAAUUCCAAGCUGGAUAGGUAACAUGACCCAUUUGACUACACUGGUGUUGGGCAACAAUAGUUUUAAAGGCAAAUUACCACCUGAUAUUUCUCAAUUGCAGAGGUUGAAGUUUCUUGACGUUUCUCAAAACGUUCUUUCAGGAUCUCUUCCUUCUUUGAAGAGCCUGGAGUAUUUAGAUACCCAGAGAUUGAUACCCAGAGAUUUUCUCAAUUCCUCAUAUCUAUUGACUUUGGAUAUCAGAGACAACAGGUUAUUUGGAAGUAUUCCCAAUUCAAUCUCUAGACUUUUAGAGCUAAGAGGAAACCUUUUAAGUGGUUUCAUUCCAUAUCAGCUUUGUCAUUUGACUAAAAUAAGCUUGAUGGAUCUUUCAAACAACAAUUUUUCUAGGUCAAUUCCUGGAUGCUUUGGUCAUAUCGGAUUUGGAGAUUUCAAAACUGAGCACAAUGUGAAUAUACCGAUGUUGGAUUCGUAUUGAGAAAGCAAUCCUUCUAUAUAUACAGGUUACUUAAUAAAAUAUUUAUUUUUCUCUAGUGAACUCCCUGAUGAAGUAGAUGAAGUUGAGUUUGUUACCAAGAAUAGGUAUAGCUCCUAAAGAGUAGAUAAAAAUAUUUGUUGGGAAUUUAGAUAAUUUUAUAGAAAAGUAGACAAGUAUUCUAAUUUAUAAAAACAAUGAAUUUCUUUAGUUUGGUAUAAAAAAAUGAAGCGAUAGGUAUUGGUAAUUUUUUUUAAAGUAACAAACGUUUUAUUUUAUUUGUAUUUAAGAACAAUGUCUUUUCUUAUACUAGUUAUUUUAAUUUUCUUUUGACAGAUUUUGCAAGCUUAAGCAAUUUGGAGAUGCUAGAUUUGAGUUUUAAUUCCUUAAGUGGGAUUAUUCCAUCAUCUAUAAGAUUGAUGCCUCAUCUCAAGUCUUUAUCCCUGGCCGGAAAUUAUCUCAAUGGUUCUUUACAAAAUCAAGGUACAUAUGUUAUGAUUUGUUUGUUUCAUAUAGAUUAGAGAAGAUAAAUAUUGUAAAAAAAAAAAAAGUUGUAGUUAAUGUAAGCUAGAAAUAAGUAUCUUGCCUUAUAAAUUAUAUAAGCAUGUGUUUGUUCUUAAUGAAUCUUUACAACAUUUAGAGUUACCAAUGUUUAUAAUUCAUAAAGACCUCAUUAACAGUGAAUAACAACUAAUUGUAAGUAAUUGUGGAAAAAGUAAGGAAAACAAAAUGAGGGAAAAGCAAGGAAUUAGGAAAUUAUUUUGUUCCCAUUAAAAAAUGUUAAGGAAGAAAAAGGUAAAAGAAAGUUUAAAAAAAGUAUAUUUUUCAAAAAUUUAUUUCUCUUUCCUUUAAUUUUGCUAUGGACAACCAAACAAGAAAAUUAUUUUAUAAUUCCUUUUUUAUUUUUUUCAUUCUCUCUCUCUUUUUUUCCCUACUCUAUUUCUUUUCCCUCAAACUUUCUUGGUAGUAAACACAACCUAAGAUAAAUGGGGAAGAAAAUUUUCAGUUUUUUAUUUUUAUUUUUUUAGAAUGUUUUCUUACUUUGUAGUAUUUUAUGCAAAUAUAGGAAAAUUAUUUUUUUUUUCUUGCUCCUUUUCAUACAUGAAUCACACUUUAAAAGAAAAUUAAUUUUUAAUUAGGAGUUAAGAUAAAUUUAAGGAGAAACAAUGAAUCACGAAUAACAAAAAAUUAAGGAAAUUGAAUUUUUGAAAGUAAGUAUAAUCAAAUUGCUUCAUUUGAUACAAAAUUUGAAUAAAAAUUCUUUCAAUGAAAAUUCAAGGAAAGGAAUAAACAUUUUUGUCUCUAGAUUAUAAUACUAAAUCAUGUAAAAAAUCUCUUAACAUCAUUUAUAUUCAUAUUUCUUUUUAUAGAUUUGAAAAAUUCAACAAUUUGGAAUAAACUUAUUCAAUGAAGAAUAAUUUUUAGAUUUAAAGAUUAUUAUUUAAGAUCAUAAAUAUUACCAUCAUUGUUGAUGUCUAAGAAGAUCAUAUUCAACAAUUUUUUUAAUAUGUUGUUUUUUAUGGUAAUUAAUUGAUGUCUUGUAAUUUUUAAUAUUUAAUGAAAAACAUUAAUUUAAUUCAUCUAGAGCUCUUAAUUCAUGAAGACCUCAUUAAUGUAAUGGUGAGUAAUAGUUGGCUGUAAGUUUGGAGUCAAAGACAUGUUAAGGAGAUGAUUAGUUACAUGUCUUAUUCUCUUUUGUAGGUUUCUGCCAAUUGAAUAAGCUUCAAGAGUUAGAUCUUUCUUACAACUUAUUCCAAGGGAUCCUUCCUCCAUGUUUGAAUAAUUUCACAUCUCUGAGGUUAUUGGAUAUCUCUGCCAACCUAUUCUCCGGAAAUCUUUCUUCCCCUUUAUUACCUAAUCUCACAUCCUUGGAGUACAUCGAUCUCAGUUACAAUCAGUUUGAGGGUUCAUUCUCUUUCAGCUCUUUUGCUAAUCACUCCAAGCUUCAAGUGGUCAUACUUGGAAGGGAUAACAACAUAUUUGAGGAAGUUGGAAGGGAUAACAACAAAUUUGAGGUAGAAACUGAAUAUCCAGUUGGUUGGGUUCCCCUGUUUCAGUUGAAGGUUCUCUCUCUAUCCAGCUGUAAGCUCACCGGUGACCUUCCUGGUUUUCUUCAAUACCAAUUCAGGUUAGUGGGGGUUGAUCUCUCCCAUAAUAACUUGACAGGAAGUUUCCCCAAUUGGCUGCUUGCAAACAAUACGAGACUAGAAUUUCUAGUCCUGAGGAAUAACUCUUUAAUGGGUCAACUACUUCCCCUGGGACCUAAUACCCGUAUCAAUUCAUUGGAUAUCUCACACAAUCAGUUGGACGGACAACUUCAAGAAAAUGUGGCCCAUAUGAUUCCAAAUAUUAUGUCUCUAAAUUUAUCCAACAAUGGUUUUGAAGGUAUUCUCCCAUCCUCAAUAGCUGAACUAAGAGCCUUAUCGAUGUUGGAUUUGUUUACCAAUAAUUUCUCUAGAGAAGUACCAAAGCAAUUGCUUGCAGCAAAAGAUUUGGAGAUUCUGAAAUUAUCAAAUAAUAAAUUUCAUGGUGAAAUAUUUUCAAGGGACUUUAACUUGACUUGGUUGAAGCAUUUGUAUUUGGGUAAUAAUCAGUUCACGGGAACUCUGUCAAAUGUAAUCUGCAGAAGCUCUUUGUUGAGGGUGUUGGAUGUGAGCAACAACUACAUGUCAGGUGAAAUUCCAAGUUGGAUAGGUAACAUGACAGGAUUGGGAACAUUGGUCAUGGGCAACAAUAAUUUUAAAGGCAAAUUACCACCUGAGAUUUCUCAAUUGUCGGGGAUGAUGUUUCUUGACAUUUCUCAAAAUGCUCUUUCAGGAUCUCUUCCUUCUUUGAAGAGCAUGGAGUAUUUAGAGCAUCUACAUUUGCAAGGGAACAUGUUUACAGGAUUAAUACCCAGAGAUUUUCUCAAUUCCUCAAAUCUAUUGACUUUGGAUAUUAGAGAAAACAGGUUAUUUGGAAGUAUUCCAGAUUCAAUCUCUGCACUUUUGAGGCUAAGGAUUCUUUUGCUGGGAGGAAACCUUUUAAGUGGUUUUAUUCCAAAUCAUCUUUGUCAUUUGACUGAAAUAAGCUUGAUGGAUCUUUCAAACAACUCUUUUUCAGGGCCAAUUCCCAAAUUCUUUGGCCAUAUCCGAUUUGGGGAGAUGAAAAAGGAGGACAACGUGUUUGGACAGUUCAUUGAAAGUGAGUAUGGAUGGAAUUCUCUUGCAUAUGCAGGUUACUUGGUGAAAGAUCUAGGCUCCCCAAUUUUAGUAUAUAAUGAAAAAGAUGAAGUUGACUUUGUCACCAAGAACAGGCGUGACUCCUACAAAGGUGGCAUCCUUGAAUUCAUGUCUGGAUUGGAUUUAUCAUGUAACAACUUGACAGGCGAAAUACCUCACGAACUUGGAAUGCUAAGUUGGAUUCGUGCAUUGAACUUGUCUCACAAUCAAUUGAAUGGCUCCAUUCCAAAGAGUUUCUCCAAUCUUUCUCAAAUAGAGAGCUUAGACCUUUCUUAUAAUAAACUGGGUGGAGAAAUUCCUCUAGAGCUAGUUGAACUCAAUUUUUUAGAGGUGUUUAGUGUGGCUUACAACAACAUCUCCGGUAGAGUUCCAGAUACCAAAGCACAAUUUGCAACAUUUGAUGAAAGCAACUAUGAAGGUAAUCCUUUCCUUUGUGGGGAACUAUUAAAGAGGAAAUGCAACACAAGUAUUGAGUCACCAUGCGCACCAUCACAAUCUUUUGAAAGUGAGGCAAAAUGGUAUGAUAUCAAUCAUGUUGUUUUCUUUGCAAGUUUUACUACUUCAUAUAUCAUUAUCUUGUUAGGAUUUGCUACCAUCCUUUACAUCAAUCCUUAUUGGCGUCAUAGAUGGUUCAAUUUUAUCGAGGAAUGUAUAUAUUCCUGCUAUUAUUUUGUUUCCGAUAGUCUUUCCAAGUUAUCAACAUAUUUGUAUAAUUAGAUACUUUUAGUUGGAUGAUGUUUGCAUAAUUAACUACUAUUUGUUUCCAGAGGAUAGAAAGAAAUGGGAUGUAUAAUUGCUAUGAGUUGAAACUUACGUACUUUGCUCAAAUUUCGGCAUCCUUUGCUUUUAUUUUCAAGUUUCGUUAUUUUUUAUUUAUUGUUUAUUUCAAGAUUUAACCAUAUUAUGUUACUCUUAUAAAAACAAAUUCAAAUUUUUAGGAACUUUUAGCAUUAAAAUAAUUUCAUAAUCAGAUUUUAAAAAAUAAAAAAGAAAGAAAAUAAUAAAUAAUUGGAAAAACAAUUCAAGGGAGUAUUAAAUUAUCAUCUUAGAAUUGUUUGGUAUAGUAUGGGAAUUAAAAAAUAAUCUUUCAAUUUGUUAGACAUGUUUAUUUAUUUAUUAUGGCAAUGAUUGAAAUAUCAAUCACAAAGUAAUGUUUUCUUUUCUUUUGUAGGGCACUAACACUUUUUCUUUGAUAGUAAUAAUUGAUAAAUAUUUUACACAGUUAUUUGUUUUUAAAAAGGGAGGGAUGACAAAUAUAAUACGUGAAAUAUUUCUAAAACUGUGAUGGUAAAUAAGCCAUCUAAUUAGGGUGUAAUAUUAUUUAUUUUAAUUUAUUUGCAUCAUUUUUUGAACUAUUUUAUCAGAUUAAGGGAGAUUAAAACAUCAUGAGUUUGUUAUUUUAAUUUAUAUUUUUAAUAAUAAAGUAUGAAAUAUUAAAAAAAAUAAUCAUGAAUUUCUUUAAUUCCUUAGGAAACCAAUAUAUAAAAAAAUUGAAUAUAUUAUUAUUUUAUGUCCUAAAUUUCUAAAGUUGUUCAUCAUGUAUUAUUUUUAUAUUAAAUUUAUUAUCAUUAAUUAUUUAUUAUAUAUUAUUAUUUAUGUUUAAAAAUGUUCAUAAAUAAUUAAAAUUAAUAAAAAUAUAAAAAAUAAAAUAUUAAAAAAAUUAAAUUAAAAAGAUUUCAUCAAGCUAACAUGUUUUUUUUUAUAAAAAAAAGCAAAAAAAAAUGGGGAUAUUAUAAAGGAGGGGAAAAAGGAGCUUUGACCCAAAAUACUACGUUCUAAAAACAAAAUUCAUAAAGUACCACCCUUUCUAAAAUAAUGUCCAAUCUAAUGUCUCUGUGCUACAUAGAUUGCCACGUCAUAAAACCGUAGUUGGUAACUACGGUUUUAUUUUUUAAAAAUAGUCAAAACCGUAGUCACCAACUACGACUUUAAUUUUAAUUUUAUAUAUAAAUAUAUAUUUAACUUAUAUUUUUUUAAAUAAAAUAUUAUAUUAUUUUGAUUUUAUAUUGAUUAAAAAUAUGUAAGUGGUGUAAUAAAAAUAUUUAACUUUAAUUGAUCUCAUUAUUUAAAGAAUAGUAAUAUAUAAAAUUAAAUAAUUGAUGUCUUUAAUUUGAUAUAAAAAUAUAUUUUGAUAAUUUUAUGAAAAUAUUUGGCACUACAUUCAAUAUAAAUAUAAUUAGUUAUAAAUAUACUAUUUUAUACCCUCAUAAUGAAGAAUAUUAUAUUAUUUUGUAACUUUGUGCAAAAAUUAAAGGCAAUUAUGCACUUGUUCAAAAUAUAAUAUGACUUCAAGUGGGUAAAUAAUUGGAAAAUUACUUAAAUACAACAAAAAUAAAUUUUUUUUUUCCAUUUUUCUCCUUUCGAAAUGGGAUCAAAAUGGAAUGGAAAGACUUAAAAUGUUAAACUUAAAAUGUCAACCUAAAAGAAUUUGUUUUUCCACUUCUUAAAAUAUAGAAUUGUAGAAAGAAAAUACCUUUGUUUUUCCAAUCAAUUCGCUAUUUAGUUUAAUUGUUUUAGUAAAUAGAUGAAAAUGCUUUUGAAAUAUUUUUGUAAAUUCAUUGAUAAUAAGAAAAAUGUUUUUUAUUGGGUACUAAUGGGAGUUUUGGGCAAAAAUAAUUUCUUUAAAACAGAAAAUUCAUAAAAUAAUUUUAUUCAUAAAAUAAUUUUAUUCUCAAAAUAAUUUUUAAUGUGAUGUGUGUCUUAUUCAUGUGGGUAUUCACAUCAUAAAACUGUAAUUGGUAAUCAUGAUUUUUGAUUUUUUUUUUUUAAAUAGUCAAAAUAGUAGUUAGUGAUCAUAACUUUAAAUUUAAACCUAAAGCCAAUUUUUUAAGUUCAAAUUUUAAAUCAUAUGAAUGUUCAAUUUUUUAAAAAUUAUUUUGAUUGGAGGUUUAGAUUGUAAAUUUUUUUUAAUAUAUUAUCUUUUCUAUAUCAAUAUAGUGUUGUUGUAACUAAUUAGUUAUAAAUAUAAUUAGUUUAAAUUUAAACCUAAAACCAAUUAGUUUAAAUGAAUAAAACUAAUUAGGAAUAGGGGAAAAGGUAAAGGAAAGUUAAAGCCGUAGUUGGUGACUACGGCUUUGAUUGUUUUUAAAAUAGUCAAAGUCGUAGUCACAAAUUACGGUUUUAAACUUAAAGUUAAAACCAUGGUUGGUGACUACGGGUUUUGACUAUUUUUAAAAAAUGAAAUCGUAGUUACCAACUAUAUGACGUUUAUGGAUUUUUUUUUUUAAACGAAGUAUUUUGGGUCAUCGGGAAAAAGAUAAAGGAAAAAUCAUGUGGUAUGAUAAUUGCCACGUGUCAAAGUUGUUUUCUUUAAAAAAUAAUAAUAGUAAUGAUGAGCUCAUUUGUCUUAUCAAAGUAAAUAAAAAAACAAAAUGACAAAAAAAGGUGGCAGUUGGCCGAAGGUGAGAGAGGAGGGUUUGAGGGUAAGUUAGGAAUAUUAAUUAUUUUCACUAAGUAGAUAUUUUGAAGGUUAUUUUUUCCGAAACACAUAUUCUUUGAAAAUAAAAAAUCAAAGUUUUAAAAAAAUAUAAUUUUUUUUAAAUGACACAUGAUUACAUCAUUCCCCCUAGAUUAUUUGUUCAUUUAAACUUUUGUUUAAAUAAAAUUAGUUUUAAUUAUUUUCUUUUUGGAAUUAUAUUUAACAUUUAUUAAAAAAAAUAAAAAAACAUAGAUAUAAUAUUGUUAAUGAGUUUUCUUUUUAAUAUUUUGUAAAAUAAUUAAAUUUAAAAAUAUUUAAAUUUAAUUAUGGGCUGCCCAUUUCAAAAUAAUAAGAAUCUCAUAAUCUAAUUUUUCCAAAUUCCAGGUAAAUAUGCUAAUCUAAAAAGAAAAUAAUAAGAAUCUCAUAACCUAAUUUUUAUGUGCUGAUUGGGUUUUUUUCCUUUAAUUUAAAAAAAAAAAAAAGGAAAAAAACAAAAGUGUGCGAUCCUCUUUCUCGAGUCUUCACAUUUUGAGACACUGAACCCAAAUCAAAAUUAAUUUUCACCUCCAAUCCAAACCCUAACUGCUGCCCCCGUUUUCGUUUUCUUCUUCUCUUUCCGAAAACCCACCGGAAUCGGAAGAUUCAUAAUUCUUCAGAAUUAAUUUUCACCUCGAAGCCAAACCCCAACUGCCUCAUCUUCCUCUCAUUCAUAUCCCGAAAGUAGCUUCAACAGUCAGGCCUGUAGCCAUGAAAGCCGUAGUGAUCACUACUUCCGGUGAUCCCCAAGUUCUCCAAGUGCAAGAAGUCGAAAACCCUGAAAUUGGAGAUGAUGAAGUUCUAAUUAGAGUGGACGCCGCUGCCAUUUACCGAGCAGAUAAGCUUCAGAGGAAGGGCUUGCACCCUUCCUCAAAGGCGGCAGUCCCUACCCGGGUCUCGAAUGUUCUGAAAUCAUCGAAGCUGUUGGAAAAGCCGUCGUUCGAUGGAAGGUUGGCGAUCAGGUAUUUCAAUUGCCUAAUAUUUUGAUUUCGUUUCUGUUCCUGUAUUUUUCUCGGCUAUCAAACACUAGGAACGUGUAAAUAAGGAGGUUAGUUGAUUGCGAAAACGGGAAUUUUUUGUUUGUGUUUGUGUUAAGGAGUCUUUGUUGAGAAUUUUAUGAUUAGUUUGUGAUUUUAUGAUUAAUUUUGUGUAUCAAUAUAGGUUAAUUAUUGAGCUUAUUGGUUUUUCAAAUUUAUGGUUGUAAGAAAAUUGGUCAGUGUAAGGUUAUGGGUUCAUGGGUUCAUUACCAAUUUGCUUACUGAAAAUUUUCUGAUGCCUGAUAUAUUUACCAGCACAAAUUUACACUGUUGGUGUUUAAUGUGUGUGCGUCAAUAUUGGAUUAGGGAGGCAGAAGAGCCAUGGUUUUAAUUAAAACAUUACAUCAUCAUAUUCUUAUUUAGAUACAUCGUGUCUCACAAUUUCAUUGCAUCCAAGGCCAUGUUAUUUUUUAUUGCAUGGUUUGUCAUGAUAAUUUCUCAACCCUUCUCUGGAAAAUUAUGUUGGAUGGCUGAUAUUAAUUACCCCAAAAGAAGAAAUUUUAUGUUGAAGUAAGAUGAGUACCACAAAGAGUUACUUUUGGUUGUUCCUAUCAUCAAAUGGGCGAUUGAUGCACAAUCCAAAUGGUAAACUUUUUUUCCCCCUUUAUCCAGAUGGAAUUUUUAUGCAUGGAUGAAUUGUGAAAUGAGGACUGAUAAUAUUUCAGGUUCAUGGGGGUUCAAUUGGAAUUGGUACGUUUGCUAUUCAAAUAGCGAAAUACCGAGGAGCAAGGGUAUUUGUUACAGCAGGUUUGCCAUCACUAUUCUACCUCAUCUCAUGGCACCAAUUCCUUGUCUUCACAUGUUUUCGACCAUUUUUUACAACUGAAAACGAGGAAAAAUUAGCUGUUUGUAAGGAUCUUUGAGCAGAUGUGUGCAUCAAUUACAAGACUGAAGACUUUGUUGCUUGGGUGGAGGAAACAGGAGGGAAAGGUAUAUUCUAUUGUAUCCUAACAAUAAUUUCAGUUGAAGAUGGAAUUGCUUUUAAUUUUUUAGUGCACCUAAUCCACUAGUCUGGUAUGUUUGAAAAGAUAAAUAGUCAUCUUCCACUUGAUUCCGAUUGUGAAGAUCUAACUCCAAAAAUGUUGAAUGACAGGUGUUGAUGUUAUACUGGAUAAUAUUGGACGGGCCUACUUUGAGGGAGACAUCGAUAGUUUAAAUGUUGAUGGAACGCUUUUUAUUAUUGGUUUUCAGGGUGGAACAGUUGCAGAAGUAAAUCUUUCAGGUUUACUUGCAAGGUGCCUUACAGUGCAAGGUACCACUUUCUCUAUAGAAGAUUUUUCUGUAGUUUUGGAGUUGAAUCAAUUUGAUUAAUCUCAUCCAAGUUCAGAACUAAGGUGGAUUCUGGCAAGCCAAGGAAAAACCAAAUUACCAUAAAUUCUUUUUUUUCUGGAUUGUUUUACUUCUUGGAAAUCCUGUUUCUCGAUCUGGUCAGGUAUAUGGAAAUUCCAAGGAAAAUAUGUUUUACAUUUUCCAUAAUUGGAAACACUCAGGAAUUUAAUAUUUUCCUCUGAAAUAGCAAUGGUUUUCUAAUUACAACAUUUGUUUUUCUUGUAUCAUCCCAAAAUAUUUUUUAGGUGUUUGUUCUCUCUUGACACAGCUUUUAAUCGGGUCUGUCUUGCUUUUCGAUAGAUUUCUUGACAAGUUGCUUCUAUAUCAUACUUUCUUUAUUGGUUUUGGAUCAUGCACCUUGCUUUGUCAGCCCUGUUAUCACUACCCAAACUAGUAAAUUUAUGCACAAAACUCCAUGUGUCAGUAACUGUGGUUAUUAGGUUGUAUUAAAUAAUUUGUAAAUACGGUGGAUGAGUUUGUACUAAAUGGCAAUUGUUUAAACAGAAGUCUGGAAAACAAAGCUGUAAUUGUGAGUGAGGCGGAGAAGAAUGUUUGGCCUGCAAUCACAGGCGUACAAGUAUUUUCCAUUGACGGAAGCAGCAGAGGCUCACCAGCUCAUGGAAAGCAGCAAGCAUGUUGGGAAGAUACCGUGCAUUCAAUUAUGUUAUGGUUAUGAAUGAUCUUAUGCCUCAGAGGGAUGACAUGAUUUUAAAACUCUUAAUGAGCAUCUACUAUCUGAUACAAUGUGUGAUGCCCAGGCCUAGAUGGUCAAUGCUUAAUUUCUUAUGUAGGCCUGUCAUUUGAGAAUAAAAACCAGCCUUCCAGUCCAAACAUUUAGACUACUGGAAUCUAAAGCUUCAAGAUGGUUGAAACUGAAUUUUCAUGUGCAAACAGAUCAUAACUCUCCAACCUCCACAAAUGAGCUUACCUUCCUUAUCUGAAGUUUGAACAAAAAUGUAUGAAACGGUUAGGUAGAACUGUCUAAGAAACCAGAGCUUGGAUGUGAGAGAAACCAGCGCCCCUAAAGGUCAGGACAAGAUUACCAUUCCACCAAAGUUGAGCCUUGCAUGCAGUCACCUAGUAUUUUCUUUUAUUGGAGUCUUCCCCUCUACCCUGGCACUGGGAUUGAAGGCGAAUGAAAAACCUGCAUGGAUUGAAGGUGUGCUGCUUGAGUUGAUUGUAGUUUGAGCAUGAAAAUUUGAAGAUCCAGAACAGCAAAUGAGGAAUGCCUAUCAAUUUGAAACCAGCAUGGGUGGAUGAAUGGAGAGGUUCUUCACUGAAUUUGUCCAUGAAGUGGUUUCCAUUAAAUUGCUUGAUGUAAAAAACGAAAAAAGCAUAUAUUGCUUAUUUGAAGUUAGAAUAUAACUUAAGUUGCCAGAAUGGUUUAUGCUUAUAGUGCUGAUUUUAAAGUACGAAACAAAUUGGAACUAACACAAAAAGUAGUUAUAUACCACGAAGAAAUGAAUAAAUUUCAUCUUAUAUCUCAUAGCUUUUGAAGUGAGCGUAUUUUGAUUUGGCAAAAGUAAGGGUGAGUUCAGGAAUGAAGCUUCAUCAUUUCAAAUAUGAAUUUAUAAUCUCAAAUCAGGAAGCAAAAUGGAGUGAAUGUCAUUGACUUGAUGCAUACUGCUUAAAUGGUGAUUUAUUUAAAAAUUUUAACCACGAUUAAUUUUUUCUUUUAAAUCAGUAAUAUAACCCUACAAAAGUAAUGAAGAUUAAAAUGUUAGGCAAUUUAUUUUUUAAAAAAAAAUUGCAAAAUGUCUUUUUUUUUUUUAAUAAAUUGCAAAAAAAAAAAAAUUAUUGCAAACAAUUUUUUCUUUUUUCUUUUUAAUCAAACUGCAAAAAUCUUUUUUUUUUUCUCCAACAAAGUGAUUUUUUUUUUAAUAAAAAUAACUAAAAUCUAGAAUGCACUUUUUUUAUUUAUCAAAUCUUAAAAAUUAUUGUUUUCAAUAAAUAACUUAUUUAUAAAAAGAAAACUAUAAAAUAUAUGCACUUGAAAAAUAUUUAAUUUUUAUUUGAUUUAGUAUCAAUUAAUAUUUGUAAUAUUUUUUAAUAUUAUAGAAGUUAACAUUCUCAAUAAAGAUAUUCAAGGCCUUGAGUUCCCCUUGGGCCUUGGCCAGGGCCUUCUCUUUGUAUCAUUAUUUUGAAGAAGCAUAUUGGUGUGACGUAAAAAAAAACUAUACUAAAUAGAAAAUAAAUAAAAGCAUCAACAAAAAUAAAGGCCAAGAUCCAUGAAAAGUAAUCUUUAAAUUUGUUGCAUAUAUAAUUUCAACAAUGCAUAAAUAAUUACAACAUACACAAUACAAUAAUAUUACACAACUAUAUUUUCAAAUAUAACAUAAGAUCAUUAAAGUGAUAAAUUGUAGUCGUAUAAAAUAUUUGUACAAGUAAAGAAGAAAUUAUGAGAUUAAAAGUCUGUUUGGCAGUGAUUCUAAUAAAAACGUUUUUCUUUAAAGUGUUUCCUUUUGUAGUGUUUCCUUGGAAAAUACUUUUUUGCGAAUUAGAAAAAAUGAUUUUCAAGUGUUUUUUUAUAAUAUAUUGUAUAAGUAUAAAAACACUUUUGAUAUUAAUAAAUUACCAAAAAGGACAUAUAUAUUUAUAUUGUUAAAAAAACUAAAAAUAAUCUUUUUUUAUGAUUUAAAUAAAUUUUUUACAAGAAGAAUUAGAUUAAUAAAUAAAUAUCAAUCAUGAUAUAACAAAUUAUUUGAUUAUAUAUUAGUUUAAAAUUAAUAAUUUUUUUUAUCACUAUAAUAAAAUUUUAAAAAAUAUUUAUAAAAAACAUCUGAAUAAAUAAAUAAAUAAAAGAACAUUGAAUAAAAGAUAAUUUUCAAGGUAAAACAAUAUAUGAUUACCUAUUAAUUUCUCAAAAAAAACAAAAAAACUUUCUAAUUAAAAGUAAAUAAGAAGACAAAUGUUUUCAUAACAAAAAAGGGGGAAAAAAAAUUAUAUUAUUACAUAUUAGAGUCAUAGUUAAACAUCAAUGAGAUAUAAGAAGAUUUGCAAUUCGAUCACGUUCUUCUUCCAUCUCUCUUGCAUGAUGUGAACCAUCUUCCUCAACAAGUGAAUCCACUCUACUCUCUUCUUCAUUAAGUAGAAACAACCCUUGAUCAUCAUCAUAAGGUUUAAAUUCCAUAUCCAUUCUAGCAUUAAUCCUUAUGAAGUUGUGAAGAGCCAUUGAAGCAAUAACAAUCUUUACUUGUUUUUCAAGAGGAAAACUAUGCAUUUGUCAUAGCAUUCUCCAUCUAUUCUUCAAAACGGCAAAUGUUCUCUCAAUUGUGCACCUCAAGGAAGAAUGCCUAUGAUUAAAUAUUUCCUUUUUACCUCUAGGUGAACUACCUCGUCGAAAAUCUGGAAGAUGGUAACGCUCGCCUUUAUAAGGGCCUAAAUAUCCACUCAUUUGAGGAUAACCAGCAUCAACCAAAUAAUAUUUACCUACAAAACAAAAACAAAAAAUAUAUAUUAGAUAAUAAGAAUUUGAUCACAAAAACAAGUUUGAUAUUGUCAUUCACAAACCUCUAGGUGGAUGAGGAAAACCCAAUUCUGGCCUUCUUAAUGCCUCUAAAAAGACCCGUGCAUCAUGAGCAGCACCUUCCCAUCCGACCCAUGCAAAUGUGAAACACAUAUUGAAAUCACAUACUGUCAUAACAUUUUGGGUAGUCAUGCCUUUUCUACCAAUAUAUGGUAUUUGUCUAUCUUUAGGAACCACAACAGGUAUAUGAGUUCCAUCAAUUACCCCAAUACAAUCCUUAAAAUAUGGCCAAUACCGAUCAUCAUUUUUUAUUUUAUUAGGGACUUCCUUAAACUAUGGAUCACUUGGUUUUAUAAUAUCCAUGGCCAUAAGACAAACAACAUCUAAUACAAUCUCAAACCAUUUAGAUACAGAUUCACUAGAGUGUUGAAAUCUUUCUUGAAUCAUCCUAUUGCUUAGUCCAUGACCUAUUGUAGUGAGAAACAUUGCUAAGGCCUCUGUUAAGGGCACAUCAAAACCUUCUUUUAGGCCAUACCUUUUAGUAAGUGUUUCUAAUAAAUUCAUAAACACAUGUUUUUCCAUUCUAAAUUGCUCAAAACACCUAAUUUCAUGGCCAUUUAAGACAUCCAUUACAAACUUGUAUCCUAUGUGGGAAGAAGUUCUGCAAGGUUUUUUUUUUCUUUGAAACAAGUAAGUUUUACAGCUAUAGCACAACCCGCAAGCACCAACUGAUAAAAAUCAUGUUCAUCAUCGUUUUCAUCAUCAAAAUUUUGAUCAUUAUUAUUAGAAGACAUCUACACAAAUAAAAAAAGAAAUACAUUAAUAAAUCUGUUUUUCUCCUUUUCUACCUCUUUGAAAAAGAAGAAUAUUAUCAACUGAAUAUAAUGUUCACAAUAAAUCCUUCAAGUAUCUAGAAGGAACAUUUCCUUUAAUUGUUUGGGCAAGAAAAAGCAUAGCUCAACAAAGCUUCAAGUAGCAAGUUAUUUAUAUAUAUGAACCAGGCUAGAAGUAACCAUGAUAAGAACAUAUAAUACUGCAAUACUCAAGGUUCUUGUGUAAUUCUCCUAAAUUGUAUUUCCUUUUUAAUUUUCCAAAGUACUCAAUUUAAUCUCUCAUCACAAGCAUGGGACUCAACACUUCAAAACAUUUCUCCAAUAAUUUUUCAAGGAAUCAACUUGGUUCCAUGGCCUAUAACUGAUACUAUCAGAUGAUCAACAACAAAUAAUAUCUUAAAUGUAGUUUACCACACAUCUAACCAUACAUUUAUAUUAGAAAUGCAAAUACAAAUACAAGGCCACAGAUUUAAAGUUAUCAGUUUGCUCCUUUCCUGAUAAGCAAUAGGAAGCCCAUACAAAUAGGCUCAUUUCCCAUCCCACUGCUCUAUUCUUAUUUUGUAGAUAAUUACAUUACAUAUGAUAAAUAUAGAAGAUAGAUUAAUUCAAUUAGCAUAAAUUGGAACAAGAAGCUAUGCAUAAAUAGCAUAUAUAAUACUCACAUUACUUUGCUCUUACAACGGUUUUUUCUUUGAACCUAUAUUCUUUUGAUUUGUUGAAGUAUGUUGAGUCAUUUUUUUAACAUGUGCACCAAGAAUUUAACUUGUAUAGGCCUGCACAUAAUGUGAAAGCAAAUAUUAUUAUAAAAUGGUUCAUACAUCCGACGAGUGUCUAAUUAAGUGUUGUUUCCAACAAAGGCAUUCCUCCACUAUAGAAUUGUUCGUGCUGCAUGGAUAUUUUCUCUUUCAUUCAUUUUGUUCUAUUGGAUUUCCAGUAAGAUUUAUGUGUUCUAGGAUUUUCAGAACUACUCUUACACACACCAACUUCGAAGGUAAGUGGUAUUUUUCAUGAGGAAGAAAUUCGAAGUGAUCAUCCCAAUAUCAAAUAAUAUAGCAAAAUUAAGGGUUUAUAGGAAUUAAAGCUGGGCUUCCAUACAAUCAUGUUAAAGGUAAAUAGCAGGGCGGCAAUUUGUUCAUACAUAAAGCUGUUUUUCCCCUUUUCUAUGUCUGUGUCUUAAAUGGGUCUCGACCUAAAUGUGAAAUUGAAAUGACCCUAAUGAAAGAAGAAGUAUGUGAUGAUUGAAUUAAGAAAGAAUGCGAAGGUUUAGCCACUCGAAAAAUAUACUUGUGUCUCAUGAAUUUGUUUGUUGGGUGUGAUUCAAAGAGACAACCUAAGGUCCAAUUUUUGAUCAUCUCAUUUAAAAACCAAUUAUUUUCCAGUAUGAGUGUCUUUAAUGACAAUCUACAUCAUACCCUUGGGAGUCAUUGUUUGGGCGACCCAUUACCAGACAUAAGCGGGAUCAUCCCACCUCAAAAAAAGGGUCUGAAAUGUUAUAAAUGAGAGAUAUCGAGCACCAUAUUACAGCUCCUGGAAAUGCAAUAAUGCAUGUAUGAAGGUGCCCCUUACCAAAAAGAGUGAAAAAACAAAACCGAAUCAGCCCAAAAAUUUAAUUGGGGUUCACAGUAUUUCAUAGAAUUGAGCAAACCUUGACAAAUACCUAUAAGGCAAAGUGGAAAAUGGGGUCUUCAAACCUACCCACAAAUAGUUAUAUGAUGAGCCCCAAUCCGAAACAAGUGGUCCAAUAUAUAAGAGGGGGACCUAAUGCAGAGGACCAUAGUGCCAUAACUACUAUAUACUUGUACCAAAUGGUUAAAAAAAAAAAAUAAUAAUGUGUAUGCAGUAUGCAAUAUGCUUAUAUGCAUUCAAACGAAUCAAACCAUAAAAACUCACUGCUGGAAGGUUUGGGAGGAUACAAAGCCCUGAAAGCAACGAAAUCGAUCAGCGGUCCACAAGCUGGAUCCUCCUCUACUCUUGGGUUAUGUAUGAUGAUCUCGAUCACAUCAAAGACAUGUGGUUUACAGAUAUGUGAACCAAAAAUCCUAAACAGAGCGAUUGCAUAUGUGAACUAGAAUAGAGGAUGAGAGUUUUAGAAAGAGAAGUACCAGGAAAUGAGACUCGACUACUCUAUUGAUUUACCAUUUCAUUUUCUCAUACUUUCCUCCUAACCAAACAAUCCUAAAACCCAAAACCCUAACUAGCAUUGCAAGACAAUCAGACAUUAAAAACAAGGAAAAGAAAAACAAGCAAAGAACAGAGGGUUACCUUCGAUUAGAUAAAUGAUGUCGAAUGAAAGUGGAGCGCUUUUCAGAUGGAGAGCGAUGGAGGAGGAGAACCAAGGAGAAAGGUAAGUGAAAGGGAAAUGGAGGUAUCGGGAAUCACUUGGGGGUAUUUUUGGAAUAUUUCAAAAUUUUUGAAGUGUUUUUUUAAAAAACACCUGUCAAGUGAUUCUCUAAAAAUCAUUUUAAGUGUUUUUCCAGAUUUUCAGAAGUGUUUUUAAAAAUAUGCCAAACACCUUAUUUUCAUCCCAAAAACACUUAAAAGUAUUUUUAAGGGUAUAAACACUUUUAAAAAUCAUUGUCAAACGGGCUCUAAAAUGCUUGUCGGAUUCUAGGUAAAGAAGAAAUGAGAUAUAGAGAUUAUCCCAUCAGACAUAUAGAAUUUCAUAUACAUAAUUUCAUAUAUUUAUAGGUUUGAAGAGACAUAUUGAGAUUUUGUAGACAUGUUUGGAGUUUUAAACCUUGAAAUAUUACUCUUUUAUUAAAUUAACAUUUAUAAAAUUUGGAAGAACAUAAUUGGAUAAUAUCUUAAGUUAUUUUUAAUGAAAAUUGAUAAUUACCUUUUAAUUAUUAAAUUCAUUAUUUCUAUUUGUUUUUGUAAUAUUUCUUAAUUACUAAAAUAUUUUAUUUCCUUUAUUUAGUUUGAAAGCUAUUAUAUAUCUUUUGUUUGUAUAGAGCUCAUGUGACAUAUCUCACAAUUUAAUUUAAAGAUUCAUUACCAAAUGACAAAUUUUAUUUUGUCACGCUUCUCUUCUUUUCUCCCAGACCGGAUUGGUCGACCAAUCAUUGAUCGGAGCCUUUCAGAAUGGCUAUCAAACCGCCACUGAACCGAGAAAUCAACGGUUUAACCACUAACUCGGUGAACUGGUCUACCGGCUCAAGUUUGGAUCCCUUUAAUUUGUGGCAGAAUGCGCCCAACCAAAUUGGGCCUCAAGCCCAACAACCUAAAGUCCAUGCGGGCUAUCUACUGGAUCUCACCCAUUGUAACUUGCUCUGGGUGAAUGGCCAUUACAAACUUCCCUCAUCUGAUUUUGAUGUGGGAAUGGGAGAGAUGAGGAUUUGACAUUUGGACCUAAGGCUCAAAGGGUUUUAACUCUACUCAACUACUUUAUGCCUUCUAUUUAAUAUUGCAAACCAAAAUAAUAAUAGACAUGAUUCUUUUCAAAAUUUUUAUAAUAAUAUAAGUAAAAAUGAUGUAAUAUUUUUUUAAAUGAUAAAAUAAUAGGUUAAAUAAAUUUUAAUAUAUAUGUAAAAUUAAUUAAAUUUUAAUAAAUAUCUUCACAUUUAAACAUUACAUAUCUUUUAUUUAAUAAAAUGUUAAAAUAUUAAUAUAUCUAUAUAUUUAAUUUGAUAUUAUUAUAAAUUAAAAUUAAAAUAUUAAUAAUUUUUAUUUUCUUUAUAUAUUUGAAUUUGUAUAAUUAUUUUUUAUUUUAAUAACAUAUAAAUUGUAUAUUUAUGAUAUUACUAGUUCAACUGUAAUUCAACCAUCAGUUCGAUCAUUGAACUGUGAAUUAGUAAAUUUUUUUUAUUCAUUGAUAGGUUCGAUCCUAAAAUCAUAUAUAGAUAUCUAUGGAGUGUAUACAUAUAUUAUGUAUCAUAAAUUUAUAUAGGGAUCACCUAUGUAUGUAGGGUAUACAUAUAUUAUGUAUCGUAAAUUUAUUUUUUAUAUUAUUUAUUUUUUAAAAUAAAAAAAUUAAAUUCGUAGUUAAAAAUAAAAGAAGUAAAAAACAUUUAUAAAAUAUAUUGUAAAAUAAUGCCAAUAUAUGUAUUAUUUUAUAUAAGGUGCAACUUGGAAGGGUUGGUCCAACUCAACCUAAACCUAACUUGAUGUUUGAGUGGGUUUAGGCAAACAUUUUCAAUACUUAGGUUGAGCUUAAGUUAAGUUUUCUCAAUCCGAGUUCAAUUUGGGUUGGGUUUGGACCAAGGUUUGAAUAACUUGAGUCUAACUCAAACCUGAUUUAAUGUUUUUAUAGUGUUUAUAUCCUUUAAAAUAAUAUUCCUUUUCAUUUUAGAUUUUAAAGAAAAAAUAUCAAUUAUAAUUAUAUCAUAUACUUUUUUUUUGUUUUUGUUUUUAGAGAGAUAUAUAAGUUUACUUUUAUUUUUUUAUUGUCAUUUUGAAAUUUUGUAUUACUUACUAUUUAAAUUUUGGUAUAAAUAUAUAGAAUUUAAAACAGAAAAUAAUAUGGAUAGAUUUUGAAUCAUGCAACCUAAUCAACCCAAUUAACCUGAGUUUAACCUGUUUAACCCAAUCAAACUGAGUUUAAUUUGAUCAACCCGACUUUAACUUGACUAACCCAAGUUCAACCCAAGCUUCAAAAAAUGACGUCGGGUUGGGUUGAGUACCUUGAGUUAGAGGUCAGGUUGGAUUGAGUUUGGGUUGAUUGUUUUUUAGUUUGGGUUAGGAUCCAGUUAGCCAUUAACUCAACUAACCGACCUAAGUUGCAACCCUAAUUUAAUAUAUAUUAAAUUAUUGUUAUAUAUUGAACAACAUAAUAUAAAAAAAUUAUUUAUAAAUUUUAAAUCUUUUAGUCAUAAAUAUUGCUAAACAAAAGAAAAUUUCCAUUGUUUUAAUAGUGAAUAUUGGAAUGCAAUAUAAUUUUAUUUUAAACAAAUAUUAAAUAUUGAAAAAUAAUAUAUAUUCCAUUUCAUUUUUUUUAUUCAUUUUACAAACUAAAUAUAAACAUAACAUAACAUAUCUUAUUAUGUAUACUACCUUAGAAUAUCAUAUCCAUUAGAUAUAAUAUACAAAGAUAUCACAAUCUUUUAGAAAAAAUAGUAUGGGAUAUAUUGUGGACCCGCAUUUUUUGCAUGUGUUCCCAUUCGAUGGCAAGACUCGUUUUUUAUUUGAAAAACUGAUUUUUAAAAAUUAUUUUUGGAGUUGCCACUUUUUUUUUUUUUUUAAAUGAAAAAAAAAACUGUAAGUGUGACUCCUAUAAAGGAAAAGUAGGUUUGAGAAAAUCAAGUCAGAGUCUAAGGGUCAGGUUAUUUAUUGGAAAUAUACCGUAGUAAGUUGUAGUAGUACCCCUCUAAGUUCUAAAAAUUAGGUUUCUAUUAAUCGGCUAAGGCAAGUGUAGCAAGUGAUUGAUUAAUCGUGGAUACCAAAGUUCAGGAUAUAGAACAAAGCAAAGUAUGCACAAGAAUGAAUAAAUAAGCAAGAUGGAGAUGGGAGCAUACUUGAACGACAAACGAGAGCGCUUACAUGGAAAUAGGGUUAGUGCACAAGUGUAGAGUAAUCACAUAUAAAUCACAAAACAGAUCAAAGUCAAUCAAUAUUCAAUCACAAAUGUUGGGCCUCACCAAAACCCAAUUUAUUUACAUUAAUUAAUUAUAAUGAAAAUAGGAAAUGCAUGCCAGAAGAGAAAUUUGGGUUCAAAAAUUUUAUUGAAAUCAACAUUUUAUUGCCAAGGAAAACCCAAUUUAUUUACACCACCAACUCCAUAUUUCCCAUUUUUCUACCUACUGCCAAUUCACUCCUUUCUCUGAGAAGAUUUUUGAGGUUAUUGUCAUGCUUGAGAUAAUCCAGAAAGUUGAGCGGCAUCACUCUCUGAAAGGUAUUUUAUAGCAUGGGUAAUGUGUGGGAUACAUCUGAUAGGCUGUUAUAUCCAUAAACCACCAUAUUAAACCAUGGUUCAUAUCCCCAACACCACACAAGAAUCUGUACUCAUCCCAAGCAACUUGGAAAUCAUAAAAUCAGGUUUUGAGCGCCUCCCAAGACAUGCACAGCUUCACCCUUUGUGCAUUCCUUUGAUUUGGAAAAUUUCUUCUACAGAAUUCCCCAUUAUCAUGCCCUAAACCAAGACAUAUCAUGAUCGGAUGGGCCCCUUUAUCAAUUUCACAAUAGCCAAUAACAUAUCAUUUACUUCUGUUUUGUCAACAGGAAUUAGCAUUUUGCAUGGGAAGCACCAACGAAGAUGAGGGUUUUCAAAUUGGAUCACCAACAGAGAAACCCAUUGCAACUAUUUGAAUAAUUGAGCACAACAUCGACUUUGGAAAACUUCUCUUAAAGGUGAAAUCAUCAUCUUGGCUAAACGUAGUCACAGUUAGGUUGUGAGCAAUAAUCACAGAGGGCUUUCAGUUUGAUAGCAACGAAAAGGUAAAUGUACUCGAGAGAAGUUCUGACUCUGGGAGAAGCACUCUUGAAUCCAAGUGAAGGUCUGUUCUGGAUCUUUUCCUGGCUCUCUCUGUUAAACGAAGAUAAUCUGCCCAGGAUUUGGAUGCAAGGCCAUGUUUAGGAGACUUAUGUAGAAUAUUUAUCCAUAGCUCCCUGCCAGAAACAUUUGCAUAAAGCGUCUUCCCGGUGUGAACCAUUGUCUUGCCUGGAAGUGUCGAGCAGCAAUAUGGCCUUCUUUUUUAUUAACUAUUUUGUCAAAUUCUAGAGCUCUCAUUCCAAAUCCAUCAGUUUUCUCAAAUGAUUGGCUAGUGGAGAUCCAUGGAUAUAACAUAUGAAUUGUGCACAACAAAAGCAAUCAAACGGUAUGUUGGUUUGGCUACAUUCCACAAUCGCAAAGACUUAUCAUGCGAAAUAGUUACCAAUUGCAUUGAAUUUUGCCUAAAAAGGAUAUUCGUUAUUACAAACUGGUGUUCUUCCGUGGUGCUCUCUCUUUGCAGGCUAUCCAUGUUCCAAAGAACAACUCUCUUGUCAUGUCUGGCACUGAUUAGAGAUUUCCCAUCUGAAGAAAAUCGACAACAGGUAGAUUUGCCAUUCUUGGUCUGUAUACAUCUAACCUUAGCAAGGGUUGAACCCUUUUAUGCUUAGUUGUGCCAUACAGAUCCUUACCACCGCCUGCAGCAUGUAAUCGAAAUGAUUCGAUAAUGUCAUCUAGUGAACCAAUACUUUCAAAUGAGAGACCACUGCCUCUGUAAGUAGGGCUCAUGACUGAGAAUUGCGUAAACCCCUUUGCUUGGGUUGAAACCUGACCGAUACACAAUAUUCAUAGGCCUCUUCCCAUAACUAGCACCUUGUGUUUGCAAUAGAAUUGAACAUGUAUUGAAGUGAGUUUUUUUGCAUUUUCUCGUAAGAAAAUUCUAAACAAUAGAGACUACUUAGUGUGCCCAGCCCUUCGGAGCAUCAAGGUCCAUUUCUAUAGAGGGCCAAUUGUUCCACAGUCGAAACAGAUAACAUGGAAAGUAUGCUACAAUGCUUCAACGGGAUAAUUCUUGGGAAAAUCUCUUCAAAUUGAUGAAUGGUAGUUUUUCAUUCUUAUUUCAUUCGUUCAUGUACAUAGUAUAUAUAGAGGGUAAUCACCAUUUUAAGAAUGAGAAAGAAUGAUACAAGAAAGGAAUGAUAUAAGGAAAGAACAACUAAUAUCCUAAUAUCUCAACAUUCCUAAUAUCUAAACAUUCCUAAUAUCUUAACACUCCCCCUCAAGUUGGUGCAUAGAUGUCACACAUGCCCAACUUGUCUAAAAAUUUUGAGAACACUCGACUUGAGACUGCAGCUUUGGUGAGGAUAUCGACCAAUUGAUCUUCUGAUCGAAUCUUAGGCAAUUCCACAAUCUUAUCAUCCAACUUCUCCUUAAUGAAGAAUCUGUCCACCUCGACAUGCUUUGUACAAUCAUGUUGUACUGUAUUAUGAGCAAUAUCACAUGCGGCUUUAUUGUCACAAAACAAUCGAAUUGGUUGCCUAGAUAGGUAAUCUAAAUCCUGUAAGAGGAGUCUUAGCCAUAAUGCCUCACAAAGUCUUAGAGUCAUACCCCUAAAUUCUGUUUCUGCACUUGAACGAGCGAUGACAUAAUACUUCUUACUUUUCCAUGUCAUAAGAUUACCACCUACAAAGGUAAAGUAACUAGAUGUAGAUCGCCUAUCAUCCACUACACCGGCCCAAUCAACAUCAAUAUAUACUUCUAUACUCUAAUGAUCAACAUUUUUAGUGAACAAAAUUCCCUUUCCAGGAGCAUUCUUCAAAUACCUCAAAAUACGCAUGAUUGCAUUCAUAUGUUGCUCUCUAGGAUUAUGCAUGUAUUGACUUACUACACUCAAUGCAUAAGCAAGAUCUGGUCUUGUUUGAGCUAAGUACAUUAAUUUUCCCACAAGUCUCUGGUAUAUUCCCUUAUGGGUUGAUACUUGAUUAGGCUCAAUACACAAUUUCAAACCUUCUUCUAUUGGUGUAUCAACAGGUUGACAUCCCAACAUUCCAGUCUCCUAUAAAAGAUCUAAGGCAUACUUUCUUUGAGACAGAAAAAUUCCUUCACUUGAUCAAGAAACUUCAAUCCCAAGAAAGUAUUUCAGAGAAUCUAGAUCUUUCAUUUCGAAUUCUCUAGAUAGAUAAUUUUGCAGAGCUUUUCUUUCUUCAGGAUCAUUUCCUGUAACUACCAUGUCAUCCACAUAUACGAUGAGUGUCGUAAUCUUACUAUGUUACUUUUUCAGGAACAAAGUGUGAUCUGAAUUACUUUGAUGAUAGCCAAAAUCUCUCAUUGACUUUGUGAACCUUUCAAACCAUGCUCUCGGGGAUUGCUUCAACCCAUACAAUGAAUUCUUCAAUUUGCACACCUUUUGAUAUUGCUUUUCUAACACCAUGCAUCGUGGUGGAAGAUCCAUAUAUACUUUUUCAGAUAACUCACUAUGCAGAAAGACAUUUUUCACAUUGAACUGUUGUAAUGGCCAAUCCAGGUUUGCAGCUAAAGACAGUAAUACUCGAACUGUGUUGAUCUUAGCUAUAGGUGCAAAUGUCUCUUCCUUCUUCUAUCACUUCUUUAGUUUCUGGGUGGUCAUUACUACUUGGUUCCAAAGUUGUACUACUCAUAUCCAACUCACCUGCUUCCUAGUUCACCUGUUCAGAUUGUCUAGAUUCAUCCUUUUCAUAGAUAUGAUAAUCAUAAUUGAGAGUUUGAAUUUCCUUCUGGUACUCCCCCUGAAGUUUAGACUCAAAUGAAGAAUACAUCGAAUCUUCAUGAAACACCACAUCCAUUGUAAUAAACAUUCGUCGAGUUGGAGGAUGGUAACAUCGAUAUUCCUUUUUGUGCAAUGCAUAUCCAACAAACACACAUUGCAAUGCACGAGAAGUUAACUUGGUGCGUUGGUGUUUGUGUAGAUGCACAAAUGCCAUGCAACCAAAAACACGAGGAGGUAGAUUUGAGACGGUUGAGGCAACUACGAUAUUAAUAAGAGCUUGGAGAGCUGUUUGGAAGCUAAUUGAGUUGAAAGGUACCUGAUUGAUAAAGUAUGUGACAGAUGUUAUUGUUUCCCCCCAAUAAGAUAUCGGUAUUUUUGCUGCUAUCAAGAAAGUACGAACAACCUCUAACAAGUGUCAAUUUUUUCGUUCAGCGACUCCAUUUUGCUGGGGUGUAUUGGAACCAUGGAAGAAAAUAUCGGUAAUCACGAAUAUAUCGGUACUUCGAUUUUAUGGAUAUAUCGGCGGAUAUUUUGGAAAAAAAUAUCGGUAGGCUUAAAAUUGUUAAAAACUCAUGGAAAUGUAAAGAAAACUUCAUAAUAAUAUAAUUAGAAGUAUAAUAGACAUUUUAAAGUUGUUUUGUAGAAAAAAUUGAUAUACAUAUGAUAUAAUUUGCGAUAUUAAAUGUAAUUAUAUCAUGUCGAUCAAUAAGAAAUGUUAAUUUUGUAAUUAUUCUCAUUAUAAAGUCACAUAAAAUACUUCAUUUCAUUAAAUAGCAAUAAUUUGUACACAUUACAUUACAAUGUCCCUUUAAUACCAAAAUGAGGAUCGAUGUGGUUCAAUGGGAUUGAUAGAUGAAGGAACGCCGUCUUGCUGUUGGAGACAAUAUUGGUACCAACUCAAUGAGCCUCGAUAAUAUUGGUUAAAAAUUCUAACAUGCCAUGCAUAUAUCUCUUGAGUCCUGCCCACUGCCUCUACAUGGAUAGGAUACUCAAAGUUCACCCAUGUGUUAAUGCCCAAUCCUCCUUCCAUCUGAUAUGGAACUUGGUAAGGCAUUUGUCUUGAAGGUGAAUAACGCGACAUACCAUACUCUUCAUCUGUUGAACUUGAAGGUUGACCAUAACUCAUCACAUGAGGAGAGUAGACAUCAGCCUCAUUCGAGGAGUCACUAAAUUGAGUUCCUAUACUCAUAGAUUCAAAACUCCCUGAAAGUAACUCCUCAUUAUAUGGUUCCAUCAUUCGUUCUCUUCCUCUAUAAGGCUUCCCAAUAGCUCCUAUGCCUGGACCAGCUCUUCUAGAGCCAUGGUCUUCAUCUUGUGUGCAGUGUGUGAAAGUAUUUUCAUAGGUGAAUUGGCUGACUGGAUAUUGACUAUGUUGACGUUCAUUAAUAUCUCCUCCCGCAUUAUCACCUCCAUCAUCAGUUCCACCUCUUGAACCAUCGUAACCAGAAGCAGAAGUACCUGCAGCACUAGGUCUACUACUAUGGCCAGCACUUGUGGAGUUAAUCUCUUGGUGGGAAUCAUCAGUAUCUUUGCUAAAACUUUCAGAGUGAACUUCUUCAGACAACACACGUUCAACAUUAACUCCAAAUUCUCGAGCAUGAGCAGCAAUUCGUGGAUCGGGAUUUCCAACUUCGUCAUCCAAGUGUAUAGGUCUCACCCAUUGGAACAACUGAUUAUCUUCUUCUUCACCCACCUCGACUGAAAUGUCAAGAAUAUCAAGAUAAUCUUUUUCAGCAACUCGAUCAUUUUCUGCCUCCAUAUCGCGUAACUUUAGCCUUAUAUUAUAGUAACAAAAAACUAAUUGCUCCAAUCGAGAGUAAGCCAAACGAUUUCGUUGCUUUGUGUGGAUAAGAGCAAACGUGCUCCAAUUUCUCUCACAGGCAGUAGAUGACGCAGUUUGUGAGAGAACUUUGAUGGCUAACUUUCUCAAUGUAGGUGUUUGAUUCCCAUACAUAAACCACCAUUCAGCUGCAACCAAUUUGAUAAUCAUAUAAAUACUUAUAUGGUGAAUUUACAAUAAUGAUAAUCAAUUUUUUCCUACAAAGACUCACCGGGCACCAUGGUUAACCUUGCUGCAAUUGCCGCCCGAUCACCGAAUCCUCUUUUUGCAUCUCGAAAAAGCACAAGCUAUGUAUUCAACAUUGAAUUUGUUAAUAUCAUAUUUGUUAGUAAACGUUCAAAUAAAUUGAUGAAUGAAAUUAUUGUUUUAUAGACAAAUAACAAUUUUUUAUUUACCUCAUUUCCAAAUUGACCAAGUGAUUCAGUAGUUGGAUCUAAUUUUGCAAAAACAUCAUGGACCGCUUGAAGUAGUUCCGGAUCACUACCAACUCCACGCCUAUAUUGAAAUCUUGGAUUCAAGAAGUAUGCUACAAUAAAAUUAAGUAGAGUUAGUUUUUUUUUAAACAAAAUUAAAUACAGAGUAAAAACUUAUAAAGAUAUAUAGUACUUAAGUACCUGCUGCAUGAAGUGGAUGUUUUAGUGUUUUCUCCCAACGAUCUUGUAUUAUUUUGAACAUCCAAUCUCCAGCUCCUUGACGCGUAAGGUUCUUUUUCAUCACGUGCAUAAGCUCAUACACAAAUGGCAUUGUGGGAACAACUUCAGAAUCCAUAAGUCGAAGCACCACGUAUAAUGGCUCAUAUAAUGAAACUAUAUUUGUCAUUCUGUCCCAAUACGCAUGGUCAAACAAUAAUUGCUCCAACUCUCGUCCAUGUUUUGUUCGACUUAGCUUGUGUUGUGCCCAAUCAUCACUCAUAAACAAUUUUUUCAAAUCGACCCUUUUUUUAAGAAGACUGUCAAGAGCAAUAUAAUUGGUAGCAAACCUUGUAGCUCCUGGUCGAACAAUGUCUCCACCACAAUACAAUCUCAUUUGUGCUAGUAACCAACCAUGAUUGUAAAUGAAGUUAGUUAUCUUGCGAGCAUUGUUUAUCACCUCGAUAACACUGGGUCUUUUACCAAUGUCUUCAAAGAUUAAGUCAAUGCAGUGCGCCGCACACGGAGUCCAGUAUAAGUUAUACUUCUUCAUCAAUUGUUUCCCUGCUUUCAUGAACGCCGACCCAUUAUCUGUGACAAUUUGGACCACAUUUUCUUUACCGACUUCUUUGAUAGCAGUCUUCAAUAGGUUGUAUAUAUAAUUGUGGUCUUUAAUAUAGUUCGAUGCAUCAACUGACUUAAGGAAGACCGUGCUCCCUUUAGAAUAAACCAUGAAAUUAAUAAUACUUAAUUUCGUGGGCCCUGUCCAUCCAUCUGACAUUAUUGUGCACCCAUAUGUCUUCCAUUUUUCUCUUUGUUGGUUCACAUAAGCUUCCAUUUCUCUGUACUCCAUUUCCAAGUACUUGUUCUUUAUGUCAAAUGGAGAUGGAGGUUCGAUUCCCAUUCCUGCACUUCAUAUAAAAAAAAAAUGUAAAACAUGUCACAAAAGACUAUACUUACUAAAAGUAUAGCACAAUAUAACAUUUCAAAAAUUAGUAAUUACCAGCUUGUUGUGCACCAAUAAUCAUAUUCUUGAAGUGAUGAGACUUUGCUUUUGCGGGUGCGACGCUCUCAUAAAUGAAGAAUUUGCUAAUUAAGCGUCCCAUCGUUUCUUUAAUUGCACCACCCUUGAAUAUAUCUUUGAUAUUUUUUUGUUUUGCUGUAGAAGACUUGUAAAGCGAAGGAGCAAUAGGGGGUGAUUGUUGCAAAUGUCGCAUACUAUGUGAUUUUCGCAUCAUCGACGGUAAUCCAGUAGACUGUGAAGACUCCCCCGUUUUGCGUUUGCUUCCUACAAUAUUCUCAUAUUGUUCACGUUCCCAUUCUGAUGCUUUCGAGGCACGAACUGCAGAUCGAUAUGCAUCCCGCUCAUCUGGGUGCAUAUCUGCCGGAUACAUAUACACAUCUUCAUUCUCAACAUCUUCAUCAUCAUCAUCUUCGUCUACCAAAUGUGUAUGAUGAGUCCCCAUUGUGCCACGUAAUUGAGCACGAAUUUCUUCAAUAUCUGCAUUUUUCUUUACUUUUGCUUUUGUUUUGUCAUGCACUAGGAAUCGUAUCUCUUCUUUCACUUCGGGCGGCACUCUCGGACACUUUUUGGUGUUGUUAUGCGGGUCUUUUUGCAUUAAAUGAAACUUGAAUCGCGUGAUGCCUCCACUUUUCAUCACCAACCCACAGAAAUUACAAAUUGUUCCAUUUCGGUUACCCUCAAUCGAUAAAUAAUACUUCCAAGUCGGAUCUCGCCCUAGCAGGGCAAAACCACCUUCACUAGCCAUGCUAAAUCUAUUGCAAUAAAAAUACACUUGAAUGUGAUUUCAAUGUAAACAAAAAUCAAGUCAAUAUUUAAAUUUAAAUAUAUGAGAAAUGUACAAAAUAAUGAUAAAGAAUGAACAUAGUUGAUAUUCCAUAUAUUUAGUUAAACUAAUUAAAUAAUUUAGCUAAGUUAAUUUUUUGAAUCUAAAUCUAAUUUUAUGAAAAAUUUACUAAAUUAAAAAUUAAUCAUAAUUGGAUAUGAAACUAAAUCAUGAUAAUUAUAAAAAUUGAACAUAUUUAAUAUUCCAUAUAUAGUAGUUCAUGUUAAUUAAACUAAUUAAAUAAUUUAGCUAAGUUAAUAUUUUGAAUCUAAAUCUAAUUUUAUGAAAAAUUUACUAAAUUAAAAAUUAAUCAUAAUUGGAUAUGAAACUAAAUCAUGAUAAUCAUAAAAAUUGAACAUAUUUAAUAUUCCAUAUAUAGUAGUUCAUUGGGGUUGGAAAGCUUCAUGAGAACCUUAGUAGAGCGGUUACAACCCUACUUAGCAUGUUAAUUAAAUUAAUUAAAUGUGAAACUAAAUCACAAAUAAUCAUCUAAAAUAAACAUAUCAAUUUAUAAUUAAAUAAUCAAAUUAACCUAAGUCAAUUCAAUAAAAAUAUACAAAUUAAUUACUAUUGAAUAUAAAAAUAACAUUAAAUCAUCCAUAUUAAUUACAAUUGUAAACAAAAUUAAUUACAAUUUAAAAAAAACAUACCUUAAAAUUGGAGUAAUGAGAGAGCAAAUGAAGAAUGAAAGCAAAAAUGGGUGAAAUUGAUGGAAAAAUGGCUAUUUAUAGAAGAAAUUUGGGCCAAAAUAGCCGUUGGAACACCAAUUUACCGUUGAAAUUCAAAUCUGGCCGUUGGAUCACAAACUGGGACAAAUCUGGUCGUUGGAUCACAUUAUUAACGUUGGAAUCGCAUCUGGGCCGUUGGAUCAACGCGGGCGUGAUCUGGGCCGUCAGAUCGCGCUGGAGAGAGGAGCGAAAUAUCCCCAAAAAGUCGGCGAUUUAUCGGCGAUUUUCCGCGGCCACGGCGAUUAUUUGGAGAAAUCGCCGAUUUAUCGAUUUUCACCGAUAUAUCACCGAUUUAUCGGCGAUUUAUUGGCGAUUUUUUGCGAAAAAUCGUCCCCCGAUUUUUCUCCUGGAAAUGCCGUGUCGCCGCCUCCCGAUACAAGAUAUAUCGGCGAUAUUUCGCCGAUAUUUCGCGAUAUUUUCCUCCAUGAUUGGAACAAGUAGUUUGAUGAAUGAUGCUAUGUCCUUUCAAAUACUUUUGAAGAUCAGGACUCUGAUAUUCUCCACCAUUAUCGCUACGUAGAACCCGAACAUUUGCAUUGUACUGAGUUUCAAUCAUUUUAUGAAAUUUUUGAAACAACAAGUUCACUUUAUCUUUAGUCUUCAUCAAGCAUAACCAUGUCAUUCUGGUACAAUCAUCAAUAAAAGUAACAAACCAACGCGAACCACUCAAAGUUAGGACUUUGGAUGGGCCCCAAACAUCAGAAUGUAUAACCAUAAAAGGAAAUGGACUUUUAUUCAAAAUUAACGGAAACAAAGCACGAUGACUUUUAACCAAUUCACAAAUAUCACAACGGAAACCAGAAAUAUCACUCUUUGCAAACAAACUAAGAAACAAUUUUUUUAAAUAACCAAAGGAAGCAUGUCUCAAACGUCGAUGCCACAACCAAAUUUCAGACUUUUUUUUCUCCCCCUCAGAUCCAUCUGCCAUCAAGGCUUGUUGCAACUUAUUUGAAUCCUUUGACCGUAAGUCCAAGUAAUAGAGUUUUCCCCACUUAAUACCACAACCAAUCGUCUGUCUUGUUUGGAUGUCCUUAAAAACACAAAAUUCAGGCUAAAAAAUGACAAUACAAGAUAAGACUGCAGUGAUUUGAGAAACUGACAAAAGAUUGUAAUUUAAAUAUGGAACAACUAAAACAUAAUCCAAAUUCAAACUAUCAGUAAGAGUUAAGGAUCCUUCCCCAAUGAUUGGGGUUGUGUUACCAUUGGCUGUGGAAACAAUUUUUUGUGAAGAAGGUCUAAGGGGUGAGACCUGUCUAGAAUCAAAAGUCAUAUGAUUUGUAGCACCAUAAUCAAUUAUCCAUGCACUAUUAAUAACAGGUGUAGAAAUAUUUAAAAACUUACCACCAUAAUUUGUAGUGGUUAUCAAUGCAGAGGCUUUCUCAGCAACAUUAGCCUCUGUUUUUAUUUCGGCAACAGCUGCAGUUGAGGUUUUCUUGGAAUCUUUCUUCCGUUGAUCACGAUUAUGAUCCCACCAGUUUGAAUAUCCCACAAUUUCAAAGCAACGACUCUUGGUAUGACAAGUCUUAUUACAUUGAGUGCAUUUGAAGGUUGACCAGAAGGAUUGAAAAAACAAUAGUAUUUUUUUCACUCAUUUUUUUUUUAUCUUGAAAAAAUGGGCGAUGGCUGGCCUUACCGACAAAAUAUCCAGAAUUUCAGUUCCAUGGCUUUGAUACCAUCUUCAAAUUGAUGAAUGGUAGUUUUUCAUUCUUAUUUCAUUCGUUCAUGUACAAAGUAUAUAUAGAGGGUAAUCACCAUUCUAAGAAUGGGAAAGAAUGAUACAAAGAAGGAAUGAUAUAAGAAAAGAACAACUAAUAUUCUAAUAUCUCAAAAUUCCUAAUAUAAGGAAUGAUAUAAGGAAAGAACAACUAAUAUCCUAAUAUCUCAACAUUCCUAAUAUCUCAACAAAAUUCACCUAAAACUGGUACAAUUCGUUGGCGUACAGAGUUUGUGGAGCUCCAUUGACUUCAACCACCCAUCUUUGUAGAUUAUUGAUGACUUUAUGCUCGAAUCCCACAUGAGGAUUGACUUGACAUUCUGCCAGCUCUUUCCGGAAGGCGAUCUUGCUUAACACCUUGUGAGAAGGAGCAGAGGAAUUGGACAUUGUUUCCUCGAGAAGAUCAAAGUGGCCAAUGAUGGGUUUGGACCAGAAUUGCUAUCUGGAUUUUCUUUAGGUGAACCAAUUAGUGGAGUGGGUGGCUAUGCAACAAUUGAAGGGUGGCCAUACUAAUAAGGAGCUAUUAUUUCAUGCACAUGGAGAGAAAAGAAGUAGCUUCUUCAAGGAUUUAUGAUUAUUCAUCUCCAGCUUGCGUUGAAUAUCUCUUGAUCGAAAAAUUUCUGCUCUGGAGCUCCCUUAGUUUCACUACAACCAACUUGGCCAACUUGGUUUCAUCAUGUUUCCUACAACCUCCAGGCAAAGCAUUCCAGAUCACCGAAUCAGGUUCCAUUGGCAUUUUGUUCAUAAACUCCUUUGCCUAUUGACAACAGACUACCCCUCAAAAUUUGAUGAGAUAACAUUAAUGCUGACAUGUUGGCCAUCCCCAUAAGCAUCUUUAUAGAGAUUGAUUUUGCGUUUAGAUAUUUCUCUAUCCUCAAGUGAGUUCAACUUUUCUAUAACAUCCUUCUCCUUCUCCACUAAUAGUCUUAGCUGAACAUCCAACCUAUGUUCCCAAAGUGCUAGUAUCUCGUAUCUGAUGACUAGCCAACAACCUUGCCCUUGCUGAGACCCAAAUAAGUAUCUACAACCAUCAACAUCAACCCUCUCACAUGCCUUUGUAUUUGAAUGUUGGAUUGGGAUUGCUUUGAAUGCACUAGCACUGCAAUAAACAAUUGUUUCUUUUCCAAUAAAAACACCACAAAGAGGUGAGGGGACCGUGUUAAAGAUAUGGACUCACAUAUUUAUCAAUGGUUCAUGACUAAGCUAUUCGUCUUUCGCAUAUUUGUUUUUUAUCGGUUUUCUAAAGUAUAGGACACCUCAUGUGUAGAGCCCAAUACCAUAUGUGUCUCAGAUGAUGGGCCUGAGACACAUAUGGCCCAAUCUUUUAAACGGAGUGGUCCCUAAGGCAGAAGGGUAUAAAUAUAAAGGCUAAGUGUUUGCUCAUCAUGAUCACAUCUUUUGAAAUAAGAACAGAACCCGCUCUCUCCCGCUCCUAUCGUUAGAGAAAAUAACAGAGAAAUGUGGUGCCCUCCAUAGCCUUAGAAGAUCCAUACCUUAUCCAUCUUGGGAAAUAAUGGACUCAAGUAUGUUCCAAGAAAUGCAAAAGCAAGGCAUGUUUUCCAUGAUUGAAAUAUAUAUACAUUCAAUUUCUGUUGUUUGGGUAAUAAUGGAGAAUAAAAUAUUCACAUAGACCGGUAUUAGCAAAGCAGUCUUGUUGUCUAGAUUGUUCUGGGCCCGAGUACCCUCUACAAAAUCUUCAUCCUCAUUUGUACUCCUCCAUUAUAUUCCUAGGCGUUUCAAUGUGAUCCACAUGGCUUACAGGUAUCCAUAAAUACCGGUCUGUAUAAAAGUUGCUCUUAUGGGGCUCUUCUAGAAAACAUGCCAAUCAAGAUGAUCAACCUAGCUUAGAUGCUCAGCACCUCGAACUUACCAGAAAUAGAGGAAUAAAAAGCAAGGAUAGAAGCCAGAGUAAAAAUUGAGGGAAUAGCGAAUAGGAAAUCAAGUAAAACAUGAAUGUACAAAGCCUCAUUUCAGAUGACAUCCAUGGGCUAAUAACAAGUGGAAUUAACAAAGUACACAAACAUGAUUCUUAUAAAUAUCAAGUUCAGGGAUGAAGUCGUGCAUCAGCUACUUACAGGAGAAGUCAAGGAAACCAAGAUAAAGAUCAAAGAGAGCAUGUAUGCAAAUAAACAGAUUCAGCAAAAUAGACCAAACAGCUCGUGAUGGCCACACCAAUCAACAAGAUAACUUCCAGACAUUUGUAGAAAAAUGGAGCAGAAUAAUGUGAAAAUGAUAGAGUGCAAAGUUCACGGUGACCAUACCUGCAAGUCUCAUCUCCAAGCAGAGUUUGCUCGACUUUAAGUGUUUUCUUGCAUCUUUCUCCACAGCACAACUUUCUUCUGUUGUUCUCUCUCAAAACCUACUCUCUUAGAAUAUCAUAAUCUUUCAUUCUUUGCUCUCUAAUGUGUCUUUCUCUACCUCUCUCUCACAGUCCUGUUGCCCCCAAAACCUCCAUUAAAAAAAAUCCCAGAAUACUCCUGCUUUCACCGUUCCCAGGCCAUUGUCCCUCCCACAACUCCUCACAGCUUUUUUCUUUCAGCCUCGAGACAUUCUGCAGCUCCUCAAACAGCCUCUGCUACAUUUUCUCCCCUAGUUUCCCCUUUUAGAAAAUCACUACUCCACUCUCUGAAAAAGUGGUCUCUAACCAACCUCCACUAGAGAGAAUAUCCUCUCUAAUAGCUCACCUGUCCUGCGAAAAAAAAAAAAACUACUACAUGUGGCAAAAAGUGAUGAAAAAAACAAAAGGAAGUCUGACUCACCUCUCUUGCAAAAUAUAGUGUACUACACAUGGCAAAAAAGUGAUGAAAAAAAGUUGGUCUACAUAGACAUCCUAUUAUAUCAUAUCAUUUCAAAUCCAAAGCAACAUGUAUUUUCAAUGGGAUUUGUUGUGAUGAGUUUUACAGGAUUGUAACACGUAAAUAUGUUAAAAGAAGCUUGGGACCUUCCUAUAGUAACACAUAAAGGUACUUCCAUUGUGAAGUUGUCAAAAUUACAAAGUUUGAAAACAUAGAGAUGAAAGAUGAUGAAUCUUCUUUGAAAUUUUAUAUUGAACUCAUUAAUAUUAUUAAUUCUCAUUUCAGUAUAGGGGAAAUGAUUCUUUACUCUAAAGUGGUAAAAAAAAAUAUUAAAAUUUCUCAUCGAGAGAUUUAGACCUAAAGUGAUCAAUAUAGAAGAAAGUAAAAAAUUCUGAGUGUAGGUAAACUUGUAGACUCAAAUGACUACCAUCUCAUAAAAAUCCUCAAUUUUAUAAAUUAUAUAGAUUUCUUCAUUUGAUACAAAAUUUGAAUAAAUAUUUUUCCAAUGACAAUACAAGGAAAGAAAAAAAAAAAAAAAAACUCUCUAGAUCAUAUUAUUUAAACACUUAAAUUAUUUUAAAAUAAAAAUGUUUAUUGCUAACAUUAUUUAGGUUCAUCUUUCUUUUGAUGGAGGUUAAAAUUCACAAUUUGGAGGAAAAAAUGAGGAUUCUGAUUUUUUUUUUCCAUGUAUGAAUGGGAUUCUCAUCGUGUAUAUGCAGGUUACUCAAUGGUAGAUUUCAGCCACCAAAGUCCUGCAAUAUGAGGAAAAAGAUGAAGUUGAGUUUGUCACCAAGAACAGACAUGACUCCUAUAAAGGUGGCAUCCUUAAUUUCAUGUCUGGAUUGGACUUGUCAUGUAACAACUUAACAGGUGAAAUCUCUCAUGAACUUGGAAUGUUAAGUUUGAUUCAUGCAUUGAACUUGUCUCGCAAUCAACUAAAGGGCUCCAUUUCAAAUAGUUUUUGCAAUCUUUCUCAAAUAGAGAGCUUAGAUCUUUUUAAUAAUAAACUAAGUGGAGAAAUUCCUCCAAAAUUGGUUAGACUAACUUUUUUAGUGGCGUUCAAUGUGACUCACAAUAGCAUCUUUGGAAGAGUUUCAGAUAUGAAUGCAUAAUUUGCAAUAUUUGAUGAAAGUAACUAUGAAGAUAAUCCUUUCCUUUGUGGACCACCAUUAAAGAGAAAAUGCAGCAUAAAUGUUAAGCCACCUUACCCACCAUUAGAGUCUUAAAAAAAAAGUGAUGCAAAAUGGUAUAAUAUCGAUCUUGUGGUUUUCUUUGCAAGUUUUACUAUAUCAUAUAUCAUGAUAUCAUUAGGAAUUUCAACCAUUCUUUACAUUAACCCUUAUUGGUGUCAAAGAUGGUUCAAUUUUAGCGAGAAAUAUAUAUACUUCUUUAUGCCAAUUUCACCAAUCUUUUGUUUUUAUUUUCAUGUAUCAUUCCUUUUUUGGUUAUUUAAUUAAAAGGAUAUAUUCACAAGAAUAACCUUCAUAUUUUAAAAACAUAAAAUAAACAUUUUUUUUUUAUAAAAAUACCCUCCAACUAUAAUUUUUAUAUGUCCCUAUUUCAAAUCCAAACACUUCUUUUAAUAAUAAUAAUAAUAAAUAAGGGCAAAAAUGUCAAACUGGGAUUAUAUUUAUAAUUUUCAAUAAUUAGAGGUUGUUUUUCCAAAGUAAAAAUUAUUUUGUUCCUUUGGCACAAAUGUUUAUUUCUUUUAUGUAUUUUUUUAUUCAAAAUAUUAAACACAUUACCCUCAAGGUUACUAUUUAUUAUGAAUGGUGUUUACUUUACAUAACGACAUAUUCAAAAAAUUUAGAAUUUUUUAAUGUUAAAAUAAUUUGGAGCUUAAUAGGGAAAAAAAAGAAUAAAUAAUUAGAAAAGCAAUUCAAAAAAAUAAAAUUUAUCCUCUUAAAUUGGUUUUGUGUAAUACUAUAGAAGCCAUUUCUUGAGUUUGAUAUGGUAGAAUUUGGAUUCAUAUUUAUUUUAAAAUCAAGAAAUUCAAGUGUUGGUAGCAUCAAUAGAAUCUUAACAAAUUUGCAAAAAAAUAUUUAGGUAGAUCACAUUUAAAUAUAGCUAAUAGAAUAAAAAAUUAGUAUUAUUAGAAAGACAUGAUCAAUUAAAUCUUUUUUCUUAUCUAUGACACCGACUUUAUUUUUUUACAUAGUCAAUAUAAUUUAUUACAACUUAUAUGUCAUUAAAUUAUACACGUUUAUAUUAAAUAUAAUAUAAGAUCAUUAAUGGAAUAAUUAUGCAAGUAAUAUAAAUUGUAUAUAAUAUAAAAAAUUUAAACUCCAUCAAACUAAUGGAAUCUAUUAUAAUAAGUAGACUAGACUCCAUGUUGGCCCGAGUUGGAGGCCUGGGCCAGAUUUUAAAGGCUGGGCUUUGAGUUGCCCGUGGGCCUGAGCCAAGGCCUUCUCUUGGUAUCAUCAUUUUGAAGAAAUAAAUUGCUGAUACAGAGAAAAAAACUAUACUAAAUAGAAAAAUAAAUAAAAGCAUUGACUAAAAUGAAGGUCAAGGUCCUUGAAAAAUAAUCUUUAAAUUGUUGCAUAUAUAAUUUCAAUAAUGCAUAAAUAAUUGCAAUAUAUAUGAUAUGAUAAAGAAUUUGGAAUUAAAAGAAGAUUGAUCUAUUUUAAAUGUGGUUGGAAUAUUUCUAAAUUUGUGAUGGGAAGUUAGACAGCCAAUUAGGGAUCCAUAUUAUUUAUUUUCAAUGAUAUGAAUUUAUUUACUUUUAUUAAUAUUCUUAAUGCAACAAUAUAAAAUAUGUCAAUUUUCUAAAAUUAAAAAAGUAAUUGUAAAAGAAAAUUUUUAAUUAUUUUUCUGAAAUUGAGUUUAUUAUAACAUUUUUCUUUACAUAAAUUUCGUUUUUAUUUUUAUUUUUUUAAAAAUGAGAUAUGAAAAAAAAAGAUCAAUAUUAGUAAAAGUAAAACCCAAUAUAUAAAAAAAAAUGAAUAAAUGUUUAUGAAAUAAGAUUUAAAAGUGAGAAGGUAAUAUAUUUUUUCUCUUUUAAUUCCUAUUCAAUUCAUUACAAAAAAUAUUUUUGGUUUUUAUGCUAAAAUUUAUUGUUUAUUCAAAAAUUCUAGUAUAUCUAGCUAUCAUAGAAGAGCUCCAAAAUUUUAUUGUUUAAGAGAAUAUGUGUUGCCACUUUAAAAGAUUUAUAUGCAAAAGGGAUUGAUAUUUUUUUCCUUUGGAUAUGUUUAGUUCCCGGAAAAUUUGAGGGAAAAUGUGAGGGAAGAAAAAUAGAGAAGAAAAGUAUAACGAAAUAAAAAGUGAAAGAAAAUGAAAAAUAGAUUUAAAGUUAAUAAAUUAUUUUCAUUGGUUUUUUCAAACUUAUUUUACUUAUUUUAUUCUAUUAAAUAAAGAUUAACUAAUUUUAAUUAUAUUUGGUUUGAUUUUUAUUAUUUUUCAAAGCAAAACCAAAUAUGAAAAAAAAAACAUUUUUUUUUGUUAGUUUUUUCUUUCCUUAUUACUUUUCAGGACUCAAACAUAGCUUUUAGAUUUGGAGCAUGGAAAGAUAAGAGUAUUGAAUAAAGGUUCUAUAUAUGCCCAUGCCCAUGCCCAUGAUACCAUUGAAAAAAAUGGAGAGAGGGUGAAACCUUUACUAGAUGAUAAAUUAUUCUCUUCAAUGGAAAUCAAAUAUAAUUAUUUUUAUCUUGUAUUAAUUGAAUGUUAUACUCCAUAAACUCAAAAUUAAAAUAAAUAAAUAAUUUAAAAACUAGGACAAUCCCAUUUUUUUUCAAUUUCUUAAAAAGAAAUUAAAUUAUAUUUAUUUAUAUCUAUUUUCAUCCCUACCCAAAAAAAUAAAAAAAAUUAACAAGGUGGGACAUGUAUGAGAAAUUCUCACACUAACUCUCUCUAGUUUAUUUUUUAUUUUUUUAAAAAAAUCAAUUUAUUUUAAAAAAAAAUUAAACUACAUAAAAAAUAAACAAAUUUUACAAUUUUUUUUAAGAAAAGUAAAUUUCUUAUUUUAUAUAUGUUAAAAAUAAAUAUAAUCUUUUAUUUUUUAUAUAUAUAAUCGGGUAAGAUAAAGUGGGACAAAGAAAUAAUCCCCUUCGAUUCCAAUCUGAAUUUUUAAAAUAUAAAAUAAAAAUCUUAAACUCAUCCCAAAUUCAUUUAUUUUUAAUCCUAAACUUGUCUUAUUAAGAAUAAGACAAAGAGAGUACAUGAAAACACUUCUUUUAUCAUCAUCUCUACAAGUUCUAAUGUUUAGACUACAAUCCAUAUCAAAGAUUUAUAAAGAAAGAACAACAAUGAAUUUCAUAAACAUUUGAAAGCAUAUACAAAGUUUUAAAUAAUAUUGCUUGAGGUGCAAAUAUUAUUUGGCGCACAUGUUGAGGGACUUCAACUGGUGUAGUCUAGGUUUUUUACACUAGUAAGUAAUCUUGAAUAUCUAGAGUAACUUGAUCAAAAUCUCUUUAAUUUUAUUUUCUUUGAUGGUUGUAUGAUGAAUUAGAAUGCUUAUAUAACAUGAUUAAAAAAUUUAAGAAAAAAAAACUAAGAAGAAAGAAAGAAGCACCGAUCUUCCAAAUAUUGCUUCCACUUUAAUAUCUAGAAGGCUCUAAGAAAAGAACUUUAUUCAUGAAUCAUAACCCAAGUCGAAAAUAAAUUGAACCCAUUUUCUAAGUUAAAAUUUGAAUUUUUUUACUGAUGAAUGCAAAUUGGGAAAAUGUAUAUAAAUAUAAUUAAACUAGAAUAGUAGGUUAGGUUUGUAGGUGGAGUUUGUUUGAAUUGUUGGAACUUCCAAGUCGUUGUGGGUCUAGUGGUCUCAUAGCUCUCUAUUAAUUUCCACCAUCAAUUUUCUACAAUAAAGUCAAGUCAUUCCUAACCCCUAUAUUAAGUUGGCCUUAAAAGUUAAGUCAUUGAUCAUAGUUACAUUCAUGAAUCACAACCCAAGUUGAAAAUAAAUUGAACCCAUUUUCCAAGUUCAACUUUGAAUUUUUUACUAGUGAAUGCAAAUUGGGAAAACAUAUAUAAGUAUAAUUAAACUAAAAUAGUAGAUUAGGUUUGUAGGUGGAGUCUGCUUGAAUUGUUGAAACUUCCAAGUCAUCGUGGGCCCAGUGGUCCCAUAGCUCUCUAUUAAUUUCCACCAUCAAUUUUUUGCAGUAAAGUCAAGUCAUUCCUAACCCCUAUAUUAAUUUGGCCUUAAAAGUCCAGUCAUUGAUAGCUAAAUCCCAACCCAAGUCAAAAAUAAAUUGAACCCAUUUUCUAAGUUCAACUUUGAAUUUUUUUUAAUUGGAAAAAUGUAUAUAAAUACAAUUAAACUAGAAUAGUAGAUUAGGUUUGUAGGUGGAGUCUGCAUGAAUUUGUGAAACUUCCAAGUGGUCGUGGGUCUAGUGGUCCCAUAGCUCUCUAUUAAUUUCCACCAUCAAUUUUGUGCAAUAAAGUCAAGUCAUUCAUAACCCCUAUAUUAAGUUGGCCUUAAAAGUCAAGUCAUUGAUCAUAGUUACAUUCAUGAAUCACAACCCAAGUCGAAAAUAAAUUGAACCCAUUUUCCAAGUUCAACUUUGAAUUUUUUACAAUUGAAUCCAAAUUGGGAAAACAUAUAUAAGUAUAACUAAACUAAAAUAGUAGAUUAGGUUUGUAAGUGGAGUCUGCUUGAAUUGUUGAAACUUCCAAGUCAUCGUGGGCCCAGUGGUCCCAUAGCUCUCUAUUAAUUUCCACCAUCAAUUUUUUGCAAUAAAGUCAAGUCAUUCCUAACCCCUAUAUUAAUUUGGCCUUAAAAGUCCAGUCAUUGAUAGCUAAAUCCCAACCCAAGUCAAAAAUAAAUUGAACCCAUUUUCUAAGUUCAACUUUGAAUUUUUUUUAAUUGGAAAAAUGUAUAUAAAUACAAUUAUACUAGAAUAGUAGAUUAGGUUUGUAGGUGGAGUCUGCAUGAAUUUGUGAAACUUCCAAGUGGUCGUGGGUCUAGUGGUCCCAUAGCUCUCUAUUAAUUUCCACCAUCAAUUUUCUACAAUAAAGUCAAGUCAUUCCUAACCCCUAUAUUAAGUUGGCCUUAAAAGUCAAGUCAUUGAUCAUAGUUACAUUCAUGAAUCACAACCCAAGUCGAAAAUAAAUUGAACCCAUUUUCCAAGUUCAACUUUGAAUUUUUUUACUAGUGAAUGCAAAUUGGGAAAACAUAUAUAAAUAUAAUUAAACUAAAAUAGUAGAUUAGGUUUGUAGGUGGAGUCUGCUUGAAUUGUUGAAACUUCCAAGUCAUCGUGGGCCCAGUGGUCCCAUAGCUCUCUAUUAAUUUCCACCAUCAAUUUUUUGCAAUAAAGUCAAGUCAUUCCUAACCCUUCUAUUAAUUUGGUCUUAAAAGUCCAGUCAUUGAUAGCUAAAUCCCAACCCAAGUCAAAAAUAAAUUGAACCCAUUUUCUAAGUUCAACUUUGAAUUUUUUUAAUUGGAAAAAUGUAUAUAAAUAAAAUUAAACUAGAAUAGUAGAUUAGGUUUGUAGGUGAAGUCUGCUUGAAUUUGUGAAACUUCCAAGUCGUCGUGGGUCUAGUGGUCCCAUAGCUUUCUAUAAUUUCCACCAUCAAUUUUCUGCAAUAAAGUCAAGUCAUUCCUAACCCCUAUAUUAAUUUGGCCUUAAAAGUCCCGUCAUUGAUAGCUACGUUCAUGAAUCCCAACCCAAGCCAAAAAUAAAUUGAACCCAUUUUCUAAGAUCAACUUUGAAUUCUUUUAAUUGGGAAAAUGUAUAUAAAUACAAUUAAACUAGAAUAGUAGAUUAGGUUUGUAGGUGGAGUCUACUUGAAUUUGUGAAACUUCCAAGUCGUCAUGGGUCUAGUGGUCCCAUAGCUCUUUAUUAAUUUUCACCAUCAAUUUUCUACAAUAAAGUCAAGCCAUUCCUAAACCCUAUAUUAAUUUGGCCUUAAAAGUCAAGUCAUUGAUAGUUAUGUUCAUGAAUCACAACCCAAGUCUAAAAUAAAUUGAACCCAUUUUCCAAGUUCAACUUUGAUUUUUUUACUAGUGAAUGCAAAUUGGGAAAACGUAUAUAAAUAUAGUUAAACUAGAAUAGUAUAUUAGGUUUGUAGGUGGAGUAAGCUUGAAUUAUUGAAACUUCCAAGUCGUCGUGGGUCUAAGGGUCCCAUAGCUCUCUAUUAAUUUCCAUCAUCAAUUUUUAUGAAUUAAGAUUUAAAAGUGAGAAGGGAAUAAAUUUUUUCUUUUUCAAUUCAUUACAAAAAAUAUUUUUGGUUUUUAUGCUAAAAUUUAUUGUUUAUUCAAAAAAUUAAAGUAUAAAAAUAUAAAAAAUAUAUAUAUAUAUAUAUAUAUAUAUAUAUAUAUAUAUCUUGCUAUUAUAGAAGAGCUCCAAAAUUUUCGUGUUUAAGAGAAUAUGUGUUGCCACUUUAGAAGAUUUAUAUACAAAAAGGAUUGAUGUUUCUCCUUUGACUAUGUUUGGUUCCCAUAAAUUUGAGGGAAAGAAAAUAAAUAAAAAAAUAGUAAAAAAGAAAAAAUGAAGGAAAAUAAAAAAUAGUUUUAAAGUAAAUAAAUUAUUUUUAUAUGCUUUUUCAAACUUAUUCUACUUAUUUUCUUUCAUUAUAUAAAGAUCAAAUAAUUUUAAAAUGCAUAAAUUUCUAACUAAUUUUAAUUAUAUUUAAUUUUUCUUUUAUAUUUUUUAGACGGGAUCCAACACAUGAAAAAAUCCAUUUUUUAGCAUCUUUUUUUCUUUUCUUAUUACUUUCUAAUAACCAUAUAUAACCUUUAGAUUUAGCCUAGACUUGGAGUAUGGAAGGAUACUGAGUAUUGAAAGAAGGUUUUGUAUAUGGCCAUGAUACCAUAGAAAAAAUAUGCGAGAGGGAAAAAACCUUUAUUAAAUGAUAAAUUAUUUUUUUCAAUGGAAAUCAAAUAUAAUUAUUUUUAUAAUAAUUACUUUAUUUUUAAAAAAAAUAAUAAUAAAAAAAAUAAUUUGUUGUUGCAUAAAGUAUUCUUGCAUUUGAAGAAGCAUGUUACUACUUACUACAUAAAUAGAUAUUCAUGGAGUGCAUUCUCUAAAAAGCUCCAGUCUCAUGAAAAUAGAAAGAUGGACCGGCCGGUGAACCGGUUCGAGUUUGGAUUUAUGGGCUACCUCAGCCUUACACGCAUGAUAGGCUGUUGCAGGUGAAGAACUAAUUAAUUUAAAGCGUUCUUCUAUCCUCUCCUAUUCCUCAGUGUAUUUAAACUAAACAUUAGGAAGGGUGACUAAAAUUAACCCUCUAGGUAUAUAUGUUUACCAAAAUUUUUAUUGUUUAUUUUUCAUUUAAUGUUUGCAUUUAAACAUUGAAAAUGAAUUGUUUUUCCAUAUGUUAACAAAAAGAAAUUUGAACACCUAUAAAAAUGAAAUCUUGUAGUAAAAUUGGAGUUACAUUAUCAGACUUUUAACGAGUGUUUAUGUUUAGAAAGGCCAAUUAAAGCAAGCAUGCAUCUAGAAAUUGUAACUUAGAUGCAUCAAACAUGAGCAACAUAUUUGAUAUAACUAAUAGUUUCUUAAGUAACUAAACACUUCUUUUUCUAUAAAUUUACUUGAUUAUCGAUGAAUACUUACAUAUAUUUACAUAGUUUGAUAAAUAUUUUAAAAUAGUAUUAGAAUAACUUUGUUUUUUCUCAAUUAUAUUAGAAAAUAAUAUAAAGUUACUUAUAAACUUUAUAUCAUUUUCUCAAAGUCAAGUCAUUUACAAUUAUUUCUAUCUAGCCUUCUCCAUUAUGACAACUUUUAUAUGAUAGUCGUUGAUUGGAAGAAUCUACACGUCUUUUUUGAUAGGAUAGUUGUUUUUAUUAUUUUUAUGAUUUUUAUUUUUUUUAUUCCAAAAUUUUGCUUCUAUCAUUGAAACUUUCAAAUCUUUUAUAUAUAUUACCAAUCAUUUUACAAGUGAGUUAAUUUCACUUAGGGUAGAUAUACUUAGCCACACCCCUAUAGAUGUAAUUUGUGUUUAAAUUUUAUUUUUUAUUCAGGUAAAAAUAUCUUAGGUAUAUGUGUUCAACAAUUCUCUAAAAAAUAAAUUUUCUUAUCUAAAAGUUUAUAUAGACAAAAUAUAUCUAUAGAAGUCCUAACUAAUGAAAUUUAAAAUCAAUGGUUGUUUAGUGUAUUUACAUUAAACCUUAUGGGGUAUGAUUGAAAUUAACUCUUUUACAAGCACUUGUAGCUUAUAUGUUUGAAGUUGUAGUGUUGGAAAUUGAUCAUUUUCUUGAAGGCCUCUAAGAAAUUGGAAAUAUUGCCAUAGUUUUAGACUUUUUUUAUUACACCUAAUAAAAAAUAUUAUUAAUUUAACAUAUAUAUUCUUGACUUAAAAGUAAAGUCUCUCCAUAUUGUAUGAGCCCUUAGGUGACAAUAUUAGGUGAAGUUUUUCUUUCGUUUAUUAAAAAAUAUAAAUAAUUUAUUAUUGUAUGAUAAAAUUUUAUGUAAUAUAUUUUUAUAGAUGUAAAAUUAUUAAUUGGGUUUUAUUUUAUUUUUACUAAAUUGUCAUUUCAAUAUAUAAAACUUAUUUGUAAAAAGACAAUUAUAAACUAUAUGAAAUUGAAAAACAUUUAGUUUUUUUAUUUAAUUUAGAAUUUUAUUUGGAUUAAUAAUUGAUAUUUGUAAGAUUUUUUAAUAUUUAAAAAAGUUAUCAUACUUAAGAAAGAUAUUCAAGAUCGGGAGUGUUUGAUAUUGGAUUAAUUUCCUUAUUUUCUCUAUUUUAAUAAAUUUUCACGUUCAUUACAAAAUUUUUGUUGUUUAUUUUUCACUUCAAUAUUUUUAUUUUGUAAUAGACAUUUGAAAAGAUUUUUUCCUACAUGUAAAAAAAAAAUAUUUGAACACUCCUAAAAAAGAAAUAUUGUAAUAAAAUUAAAGUUUACACUGUAGGACUAUUAGCAAGUGCUAUAUACAUAAAAUAGACCAAUUAAAGUAGAAAUACUUCUAAAAUUGUAAUUUAGGUAACAAUAAUAUAAAAAGAUAAUAUUUUUGAAACAAUAGUUCUCUUGGAGUUUUGGGUACGAUGGACUAGACUUUAUGUAACAACAGAUAUCCAAACUUUCCAUUAACAUCUUAAGAGACAUGAUGAGGAGCAAAGUCAUCCUAGAAGGUACCAUAGAGGUACCUUAGCUCCAUUCAUCUAGACUACAUAAUGUUUAAAGAUCAAAUUCAAUGACUAGCUAGAAGGUACCAUAGAGGUACCUUAGCUCCAUUCAUCUAGACUACAUAAUGUUUAAAGAUCAAAUUCAAUGACUAGAUUUCAAAAAUCAAUAUAAGCUUUCUCAUAUUCUACUCUAUAUAAGGCAAUGGUAUGAUACCUCUCUUGUGUCAUAGAAUACACCAUGAAAACCUUAUCAUUUUAACAUCAGUUUGAAACUUAAAAGUCACUUAGCACAUUCUAGUUAUUAAUUUAAGAGCAUUAAAAGAAAAUAUAAAAAAAGUUACUUUAUCCUUGUGAUUUUGAUCUAGGACUUUUAAUGAUAUUUAAAAAAAAAACAAAACAGAAAAAUAAAUGGAAAUAAAAUCAACAAAUUAAACAAUUGAAUUAAGUUAGUUUAAUUUUUGUAUCGUUAAAUAGGUAAAUAAAGACUCUUAGAUUUGAUAUUAAUAUGAACAUCAUGACUUCAGUGAAUCUUACAAGAAAAUUUUAGUUUGAAAGACUUCAUUCAUUAAACGUGUGGCACAUAUUAAAGUAAAACUAAGUCUUCUCUAUAAUUUGUACCUAUCAUAGUUUCUUUCCUCAUAAAUAGCCUUUUUUGAAUAUAAUAUAGACUUCAACAUGUAUGGUGGGGCCGAUCAAACUACUAGUCAAGACAACUCAUGGGCAACAACGAUGUACCAACUACAUUAAAUACUCUUCAUCUAUUUGCAUAUUAAGAGUAAUUUAGUAGUGUCUUUCUUAUGUACCUCAUAUCUAGACUUUCAAUGGAGAGUUCUUCAUCUAAAAAUUUGACUUAGGUUUUCAUACUAGUUUUGGUUUAGACAUGUGGAUGCAAAGGUUGCAUCAAAGAAGAGAAGUAGGCUAAAUCAUCUUACAAAUUUUCAAGUUCAAAAUAGAUGCACCAAACAUAUGCAAUAUAUUUGAUAUAACUAAUAUUUUCUUAAGUAAUUGAAUACAAUUUUUUUUUUUUAUAAAUUUACUUGAUUAUCAAUGAAUAACUACAUGUAUGGUAUUGACACAACUUGAUAAAUCUUUUAAAAUAGUACUAGAAUAACUUUGCUAAAAAAAAGUAAAAAUAAAAAUAAAAAUACGUCUAUAUAUAUAAAAAAAUUAAAUAAAAUUAAAAAUUAAAAAAGAAUAUAUAUAUAUAUAUAUAUAUAUAUAUAUAUUUUGUUGUGUGUGUGUGUGCAUGUUCCCACAACUCAUUAGCUACUCAUAAGCUUUAUAUCACUUUCUCAAAGUCAAGUCAUUUUGUAAUUAUUUCUCUCUAGCCUUCUCCAUUACGACAACUGUAUAAGAUAUUGAUUGGUUGGAAAAAUCUUCAUGUCUUUUUUUAUAAGAUAGUUUUAUUAUUAUUAUUAUUAUUUAAAGAAUUUGCUUUUAUUAUUGCUUUCAAAUCCUUUAUGUCUAGUGGUCCUACAAUUCCCUAUUCAUUGGUAUUUCAUAUUACCAAUCAUUUUACAAAUAAGUUUAUUUCACUCAGUAAAUAUACUUAACUACUAAUGGUUUCAAAUUUAAUUGAUUAACACACUUAUAGAUGUAAUUUGUUUUUAAAUUUUAUUUUUUUAGAAGAAUUGUAGGUAAAAAUAUUUUAGGAAUAUGUGUUCAAUAAUUCUCUAAAAACAAUUUAUAUAGAUGGAAUACAUUCAUGGAAGUUCCAACUAAUGAAAUUUAAAACCAAUGACGAUUUAAUGUAUUUGCACUAAAUCUUAGGGGAGGUGUACUAAAACUAGCCCUUUUACAAAUAUUUGUAGCUAGUAUAUUUGUAGUUAUAGUGUUGGAAGUUGAUCAUUUUCUUAAAGGCCUCUAUGAUAUUAGAAAUAUCGCCAAAGUUUUGAACUUUUUGUUUCACCUAAAAAAAAUAUCAUUAAUUUAAUAUAUAUACUCUUCGCUUGAAAGUAUAGUUUCUUCAUAUUGUAUGAAGUUGUAGCUAGGUGGCAAUAUUGGGUGAAAUUUUUUUGGUUUACUAAAAAAUAUAAAUAAUAUAUUUAUUAUAUGAUAAAAUUUUGUAAAAUAUAUUAUUAUAGAUGCAAAAUUAUUAAUGGAGUUUUAUUUUUUUACUAAAUUAUCAUUUCAAUAAAUAAGAACUUAUUUGUUAAAAGAAAAUUAUAAAAUAUAUGCAGUUGAAAAAAAUUUAAUUUUUUUAUUUAAUUUGGUAUUUUAUUUGAAUUAAUAAUUGAUAUUUGUAAGAUAUUUUAAUAUUAAAAGAAGUUAACAUAUUUAAAAAAGACAUUCAAAAUCAAGAGAGUAUAUGAUAUGAAAUCAAUUAAUUUAUUUUUUCUAUUUAAAUAAAUUUUUACAUCCAUUAAAAAAAUUUUAUUGUUUAUUUUUCACUUCAAUAUUUUUAUUUUGUAAAAGAAAUAGAAAUAAAAUCAACAAAUUAAACAAUUGAAUUAAGUUAGUUUAAUUUUGCCACCGUUAGGUAAAUGAAGACUCUUAUAUUUGAUAUUAACAUGAACAUCAUGACUUCAUUGAAUCUCACAAGAAAAUUUUAGUUUGAAAGAUUUUAUCCUUUAAUCAUGUGGCACAUAUUAAAGUCAGACCAAGUCUUCCCUAUAAUUUGUAUCUAUCACAAUUUCUUUCCUAAUGAAUAGCCUUUUUGAAUAGAAUAUAGACUUUAGCAUGCAUGGUGGGGCCUAGCUAUCAAACUACUAGUCAAAACAACUCAUGGGCAAGAAUGAUGUACCAACUAGAUUAAGUAUUCUCCAUCUAUUUGCAUAUCAAGAGUAAUUUAGUAGUAUCUUUCUUGUGUACCUCAUUUCUAGACUUUCAAUGGAGAGUUAUUUAUCUUAAAAUUUGACGUGGGUUUUCAUACAAGUCUUGGUUCAGAUAUGUGAAUGCAAAGGUUGCAUCGAAGAAGAGAAGUAGGCUAAGUCAUCUUACAAAUUUUCAAGUUCAAAUUAGAUGCAUCAAACAUGUGCAACAUAUUUGAUAUAACUAAUAUUUUACCAAGAAACUAAAUACUUUAUAUAUAUAUAAAUAAACAAAAUAAAAAAUUUAAAAAGAAUAUAUAUAUUAGUGGUCCCACAACUCAUUAGCUACUCAUAAGCUUUAUAUCAUUUUCUUAAAGUCAAGUCAUUUACAAUUAUUUCUAUCUAGCCUUCUCCGUUGCGACAACUAUACAAGAUAUUAAUUGAUUGAAAAAAUCAUCAUGUCUUUUUUGAUAGGAUAGUUUUUUUUUUAUUCAAAGAACUUUCAAAUCCUUUAUGUCUAGUGGUCCUACAAUUCCCUAUUCAUUGGUAUUUCAUAUUACCAAUCAUUUUACAAAUAAGUUAAUUUCACUCGGUAAAUAUACUUAACCACCAAUGGUUUCCAAUUUGUAGCACUCUUAUAGAUGUAGUUUGUUUUUAAAUUUUAUUUUUUAGAAGAAUUGUAGGUAAAAAUAUUUUAGCUAUAUAUGUUCAACAAUUCUCUAAAAACAAUUUAUAUAAAUGAAAUACGUUCAUGGAAGUUCCAACUAAUGAAAUUUAAAACCAAUGAUGAUUUAAUGUAUUUGUACUAAAUCUUAGGGAGUGUGGACUAAAAUUAGCCCUUUUAAAAAUAUUUAUAACUAGUAUAUUUGUAGUUGUGGUAUUGGAAGUUGAUCAUUUUCUUAAAAGGUUGACCAUUGAAGUUAGUUGAAUAUAAAGUUAGGUGAACUUUACCAUUGUUAAAUUGGUAAAUGAAGACUCUUAGAUUUGAUACUAACAUGUACAUCAUGACUUCAUUGAAUCUCUCACAAGGAAAUUUUAGUUUGAAAGACUUCAUCCUUAAAACAUGUGGCACAUAUUAAAGUGAGACCAAGUCUUCCCUAUAAUUUGUAUCUAUCACAAUUUCUUUCCUCAUAAAUAGCCUUUUUGAAUAGAAUUAAUAUAGACUUUAGCAUGCAUGGUGGGCCCUGUCAAACUAUUAGUCAAGAUAAUUUGUAGGUAAGAACGAUGGACCAACUAUAUUAAAUACUCUUCAUCUAUUUGCAUAUCAAGAGCAACUUAAUACUGUCUUUUUUUUGUACUUCAUGUUUGAACUUUCAAUGGAGAGUUUGUCAUCUAAAUAUUUGAUGUGGGUUUUUAUAUUACUCUUGGUUCAAAUAUGUGGAUGCAAAGGUUGCAUCGAAGAAGAGAAGAUGGGUUUGCUUGAAUUCAAGGCUUUUCUUAAAUUGAAUGAUGAGCAUGCAGAUUUUCUUCUCCCUUCAUGGAUAGAUAACAACACUAGUGAAUGUUGUAAUUGGGAGCGAGUUAUUUGCAAUCCCACCACAGGUCGAGUUAAGAAGCUUUUCCUCAAUGAUAUAAGGCAACAACAAAAUUUGUUGGAAGACGAUUAGCACUAUUAUGAAAAUGCCAAAUUCUGGUUACUAAAUAUCUCCCUAUUCCUUCCUUUUGAAGAACUUCACCAUCUAAACUUGUCUGCAAACUCAUUUGAUGGGUUUAUUGAGAAUGAAGGUAUGUUACCUCUCACCUUUAAAAUUUCUUUUCACUUAUACUCCAAACAUUCUAAAGGAACUACUAUCAUAUGUUCUUAAAAGUGUUCAGGUGGAGACCAAAUGGUCACUAGUAACUAUUGAAUUUAAUAUAAGAACAAUUACUAAUUAUUAAAAUUUAUAAUGUAAAUUAACAUUUAAAUAGAACAAUAAAAAAAAUUAUUAUUUUAGAAAACUAUAGAUUACAUUUGCCUUAUAUAUAUAAAAGCAUACUUGUUAUUUAUGCCAUCAUUUCACACUCAACCCAAUAAGUUGGAUUCAACUAAGAGUGAGCAAUUUCACAAUUAUUAAUUAAUAGGAACACUUAGGCUCCCAUAUCCUUAUCCUUUUUGCUGAAUUGUCUUUCCUUAUCUUCCAUUCCUAAAAAGCUUGAUUUCUAUAUUCUAAAUUGAUAGAGAUUGGUUAAAGAAAGGUGAUCACAAAAUUUGACUAUUGCUUUCAAAUGAGGAAUCACCAUCUUCAAAUUUUCACAUUUACACAAAAAAAAAAAAAAAAACUAGCCUCGGGUAAGGUCCAAGCCUUAUUGUUUUAAGCUGACGUCGGGUUGGUUUAAUAAUGAACAAAGUAAAUCCCAACCCAUGACCAUCUAGGCAUUUCCAAAUUCCACCCAUCCACAACCCAUUAAUAUGGCAUUUUCAAGGACAAAAUUUAAUCAAUUAAACCUAUUAGAUGGAUUCUCCAUACAAUGUUAAAAUGAAUAUAAACACUUUAAUUCAAAAAAUAAUUUCCUUCAUUUAGUUAGGAUUCAAAUUAUAGGGGCACAAAACAUGAAAAUUUUCAUGUUUAAAAUUCACAAAGAUCACAGAAGCUCUUUGAAGCUCUAUGGGCUUUUUUAUUUCUAACAUUUAAACACAAAAAUCACCAAAUUGAAUUAGAAACUUGGAUGCAUAUUCUUAUAUUAAAGACAUGUAAGCUUACAUAUUUAAAUAUGAAGAUCUCAACUUGUAAUUACAUGCUUCUAAUUAAAGUUAUAUUACUUUAUUUUACAGGAUUUAAAGGGUUAUCAAGUUUAAAGAAAUUGGAGAUCUUGGACAUAAGUGGUAAUGAGUUUGACAAAAGUGCCUUAAAAUCUUUGGGCACAAUAACAUCACUCAAGACAUUAGCUAUUUGCAGCAUGGGACUGAAUGGAUCUUUUUCCAUUCGAGGCAUGUUAUAUGUCCACAUUGUUUCUUUGAAAUUAAGUAAAAUAUAUUUCUAACUUUUAAUGUUCCUUAGUUAAUCUCUCUUUUGAUUCAUGUUUGUUGCAGAAUUAGCUAGUUUGAGAAAUUUGGAAGUGUUGGAUCUAAGCUAUAAUGAUUUGGAAAGCUUUCAACUAUUGCAAGGUACUUCAUUAACUUGCUAAAAAAACUUAUAAUAUUUUGUUAUUAAAUUAAAGGUAAGAUUAACAAACAAUUUCUUCCCAUUAGUUACUUUUCUUUGUAAUAUCAUUAAAUUUGAUAUAAAGUAGUCUAAAUCAUCCUUUCAAUUUAUAAGUUUUAAUUAAAACGCAUCAAGCAUGCACAAGAUGUUUAAUAUAACUAAUAUUUUCAUAAGUAAUUGAAUUUUUUUUUAUGAAUUAAUUAACUUGAUUAUCAAUAAAUACUUACAUGUAUAAGAUUAAUAUAGUUUCAUAAGUAUUUUAAAAUUGUCUUACAACACACACACACACACACACACAGGGAAAAUGAAAGGUAUGUGAUACCUUUAUGCUAUGUUUGGUUCCCAAAAAAAUUGAGGGAAAAUGAAAGGAGAAAAAAGUAGAGAGGAAAAAUAAAAGAAAAGAAAAAAAGUGAAGAAAAAUAUAAAAUUGAUUAAAGUAAAUACAUUAUUUUUAUAUGUUACUUUAAACUUGUUUCACUUAUUUUAAUUCUUCAAUGUAAAGAUGAAAGAUUUGAAAAUGCAGAAGUCUCUAAUUAUUUUUUAUUAUAUUUUAUUUUAUUUUAUAGUUUUUACAAUACAACCAAACAUAAUAAAAUCAUUUUCUUUAAUUUUUUUUUCUUUUCUUAAUACUUUUCAUGAACCCUUAAGUUAUGUUUGGUUUGCAGAAAAUAUGAGGAAUAGAAAAUAGAAAAGAAAAUUAGAAGGAAAGAAAAAAUGAAGUAAAAUAAAAAUAAAUUUAAAUUUAAUAAAUUAUUUUUAUAUGCUACUUUAAACUUAUUUCACUUAUUUUAAAUUAUUUAAACUCAUUUCUAAUAAAUAAUAAUGGAAAUUGUAGAGAAGUUUGUGUUAUUCAAGCUUUGCAAUGACUUUUCAAGGUGAAGGAAAAUAUUCUUGCUGAAAUUGAAAAAGGAAAUACCUUCUUAAAUAGCCUAUUGACCGAAAACACAUUGCCCUAACAUAUACACACACCUUUAUUAUUUAUACAAUCAUGUAAUACUUAAUCCAGUUAGUGGGAUUCUAGUGGUUGUUUCUAUCUUGGUUUCCAAUAUUUCUGAUUGAUAGUGUUCGAUUAAUGAAAUAUCAUAAAUUUUGACCCUAAUAAGGACCAAUCCCUAUUAAAUGUAAUUGGGUUGACCCAAGACUAAAUGUUAGACCCAACUAAUAAAAACCCAUCUGUUUGUUGGAGUCUAAAUAACCCGGCCUUAGGUAGGGCCCAUGCCUUAUUAUUUUAAGAUGUAGUCCAACUGGUUUGACACUAGAUUGAGUAAAGCCUAAGUUAUGAGCAUCUGUGCAUUUCCAUCCAUCCACAACCUAUUGGCAUGGGCAAACUUUGGUCAAUUAAACCUAUUAUAACUGUAUACAAAAUUUUAAGUUCAAAAGAUAAUUUUCCUUAUUUAGUUAAGAUUCAUAUUAAAAAGGCACAAAGCACGAAUUUUCAUGUUUAAAUUCACAAAUAUCAUGAAAGCUCCUUCAAGCUCUAUGGACCAUUUUAUUUGUAACAUUAUUUUACUCUUAAUUAUCAAAUUAACCAACAAAUUCUUCUCAUUACUUAUUUUUCUUUUGUAAUGUCAUAAAAUUUGAUGUAAAGUAGUAUUGGUCAUCAUUUCAACUUUUAGGUUCCAAUUAGAUGCAUCAAGCAUGUGCAACAUAUUUGAUAUAACUAAUAUUUUUAUAAGUAAUUGAAUUUUUUUUUCUAUAAAUCAAUUAACUUGAUUAUUAAUGAAUACUUUCAUACAUGAUAUUGAUGUAGUUUCAUAAAUAUUUUUAAAUAGUCAUAGAAGUCUUUUAUCUGAUUCACUAGAAAUAAAAAUAAAUUAAACUAUUCUAAUGAAAAUACUUAAUGAUUUGAAGUGAUUGCUUUUGAUUUUAUUUGAUUGCUACCAUUAUUAAUUGUUAGAAAUUGGCAACAAAUACCCAUUUUGCAUCACUUCUAUAUGCAUAGGGGGAAUGAAUUAUAUUUCAUAGAGCUAACAGGGCAAAACUCAUACUUUUGGAAUUAUGGAAAAGGUUGCUAGAAAGCUAAUUAACCAUUUAUAUUAUGAUUAAGACUAGUUGGGUUAGAAAUAAUUCAUAUGGAGAUUAAAAAAAACUAUGUAAUUUAGUUUAGUAGCUAGGGUGCUAUUGUAAUGAUUAAUGAUCUGCAACUUGAACACAUCUACUAGUGCUUUCUACUUGUAUAGCUAAAUUUAUGUUACCACUUUGAACUACAGUACUUACAUGAGAAGAAAGUUAUUCCUUAGUGAUAAUGCAAAAGAAAUUAACUAUCAGUUUUUGUUAAACUAACAAGUGAUAGUUUAGAUAUGGUUUGAAUACACUUCCUUUCUUCUAUUUUUUUAUUUUGAAAAAAAAAAACUCUUUAAUGAAAUAUAAGAAAUCUUAUAUGUAUAAAAAGUAAAGACUUAAACAAAAAAAUUCUUCAAAUUUGAAAAUUUUCGAGAAGUAUUUUUAAGAAUUUGUAUUUUUAGUAUAAUAAUUCCUAUAUUUUGUAUAAAAGUUUUUGUUUAAAAAAAUAGAAGUGUAUCCAAAUUACAAAUUAAUUGUUCAAUUAAGAAUGUUUCUCGGAUCAAGAGAUAAUGAAAGUUGUAGAGAGUUUGCAUUACUCAACCUUUGCAAUUACUUUUUGAAGAUAAAAGAAAAUACCUUCCUACAUAACAUAAAAUGGCAGGUUCUGGUUUGUAAGAAACAAAUAAAUGAUAUAGGAUAUGAAUAAGACUUCCUUUAUAAUAGAUAUGUAGAGAAGAAUAGUCGAUGAUAGGAGGUGAAAAUCUUGUAAUAAAAUAUCAAUAUCGGUUAUAAGAUAAUCAACAUUUUCUCUAUUUCUUGUACCUAUGUGAUUAAGAAUCUUGUAGCUCCCUUAUUGAAAUAUAAUAUAAAAAUAUAAAUAAACUAUUUAGAAGUGCAUGUAGUUUUCAACAUGAGGAAGUUCAAAAGCAAGUUAAUUAUGAUAAUUUUCUGUUGUCUAUAUUGAGCACAAAUUAUUUUUACUAAAGGUUCAAUUGUUCUAUGAAGGUUAAAAGUUUGAAUUGUUUACAUAUGCAAAUGUGAAAUUUGAAAUUUUAUAAUUUUUUAUAAUUUUCUUGUAGAUUCAAAAAGCUUGUCCAUAUUCAAAAAGCUCGAGACCUUGAACCUCAAUUACAACAAGUUCAAAAACACUAGCCUACAACAAUUGAAUAUAUUUACAUCCCUUAAAAAUCUUUCUCUAAGAGGGAACUAUGUUGGAGGAUUUUUUCCGAUCCAAGGUAUGUGUAAUUAUUAUUAUUACUUUUAAUGAUAAAAUAUUAGAAUUGUCAACAUCUUUUUUUUUUUCCCCCUCAAUGGUGUUGCAGAAUUAUGCACUCUGGAAAACUUUGUGAUGUUGGACCUAAGUGAGAAUUUCUUUAUUGGCAUGCAAGGUAAAUACAAAGUGAAGUUUUGGUUAUAUAUAUAUCAUGUAAGAACAUAACUAAAAUCAACAUUCUUUGCCUAUCAAUUUGUGCAUGACUAUUAUUUAGUUAUUCUUCGUAACAUAAUUGAAAGAAUGUCUAGGUGUACAACAUUUAAGAAUUUUACAUGGCACAAUGAAAAACAUGGUAAUCAAUGUAUGCAAUAAAAUUCUAAUAGUUGAAAAAGAAUUUUCUUGUAAUUUUAUGUUCGUGUAUAGUAAUCAAAGAGAAAAUAAUGAAAAUGUAUAUUAGUUAGACUUUAUAUAUCAAUAGACAAAAAAGAAAGAAAAAAAAAAAGAUUAGUUCCUUAACUUAUCCUAAAAUUUUCUAGAUAAUAAGGAGUUUUUUUAUUUUGGGCUAUAAGGUUUACAACCUGAAAAGUGAAGAUGAUUAAUAUUAGUAAUAUAAUUUUGAAAUAUAAAAAUUAAUGAAAUAAUGUUCUCUAUAACUAUAAGUGCAACUGCAACUAUUAAUAAAAGAUAAUAAAAGUACUUUAGACUUUGAAUCCAUGGUUAGGUUUGCAAUUUUUUGAUGAUCAAUAAAGCUACAACUUAUGCUGCAAAAGGCUAUACAAAAUGCAUUAGGAGCAUUGCUAAGCUCAUUUAUCAAUAAAAGAAAUCCAGUAAUACUUUGAUUGGAAAAAACCUAGAAUCAUGUUUGAUAUAUAUAAUAGGUGAAGAAACAAAAUAACAAUUCCAUGGUAUUAGUUAGUUUGAUAUCUCUUUUGUUAUAUGGAAUAACUAUUCCAUUUUAAAAUAAUUUUUUCAUCUUAUCACUAGAACAAAAAAUUUCAGGGGGUUAUAUGGGCUUUUGGGUUUCUUAAGAAUUUAAGCAUUUAUGGGUCACCCAUAUAUAUAUAGGAAGAAUAAAAAAAAUAUUCUAUGGAGACAAGGGUAGACACCCAUAAAUGUACAUAUAAUUAUUUAAAUAAAAAUAUCAAUAAGAAACAAUAUACAACAAAAUAGAAAAUUUUAAUCUUCUUAAAUUUUUUAAAAUAAAAACUAAAUGAAAAAAAAAUUAAGAAGUAAAAAAAAUAAUAAAAAGGUCAAGAAUACAAAUAGAGAAGUAAACAAAAUAAAAAAAAAUACAUAAAUUAAAAUUAAAUUUAAAAAAAAAAUACAUAGAUUAAUAUGAACACCAAAUGAGGUUUUUUGAGAUAGACUUAGUUAGACUUGAACUAGAUGGAUAUUAAAAAAAAAUUUAAAAAAAUCAAAGAAAUAAAAACUAAUUAGAUGCUAAAUAUUGGAUUAAAAUAACCAAAUGAAUAAAGAGUAAUUAUUAAUUUUUAACAUUUUUUAUUCCCUGGAAUUAUUAUUUUGUGUAUUAAAUGUAUUCUGAGUGUAGUGGUAUAAAAAAUGUAGUUAAGAAUACUAUGAAGAAUAAUAAUAGUGAUGAUAAUGGUGACGACACUUAAUACCUUUUAUUGUACAUUUAGAAAAAAUGAGGUUCUUGAUCUUUAUGGAGAUUAUCAUUACUCAUCCGCAAGCAUGUUGAUAGUUGAAACUACUUAAUUAUCAAAAAUUGAAUUUCUAACCUUCAAUUUUUCUCUCUCAAAUGUAUAUGUGGGUGAGAAAGCACUAGGAAGAUUAUAAGGUCUCACAUGUAUAUGAGUCAUAGGAUAAAAAAUAUAGAGACAUACUAGCAUUUAUUUGAUCUAGUGGCAAAUAGAGAAAUAUAACAUAACCAUAACCAUAAUGUUCUAACCUUAUAUAUACCAGAACCAUGUUUCCUUCAUUCAAUUUUGCACUUUUUCUUUUNNNNNNNNNNNNNNNNNNNNNNNNNNNNNNNNNNNNNNNNNNNNNNNNNNNNNNNNNNNNNNNNNNNNNNNNNNNNNNNNNNNNNNNNNNNNNNNNNNNNNNNNNNNNNNNNNNNNNNNNNNNNNNNNNNNNNNNNNNNNNNNNNNNNNNNNNNNNNNNNNNNNNNNNNNNNNNNNNNNNNNNNNNNNNNNNNNNNNNNNNNNNNNNNNNNNNNNNNNNNNNNNNNNNNNNNNNNNNNNNNNNNNNNNNNNNNNNNNNNNNNNNNNNNNNNNNNNNNNNNNNNNNNNNNNNNNNNNNNNNNNNNNNNNNNNNNNNNNNNNNNNNNNNNNNNNNNNNNNNNNNNNNNNNNNNNNNNNNNNNNNNNNNNNNNNNNNNNNNNNNNNNNNNNNNNNNNNNNNNNNNNNNNNNNNNNNNNNNNNNNNNNNNNNNNNNNNNNNNNNNNNNNNNNNNNNNNNNNNNNNNNNNNNNNNNNNNNNNNNNNNNNNNNNNNNNNNNNNNNNNNNNNNNNNNNNNNNNNNNNNNNNNNNNNNNNNNNNNNNNNNNNNNNNNNNNNNNNNNNNNNNNNNNNNNNNNNNNNNNNNNNNNNNNNNNNNNNNNNNNNNNNNNNNNNNNNNNNNNNNNNNNNNNNNNNNNNNNNNNNNNNNNNNNNNNNNNNNNNNNNNNNNNNNNNNNNNNNNNNNNNNNNNNNNNNNNNNNNNNNNNNNNNNNNNNNNNNNNNNNNNNNNNNNNNNNNNNNNNNNNNNNNNNNNNNNNNNNNNNNNNNNNNNNNNNNNNNNNNNNNNNNNNNNNNNNNNNNNNNNNNNNNNNNNNNNNNNNNNNNNNNNNNNNNNNNNNNNNNNNNNNNNNNNNNNNNNNNNNNNNNNNNNNNNNNNNNNNNNNNNNNNNNNNNNNNNNNNNNNNNNNNNNNNNNNNNNNNNNNNNNNNNNNNNNNNNNNNNNNNNNNNNNNNNNNNNNNNNNNNNNNNNNNNNNNNNNNNNNNNNNNNNNNNNNNNNNNNNNNNNNNNNNNNNNNNNNNNNNNNNNNNNNNNNNNNNNNNNNNNNNNNNNNNNNNNNNNNNNNNNNNNNNNNNNNNNNNNNNNNNNNNNNNNNNNNNNNNNNNNNNNNNNNNNNNNNNNNNNNNNAUGCUCCUUUUUUUAGAGUCAAUUGAUGCUUAUAAACAACUUUGUUUGAAAAUAAAAUACAUCGAGUGAUUGCAUCAAGAGAUUGAUGUAAUAAUUGCAUACUUGAUCUUGAUAAUGCUAAUAUGAGUUGACUAAAUAAAUGAGUAUUUACUUAUAAGGUAACCCAUAGAACAUUAUUUGUGGAAAUAUUCAUGCACCUCUACAUAUGUUCGUGAUAACUUAGGUUGAUAAAUUUAAGAAGAACAAAUUCAUAACCUUGGGCAUAGUUAGUAAGAUAUUUCACCAAUAGAGUUUGGUAUCAUGAUUCUAAUUGUUCAAAUUGUUUUAAAGGAGUAUUUUAAAUUGCAUGUUAAUUUGCUUCUAAUAAAUGGAGAGAAACCAAUUCAAGAAGAGAAUUGUACUCAAGCUAUGUAUAGCAUUCAUGAAGAUGUAGAAAAUAUUGAUGAACUUACUUUUGAGCAAGUUGAAAUCAUAAUUAAAUAAAAGAACAAACCCAAGGGUUAAGAUUGUCAAGUAAAACUUUAACUAAAAUUUAUUGAUUUUUUAAAUGCCUAUUAGAGGGACAAUAGAAGUUCUAGAUAGAAAGUAAGAACUUUUCUAAGGAAUCACUUGUUAGAUUUUAAGUGAUCAAUAAAUAUAAUGUCCAAUUUAAAACUUUUAUAAAAGCAAUGCUUCUAAAGAAUAACUUGAUUUGAAUUUAAAGUUAUUAUUGAUAUUUGUUUAUAAUGGAUGUAGUUAAUCAACUGAACAUAGUAAAAAACACAUAAAUUUUUCAAAAUACCUUCUAGUUGUUGGGUAUAUUUAAGUAGUCAUCCAUAUCUCAUUAUCUUUUCACUCACAUACUAAUCUCCUUAUUGAGUAUUUACCAAUUACAAGUAGGUUGAAAGUUACUCGAAUUUAAGUCACUAAUCAAUGUUAACUUGAUAACAAAUAAGUCUCUCUUUGAAACUUGUUUUACAAGAUAGCGAAAUGUAGUCGAUCAAUCAUCAAAACAAUGUUUAAGCAUUAGGAUUUAGUUGUUAAUUUUUAUUUUUUAUUUUUUGUGCUUAAACAAAGACAAAAAUGAUAAAAACUCCUUAAAAGUACAUAGUAAUUGAAUUUAAUUUAUACAUCAAACAAGAACAAACUAGUCUUGGAUUUAAAAUUCAUCAGGUUUUGUAAUUAUAAUUCCUAAAAAUUUGUAAGGCAACAAAAUUAUUGGACACUAGGUUAUUGGGUGUGUAUGACUAAGAGGUGAAGGAGGGUUCAUCUUAUACAAAGGAUGAUUUGAUUAAUUUUAAAGAUUGGAUAAACAAUAAUUGCAUAUUCAAGUAAAAAUAACAUUGCUAAAAAGGAAAAUAAGUAUUUUAGUCCUCAAACCUAAAAUGGCUAAAAAAAUUUAAUUAAUACAAUACAACUUCACCUACAAAAGAAAAAAAAACCCAAAACUUUUCAAUAGCACAACUAAGUCCAUUUAUCAAAAGCUCUAUGAACAACAACAACUAUCAAAUCACAUAAAUCAUGUUGUUUUCAAAGUGCCCUCGAUGUUUUAAAACUUAAGAUAUUACAUAAAAAUCAACCAAUAGUGUAUGACAUUAUAAAAAACAUAUCCAAAUCCAUUGUCGAACUUAAACUAAAUUCAACUUUAUAUGCAUAGUCGCAAGUGCGUCUUUUUGUCCUUCAAUUUGGGUCAAAUUCAGAUGUUAGUUUUUUACACGACAAGGGAUUAUCAAGGUGAUAAUUCAUGCAUAUAAAUAGUAUUACUAAUAUAAAAAAAGAUGGUAAAUGCAAUUUUUUUGUAUUCACUCACCAUUUGGCAUAUCAAUAAGAAAAAAAUAUAUAAUAGGUGUAAUCAAUAAUAUUACUCAUCACUAGAAAGUAUAAUUUUUCAUUUUUUGUCACUAUUUGUGCACUUUGGAAAGCUUGCUAGGUACAACAAAUUAGCUCAAUGAAGAAAUUGAUCAAUUCCUUCAUUUCUAAAUAAAUUUGCAUAUACACUAGAAUAAAAACAACUUUUUAACUUAACAAGUUGACUGAGUCUCAGAACUUAGUAGGUUGAAGACAUAAACUUCCAUCCAAACUCAUUUACUAGCACCACAUGUUGGAAAAAUAAAUAAAAAUCAAAACACUUGAGUAUAGUUGCAAACCAAUCUAAAUAUAGAGUGAGAUCUACCUUUCUUUGAAAGUUUAGAACAAAUUUUUAUUUUUAUGGUAAGACUAUGCAGUACUUAUCCCUCUCUUACAAGUCUAUAAUCAGUCCAAAGCAUGGGAUCGUGCAUAAAUUCUUGAACUCAAUUAGCCUUCAAUCGAUGCCUUUCAAGUAAAUGUAAAACCUGGUGUACUUGUUAUUGAUUCACAUCCUUAUCACUAUUAUCAUUACUUGUUCUUGAAUAUAGAACCUUAUUGUCUAUUAACAAGCAGACCUAUGUUCCUCCAUGAUUCAAGAGUAUUAUGUUUUGUUCAUCAUUAGUUGGUCUUGCUCUAAAGCUUCUUUUUUAUGACUAUCAAUAACCAAACUUAGAUACCAAAAUUUAUGCGAGAGAGCAUGUACUUUAUACAGUCAAGAACUUGUGAGUUUAGAUUUUGUUAUCUAGGUAAAAGAAUAAAUUGGUUUGUUAAAAUAGCUAGCAUUAGGUAUCUAUUCAAUUCCUAUCUUAGACAAUAAAGAUAGAAGUGAUCAAAUACAUUCUUAUUAAGAAACAUUUGAUACCAAAAGUGAUGUAAGACAACAUAGUUCCUCUAUUCAAUCAAGUUUAAGGCUUAGAUGAACCUAUGAAUUUAUAUUAAUUAAUUGGGAAAGAGAAUAAAUAGGCUAAGUAGAAGUGAUAGGAUUGUAAUAGCAUUAAGUUAAUGAUCUUGUUUAGGUCUUCUACUAAAUUAGAGAAGAAACAAACAAAAGUAAUCAAACGUGUUAGUGAUAAUUAUAUCUACUUAACAUUGAGACAAUAGUUGUAUUAAUGGUAAUUAUAUUAUUUCUUGAGAGUUUAAACAAUAUAUAUUGAAAAUAUUUUUAAAGGUUUAGCAACUACCAUGGUUAUAAUCAACUACGAGCUUUUUAUUUUUAAAAAUAUGAAAUAUUAAUAUCUUUACUUUCUUUGAUCUUCUUGUAGGUUUUAAAAGUUUGCCUAAGCUGAAAAAGCUGGAAAUCUUAAACCUUGGUUAUAAUCGGUUCAACAAGACCAUUAUAAAACAGUUGAGUGGACUCACAUCCCUUAAAACACUAGUUGUAAGCAACAACUAUAUUGAGGGACUUUUUCCUUCCCAAGGUAUUGUUUAUUUUUUUAAUAUCCUUAGUAACCACUCUACCAUAAUUUAUUUUUUCAAUUUUAUUUUCUUUCUUGAACCAUCUUACAGAAUUAUCUAUUUUUGGAAACUUGAUGACACUGGAUUUAAGCGAGAAUAGAUUCAAUGGCUCCCUAUCAAUCCAAGGUAAAUUCUAAUUAGAAUUAUCAUUAUAUUUAGGACAUAUAAUAAAUCAAUUAAAUUGUUUUAUCUAUUAUCAUUACUUGGUUAUUUGGAUUUUCUUGAUAUUGUUUAUCAUUUUACAUAGGAAAAUGAAAUUAAAAAAUCAACCCAUGCUUAGUGUUUAAGCAUUGGGCUAGAAGUAUAUUUUUCUUCCCAAUUUAAUCAAAGAGAAAAGUCAUAAAUAACAUAAUUUAACUUAUACCUUAUAUUGAUUGAAGAGGUUAGACUACUUUUGGAUUUAAUGGUCAAUAUUUGUUGAAGGUAGGGUUUCCUAAAUUUGAUCAAAAGAACUUCAAUUUAAAUUACCAUAACUACAUAAAGUUGUGACUAGCAUAAUUAAACUCUUUUAUUAAUAGAUGUUCAUAGACUAGUAUUACAAUCCCACACACACAAAUAAUUAAAAUUUGAAAUUAGACUUCAAAUAACUAUGCAAUAUACGAAACUACAAAAUGAAUGGUAGGUCAUAAUUAAUUAAAUUCGUACUAUAUUCAAUGUUGGUCAACACGUGUCAAGUAAAAGUUUUGGCCUAAGUGUAAGGGCUCACUUGCUCCUAUAUAGAUGUUAUUCACUUUGGGUCAAGGCCUACUUUAAAAUAUCUCUAUACAGUUAUGAGAAGUCUACUAAAUAUAAAGUCGUAGAAACUUUUCUUCUUAGGUGAUUUGGAAUUUCACAUUAGGACCAACAUUUUAUAUAUUUUGAAAACAUAAUUUAAUUAACAUUUUAGAACUAAUUAUUAGUUAUCCAUUUAUAAUCCUAGAGGAAAUUCCUUUUACCUAUGCAAAUUAUAUACCUCUAGUAAUUACCUUUAAUUUCUCAUUUACAACUUCCUAAAAUAAUAUGAAAAAUGACAAAGUGUACAAUAUCUACCAAUAUGGGUGGAAUAUGCAAUGAGACCCACAAUGCUCAAUAUAGUACUAGUAUCUAUGUCAUCUAAUAGCAAUGAAAGUACUAAGUAAUAAAAACAAUUGUUUUGGGCACUUUAUGCAAUUGGCCUUGUAAAAAAAGAAAUCUAAGGUAGUUGGACUCAUUUACUAGUAAUUUAACAUAUGACUAGAACCUAUUGAAUCAUUUGCAAUAGCACUUGCUUUGGUCAUGUCCAAAUUUAUUACACAUGGUGCAAAAAGGGGUGGUGCUAGAGGAUGCUUUGUUUUCCCACUUAUGGAAGUCUCAAUCUUGCUAAUAUAUUUUAUGCCAUGUUUAUCAUAUACAAAUUUAGCCUAAGUGUAAGGGCUCGCUUGCUCCUAUAUAGAUGUUAUUCAUUUUGGGUCGAGGCCUACUUUAAAAUAUCUCUAUACGUUUAUGAGAAGUAUACUAAAUAUAAAGUCGUAGAAACUUUUCUCCUUAGGUGAUGUGGAAUUUCACAUUAGGACCAACAUUUUAUAUAUUUUGAAAACAUAAUUUAAUUAACAUUCUAGAACUAAUUAUUAGUUAUCCAUUUAUAAUCCUUGAGGAAAUUCCUUUUACCUAUGAAAAUUAUAUACCUCUAGAAAUUACUUUUAAUUUCUCAUUUACAACUUCCUAAAAUAAUAUGAAAAAUGACAAAGUGUAUAAUAUGAGCCAAUAUGGGUGGUAUAUGCAGUGAGACCCACAAUGCUCAAUAUAAUACUAGAAUCUAUGUCAUCUAAUAGCAAUGAAAGUACUAAGGAACAAUUUAACGUAUGUUUUGGGUACUUCAUGCAAUGGCCUUGUAAAAAAAGAAAUAUAAGGAAGUUGGACUCAUUUACUAGCAAUUUAACAUAUGACUAAAACCUAUUGAAGAAUUUGCAAUAGCACUUACUUUGGUCAUGUCUAAACUUAUUGCACAUGGUGCAAAAAGGGGUAGUGCUCGAGGAUGCUUCCACAUAAGAAAGACCCUACUUAACUGUUACAAAGGUUAUUUUCCCACUUGUGGGAAUGCUAACCUUACUAAUAUAUUAUAUGCCAUGUUUAUCAUAUACAAAUUUUUCUUUACUAAAUAUUUCUUUAAUGAUCUUGGACCUAAAAUUAAAUAUUUCAUUAGUAUUGGUCAUGUCGUUCCUCAACUUUUCAACUUUUAGAGUUAAAUCUUUAUCUUUAUCAUUGAUAGUUUUAUGUUUAGUCCCUAGAAACUUCACCUUAUUAACAAUAUGUUCAUUUAAUAUGUUGAUAUUUUUAAUUUUCAAAGAAUCAUAGAGCUCAUUAAUUUUAAUGUCUUUUUAUUCACUUUUAUGCUUUCAACCUUUGUUUUUAGUUUUCCUAUAAUAAUGCAUCAUAGACCCCAUGUACAUCAUUAAAAUAAAACUCAUUUUUUUCAUUAGGAUUCAAUUAACCCAAUGGAUCAUAAUCAAAAUUAGCUGCAUAUGAACAAAAGCAAUAAGAUUAUCAUUUUGUACAUCUUUACUUUCAUUUGAGUUCUUAGCCCUACAAUCAUCAAACAUGGAAUUACUCCAAGUCACCUACAUAGCCUUCAUACCUAAUGUUUUUAAGGCAAGGAUAAUCAACAACCAUGUGUCCCAUUCCCCCAAUGGUUCACUACAAAAUCAAGGUACAUAUGUUAUGCUUUCUUUGUUUCAUAGAGAUUAGAGAGGAUAAACAUUGUAUAAAAAAAAAAAUUGUCAUAGUUAAUGUAAGCUAAAACUAAAAAACUUGUUUUUUCAAUUGUGUAAGCAUGUUUUGUUCUUGAUUAAUAUUUACAACAUUCAGAUUUACUAAUGUUUAUAAUUCACAGAGACCUCAUUAACAAGAAGUAACAACUAAUUGCAAGUAACCAUGAAAAAAAAUAAGGAGAAAAAUAAAGGAAAAUCAAGGAAAAUGGAAAAAAUUUUCAUCCCCAUAAAAAAUGCUAAGGAAGAAAAAGGUGAAGAAAGUUUAAAGAAAGCAUAUUUUUCAAAAAUUGAAUUUUCUUUCCCUUAAAAUUGGUAUGGACAACCAAACAAGAAAAUGAUUUUUAAAUUCUUUUUUGACCUUUUUCUAUCAUUCUUUUUUUUUCCCCCUACUCUAUUUCCUUUCCCUCAAACUUUCUAGGUAGUAAACAUUACCUAAGAUAAAUAGGGAAGAAAAUAUUUUAUCAUUUAUUAAUUUAGUAUUUUUCUUACCUUUUUUGUAUUUUAUCCAAAUAUGAGAAAACUAUUUUUCUUUAUUUUUUCUUUUCCUUGUUGCUUUUCAAGAAUCAAGCAUACUUUAAACUCUAAUUAAGAGUUACAUAGAUUUACGAAGAAACAAUGCAACUAGUAACAAAAAAUUAAGGAAAUUUAAUUUUUGAGAGUAGGUAUAAUGAGAUUGGUUUGUUUGAUACAAAAUUUGAAUAAAAAUUCUUUCAAUGAAAAUUCAAGGAAAGGAAAAAAAAAAACAACUUUAUCUCUAGACUAUAAUACUAAAUCACUUAAAAAAUAUCUUAACAUCGUUUAUGUUCAUCUUUCUUUUUAUGGAUUUGAAAAACCCAAUAAUUUGGAGAAAAUUGAUUCAAGGAAGAAUAAUUUUUAGAAUAAAAUAUUAUUAUUUAAGAAGAUCAUAAAUAUUAUAGUCAUUGUUGAAUAUGAUAAAUGAUUUAAAAAAAAUGGUAGUUGGAAAUUUAGAUACUUUUAUAAGACAAAUGAAUUUUUCUAGUAUUGUAUGAAAAAAGGUAAAAUGAUAGGCUUUCAUCAUUUUUUAAAGUAGUUUGUUUAAAUCAUUUUAAUUUAUUUUGAUUUAAGAACAAUAACUUUUAUUACACUAGUUAUUUUGAUUUUCUUUUGAUAGAUUUUGCAAGCUUAAGCAAUUUGGAGCUAUUGGAUUUGAGUUAUAAUUCAUUUAGUGGGAGCGUUCCAUCAUCUAUAAGAUUGAUGUCUUCUCUCAAGUCUUUAUCCCUGGCUCGAAAUCACCUCAAUGGUUCCUUACCAAAUCAAGGUACAUAUAUUGUGAUUACAGGUUUUUCUGUUUUCUUUUUUAAUAUCUUGUUUGUUCUUUAUGCCAAUGAAGUCAUGCAUGUCUAUUAAUUUUUGGUAUUAAAUAAAAAACUUUAUUCUUAAUUCAUAAAGACCUCAUCAACUGUAAGUAACAGCUAGUUGUAAGUUUGGGGGCAUUGACAAGACGAGGAGAUGAUUGGUUACAUGUCUUAUUCUCUUUUGUUGGCUUUUGCCAAUUGAAUAAGCUUCAAGAGUUAGAUCUUUCUUACAACUUAUUCCAAGGGAUCCUUCCUCCAUGUUUGAAUAAUUUGACAUCUUUGAGGUUAUUGGAUCUCUCUUCCAACCUAUUCUCCGGAAAUCUUUCUUCCCCUCUGUUACCUAAUCUCACAUCCCUGGAGUACAUCGAUCUCAGUUACAAUCAUUUUGAGGGUUCAUUCUCUUUCAGCUCUUUUGCUAAUCACUCCAACUUUCAAGUGGUCAAACUUGGAAGGAAUAACAACAAAUUUGAGGUAGAAACUGAAUAUCCAGUUGGUUGGGUUCCCCUAUUUCAGUUGAAAGCUCUUAUGCUAUCCAACUGUAAGCUCAUCGGUGACCUUCCUGGUUUUCUUUGACACCAAUUAAGAUUAACCGUGGUUGAUCUCUCCCAUAAUAACUUGACUGGAAGUUUCCCCAUUUGGCUGCUUGAAAACAAUACAAAAGUAGGAUCUCUAGUUCUGAGGAAUAACUCUUUAAUGGGUCAACUACUUCCCCUGAGACCUAAUAGUCGUAUCACUUUAUUGGAUAUCUCAGACAACCGACUUGAUGGGGAACUUCAACAAAAUGUGGCCAAUAUGAUUCCAAAUAUUGAGUUUCUAAAUUUAUCCAACAAUCCUCCCCUUCAUUUCAUCCAUAUUUGGAUCUACCUUUAAAUCUCUAUUGCAUACAACCCAUAUAUGAUUCCCUCUAAAUUUAGCCUUCAUUUCUUGUUAAGAGGUUUUAAAAGCCAGCAAUUUAAUUUACUUUCAUCCUCUAGAUAGAUGAGAACUCUUAUAUUUAUCCAAUGAUAGGUAACAUUUUUGCAAAUGCUUUUAUUUGAUUUUUUUAAUUGGUCUUAAAAAUAAGUGUUAAUAAAGAUCCACAAUAUAAAAUAAUAAAUUAUAUCUCAAUUGACCUCAAGAUACUAUUUACUUCUACUAACUCAUUUUACAUCUCAAUUGUUCUUAAAAAGUCUAUAAUGGUAAUUAACUAUAGAAUUCAAGUUUUAAUUAUGCAAAAAAUAUAUAAAGGUUUUUAAAAUUAAUAGAAAAAGAGAUUCUGAUAAAUAAUAAGUCAUUGGAACAUUUACUUCUAGAAGUAGAGAAAGAUGGAGGAUCAUAAAAGUUGAAAAAAGAAUAAUUUGGAAGUCAUAAAAUUUUGGAAAAAGAAUAAUACAUAGAGACCUCAUUAACAAGAAGUAACAACUAAUUGUAAGUAACCAUGAAAAAAGUAAGGAGAAAAAUAAAGGAAAAUCAAGGAAAGUGGAAAAUUUUUUCAUCCCCAUAAAAAAUGCUAAGGAAGAAAAAGGUGAAGAAAGUUUAAAGAAAGUAUAUUUUUCAAAAAUUGAAUUUUCUUUCCCUUAAAGUUGGUAUUGACAACCAAACAAGAAAAUGAUUUUUAAAUUCUUUUUUGACCUUUUUCUAUCAUUCUUUUUUUUUUUUUCCUUACUCUAUUUCCUUUCCCUCAAACUUUGUAGGCAGUAAACAUUACCUAAGAUAAAUAGGGAAGAAAAUAUUUUAUCAUUUAUUUAUUUAGUAUUUUUCUUACCUUUUUUUGUAUUUUAUCCAAAUAUAAGAAAACUAUUUUUCUUUAUUUUUUUCUUUUCCUUGUUGCUUUUCAAGAAUCAAGCAUACUUUAAACUCUAAUUAAGAGUUUUAUCUCUAGACUAUAAUACUAAAUCACUUAAAAAAAACUCCUAACAUCGUUUAUGUUCAUCUUUCUUUUUAAGGAUUUGAAAAACCCAAUAAUUUGGAGAAAACUGAUUCUAGGAAGAAUAAUUUUUAGAAUAAAAGAUUAUUAUUUAAGAAGAUCAUAAAUAUUAUAGUCAUUGUUGAAUAUGAUAAAUGAUUAAAAAAAAAAAGGUAAUUGGAAAUUUAGAUACUUUUAUAAGACAAAUGCAUUUUUCUAGUAUGGUAUGAAAAAAGGUAAAAUGAUAGGCUUUGAUCUUUUUUUAAGGUAGUUUGUUUAAAUCAUUUUAAUUUAUUUUGAUUUAAGAACAAUAACUUUUAUUACACUAGUUAUUUUGAUUUUCUUUUGAUAGAUUUUGCAAGCUUAAGCAAUUUGGAGCUAUUGGAUUUGAGUCAUAAUUCAUUUAGUGGGAUCCUUCCAUCGUCUAUAAGAUUGUUGUCUUCUCUCAAGUCUUUAUAUCUGGCUGGAAAUCACCUCAAUGGUUCCUUACCAAAUCAAGGUACAUAUAUUGUGAUUACAGGUUUUUUUGUUUUCUUUUUUAAUAUCUUGUUUGUUCUUUAUGCCAAUUAAGUCAUACAUGUCUAUUAAUUUUUGGUAUGCAAUGAAAAACUUUAUUUUUAAUUCAUAAAGACCUCAUCAACCGUAAGUAACAACUAGUUGUAUGUUUGGGGGCAUUGACAAGACGAGGAGAUGAUUGGUUACAUGUUUUAUCCUCUUUUGUAGGCUUCUGCCAAUUCAAUAAGUUUCAAGAGUUAGAUCUUUCUUACAACUUAUUCCAAGGGAUCCUUCCUCCAUGUUUGAAUAAUUUGACAUCUCUGAGGUUAUUGGAUCUCUCUUCCAACCUAUUCUCCGGAAAUCUUUCUUCCCCUUUGUUACCUAAUCUCACAUCCCUGGAGUACAUCGAUCUCAGUUACAAUCAGUUUGAGGGUUCAUUCUCUUUCAGCUCUUUUGCUAAUCACUCCAAGCUUCAAGUGGUCAUACUUGGAAGGGAUAACAACAAAUUUGAGGUACAAACCGAAUAUCCAGUUGGUUGGGUUCCCCUGUUUCUGUUGAAAGCUCUUGUCCUAUCCAACUGUAAGCUCAUCGGUGAUCCUGGUUUCCUUCGACACCAAUUAAGAUUAACCGUGGUUGAUCUCUCCCAUAAUAAUUAGUCUGGAAGUUUCCCCAUUUGGCUGCUUGAUAACAAUACAAGACUAGGAUCUCUAGUUCUGAGGAAUAACUCUUUAAUGGGUCAACUACUUCCCCUGAGACCUAAUAGUCGUAUCACUUUAUUGGAUAUCUCAGACAACCGAGUUCAUGGGGAACUUCAACAAAAUGUGGCCAACAUGAUUCCAAAUAUUGAGUUUCUAAAUUUAUCCAACAAUGGUUUUGAAGGUAUUCUCCCAUCCUCGAUAGCCGAAAUGAGUUCCUUACAGUCAUUAGAUUUGUCUGCUAAUAGUUUCUCAGCGGAAGUACCAAAACAAUCGCUUGCUGCAAAAUAUUUGUGGCUUCUGAAAUUAUCAAAUUAUAAAUUUCAUGGUGAAAUAUUUUCAAGGGACUUUAACUUGACUCAGUUAGGGUUUUUGCAUUUGGACAAUAAUCAGUUCCAGGGACCACUGUCAAAUGUAAUCUCCAGAAUCUCUAGGUUAUGGGUGUUGGAUAGGUAACAUGACCGAUUUGACUACACUGGUGUUGGGCAACAAUAGUUUUAAAGGCAAAUUACCACCUGAGAUUUCUCAAUUGUUGGGGAUGAUAUUUCUUGACGUUUCUCAAAACGCUCUUUCAGGAUCUCUUCCUUCUUUGAAGAGCCUGGAGUAUUUAGAGCAUCUACAUUUGCAAGGGAAAAUGUUUACAGGAUUGAUACCUAGAGAUUUUCUCAAUUCCUCAUAUCUAUUGACUUUGGAUAUCAGAGACAACAGGUUAUUUGGAAGUAUUCCCAAUUCAAUCUCUAGACUUUUAGAGCUAAGAGGAAACCUUUUAAGUGGUUUCAUUCCAUAUCAGCUUUGUCAUUUGACUAAAAUAAGCUUGAUGGAUCUUUCAAACAACAAUUUUUCUGGGUCAAUUCCCAGAUGCUUUGGUCAUGUCGGAUUUGGAGAUUUCAAAACUGAGCACAAUGUGUAUAUACUUAUGUUAGAUUCGUAUUCAGAAAGCAAUCCUUCUAUAUAUACGGGUUACUUAAUAAAAUAUUUAUUUUUCUCUACUGAACUCCCUGAUGAAGUAGAUGAAGUUGAGUUUGUUACCAAGAAUAGGUAUAGCUCCUACAGAGUAGAUAAAAAUAUUUGUUGGGAAUUUAGAUAUUUUUAUAGGACAAUAUACAAGUAUUCUAAUUUAUAAAAACAAUGCAUUUCUUUAGUUUGGUAUAAAAAAAAUGAAACGAUAGGUAUUGGUAAUUUUUUUUAAAGUAACAAACGUUUUAUUUUAUUUGUAUUUAAGAACAAUGUUUUUUCUUAUACUAGUUAUUUUCAUUUUCUUUUGACAGAUUUUGCAAGCUUAAGCAAUUUGGAGAUACUAGAUUUGAGUUAUAAUUCCUUAAGUGGGAUUAUUCCAUUAUCUAUAAGAUUGAUGCCUCAUCUCAAGUCUUUAUCCUUGGUCGGAAAUCACCUCAAUGGUUCUUUACAAAAUCAAGGUACAUAUGUUAUGAUUUGUUUGUUUCAUAUAGAUUAGAGAAGAUAAAUAUUGUAAAAAAAAAAAAAAGUUGUAGUUAAUGUAAGCUUGAAAUAAGUAUCUUGCCUUAUAAAUUAUAUAAGCAUGUGUUUGUUCUUAAUGAAUCUUUACAACAUUUAGAGUUACCAAUGUUUAUAAUUCAUAAAGACCUCAUUAACGGUGAAUAACAACUAAUUGUAAGUAAUUGUGGAAAUAGUAAGGAAAACAAAAUGAGGGAAAAGCAAGGAAUUAGGAAAUUAUUUUGUUCCCAUAAAAAAAAUGCUAAGGAAGAAAAAGGUAAAAGAAAGUUUUAAAAAAGUGUAUUUUUAAAAAAUUUAUUUCUCUUUCCUUUAAUUUUGCUAUGGACAACCAAACAAGAAAAUCAUUUUAUAAUUCCUUUUUAUUUUUUUCGUUCUCUCUCUCUUUUUUUCCCUACUCUAUUUCUUUUCCCUCAAACUUUCUUGGUAGUAAACACAACCUAAGAUAAAUGGGGAAGAAAAUUUUCAGUUUUUUUUUUAUUUUUUUAGAAUGUUUUCUUACUUUUUAGUAUUUUAUGCAAAUAUAGGAAAAUUAUUUUCUUUUUUCUUUUUUUUUCUUGCUCCUUUUCAAACAUGAAUCACACUUUAAAAGAAAAUUAAUUUUUAAUUAGGAGUUAAGAUAAAUUUAAGGAGAAACAAUGAAUCACAGACAACAAAAAAUUAAGGAAAUUGAAUUUUUGAAAGUAAGUAUAAUCAAAUUGCUUCUUUUGAUACAAAAUUUGAAUAAAAAUUCUUUCAAUGAAAAUUCAAGGAAAGGAAAAAACAUUUUUGUCUCUAGAUUAUAAUACUAAAUUAUGUAAAAAAUCUCCUAGCAUCAUUUAUAUUCAUAUUUCUUUUUAUAGAUUUGAAAAAUUCAACAAUUUGGAAUAAACUUAUUCAAUGAAGAAUAAUUUUUAGAUUUAAAGAUUAUUAUUUAAGAUCAUAAAUAUUACCAUCAUUGUUGAUGUCUAAGAAGAUCAUAUUCAACAAUUUUUUUAAUAUGUUGUUUUUUUAUGGUAAUUAAUUGAUGUCUUGUAAUUUUUAAUAUUUAAUGAAAAACAUUAUUUUAAUUCAUCUAGAGCUCUUAAUUCAUGAAGACCUCAUUAAUGGUAAGUAAUAGCUGAAUGUAAGUUUGGAGUCAAAGACAUGUCAAGGAGAUGAUUAGUUACAUGUCUUAUUCUCUUUUGUAGGUUUCUGCCAAUUGAAUAAGCUUCAAGAGUUAGAUCUUUCUUACAACUUAUUCCAAGGGAUCCUUCCUCCAUGUUUGAAUAAUUUGACAUCUCUGAGGUUAUUGGAUCUCUCUGCCAACCUAUUCUCCGGAAAUCUUUCUUCCCCUUUAUUACCUAAUCUCACAUCCCUGGAGUACAUCGAUCUCAGUUACAAUCAGUUUGAGGGUUCAUUCUCUUUCAGCUCUUUUGCUAAUCACUCCAAGCUUCAAGUGGUCAUACUUGGAACGGAUAACGACAAUUCUGAGGUAGUUGGAAGGGAUAACAACAAAUUUGAGGUAGAAACUGAAUAUCCAGUUGGUUGGGUUCCCCUGUUUCAGCUGAAGGCUCUCUCUCUAUCCAGCUGUAAGCUCACCGGUGACCUUCCUGGUUUUCUUCAAUACCAAUUCAUGUUAGUGGGGGUUGAUCUCUCACAUAAUAACUUGACAGGAAGUUUCCCCAAUUGGUUGCUUGAAAACAAUAUGAGACUAAAAUCUCUAGUCCUAAGGAAUAACUCUUUAAUGGGUCAACUACUUCCCUUGGGACCUAAUACCCGUAUCAAUUCAUUGGAUAUCUCACACAAUCAGUUGGAUGGACAACUUCAAGAAAAUGUGGGCCAUAUGAUUCCAAAUAUGGAAUAUCUAAAUUUAUCCAACAAUGGUUUUGAAGGUAUUCUCCCAUCCUCAAUAGCUGAACUGAGAGCCUUAUGGAUUUUGGAUUUGUCUACCAAUAAUUUCUCUGGAGAAGUACCAAAGCAAUUGCUUGCAGCAAAAGAUUUGGGGUAUUUGAAAUUAUCAAAUAAUAAAUUUCAUGGUGAAAUAUUUUCAAGGGACUUUAACUUGACUGGGUUAUCGUGUUUGUAUUUGGGCAAUAAUCAGUUGACGGGAACUCUGUCAAAUGUAAUCUCCAUAAGCUCUGAGUUGGAGGUGUUGGAUGUGAGCAACAACUACAUGUCAGGUGAAAUUCCAAGCCAGAUAGGUAACAUGACCUAUUUGACUACACUAGUGUUGGGCAACAAUAGUUUUAAAGGCAAAUUACCACCCGAGAUUUCUCAAUUGUGGGGGUUGGAGUUUCUUGACGUUUCUCAAAAUGCUCUUUCAGGAUCUCUUCCUUGUUUGAAGACCAUGGAGAGUUUAAAGCAUCUACAUUUGCAAGGGAACAUGUUUACAGGAUUAAUACCCAGAUAUUUUCUCAAUUCCUCACAUUUAUUGACUUUGGAUAUGCGAGAUAACAGGUUAUUUGGAAGUAUUCCCAAUUCAAUCUCUGCACUUUUGAAGCAGCUAAGGAUUCUUUUGCUGGGAGGAAACCUUUUAAGUGGUUUUAUUCCAAAUCAUCUUUGUCAUUUGACUGAAAUAAGCUUGAUGGAUCUUUCAAACAACUCUUUUUCAGGGCCAAUUCCCAGAUGCUUUGGCCAUAUCCGAUUUGGGGAGAUGAAAAAGGAGGACAACGUGUUUGGACAAUUCAUUGAACUUGGGUAUGGAAUGAGUUCUCAUCUUGUAUAUGCAGGUUACUUGGUGGAAUAUUGGGGGUUCUCAAGUCUAGUAUAUAAUGAAAAAGAUGAAGUUGAGUUUGUCACUAAGAACAGGCGUGACUCCUACAAAGGUGGCAUCCUUGAAUUCAUGUCUGGAUUGGACUUAUCAUGUAACAACUUGACAAGUGAAAUACCUCAUGAGCUUGGAAUGCUAAGUUGGAUUCGUGCUUUGAACUUGUCUCACAAUCAAUUGAAUGGCUCCAUUCCAAAGAGUUUCUCCAAUCUUUCCCAAAUAGAGAGCUUAGACCUUUCUUAUAAUAAACUGGGUGGAGAAAUUCCUCUAGAGCUAGUUGAACUCAAUUUUUUAGCGGUGUUUAGUGUGGCUUACAACAACAUCUCUGGUAGAGUUCCAGAUGCCAAAGCACAAUUUG
rnacentral:lncRNA from 1 species